rnacentral:lncRNA from 1 species
UCAGGCCCGGUCAGAUACUUGCGACCUUCACACACACACACACACACAUACAAACACACACGCACGCAACCCCUCACCGGGCGUCUCCGGGUAGUUCUGUGCGAGCACCCGCAGCUUAAAACCCGUGUCCUUCUCCAGGGCCGCCACCUCCGCAGCAAUACGCCUCUCCUGCGGGGGGGAAGGGGGACGCGGAGCCGGGGGGGACGCAUGGGUCGGGUGUGUGUGGGGUGUGUGUGUGGGGGGGGAGGAAGAGUCAAGGAAACACACGCAGGCGCGUCGGACCGUGGUGAGGGGGUUAUUUCGGGGGAGAGUGUGUUCGUGGUCUGCCACGUCAACAAGCACUAUGGGGCAAACGAUUGUAAUGGGCAAUCAGGCAGAGGUUGCAGUGGCCAUGUGUAUGUACGUACGUGCAAGUUACAAGUUACAAGCUCCACACGAGUGCGGGGGUUGUCCAUAAAAGCCGGGGGGCCCAUGGCCGGUAAAUCGUUUUUAGUGCGGUUACGUGGUGGACCAUCAUCGUCCUCCCUCGUCCGCUUGAGCACGAAGCGCCUUAGAGCAGCGUGCCGGGUCUCCCAGACUUCCGAGAGGAGCCUGGCUAGCGCCAGGCGGUCAUAAUCGUGCGCAUGUUGCGCCCUUGAAACGCAGUCGCAAAGCUUGCAGGUGCGCGCUGCGCGCUCACGGCGGUUAGGUCGGUUAAUCUCUAACUCCCAACAGCCUAGCCGGAAACGCAUAAGCACUUGAUGCAAACGUUUGGACAAUGCGGUUUCAGCGUGGGCCAUCCACUUAUGCCGCGUGCUUUAAGCGGGGCCGGCCCCAUCCUGUUCAGAUAGCGACAUGCCUUGACGCCGGUACUUCCAAUUGGGAAGGUGCGCGGGUCGCCUAGGGUAUCUGGGCGCUCCCACCGGGCGUCGAGCCGCCUAGCGAACUCCUUUAAGUAAGCUCUUUAAGUAAACUCUUUAAGUAUGUAUGUGUGCCAUGUAUGUACGUGUGCCAUGUAUGUAUGUAUGUAUGUAUGUAUGUAUGUAUGUAUGUAUGUAUGUAUGUAUGUAUGUAUGUAUGUAUGUAUGUAUGUAUGUAUGUAUGUAUGUAUGUAUGUAUGUAUGUAUGUAUGUAUGUAUGUACGUGUGCCAUGUAUGUAUGUAUGUAUGUAUACAUGCAUGUGUUAUGUGACAAUUGCAGCCCGAAGCAUGAGGAUGGUAAACGUUGCCCUUCGCGGAGCGCUGUGUUUUCCCUCCCUGCCCCCCUCCCACUCCCCCCCUCUCCCCCCCCUCCGAUAAUACAAUCCGUGAGCCGGUUACGUUAGUGGGUGGAUGGGUUGCAUCAGCCGUCAAGACUACGGUGCCUUGACAUACAAACAGACGCGCGUUCAAAUACAUACAUACCUACAACCAAACAUCCCCCUUCACACACAUGCACACACGCACACACACAUACAUACACACACACGUAAACAAACCUCAGAGGGUGUCAGGAAGCCCGCCACGUCGAUAACGGCGGUGGGUUCCCCCCGUGGCAGCAGCUCGGGUCGGUUGACCCCCUGAGGCCUGGCGUGUGCGGCUGCAGGGGGAAGGGAGAGGCAAAGGGCGGGAGAGAAAGAAAGCGGGGGGUUGAAAGAAGGGGAAAAAGGGAAAGGGGACGGGGGAAAAAGCUGGAUACUGGGGAACUGUAUGCAGCCAAGUUAAGGAAACAAUUGCGGACGUUCUGAGUUGGCGACUGCUGGAGAUGUAUGUAGACGCCGGAGGGUGGCGGGAGACAAAGAUGUGCGGGAAAUGGGGUUCAAGCAAGCGAUCAGAAGCCGCGCCGGCGUGCAGGCGGGUGGAGGACCCCACUUACACGUACAUGCCCGUAUCUCUAAAAAAAACCCACAUGCCCCGCACACGUCCCCACGCUCCCACAUUGUCUCUCGGCCCCCGGGGAAGUGAUGGGUAAGGUGAGGCGUGUGGCGCAUAAUGUGUGUGUGGUACCGAAGACUGGGACAGGGGGAUGGGGCCAUUAGCUGGGUAUUCGAGGGAAUCCUUUCCGCAUCAAAAGUGAAGAGAUGAACAAGAACGGGACCAGGAGCUAGUAAUGGAGCCAGUAUGCAUGGCCAUUAGCUGGCAGCGGAGCGCACCUGAAGUAAGGACAGAAAGGGUGGCCAGUCCGGCGAUGGCCGCAUGAACCACGUGCCUUGAAACGCACAAAACAUCCACCUUGGACUCGGUGGGCCCGUUUUUACAAUUAAUUGCAGAGCAGCGCACAGUACGCAGCGGUGCUGAGGAUGGUAGCUGACAGCCCAAAGGCUUCAGGUGACGAUGGCCAGACGCGUAAGGAGGAACCGUGGAAUGCAACAUGGUUAUAAGAGUGAUAACAGGCAAUCCGCCGCAAAUCUGCUUGUGAUUUGUAAUGCAGACUGUUUUGCUUGAGUCCAACUUUCCUGACGCCACAUCAUCCUGCCGUACAAAAUUGAACAAUACUCCGUUAGCCCCAGAUCGUAUUAAGAUGCCGCCCCAGGAAGAAGCUAUUGAACUGAAUUACGAAGGAUAUGCCCGACAACUAUAUCAAUCUUCCGCACCAAGCUGCAGAAAUCGCUUUCAUAAAUGCAGCAGUUUGCGGAUCCCGAAGGUUGCCGCGCAUGGUUUAUAUCACUCCUAUCCUGAAGACACCCUGUAUUGUAGCAGAUGUUAAACGGUUGGCUACGCCGGCACGGAAGGGCUGUCUUAAAACUGGCAUUAGAAGGCGGAGGAAAGGUUCAUGUAAAAGCAAGAUUUGUGCGCGGGCAGGAAUGCAUACCGGUGUGGGAAUGCGUUCCGGCCUGGACCACAUACAGAGCGAAACUCCGAUGAGCGGGAGCCGGUGGGGUUGGCUCUGAACAGGGAGGAAGCCGGCCAUGUUGGAGGUGUAUUCGCGCUGGAGUGGUAGUACCGGCGUCAAGGCAUGUCGCUAUCUGAACAGGAUGGGGCCGGCCCCGCUUAAAGCACGCGGCAUAAGUGGCUGGCCCACGCUGAAACCGCCUUGUCCCAACGUUUGCAUAAAGUGCUUACGCUUUCCGGCUGGGCUGUUGGGAGUUAGGGAUUAACCGACCUAACCGCCGUGAGCGCGCAGCGCGCACCUGCAAGCUUUGCGACUGCGUUUCAAGGGCGCAACAUGCGCACGAUUAUGACCGCCUGGCGCUAGCCAGGCUCCUCUCGGAAGUCUGGGAGACCCGGCACGUUGCUUUAAGGCGCUGCGUGCUCAAGCGGACGAGGGAGGAUGAUGAUGGUCCACCACGUAACCGCACUAAAAACGAUUUACCGUCCAUGGCCCCCCCGGGUUUUACGGACAACCCCGCACUUGUAUGGAACUUGUAACUUGUAGCUGGAGACAUUAAGAGCGGGGCAUCUAUCUCGGCGUGGCAGCCGGUGCGGACACAGACAGCAAAAACAGAAUUAAUAGCGACAAACGCGAUCGAUGCCAGCGACCUGGGCUACAGCAAGGGGGAUUAGGCGCCAGGGCCGCGGCGCAUGGGGCAGCGGCCAGCAGGCAGCUCGGGCGGGCGGGUGCAGGGUGGGCGGGCACAGCAGUAUGUAGGACAGGGAGGUGUGGGUGCAGCCGUGCAGCCGUGGGCUGUGCUACAACGCAAAACAUCGAUUAAGCGAGUGACGGGAACAAUCGUUCUGCACCCGAUGGCAGCAGCAGUGAUGGUACGAUGCCACGUGCCUUUAUGAUGGCGCUUGCAGUUGGCUGAGUGACGUUUGUAAAGCGCCUGUCGCAAUCCAGAAGAACAGCCUGCGGUCUUUAUGCAUGGGGUAAUAUGGUGAGUUAGGACGUAUUUCCCGGUCGUAUAAUUCGAUUCUGGCUCGACUGAUGACUUGGAAUUUGAAACGGAAUCAAUUGCACUGACCGUAUAUCGAAUAUGAUUUGGGACAGGGUGGGGGUUUUACGUAUUUAUGAUUCUAUAUGAUUGCUUGAAACGCUUUAUGUAAGGAAGCGUGUAGACAGGAUCGCCUUAAUCGAUACCGACUGAAAUAGAAAGGGCUCCGUGUCUAGUUGGGAUGCCAAAAUCGUUACACCGAGGGUUGAGCGACUUGAGCCUUCUAGCAUACCUCAGGAUGCAAUAAAGAUGACAUAACAACCUAACAACAAUAACGACUUAAAUAGUUAUCCAGUGCCUAGAUGGCGUCUAAAUGUCGUAAAACAUCCCUGAUCAAGACGCGCGUUCGUGAAUCGAACUAACUACUCAACGACUAACAAGAAAACCUAACAAGUUGAGAAUCCAUUUUCAUUUACGUUUUUGUGUGGGGGAUAUAGUAUCGACUGUUAGUACCGUACAACAGUCAGUACUAGUACUGCACAUAAUCGGCACAACCAGAUAUCGGCAAACGGUGAACUGAUGAUUUGAAAUAUAAGCUAUCAGCGUUGGUUAACUAAAAUCCGACUUACUUCGUUUGUUGGCAACUAUUUUGCCUGCAGCCUAGUAAAUACGAGGCCGAUCACGAAUUUACACGAAAAAGUGGCUUAGUUAAGUAAUGCUGGCAAAUCAGCCAGCUGGAUGCCCUGUAUUCAAGUAACCCGUUUCGCACCGGCGUAUUCAAUCGCUCGAUUGCAAGUUUGUGAAUAAAUAUCUUAUCGCAGGCCGACUUGGGGCUUGCAGUAGUCAUAAGUAUUAAUAUGCAGCAGUCAUACUCAGAGUUACGCUACAUGUGACUGCACCUCACGGGGCUUAUUAAAAAGCAAAUAUUGUUUGGUGCAUAUUAGUUAAUUUUGCGUGGUUACGUUUCCCACAACUUACGUAACCCCAGCUGCGCGGGCCUCUGCAAUGGCAGUGAUACCCUCCUGUCGUCCUCCAUCACCGAUUGAUUUGUAGCCAGUCAUAAAGAUGUUCCGUUCCUUAUUAUUUAUUGUUUGAUGUUUUAGCUUCCCUUGUUGUUGAUUGUUGAUGUUUUAGCUUCCCCGGCUUUCCCGCCUCGGCCGAGGCUACAUCUUAUGCUACGGCUCGAAUUGCUCCGAGAUUGUUCCCUAGGCCACCAGUAUCACCGCUUGCACCGCGUUGCUAUCGUGUUUGGGGCCAUUUUCAAGUAGUGAGCCGUUAAAAGUCCACAGAAUGUUGAAUUACUUACAAGGGACCAGCCGCGGCCCAGGCCGCGGCCGCGGCUUAGACGGCCGUCUAAGCAAGCUUUCACCAACUUUGACUCUCACGUACAGCAACGCGUUCUCGAGCCGGAAUCAGUAAACCAUCAAAGUUUUCAUCCAAGCUUUAAAUCAUUUUCAGCGGCGAUUCUAACUCCCGGGGUCCGCGGCCCGAUUUCCUUUCGACCGCAGGGUUGCGCCUCCUUUCGAAGGUUCGGGGCUUUCCGCCAAUUGGGGAGCCUAAUGGCAAAUACCCCCGUGGUCACGAGUUUUCUGAGCCUUCACCCUGGGCUUACCCUGGGCUCGCUUUAUCCCACCGAGGUGACUUACACUGUCCAGCCUGGGCGUGCGCGUCUUGGCUGCGCGUGUCGCCUCAGGUGCGCUGCACGGCCAGCUGGCGGGUUGGCUCUACUUUUCACGAGUUAGGAGCCGCCAAUUUAAAAAGCGUACAGUUGGUAUUUAGAUGCAUAGUGCAAAAUACUUGGCGGGCGGUCACGUACGAAAGUUGUUUCAUUAGCAGGCGGCAAAAUGAGUGAAGCAACGUGAAGUAAUCAAUGGAAAAAUAUGGCACCAAUUGGAAUAAGGAAUAAGCAAUGCAUACAUGUGGUGCCCAAGAGUAACUGCUCGUCAAAAGGUUGGAGUUAUCAGUCGUCUCAUCUUGCUCCUUUAGCAUCUGAAUCGCUUCUGAAAUUUUUUGGAUGGUAAAGGAGAUGCACAUCUUCUUGUUUGAGCCUCAAUCAUGAACACAACGCUCCGCAAUAGUUGUCAACUAAAACUACAGUCGUGUUGAUGUUAAUGGUCGAUAAUUAUGUUCAUGAUCCUACUUGUUUUCGAUGCCAUGCAAUGCGCCUUGUUCCGUUGAGCAAGAGCCAUACCUGGCCGACGCAGGCCUGACGGCACGCAUCGAUGCUGACCUUGGGUGCAAAACAGUUUGAUUAUAGAAAUGAUCAAUAUAAUCGUGGAAAUAAUUCCAGUUAUGAACUGGAAAGCACGAAGAAGGGACGAAACCGCAACAAUUCGAUUCAUCGUACUGUCGCUAUGAUGCACAGCAGGAAAGUGAACUGCCGAUGAUGAUGAUGAUGACGAUGACAAAAUAGCUGUGGCUCCCUACGAGUAAUUGUAAAUGUAAAUACAAAUUUAACUUUAUCUGGAAAGCUUCUUAGGCAGCAGAACCUAAGCAACACUUCAUUACGAAGGUCGGAAGUACACGGCACAGCACUUUGAUUCGCUGGUCUGAAUUGGACGAAUCAAAUAACGCGCGCUAAGAAACAAGAAAACUCCUAUUUCAAUCGAAAGCCCUAACUAACUGUACCGUGGGGCACAGUUCACGAUGUUGACUGUGUAACCUGGUGCGACUCGAAGUCCUUACGUAACGGUCGUCUGACUGGGUCAUGAAACGCAGUGGGAGCCACAUUUCUGCGUAAGUCACGUUUAAAUCAACGUUCCAUCUGCUGCCGCCGAAAGUCCUCUUGUGAUGUGUGUAUGUUUGUGUGUGUACAAAACCUUCGCUAAAAUCACCUCCUGUCGCAAAUCAUGCGCGAUCAUUAAGAACGCCCAUACACUUGGUCCAAUGUCGAACUAGAUAAUGCCUUCAAUUAAAAAUUUCAACCUUUAUUCGCGCAUCGAUGCUGUAGGCCCGCUAUGUAGGUACCAUCAGGGGCAGUUGGGUGACAGAACUUCGGAACGAAGUUUCGGAAUGUACUUCAAGCAGAAGGCCCGCCCCGGAGCUUGACGUACCAGUUUGGGCCUUGUGCCGGAUUGCGUUUUAAGAGAAUGCGGGGUUGAUAGUGGAUUGAACCCGCCCAUCUUUCUGAAGGGGCAAAUUCCUUCCAGAACUGCCUAAUCCAAUACCGCUUUGGCCUAACAAGGACACGUGCGGAGCCUGGGCCUGAACGUCUAUUGCCAAGGUUGGUUUCUGCACAAGGGCUCAAUUGGGACUACCUCCUAAGGAACUGGCGGGAUUGUGCUUCAGCAGCAUAGACGACUCGCAUUGACGAUUCGGAACAUUUCGCAUCCAAAGGUCGAUGAAGCGUCGGUACCCUGUAAUAUCCCAGCGCGUUUAUUAAUGUAUGGUAUUGCCUGCUUACUGCGCAAUUUGGAACCGCCCCCACGAAAUCAGGUUGGCAUUGUUGGUGAUCCGCUGAAGCGAGGAGUUGGACACGCGCCAUCAUCUCACGUCCCCCGCCGGUGCGUUAUUGACCCAGGCAGCAGGUUAGUGCUUGGGAGGAGACGUAGUCAUUUAUAUGUGUGCAUCUAGAGUAAUAUUCUCAGAACGUUUUGGGACGUCACACGGGCGCGUUCGGCCAAAACGCAGCGUGUAGAGUUCCAGGACCCUGGCGGGCGGACCAUGAAAGAUUUACAUCACUUCAAAUAGACAGCGUAUAAGCUUAUGAAGCUUAAAUUCUACCCCGCAAUUGCGGCAGUUUGCCAUUGGGCGCAUUGCAUUCCUGUGCGCGGACCGGCACGUAACAUGAAAUUGUCCCGCGCGGUCAAGCUACUACGGCAAAGCAGUAAGCUAAACAGAUAAAAUAAAAUUCCUUGUUUUAAAUUAUGCGAUCACGUGAUAUAAAUAACCCAGCAAAGUCGUCCCUGCUUUCGUAGAGCCCUCGUAAACGAAAUGCCUCCAAAUCGUAAGUCCCCAACCUAGCCCUCAGGAGCUGUAAUCUAAUGUUUUCUAAAUGUAACCUAAUGUUAUAUAUAAAAGUAAUAUUCCGUCCGCUUGCAGCAGCUGGAAACCUCGAUCACACUACUGGCCGACAUCUCCACACUAUUGGUCGACAUUAGAACCUGGACAGGGUAGUUGAGUAAUCAAAGUCAUGUUGGGACAACGCAGUUUUCAGCUUUAAAAACUUGACGCAUAAAACCGCCCGGGUGUGCGUCCUACCGCAAAUGGAUGUGACAUGAACCGACGUAUAGCCUUAGAUAAAAAAGAGAUUCACGACUGCUGUCCAGCAUCAGGUCUCCGGCUGCCACGACCAGCAGCGCAUUUCUACUUGGGGUUAUAAUGGACGGAAUGAAUGAUUUCUCAAAUCUUGAUGGUCAUAAGGUGGGACUCGGAAGCUGGUUACAGCUCCACGCAGCAGGUAGAGUGCGGCGGGGUGCGUGACUGGCGGAAAGAUAAAAAUGAGGAGGGCAACAAGAAAGGAGCAAACAAGGAGGCGCAAAAGGGGGAGCCCUCAAGACGGGGGGCGCCCUGCACGGCCCCAGGCGGGCCCCCUGUAGAAGACCUCCAGGCGGCGGCGGAUGUACGGCGUCCAGGGAAUCAGGCGAAACUAGGCAAUCAGAAAGCUGCAACAGAUUCACAAGAAGCGGAUUUUUUUACGUGAAUCCUGAUCGCAUGUGUGGCACUUAACGGAUAUAUCCGUUGUGGAGGAACACAUGUCACCGCUGGCCAGUGCAGGUGGUACAACAUCUUGUCUAUCUUGCCUUCCCUUGAGCCAGGGAAUCAGGCGAAACUAGGCAAUCAGAAAGCUGCAACAGAUUCACAAGAAGCGGAUUUUUUUACGUGAAUCCUGAUCGCAUGUGUGGCACUUAACGGAUGUAUCCGUUGUGGAGGAACACAUGUCACCGCUGGCCAGUGCAGGUGGUACAACAUCUUGUCUAUCUUGCCUUAUAAAAAGACUUCAGUAGGUCCCUGACCCGUAUUUUUGUUAUGUAAUGUCUUUGGGUUGCGUCAUGAACCCAAAGCCCAGACGAGCAUCUAGGAACACGUGAAAGCGAGAGUUGAGGAUGGGGGUGGGGGUGGGGGUGGGGGUUAAGUGAACUCUCGUAGCCAUAACCAUUGUGCAGGCCCCUGAAUAUGCUGACAUUGCGUUUAGCAUGUAGUUGUUGUGUGGCUUACUGUUUUGCGACUGCUGUAGUUUGCCUCAGGCGGGUGAAGAUAAGUUUGUUUAGGAAGGCAGCAGCAGCCCCGCCCCUAUUCGGAAAGCAGCUUGGCUUGGGUCACAAAUCGAGUUGAAUGAGCUAAAACAACGCUGAACAAUAAUAAUAAUAAUAAUAACCCUGUGCUUAUAUGCGGAGUUGCUGUUGUUGCUCCACAAAUCCGACGUCGUGUUGAUGGGGGAUUGUUACACUGUGUGCGGCUCGACGAGCACCGGGGGCCCUGACCGGGUUGUGUUGUUUGCUUCAAUGUAAUGAUAGCACAAACAUCCCGCGGGUGCAGUUAAGAAGGGCCUAUCACAGAGCCUACUCUUUAUGCUUAGUGGACUAUCAUAUAGCACUUGCCGAAGCUAAGAAAAAGGAUAAUGUCUGAGGAAAGAGCGACUCAGCCGGCCCUGACCUGGAAGCCCUGGGCAUUUACCACACCUUGCUGCAGUGGCUGGCCUGCCACCGAUGGUGACUAGGCGAGGCUACAUUACUACAUUACUACAUUUCUAAUGACCUGCUGUCCGCAUGGUGGCCUUGCACGUCAACAUAUGUGCUCAGCAGUAAACCUACGCGCUCCUGACAAUCCCCAUGACGAUUCCUUUUGCAACGGUUGCCAAACCGUUGUUUAGGGCUGUCAGGGUCCUGUGUACGCGGCAUGGGGUUGUUCUCAAGCACCUUGCAGUCGUCCAUCCCUCCCGCACACUAGCUAGGUGUGGCACCCAGCCAGCCCUCACAUGCCCCUCCACCUCCACCCCACCACGUCAUUCGCAGGCUGCCCUGUCGUCCUGAUCUCGGCCAGCUCGCCCGGCUCCCGUGCGGCGGCCUCAACGGCAGGUAGCUUGGGACUUGCCAGAUCAGCAGGAGGAGCCAACAGAGUCAUGUGUAGGAGGCAGCCGCUGCAGGCGGCCAAGAGGAUGGCUGUGGUCCCGGGCAUGAGCCGCCGUCGCCAGCCAGCCAUCGCAUUGCCCAGCGCCGCGGGUGCACUGAUGUCCGUGGCGCUGCUGAUACCGCUGCUGGUGCUCCUGAACACACAAAUGGCAGUGGCACAAGAUCCGCCGUCACCAGAGCCGCCAUCGCCAGCGCCACCAUCACCGGCGCCGCCAUCACCAGCGCCGCCAUCACCAGCGCCGCCAUCACCAGCGCCNNNNNNNNNNNNNNNNNNNNNNNNNNNNNNNNNNNNNNNNNNNNNNNNNNNNNNNNNNNNNNNNNNNNNNNNNNNNNNNNNNNNCCGUCGCCGCCGUCGCCGUCGCCGCCGUCGCCGUCGCCACCGUCGCCGUCGCCGCCAUCACCGUCCCCGCCGUCACCGUCGCCGCCGUCACCGUCGCCGCCGUCACCGUCGCCGCCAGAGCCCUCGCCGUCACCACCGUCGCCACCAGCGCCGUCGCCGUCACCACCGUCACCACCGUCGCCGCCGGCGCCGGGGCCAUCACCACCGUCACCACCGUCGCCGCCGUCGCCGGCGCCACCACCACCGUCACCACCGUCACCACCGUCGCCGCCGGCGCCGCCGCCAUCAACACCGUCGCCACCGUCACCACCGUCACCACCAUCACCGCCGUCACCGCCGUCACCACUGCCGCCGUCGCCUAAACCUCCUAGCCCGCCCCCAUCNNNNNNNNNNNNNNNNNNNNNNNNNNNNNNNNNNNNNNNNNNNNNNNNNNCCACGGGUGAGGAGCCCACCGCCAUCGUCGCCACCGACCCUUCCCUCACCGCGUCCGCCUCUCCCGUCUCCUCCACCAGCUCUACCUCCACCCACCCCGCCGCCACCAUCACCCACCCCGCCGCCACCAUCACCCACCCCGCCGCCACCAUCUCCCACCCCACCUCCACCAUCUUCCACCCCACCUCCACCUUCGUCAACAUCACCACCACCUUCCACAACCUCCCCACCUCCGCCUACAUCCUCCCCAUCUCCCACUUCCUCCCCCUCCCCGGUACCCUCCCCGUCCAAAUCGUCCCCACCGCCGCCAUCUGCACGCCCAGGCAAGCGCCCAAGUGCGCCCCCGCCCAAGGCCGCCAAGGCGCCCAAGCCCCCGCCACCAGCCAAGGCGCCCAAAGCUCCCAAGACGUCCAAGGCGCCUUUCGUGCCUAAGUCACCUUUCGUGCCCAAGUCACCUUUCGUGCCCAAGUCACCUUUCGCGCCCAAGACCCCCAAGGAACCCACACCAGGCAAGGCCCCUAAGGCCUAUCGAAGCCCCAAGCCGCCCAAGUAGAGGCGGUCUUGCUUGGCGAGCACCCGCUGACGGAACCAGCCAGUUGCGUCAGUCAACAGCAGCACCUGUCCUAGCCGGGGGUAUGCAUGCUGUACCCGGACAGGGCAGUGAUGUGCGGAGUGCAGUGUGCGUGCUGGUGGGGGAGUGUCGGACCGCCAUGCCCGCAUUUAUAGGCAUCAGCGUAACCACUUCAACUCGCAGGACCGCCAUGCGGCGAGCUGUAGCGGCACUGCGUUAGGCAGGGCCUUCUUGCCAUGGGCAGGAGCUUUACUUAGGCAUGGCAGUGACGUCGGUCCACUGCUGCUCAGUGUGCGCGGACGGGAAAGCGAAAACGCAGCGGGGACGUGGCGGCUGGACAGCGGCUGUGGACGUCAAGUCCUUGAAGCCGUGCAUGCGUCCUUCACGAACCGCGUUCUCAACAUAUCAAAACUGCAUGGCGACCGACCUAUCUACCUCUACUCGCAGAGCUUGGUGGCUUUGGUGCACACACAUGCCACGUUAAUUACUCGAGGGGUGAAUGGUUGUCGCCACCAGCACUGAAACUGUCGCAUUUUUUUGCUUUCAUCCAUUGAUAUUACGCAUGGAAAGCUGUGGAAAGUCGUAGAGACUUUUAUUUGAGUUUCGGCAAAGGUACAUAAUGAUUUUACAUAUUAUGAAGCCCCCAGAUUGUGGGGUUAUGACAGAUAUUCCCAUGUGGUCGCUCCGGAAGGGAUCACCGAAAAUCUCAUAGAAAAAACCCCGGUAUGUUAUUCGCUGAGUGGAGCGCUCACAUGCGCUUCGUUCCAAAUUGUGGCUGACUGCGUGGUGAUGGUGGUGUACAUGUGCAGGUUGGCUAUCGCCGUGUUAGUGAUUGAUGAGUAAUUCAGAGACUUAAGCUGUUGUAUGCGAAGAUUGUACCGAUAAGUGGAUAGUAGAUAUGUUGUGUAUUAAACCAGUUGUUACAACACGUUUUAAAAAAUGUACCAAUCGGCGGAUUCAGAUCCCGUGAUAUUCCCAGGAUACUAAACCAGGCAGCGGAUACAGAGCAAUUUCCACGAUGCACGUUACUUAGAUUAAGAGGUAGAGCAAGGGAAAAAGGCAAGUCCCUGCCAUAAAUACAAGCGAUGUCCUGUCCAUGAUAGUUCGCUCCAGAACCAGUACCGUGAUUUCUCCACGCUACGAUACGCCCAAGUCCUGCGCGAGCUAUCAAUACUUUCCACAAGCAGAAUUUUGGUGCGCUCAUAACAAAAACUCAGCUGACUCCCAUGCCCCUCGCCGGAACAUCACACCACACAGCUACCACCAACCCGCAAUGGGCAUGGCGCGGUAGUAGUGCUUAUGGACCGCCUGAGCAAAAUGACGCACUUUGCGUCCCACAAAUACAUCCAUCGAUCUGGGUGUGGGUGUGUGUUACACGGUCGUGGGGUGCGCUCCCCGUACACACCUGCAAACCGCCCAAUACGAGCCGAGGGCUGAAGGGCUGCCAGAUCGCCUAGAAGCACCAUCCUACCUCGCACUUUAGACAAAGCAAGUGGUAAAGCACACUAACGACCAAAGGGGACGAUAGAGUUGCGGUGGGAACAUAUACGUUACAGCAUCCUUGCCAGACGUUCAGGUUCCCACUUCAUAGUGUCCUUCAUGUGCUCGAAACGUGGGGGAAAUCCAACCCAGAUCUGAUUUCUGAUUCGUACACCGGCCAGUCCAGCAAAAUGUGCUUCUGAUCUUCAAUAUGGCUAUCAGUGCCGCAGCAGGGCCUACUCGCUCCUCCUAGUUAUAUAACGCCGUCCCUUGCGCACUCUGUUAGCCGCCAAUGCCCAACAGCAAAGCCUAAACCGCGUAAGCAUGCGAUUCGCUGAACGCGGGAUGAAUGUUGUGAUAUGCGGGAGUACCUCCUUCCUGCCCGCUUGCUCAGCCGCUAGACUCAUCCAAUGCCUAUACUUCGCCACCUGGAUUCCUGGUUGCUUGCCGUCUGAUGGGUACAGGUCUGGCUGGGCAUCUAGACGCGUGUGCAUCCAACCGCUCAUCAACCGAUCCUUGAACUCCGAUACCAAACCUCCUCUGUGCACCCCCGAGGUCGGGCUACUGCCGGCUGUUGGAGAACUUGGCGGUGGAGGACCCGCGCGCCUUCCUGUUCCACUACUACAACUUCUACUUUGCACAUAUGGCGGGUGGCAGAGUGAUCAGGGCUAAGGUGCGUGCUGGUGUUGCGCCGGGUUGUGUGUGGGGGAGGUGUGGGGGGUGUAUGUGGGGGGUGGGGAAAUGGGUGGGGACAGGGAGGUUGAGGAGGGGGCGGGUGGUGGCCGGCGGUCAAGGGUGAGUCUUCCGAGUGAGUGCUGUGCGGGCAUGCACGGAUUGCUGAUGUGGCGGGGCUCGAAUCGUACAUAUGAUGUUCACUUUAUUCGACCUCCACCGCGUGCUUUUAUUUGCGUAUUUCAUCCGUAAGGAUAUCCCCAAGGAUACGAACAAACGCAUAGACAUGCGGCCAUUCUUCUCCCAUAUUGCACCCGUAUUUACCGGCUCUCCCUCCGCUGAUUUGGUUGCUCCUUGCACCCAAUGAUUCUCCCCUCCUGCGCCAAUUGGGACGUCUGGCUUCAAGUGACAGCCAUGUUGCUGGACAGCCAUAAUCUGGAGUUUUACCGUUGGCCAGCUGGCGAUGUGAGCGAGCUGUGAAUGGAGCGAGUCUGCAAGUCGCCACCGGGUGAACGGAGGGAAUGGGAGGGAGGGAGAGGGGGAAGGGGGGUAAAUGCUUCAUGAGGAUUGGGGGAGUUUGGUGAGAGCUCGAGGGUGCUGUGCGCGGUGUGUGACGCUGCAUUCUGGGGGCGAGGUGAGAGGGGAAUUCAUCAGUACGGAACCGGAGGCCUUCGCAAAAUGUCGGAAUACUUCAAAAGCAUUACGACGCAUUUUAUACGUAUCAUUUGUAAAAGAUGGGGGCCCUUGUGAAGCAGCUGCCCGCGUUUCUAAAGCACGUAUGGUGUUGGAUUGUAUGGUGCCCAAGUACGUUUGCGAGGAAGAUAAUGUGGCCAGGCUGGAGAGGAAAGUGCAGUGGCAUAUUGGAAUGUGAGAUUAGCGUAAGCGAGUUACAGGGCGUUUUAUUGCACGGGCGAAUUUACGUGCAAAUCUUUCACCGUAGCAUCAGUCCUCAGUUCAUUUCUUGGAACGAACAUCAGCAUAGGUGCAAGCCCUCUCGCUUGGGGGGAUAUGCAAACAAACAUCCUGAUAGGGGUAAACUCGCAUGCUACCGAGCAUUCAACCGAGCACAUGCAUGCUUAGUUGAAUGGUGAGAUGCGACCCCCCCUUCAUUUCGUGCUCGGCAAGCCUGCCACCGCGUACCGGAUAUGUUGGCGAUGUUACAGAACGCUGCACCUUGGUUUCUGUGCGCAAUGCAUACGUUGCUCGACCCCGCCGACCAAAACUACACGUGCCCAACUGAAGACACACCGGUGGUUGUGCAGCAGCUCUUGAGGCUUUGUUGGCUGAAAUCCAUCCUGAGACGCUGCACCUCGGUACCUGUGCGCAAUGCGUACGCUGCUCGCCCGCGCCGACCAAAACUACGUGUNNNNNNNNNNNNNNNNNNNNNNNNNNNNNNNNNNNNNNNNNNNNNNNNNNCCUCAGCGGCAUCCAUUUUACUUGCAAGGUUCUGAACGACUUUCGCGAUUCUUCUCUUUACCUAAUUCUGCGUUGUUGAUAUUUAUUUCGUAAGAGUGUAACUUGAGUUUAGUGGGAACAAUGUGCAUUAUGCGCUGCGCUACCGAAAGCAGGCGCCUUAUGGCUGAUUCUUCGCCGACCGCUUCAUCUUCCGCGGCAGUUUCACGAGCCCAGAGUUGCAAGCUACGACCGUGCUUUUAGUUACUGCAAAGCAUCCACGCAAUAGUCCAGCCUGCAUGCCGCGUGCGGCUGUGGCCAACAUGCCCACCUGCGCAACGCGCUGGCGCACCUCGGCCUUUUCGCCAAAAAAAUAUAUACACUUGUACACGCACAAUUUGUGAAUCGCACGCGCGCACCCGCGCGGUGAAAUUCGCUCCUGGCUUUUGGGGCGUGAUGUACGGACCUUUUAUUCGCGAAGUACGACCGGACACAUUUCUGCGAGGGGCUGCUUAAAUAUUUUGUCUCUGCUACGAUUAGCUACAUAACUGGCCCGUUUGCUGCGCGCACGAUGGAUGGAGAAGGGCGACGGCCGAGGGUGCUGCUGGGAAGCACAGGUGUAUACUUAAUAACCAUCGAAAUGAACAUAUCGCUAACCAAAGCGCUUCGGCUAGCAAGUCAACAUUAAAAUUCCUUCGGUUCUGGUUCCUAUCGGAAAUACGCCUUGCAGGCAGUGUAGCCAGUAUCAAGGUCGCUGCUCUAUGCCGUUUGCUACUCGAUUUCGCUGAUGUUAAGCUUAUUGUAACAACCUCGGCAAGACAUUUUAUCAACGAGGCCGACCUGCCUCCGGAAGUCAAGCCAGUUUUCGGGGUGCGUUGGACAAAAAAUAUAGGACAAUUGAGUGGCCCAAGACUUACGUGGGCAAUAAAGGCGCAGACUUAACAUACAGCGUUCUUCAAGGAAAAAUCCAAACGUCCAAUUUCAUGUCCGCUUUGUCGUGCACGACCUUACCAGGGCGGCGUCCACAAGGUACGCCCAUGCUUUCCUACCAAUGCCCGCCCACCCACCAACCAGGCAACCAGUUCCCUUCGGGCCAACUAGUACGUCUGACCCUGUCGUCCCCCGGCUCCCUUCAAAUCCCCAUCGCCGUCCCCACCCCUCCCAAUCUCAACCCCACCCCGCUGCCUCCUCAUGUAACCAAAUCCGCCCAUACCUAACCCCCACUCUCUUCUCAACACACGUACAAACGCGGCUCAGUCCUUAGAAACACCCACAUGAGUCCGAAGUUCCUCCCGUGUGCAAAGAAUUCCACUUGGGUCGCUCUGAAACGUAUCACGUGCAGGACGAGGCAGAGUGGCGGCAAUGGCGCGCUGUGGGCGACCCCGUCCUUCACAUUGAGCUGCGUCGGUGGGCAGAUAUUCUGUUGGUAGCACCGCUGUCAGCUAACACUCUGGCCAAGAUGGCCAACGGGAUGGCAGACAACCUGCUCACAUGCGUCGUACGAGCCUGGGAUUUCACCAAGCCGCUCAUGGUAAGGUGGCUAGGAGAAGGCGCAGGAGGGGGGGAGGUGGUGAGGGGGGUUCCGCCUAAGCGCGAUGACACUUAAGGAGUGGGAAAACGCGGGGCCAGAAGGAGGACGACGGGCUUUGUGCCAGGGGCAUAUGUUUGCGGGAAGACGCAAGCCCUUCAGCUCUCCACACCGGCAUGCCAAGUCGAUGAUGGCAGUGCGUGCAGGGCAUUGAGAUGCCUGGGAUGUAUGGGCACGUGGGAAGAGAGAUGUGGGGUAAGGCAGCAGCGUGAGGAUCUAGCUGGGAAGAGGUCGGUCAUGUUAAGAGGCGAAAGAGAGGUAUCGUAGUGAUUGUUUAUGGUAAUCACCGCCCGCGGACCACCUCCUCAGCGACCCCAGCCCCGAUUCGUAGUUACACGGGUGGAAAUCUCGGUGCAUGUCAGUCCCAUAAGCCCUAAUCCCGUCUCACAGGUUCCGGUCUCCUCUCGCCACUAUACCACUGGAACACCAAAGCCCUCAAGACGAUCCAAACAACCAAAACGCUCCAACGGCCAACAACCAACUCCAAACCUCCACAGGUGGCUCCCGCCAUGAACACGGCCAUGUGGGUCUCGCCCUUCACCUCCCGCCACUUGGACACGUUGACCCAACUUGGCAGUUGCAAUUGCGGCAAUAGCAACAGCAGCAGUAGCAGCUUUGUCAUCGUUGCGCCGGUCAGUAAGCGACUUGCAUGCGGCGAUGAGGGCACAGGCGCUAUGGCGGCGCCAGAGGAUAUCGCGGCGAGGUGCCGUCAAGUGCUGCUUGGAGCUGACGGGGGAGCUGGCUGAGGAAGAGUCACAUCCCUGGGGCUGCAGCUCCAGGGAUUGCCUCAGCUGCCACCGUCGGGGCUGGUGCCAGUGCUAUAAUGAGCAGUAACAGCAUGAAUGGCAUCAUCAUCACAUCAAGAUUAGCAAGAACAUCAAUGGGCAGGCAGAGUAGUGGCAGUUGUAUAGUUUCUUGGCGGUGGAGGGUGGACCGACGGCUAUAGCAACACAAAUAGCAAUAGCAGCAGCAGGGGUAUGGGUGGAUGCGUGAGGGGCAACCGCAAUAGUGUUUAUGUGUGAUAGGAAGGCUCCAACGGGAAAAGCGCAGGAAUUGUUUUUGGCAGUGACAGUGACGGCGGCGGGGACGGCAAAACGCUGAUGGAGCAGAUUACGGAGGCUUGCAGACUUCAAUGAACUAUUUUAGCGUCUUUGGUUUGUGCGUCGUAUGUGUGCUCUUAGCUAUGUUGCUUCCCGUUGAGACAUUUGCAGUUGGCCUCGACCCUUUGUGCACGUGCUGGGCACAACCGGCGAUCAAGGGCCACACGUGCUACGUGAGUAGUCGGUUUAAUUACAGCCAUGGCGGAGAGUAAUACGCGUGCGGCAACUUGACCAACCAGAUUGACACCGUAUAUCCAAUCAUUCUUCCUUGUUGAAGGUCUCCAACAGCAACAAUGGCCCUUGCAUGCUCGGAUAGUCCUACAAGUAAGCAAACCAACGGUACAACUCCCGUCCCCUGCUGAACAGCGGCAGAUUACCAAGUAUUCAACCCCCGGGUUACUUUGCUCUCGUCUUUCCCCCACGCAACUUACAGCCAUGGCAUCCCGCUCCAAACGCAACCAGCCGACCUCCCAACCACCUUUCUUAAUCCCGCCCUUCCAGCGAAACUCCAACUCAUGAGAUUCUUCCCAUCCCUCCCCGCUUUCCUGGCCCUCCUCUCUCCACCCUCGCCACUAGGCCAACUCAUCCCCGCUGCUCAGUGCUUCCCAAUCCUCCACCGCGACUGGGAUCCCCCGCUUCCCGCCCGCCGGCCCGAACCUCUUCCUCCCACCCAGCGCAACGUUCCGCCCCGAUACGCUCCAGCGCCGCCACUGCAUCCGCGUCCGAAGCCGCGUCCCACAACGCAUCUGCCAUGGCGCCGUGUGCAUCGGGGUGUUCACACCGCAAGAGACGUUCUGCCCAAGACAGCCCCUCAGGUCCACCUGUCUCACCGAUCCGGGGGUCAGUAAGGUCCUGGCGAGUGAGGAUGAGCGGGUGCUCGCGGCUCUGAGCGCCAUACACGGCCUCCGGCAACGGGCGAUAGCUGCAAACGGGAGCGGGACGGGGACCGAACAAUGGAAGCACGCGAGGACGACCCUUACGAAUACUGCAUGACAUGUUAGCUGCAUCUCGCUGCGAACAGCACGCGGAAAGCAAAAGACGAUGGUAGCGAUGAUGGUAGCGAUGAUAACGGAUAACGAAUCUCAAGGGACGUUUUACAGAGACCCGCGAGACUGCAGAAUGAGCACAACGCCCCAAAAGCACAUCGAGUACAUAAACCUUCGAAGUCACCCCUACUACCCCACCCUUCGAAACAGGGCCUGAAGACAAAACCAACGUACCGGGUUAGGAAAUCGAAGUGCCAGGGGAAGAAGUACCAAGCCUUGCGACGACCGCGCUCAUCGUCACCAAAAUGCUCCUUCAUGUAGGACACCAGAAGCCGAUACACACCCACGCGCUCCGAAGUCGUCAAUAGCAGUUCACGGCCCUAAGAUAACACAGCACCAACACAAAACACGGCAUUACGGUUAACAGAGAGUCAGCAAAGGAAUAUGGACAUUGAUUAUCUAAGGACAUAGCACAGCUCCUAGCCUCGCUCCGCACCUCUUUGAAUUCCAGGAACAGCCAAGGCUUAAUGAGCGCUCCCCGCCCCGCCAUGACCGCCGCACAUCCCGACUCCUCAAGACGUGCGCGAGCCUCGUAGUGGGUCAGAAUGUCGCCAUUCCCGAUGAUGGGCACCGAAGAAGAUCGAGCCAGCUCUCCUACACGGCCCCAGUCUGCGGCCUUCUUGUACCUUCGGCAUGUACACGGAGGAGAUCGCAAUUGCAAAGCCGGCAGCAUAUAUCAGGAUAAUGACAAAUUGACAACUAGAGAGAUGACAGUUGAGAUGGUGUACGGUUACGGGCAAAAUGUACGCAGUCUUCAGGAAAAGUCGAUGUGCUGAAGAAAAGGGGCGAUAAAUAAAAAGGACAAGCGGACUGUAUGUGAUGUGUGUGUAUAUGUCUCUUAAGGAAUGAUGGUGAGCGGAAACUAUAAGUCAUUUGUACGACCGUCCAUAACAGGCUAAAACAGCAAAAGGGAACAAAGGCUACACAUCAGGCCUAACGAGAACCCUCAGCGCAAUAUCUUCUCGAUGUACACCCCCUAGAAGGAAGACUCGGUUAUGGACAUCAGCUUUGGAAUUGUCGGCUAAAGAUGUGUAGCCGAAGGGGAAUCCAAAAAGCAUCAUCAGCUGUCCUCGUUCGAGUAUCAGCGAGACUAACCCACAAACAAGAACACAUAAAUCACGGAGAAAGUCUUCGUACACGCCUGACUCCUUUCCAAAUACGCACACGCCUCGCCGUCACGUGGCCACGACAAUUCAUUUGAAAAGACACACACACGCAUGUACAUAUAUACCCCCCCGCAUGCGCCACUGCAGCCGUCAGAAGGUGGAAGUGUCGGUCACCGUCCCCCACAGCGGUUCGAAACAGCCGCAGGGACUGCCGAAGGGGAAUCCCAACGGUUUCAUCAUCCGGCCGAAAUGGGCUGUGACAAACGGAACCUAAAAGGCCCUCGGGCCCCAAAUCGGACAAAGAGCUGCGUGUCACUCUUGCCGUCUUGUCCUCAGGACACGUCGGCCAUUGCCACAGGGCACGACACAGCACAUCAACAAACCUACACAUUCGCCAAUCAAAAUGUGCAACAAGCCAUGAGUUGACGUUGCUUUCUUCUACCUGGCACCACAGUCUUUACAUACAGACUUGAAUCCAAAGAGAAUGAUGUUUUCCGUCAUUACCGCCACCCACAACCACACGCACCUCUGUUCCGCUGUCCGGCCGUGCACUGUCACCGCCGCAGCCCCAGCUCGUUCCAGGAAACGCACCACCGAGUCCACGUUGAUCUUCUUGUCGUUCUCUCCCAGGCGAACCUGCGUCGCCAGCAAAUUGCGGGAAGGCAUGCCCACCUUAACAAACUAUCGACGGAGGAUAGGCGGAGUGAAUGAAGACGGGAAAAAAGAGCAAAACAAGGCAACGAUGCAGAGGUCAACGAUCCUGGGCGUUGGGGCAAUGAUAAGAACCAAGAACCCAGCAGCAACUUCUCCAUUACGACAUUCCUCAAGCUAUACCACCUUCCAUAUCUCCCUCCCUACACAUAAUUGCCCGCGCCACGCACGGAGCUGUGCUUGAUCGUGGUGUUGUGGCGGACAGGGGCAUGCGCUAACAUAGCUACAUACAAGGACCGAGGACUAGGACAGCAGGGGAGGUUGUAUGAGCAUAAUUCCAGUAGGAUUGCCCAGUCAGCACACAGGGGAGCCAGGGGACCACAAAUCAUCGCAAAUGUGCCAAUAAGGACAUCUAGCAAGCACAAGGUUUCUCCCAAAAACUUCCUCCUCUACACGUUGCCCCGGUAGUAAAUGCGCUCUCACCUUGACAGUCACAGGCAGCUCCGACUCCGCGGCGAUGCCGGCCACCAUCUUGGCGAGUGCACGCGGCUUUCGGAGCAUGGCGGAGCCCAUCCCACGGCGCGUCGCCUCUGAUGCCGGGAGUAGCGUACAGGGGGAAUUAUGGCACAACGAACCUUAGUACCGGGACAUUCAGCUGUUCAACGUCGCAGAUCGGGCUAUCUAGUUUCCCCCGCGGCGCCUCUUCAUCGCUACAAGAAAUCCCAAUUCCCAAUUCCUUGCACAUUUGGCAACCGCAUUUGAGCCGAUGACGAGGAGUGAUGUGGAGCACGGAGCCAUUCUACCUAACCUGAUCUGGGUGCCACACAUUCCAACCCAACCAAAAGCAGACACCAGCUCAGCCGCCCAUGUUCUCACCCAAACAGACAACCCCAGCACCCACCCACACAGCCAACAUCCAUGAAAUAGCCAAAUUCCACACUUGUUACCCCGCUCAGCUAUCCUCAGCGAAUCACCGUCGCUCACAAACACAAACAAGCAACUCACCGUGGAUCGGGCAGCCGCAAUUGAUGUCCAGGAACUGCGCCCCUGCCUGAGGGCCGCCGAAUGAAACAUGAACGCGUCGCGAGAAAGAAGGAAACAGGCAAAGUCAUAAGAAGGCUUACUUGGUCACAAGCACAGGGGAACCCCAGAUAAGAUGCGUGCGGAAGCUGAACCAGGAGAAAGUAAUGCGGGUGAAGAGGGUGGCCAAGGAUUGCGUUGAUUUGGAGGUUUGCUGAUGAGGGGGGUUAGUGAACCGCAGUGUAGUCCGCCGUUACCAUCCAGACCAUGCCGCCGUUGCUCACCUCCUUGGCGAGCUUUGAGGCAGCGAUGCCAUCCGCGAUCGUCUUGCACGCGACUUGGAAGCCGAACAUAGACUCUCCAGGCGCCUUAUAAAGGCGAGCGCGCUCGACUCUGUCGCCUCAACCCAUGCGAGGAAGCUACAGGGCCAGGGUUAGCAAAAAGACGAUUAUGUUGCGUCGAUGUAAGACUAUGCAAGGUAGCAUACCUUUCAGUAAAGGUUUGCUGAAAGACAUCUCCGACAUCGUCACCUCACACCCAAAGUGUAAGCAAAGCCGCCGAAAUGGUACAUUCCCGCCCUAUGUAAACGCGUCGGCGCCGUCAGAAGCGAAUUGACCGCGAAUAAAUGCUCUGCUCGGUAUACCUUUGUAAGAGGAGCCAGCAGGAGCUUUCCACGAAGCUGUUGCGCAAAAGCCGCAUUUCGUGCCUUGACCCACUCAGGGGCCUCAUAGUCGAAAUCCGCUUGGCCGGAAGGCGAUGGCUCUGUAACAUUCACAUCCACUAAGGCAGUCUGGGAACCUUCACUACCUGCUUGUCGGCAGAAGCUCCUGCAACGCCGCACAGCUGCCCUUGUACAUGGCGGCUGCGGACAUAAGACAGACCCUGCCGUGCACCGAUAUGUAGCCAACAUUAUAUCAUAAAUGUCGACCUGCAUAAAGUACUCGCCAAGUACUGUGCAUCCCCAAUCGGGGCCUUUGGAUUUGGUCGUUUGUACGGUGAUCCAAACUUCUUUCCGACAGAACAAAGAUUCGGCUCCAGAUACACAGAGCAGCAAAAACCAAAAUAUAUAUAUUGUACUGAAACUACUUAUAGGCACAUACAGGUACAUAUGUCCAUCCCUUUCCGUUGUUCGAAUACGGCACAUCAGAGUGCCGUAUUCGUUUGGUAUGAACCAUGGUUCAAAAGAUGGGGGCCCUUGUGAAGCAGCUGCCCGCGUUUCCAAAGCACGUAUGGUGAUGUGGAAGGUGCGGAAGUACGUCGGUGAAAUAUAAUGUGGUAGGACUGGAGAGAAUAGUGUAGCAGUAUAAUGUAUUGUGAGUGUAGCUGAAGCUUUCAUCGUGGGCGCGUCUCGUUGCAAGCUANNNNNNNNNNNNNNNNNNNNNNNNNNNNNNNNNNNNNNNNNNNNNNNNNNNNNNNNNNNNNNNNNNNNNNNNNNNNNNNNNNNNNNNNNNNNNNNNNNNNNNNNNNNNNNNNNNNNNNNNNNNNNNNNNNNNNNNNNNNNNNNNNNNNNNNNNNNNNNNNNNNNNNNNNNGUUCUUAAACAGAAUUUGAGCUUGCUGCUGGCUCAAGUCCUUCCGUAGUUGCUGCAACACGGCUAACGCAGGCACGGCCGAAUGCGCUGCGAAAAGCUGUUCCAAGCCCUCAGCGGCAUCCAUUUUACUUGCAAGGUUCUGAACGACUUUCGCGAUUCUUCUCUUUACCUAAUUCUGCGUUGUUAUUAUUUAUUUCGUAAGAGUGUAACUUGAGUUUAGUGGGAACAAUGUGCAUUAUGCGCUGCGCUACCGAAAGCAGGCGCCUUAUGGCUGAUUCUUCGCCGACCGCUUCAUCUUCCGCGGCAGUUUCACGAGCCCAGUGUUGCAAGCUACGACGUAGGCUUUCGGUGCUUUCAGAUACUGCAAAGCAGCCACGCAAUAGUCCAGCCUGCAUGCCGGGUGCGACUAUGGCCAACAAGACCACCUGCGCAAUGCGCUGGCGCACCUUCAAGAAAUUUAUAUACACUUGUACAGGCGCAUUUUGUGAAUCGCACGCGCGCAUCUGCGCGGCAAAAUUCGCUCCUGGCUUUUUUGGGACGAUGUACGAACACUUUAUUGGCGAAGUACGACCGGACACAUUUGUGCGAGGGGCUGCUUAACCAGAGGUCGGCAAACCCUGAAUAACUGUCACGGGUACUGGUGCCAGGGUCGAAUAACUGUAUGGAAAUUUUUUUUGGUAAAAGCCGAGGAAAGAGUGUCUGCGGGCCGAUGUACCAAACUUACUACGUUACACCAUCGCUGUUAAAGCCACAGUUGUCUUGUUGCGCCCAAUUACUGCGCAAACCUGCCUUUGGGGGGGGGAUUCCUGCACCCUGCCGUACGGCUGCCGUACCAGCGAUGAUGAUUUUCUGCAACGGGUACAACGGAAGGACCCGCUGUACCAGCGGCGUUUGCCGACCCCUGGUUCAAACCUGCGACCCAAAAGGAUUUUCCCGUCGAGCCGUACAAAACUAACGCGCUCCAUCCCUUCCAGCUGGCUAUCGCCCUCGUGCGUUUGGAUCCUAACCACUUCUCACGGGCCGGACCUAUCUAGGCAGGGUCUCCCGGUCGGAACUACAGGUGCAGGGCAAGGAGCAACUCUGGUUGCCUGCUUCCGUCCGGGACGCGGUACGGCGCGCGUCUUGGUGCGUCUUGGGCUUUACCUGGACUGUAGAUAAGAGAAACGGUCCGUAGGACGGUCAAAGGUAAUGAGUGCAAGGCUAUUAGCUUAUGUCUGGUGGAACAUAACCUUCUGUUGUGGAAAAGUGUCAGUUCCAGUUACGUCAAGUCAGCCAUCUUACGAACUGGUUUUGAAAGAAGUCGUACGAUCUGAACUGAUCUGAACGACUUGUCCGUUAAUGUCUCCCUAAAGCUCCUGCUCAGAGCUGUGUUGGUUAUCCACCUACUUAAGUGUAAGAAAUCGUGCUCAGGUUGCUUUCUCUGAACGUGUAUUACGCAACGGCACCGGGAUUCAUACAAAACGUUCCAGCUUCCACGGUAAACCUUUCAGACCAUAAGAAUCUUCACGGGUUCCACCUCCCUCACUCGCGCUCUCGUCACACCGACCGAACGAUUUAUUUCGCAAUAAAUGAGACAUGGACUAUCCGGUGUUUUGCCUACUACAACAAACACCAUCCCAGGUUACGAGUUCCGCACCUUUGUGCGGGGGUGUCCAUAAAAGCCGUUGUUGUUACAUUCGGUUCAAAGCCCCAGAGCCAUAUAGUUGUGCCCGGCCGCAGCCGCAGCCGCAUCUAGCCCGGCCCUUACGAUACGCACACAGAGCCUACACGUACAAUCGCACGCUCAUCUCUUCAUACCUUUUCGGCAUUGGUACACUUUACUAAUACCUUUCUCGGCCUCGGCGUACACUUUGCACCACAAACCGUGUGCAUGCAGUGGUAUAGCUUGCAAAUAUACAAACAUAUCCUACCAGGCAGUACUGUUAGCAAACAAAGUCUUGCGAUACAUCAGUUCCCAUAUCUUGUACAGCUAAAUGCCCUUGUAUUAGCACAAUGCCUCCCCCUUCCGUCCAUCCGGCCCAGAACACGUUUUGGGACAUUUUCUUGUCGCACGUGACAUCGCCACACAACACCAUGACAAAAAGUUGCCGCGCACCGCUUUUGCCGCUGUAAUCUUUACAGCAACUGCCUAACCAUUACAUGUUCACAAGUUAUUAAAAAAGGUUUUAGUAACCACUACCCAGCCAACCAGCAGGGCUUCCCAGCAUCACUUCUGGCUGACAGCAUAACAGCAUACCUAGUCCGCCCUACUCUCCCUACAUAUCCUCCCAUCCCACAGACACAGCACCAGCAGCAAAUCAGCAACAAUAGCAGUAACAGCAGGCUGCAGUAGCGGUAGUAGCAGCGGCGGCUCACCUCUCGGAACACCUCACGAAGUGAUCUGGAAUGGCGGGAUCGGGGAGCUUACCCUAAAACCCGACAAAGCCCUCACGGCUUGAUCAGCGAGCGGUGCAUGUGUACAUGCACCCAGCGCCCAUCCCCCUUCUUCUCCCACACACGGGUCUCCUCCGCCUGCACCGUCACGGGCGCGCCGCCCACCAGCUUCUGGGUCAGACGGAUGUACGACACCACCGCGCACGUGUCGCCGAUAACGCGUACCUGCGGGAAGGGUGAUGUUCAAUGUGCGGUGUUUCAAAAGGUCUUGGACAGCUGUGACUGUGAUAGGGUUAGUUCGUCGAAGGGCAGUAAGGUCAAACUGAUUGCGGGUAUGCUACACCAAGUAGACGGACAGGAAGGCAAAAUGCUAGAUAGCGAUUAAGCCGGAAUAAGGAGAUCACAAGGCGAUUUGCGGCGGCGGUGCUGAUGAUCCUUUGAUGUCAAACUGAUCUGCCAGAGUUCCAUAAAUUACUGUAUGUAUGUAUGUAUGCCGCGGCCUCAUGGCAUCCAUGUGCACGACAUGAUUGGUGGAAAACCGUUGCAGGGCGACCUAUGUUACAAACCGAUGCCACAUAUCGUGCGUGCAUAUAUGUAUGUAACAUCUCAUAACGAAACGGGCAUGCAGGCAUGCAGGGCGCGAAGGUCGCACUUACGUGUGGGGAGGCCAUGGUGUUGAGCACGUGGGGCUUGGGCACGUCUGUGGCGGGCGCGGCGGCGGGACUUGGCAUUGUGAAGUAAUACUUGUGGAAGUCCAGACCCUCCACCAGGUGCCCCACAGCCUCGGGCUCGAAGCAGGUGAGGCUGGGGUCGCAGAGGGCCUGUGUGCGGGUGGCGUAGUAACAAGCGGCGAUGAAGCGGCGAUGAGGGGGAGGCGGAGGGUGGAAACACAAAUACGGGUGCUUCCAUGCAAGGAACGGAUCCUCGCGGAGAUGAGCAGUAACGAUUGGAGGACGGGUGGAAGGAAGGAAUAACUCUAGGGAUGGCGGAUGGCUGUUAAUAAAUGAUUUGGGAGGCGGAGGGAGGUCGAGCGACGGGGGAGAAAGGACAUAAGAAUGUACCAAGGGCAUUCAUGGUUAGUUAUGUUGUGUCUGGAGACACGUAACCAUGGCAUAGGAGGAGGAGCGGUUUAGACGAGAGUGCGGGUGGAACAGUAUGAAAGAGUGAGGAUUACGGCAAUAAGCGACGAUGUGUAAUGUUUUGAAGGGAGGCACGGCUGUCAGGCAGGCAGGCAGGAAGCACGGUGCUGGUGUUCCUGCCAAGGGACUUAGGAUGGCGGGCCACGCAGGCAAAGGGCUCUGGGCCGGUGGAACAGUCGGCUCGGAAAUGCGCAGGACGUUGGGGACUCGCGGCCUUGGGGGUUAGCAGGCGGGGACGCUCUUUACCCCAAGAAGGAUUCAUGGGAGGCACGAACCAGCUUUGGUAAGCGUACAAGCCAUCUCUUUGAGAGCUAUUUCGAAGUAGAAAAAUUCCCACCCAUUCUCCUUUUAGCAGCUCAUAUAGCCUAGAUCCGCAGGUUUUUAAGCUGCCAGGCCAGGCCAGGGCUUGCAAACCCAAAGCACAACGGCCGAUCAUCCCGUCCGCACCUCAUAUGUCGCAUAGUCCCCAGCACCAAUUGCUGAGAGUAAUUUCUGGUUCAACUCCAGGACCUCUUGUGCGGCCAUCCUAUCAGUGCUGCGUUGUGCCCACCUUGAAGGUAAAGAUGCAGUUCGAACCCGGACCGGGUUGCGUGAAAGGGUGAUUGACUUUGAAUUAACUACGAUUCUGUUAAUCUGCAUUAUACGCAAUAGAGUAACUGAUUCCCCAAUACGUUGGCCGGAAGGUUGUGAAUGCACGACAUUAGGUGUAUGGAGCACGGUGCACGACGUAAGUUCAAUUUAGUUAAGCGAUCCUUCAAACGGAUACAGCAGCUGCUAAUUAUUUGUUACAGGGUUACGGAACAGCGUUAGGGCGUCGUCCCCUUAGUUGAGGUCUUCUAUGAAGAGCACACAAUCCCUGCUUUCCAAGCUGCAGGCGCCCGUGAAGGGCUGCCUGCAGCAGGGAUUAAUGGAAGGUUUGCGUUCCUUUUCUGCUCGCGCUCUGGGCUCACAGACUGAAGUAGGCUUAAGCAUCCUUGCAGAGGCUGCGAACUUGCCGAGCACGAGCAACACAGCUGGUGUUCAACUGCAGCAAACCCGUGGAAUGGGCUACGCUUACGCGCGAAAGACCGCGGACAAGGACUAUGUACACACGGCGCACACGCUGGCUUUCGGACAAACGCAGCUUACAGACUACAUCAUUAAGACUGUGCCAAAGUUUGUAAAAAUGGCUGUCGUUGGCCCAGGACAGAGCACCUUGCUGUACCAAGAGCCAACCAUAUACACGACGCCCGACAGCCUGCUGCCUCUCAUGACUUUUCUCCGCGACCAUGUCCAAACCCAGUUUAAGUGUCUAAUCGACAUUACCGCUGUCGACUUUCCGGAGCGCGCUGCGCGCUUUGAGGUCGUGUACCACCUACUCAGCCCACGGUGGAACAAUCGCAUCCGCGUCAAGGUGUGCGUGGACGAAGUCACACCGGUACCAUCCAUCUGGAAGAUCUUCAAUACGGCAAACUGGUUUGAGCGGGAGACUUGGGACAUGUUUGGCGUUUUCUUCUCGGGCCAUCCCGACCUCCGCCGUAUCCUGUCUGACUACGGCUUCACCGGCCACCCGCUGCGCAAGGACUUCCCCCUCAGUGGCUACACUGAGGUGCGGUACGACUACGGGAAGAAGCGCGUAGUUUCGGAGCCGCUGGAGCUGACACAGGAGUUCAGGUUGGUCCUGGGAUUUCGGAAGCCGCUGUGACACCCUGUGACUAGGGUAACUGAAAAAAGGAAGAUUGAUUGGCGCUUCAAGCUGCCCGGUGGCCUAGUAGACCGUAUCGAAGAGUUCCGCGGGCUGGCUCGCAUUGUGUGCGUCCUUGUGCUGUUGCCCUUGUGCACGAGCCUCCGGGGUGAUCCACAACAUGUAAGUGAAGCUGGAUCCUAACCCAGAUCAGGCCAUCAGAGGAUUAGCUGCAUUCGAUGGCGAUAGCACUCUUCGCAUGCCAUGCCCAUUUCCCACCCGUCUUCUUCUCUCCCACUCCUUCGCUCUCUCGCAGGUAUUUUGACUUCAACAGCCCGUGGGAAACUCUGAACCGUUGAGGUUGUAUCAUGCAUUCCCUGAACAACCCGCGCCUGUCUGUUCAGAGCCGCGUGGGUGGCCUGCCCCUUCCGUCCCUGGGAGGCUCACCAGCAACAGUAACAGUAACAGCAGCUGCAGCUCCUGCUCAUUCAGCCCUAAUGGUUCUAAUGCUGCAUCAAGGAUGUGUGGAAGGGUUAAGCUGGAAAGUGAUGUGGGCUUUGGCACGUGCUAGCAGCAGCAGCAGCGGCGGCGGGGCUGCGCCCUGUGUUUCUGAGGGUAGCGUGUCGGUACAGAGGGAAGCCCCCGACAAGUGCAUGGGGGGACGCUUCCCUGCAUUCUUAUCAUGCCAGAAAGGUGUACGGUGGGAAGAAAAAUACGUGAGGGCAGAAAUUCCAUUCAGAUCAGGACGCGGUCCGGAAUGCUGUCCUUUACUUUGUGUACGGAUACUUGCGUGGUUAGGACACUCCCCAGCUGGCAACGAUGGAGGCUGUACCACCGAGGGAGUUGACCAGGGGACACAGGUCGUGCGGCGGUAUUCCGCGGGCACUAAUGGAUUAUCUCUGGUGAUGAAGUAGGCGGCCGUGGCGGCAGCGGCAACAGUCCUGCAGCAGCAGCGACGUCAGUUUCUCGAGGCGACCGCUGCAGCGGGAGGUCCAGGUCAUCACUACCGUUUGUGCGAACGGGAUUGCUUGCUUGUUGGCGACGUCGUGGCACCUGUUGAUGCUGCCUCGUCCGGAGGGUACGGUGGCCCGGCCUGGGACCCUAUAGCUGUUGCUGCAGGGUAACUGCCUGAAUGACGAUAUUGACUGUGUAUGUGGACGAGGGUUUCCAUGUCCAGUCUCCGAGUAGUUGUUGCGGGCGCUGCUGAACCGCAGGCGUGUCCUUGCGUUUGUAUGAAAAUAAGCACAUAUUGUAUGUGUGUGGAUCAAAGGAUAACGGUCUCAGCUUAACAAUCUAGGCCAGUCGGUGUGUGUAAGUCUUGGAGUGCUUUAAAUAUUUGAGCUGGUGUGUGUGCAUCUGUCGGCCCUAUGUCGCUGCGCAGCGGCUCGUUUUCGGGCCGCAAAGCUUGGCGGUUGCGUUUAUGGCUAGCAAGUGGAAAAUCCGAGUGCUUCGGCCGCCUGAAAUUCUCUUCCGUCUUGCCGUUGCUUCGGGGUGGGCUUGGCGGCUUUAUUUUUGUGGAGGGUUAGAUAGCUCGUCUCGCCAACACGACCGCCGUCAUAGUUUCCCUCGCGAACCUCUUUGUGUGAACAUUGGUUGUUUGUGUAAAGAGCUGAGCAAAGCAAGUUUCCGGGCAAUAAUGUUUCUCGCCUUACAACCUAAAUCCAUAUGAUGAUACCAAAGGGCGGUAACUACGUUGUGCGGUUGAGAUGUGAAGAGGUUUGUGGCCGAGGGACCCGGACAUUUGCUUCAUAUACUACGUAUGGCAUGCUACAGAGUAUUCAUUAGCGGUAGUAUUACUGGUUGGGGCAUGACCUAUACAAACAGAGAUUGUGCUGACAUAAUUUGGUUUCGGCGCGCACUGCAAGGCGCACUAACGAACCCCCAGAAAUCUACAUCGAGAACAAGUUGACAUCUUGAGGGACACAAUAUGCAGAUCAGGGUUCUUUUGCCGUUCAGUAUGAAAGGAAAUGUUACCAAGUGAUCGAUAGCACUUUAACGCUCACGUAGCGGCGACCGCCGAUUCGCAUCUGUCACAUAUCAUCACAAGAUGAAGGAGAUUGAAGUGGAAAAGAUUGUGCUUGACUGCACAGCGCAGGUGCGAGCUCUUGGAUGGACGACAAAAGACAUUUUCGCAUAUUAUAUAUUUCUGAGCGGAAUUCUGCAUGGGCACACCUAUGCUUCGCGGGUUGUAAACUCAUUUUUUUCCAGCAUGAACUCUUAGCUCGCUCGUCAACAACUACACCCGCGGGCCCCAGCGCCCACCGGCACUCGUUCUCCCUCGCGCGCCCCAGAGAGCUUUGGCCGUUUCCGAAGUCCCUCACCGCAUACGUGCACACACUUCACAACCUUUCCUCCCUUCGCCUUGGACUCGGAGUCGGCCCCGAAAUACCGCUCCAGUACUCCUCUACAUCGCGCCCAACCCUUCACCCGCGGCAGCCCCCUCAACCGUUCCUUACCAACACCAACACCAACACCAGCACCAACCUCCUACCCCAAAUGGGCCCCCUUAGCCAAUGCCGACCGACUAUGGGUUGUCCCUCACCCGCAGAGAACUGCUGCAAAGAACUGCCGCCACCUUGUUAUGUGAACCCCCCCACUGGGCUUGCAGUUGCGUACCUUUCUAUUGACAUCGCCGGCACCACAAAACCCACAUCCCGCCGACUCCCGCCCCCUGGGGGGACUUUUCACCCCCACAGCCUACAGCGGCACACUCUUGCCUGGCACGACCCCCGCGUGUACCGAUGUCCACUCCCAAACCCUCCCUGUACCCACCCCCGCAUCCAGCAUCCAAUGUGUAAUGAACCGCACAUACAUACGUACACACAUCCCUUGUUCACUCAACCUACAGCACCCUUCAGACCGCACUCCGUACUCUCGACCCCCAUCCUCGACCCCAUCCUCAACCCCGUCCACACCCCCAGCCCUCAACCUCAACCUUCAACCUCAACCCUCAACCCUCAACCCACCGGCCCCACCUACCGCCCCCUCCCGCAGCUCUACUUCGACGCCCUCUACGCCGGCGAUGCGGCCAUACGGACCUUCCAUGCGGAGGUCAACGGGGACCCCGCCGCGCUGGUGGGCCGCUGGAGCGAGGCGGGCGUGCGGACGGUGCAGUUCGUGAUGCCCAUGAACGUGCCCGCCAUGCUGAAGAAGUUCAUUGGUAAGGGAGAUUACGGAUGGGUCGUGGUGAGCGAAAUGGUGAAGGUGGUGGUGGCGAUGCUGUGAGGUGGUGUUUGUGGGUGCUGGAGCGGGCAGUAGGAUGAAGGGGUGCGGAUGUGUGACAAAAUAGUGACGGAGUGAUAUGCAGGGCAUAUAUAUGUGUAUGUUUGUAUGUGUGUCUAUUGGACCCCGUACACUACUUCAUAUCUCCUCAUCCAGUAGGGCGAGUCCGUUUAGAUUGUUCUUACCCUUCCCCCUUGAACUUCCCGAUCAACCCCCGAACCCCUCCGACACGCAUACAUACAUACACACAUACGACAUACCCGCGUGCGCACGCAGGCAAGGACAGCGUGCCGGUGGUUGAGACUCAGCAGUUGGAGUGGUUGACUCCGGGAAAGGCCUUCAAGGUGGUUUCGGAACCGCAACUGAAUGUGAGAGGAAGACAGAGAUAAGGGGAGGUAACAUGCAGUGGGGCGAGGGGAAGCUGUCGGGGGGUCGGAGGGGGAAUCAGGGAUGUACGUCUGCAUGUGCCUCUGUACGUACGUACGUGCAAGUUACACGUUACAAGCUCCGCACAAGUGCGGGGUUGUCCGUAAAAGCCAGGGGGCCCAUGGCCGGUAAAUCGUUUUUAGUGCGGUUACGUGGUGGACCAUCAUCGUCCUCCCUCGUCCGCUUGAGCGCGAAGCGCCUUAGAGCAGCGUGCCGGGUCUCACAGACUUCCUAAAGGAACCUGGCUAGUGCCAGGGGCAAGUGUGUGUUUUUUUCGCACACAGCAUGGCAUCAUCGCAUUGGCAAGGACGGCCUCUACCUCGGCCUGCAUCCUGCUGGGCGGUAACUUCCUAACCCUGGGUAGGGGGAGAUCACGGAGAUUACCCGGCCGGGGGGGAACCCCCGGGGGCGGGAGGGUUGACCCGACAGUGGUGGCAGCGGGGGUUACGGGCGGGCUGGGGACAGGGAGGGAAGGUGGGAGCGGAGACCAAGGUGGGGCGAGAGGGAGAGGGAAGAAAAUUGAGCCCCAAAUGGAGUGGAGGGUGUAAACUGUCCUCAAUGCAGUGCUUAUCAGCCGCUAGCUGAUCGCCCACCGCACAAUGGCCAUAAUGCAGCUCUCGACACGACAUGUAGGGUGCGCAGGUUGCGUGCGGAGAACCCCGUAUACAUACACAGAUUAGUUGCUGGGGCAGUUUCCCGCUCAAGCCUCCCGGCCUGGGGUUAGGAGGGGGGUUAUGAGGGCGGGCGGUAGGUAGGAGGUAAGGAGCUUAGGGCUUAUAGCCCCUCAGGAUUCUGGUCGGAUUCCUUUUCCCUCGGUAAGGAAAGGCCCGUUUGCGCUCGACUUGAGUUCUUCCCAUUUCCGUCCCUCUCCCCGUCCCCCCCCCCCCUCCCCGUGAAUCUUCCUCGCCCCCGCACAACCCCCUUCGCACCGUUCUGCACCGUUCAGUUCCCCGGCGCCAACUCGUUCACCACCUCGGGCUUCCUGGAGGUUCGGAGCUUGCCGAAUGGAACAUGCCAGGUAUGCAGAGGGGAAAGUGGGAAGGAAGGGAAGAGAGAGAGGGGGAGGGGGAGGGGGAGAGGGAGAGGGAGGAGGAGAAGGAGGGGGAGGGGGAGGAGGAGAAGGAGGGGAAGCGUGAGAGGGCGGACAGAGGGGGGGGGAGGGAGGAGGAGAGGGUCUCUCCUCACCUCAGAGACUCAUCGUCGUCUUUUCCUUCACCGUCCCCCCGCCCUCCCACAACAACUCCUCGACACAACAACCCCCCAAACCUCCUCCAAUAUAACAACACCUGGAUCGCACUCAGUACGAAGUCCUCCGCAUUCGUACAUCCGUACAUCCUGGUGCCAUUCCGUCUCCGCAGGUGAAGGCGCUGGUACGGUGUUCCGCAGCCCUGCCCUGGCCCGUACAGGCUACGGUGGAGGGCCUUAUGGCCGCUGAGGCCGCACAAUCCAUUGGAACCUUCCUCGCUUUCUGUCAGCAGUUCUACGACAACUGGCGAGCAGAGCAGCUGCUACAGCCCGAGCGCCCAGCUGCUGCCGCCAGCGGUACCACCGCGGCAGCAGGCAUUGGUGGCGCCGGCAGUGGCGGCGAUGUGUUUUUCGAUGCAAUUGAAGACGAAUCGGAUUUGCGGAGCGUCGCCGGCGGCGAGGGGGAGAAGGGGGAGACGUCAGUUGUGCCGUACCAACCGCCACGGUUGGAGGACAUUAUCGUGGACUGUCUACGGCAGAUCCAGUCGUCCAGUGCGGAGACUGCUCGUUCACUCCGAAACCUGGAGGAGCUGCUCCGAAACAUGGACGAGAACAUGCAGGUGAUGAGAACCAGAGUGUUUGCGUUGCGAUUGGUGAAUUGGUUGCGUGGUUGGGUUGAGGGUUUGGGGCAUAAUAGAGUGUGUAUGGUGAUAGUGGCUUGCGUUUUUUUGAAUGGGGAGGUGCGUGUCGUAUGGAAUAGGAGUACGUCGGCAUGGUUGGUUGUUGGUUAUGGGUUGUUGGUUGUCUUCCAAUCACUAUUUUACUGUCGUCGUCACCGUCAGCUGAAGCCCAUCCUGGUCAUGAUAUCGCCAUCAUCGCCAUCAUUUCACUCCCACUCGCCUCUUUUGCGGUGACCCCGUAGAGAUGUUUUGAAAUCCCUCCUCUGUCCGUUUGGUUCCCUCUCCUCAGCCACCUACAUGUUACAUACUCCUUGCGAAACACGAUCAUGUACAGACAGAGACAGACAGAGACAGACAGAGACAGACAGACAGACAGACGCACCUCUUUCCUCAACACGCAGGUGGUCCGGGACAAACUGGCGGGAAGGGGACCACACAACCGUGGAGCAGGGCCAGGGGGAGGGGGAGGGGGAGGGGGCCGCACUGCCACCAACACAGCACGACCGGCCGCGGGUAGUGGCAGUGCCGCCUUGCCGUCGUCGUACAUUGGGUUUCUCGCCACCGCGUCGCUGUUAUGCGGCGCAGGCGCGUUUGUGUAUGUACGAUAUCGGUUCGGGACGGGCGGAGGAGGAGGAGGCGGGGGAAAGUAAGUUUGGAGGGGCCUCAUUCAGUGGAAGGGGGGGGCACACAUCGUUGCGGAAGACGGAGGGCUGGUGCCGUAUCUGGACGUCAGGGGUAUUGCUACCGUGUGAUGCAAGUUGGGGUUGCGGGGGGCCGUGUUGGGGGUGAUGUAUUCCUGGGGCCAUCAUGCAGAAAACUUCUUUGGCCUCCUCUGUCUUUUCGUUUGAGAGCUCCAUUUCUUUUCCCAAGAGGUUUUGGAGGUGCCAUCUUCCACAUAACUUGCGUGGUGUCUCUUCCUUGAGGCGGCGUUCUCGGAUUCGAGGCGUGUGAGAGUGUGAGAGAGCAGUGCGACUGCGCGCGCGUGCAUUGUAGGAUUGGGGUUCUUAGGGUUUUACAUCGUGCUGUGCUGGGGGGAUGGUGCCGUACCUCCAUUCUCGAUAUAUCUGGAGUAGUACGCGAUUGGUCUUUAAGUUUAAUUUGUGUUUGAAUUUACGAGAGGGUAUUAUAUUUAGAUCCUCUGCAUAUCAUAUUCAUGUGCAUUGCGGCGGCCGCAUCAUUUGCUGUGUGCCCUGGGGGCGGUCACGGUGGCGGUGUCAGACACCAUUUCGCGUUGACGCGGUAUUGAGAAAAGCGAUUCUUGCCGCGGAGAGGUCGCGUGAAUGAAUUAGGUGUUUGUGUAAAACGUGGUGAAGGGAAAGAGGACAGAGGCGCCCCAGGAGGCGGGGGUGACUGAGGGCCUCGCUACGAAGGGGCGGCUAACGUAGACAACAAAACCCCUGUGUUUUUUGCCGUAUGGUGGCGCACGUAUACGCGCUGUCACUUUGAUGCUUUUAUGAGUGCCUGCGUGCAUCCUGAAUUUCUAUUAUGCUUUUUGUUGACCGAACCAGCUUGGAAAAUGUUUGCAGAUGUAUACAUGACGGUGGUGAUGGUGAUGAUGGUGGUGGUGGUGAUGGUGGUUGUUGUUUGGGUAUAUAAAUGGGCUAGAUAGAUAGAGAGGAGUUGCAGCCGAAUUUUAAGUUGUGGUCCGCUGUGAGGUCGUUAGGUUGGUCGUUAGGACGUCCAUCGGGGUUUGCAAAACGUUCCUCUCGAUGUAUAUGGGAGAUGCGUGUCUGCCAUCCCGCCGAGCCAGGAGGGGGCUGACCUAGCGGCUGCAUGGUGGCUUAACAGGCAGCGUGAGUGCAUAUGACUGUCCAUGACUUUCUCUCCGUGUGCUGCGAGGUUGUGGGCUGUUCUGCUAAUUAUAGGGUUCACGUCCUUUCGCAGCCGGAAGAACAUGACAGGGCGUGGCGGGGGGUAAGGAUUGGCCGCUGCCAUCCCUCCUUCGGGGUGGCGGCCGCUUCAGGACGUGUGGAGGUGAAGAUAGAUGUCUUUCCUCCGGCCGUAGGGGGCCCGUAGGGGGCCCCCUUGCGGAUCUGGAAAGUCAGUUCACUGCAGGUCAGCUGGCUGACAUUCUCUUGGCAAAGUUGUCCGAAAUGGGAAUGGGAGUGAGAAUGGGGCUCCAUACCGCCAUCACGGGAGGCAGCCAGACUGCAUGUGGCGUCGUAUUAUGCCUUGUGCGAAGCCUGGUUCGGCCAAAAGAAAGGUCCUCUAACCACCCUUGUCAACUUCAUGGCCCGCGAACCUGAUGCGAACUUGAUCCCCUUGUGUCCGCAUGUCUAAGUCUACACCUCGAAAGAGCCUGGGAGCCAAGGGGCCGUUUCCGGACACCUAUAGGGAUGCUGCUCACAAGGGGGGGGGGGCUCGUGGGCGACAGCUUGGAAGGGAGGGUUCACGCCACGCGCACACACGGCCCCAUAAGCGGGUGCCUUGCAUGCACAGACCAAAAACCGUUGUACCCGUGUUUGUUGUCGUCGGCAGCAUCAUUCACACACACGUGCACGUGCGGUUGUUUCAUGGCCUCUGGAUUCGUUCCCCAGCCUGGCCAGGGCAGUAGGUCCCGUCUGGAGUGGUUUCGUCGAAACUCAGAUCCUGGGGUGGCCCUAGCCACCCACAACAGCGUCCGCCACUUCAUUGUGCUCUGCCGGCGUCAAGCUCUUCCCUGUCACCAUGAUCAACUUCCGCAGUUUCAAUCCCUUGCCACCACUUCAUCGCGGAUUGCUUCUUUCGGUUAUAUUGCUCGCAUGCCAUCCUCGCCAUCUCACGUCUCAAUUAAUCAAAAGACAUAUACAUACGUGCAUGGCGCUACGUCUACACCACACACUAGUUUUACUUUCACCCGUUCCGGCGUCACAGCAAAACUGCAAAACCGUCAAAACGAAACCAGGAAUACGCGGACGUGUGUCAAUCACAGCUAGCCUGCAGUCGGUGGCCAGGCCGCCGUGUCCAGGAGUGUCUUCAAGAGGAGUCAAGUCAAACCUUGCCGCGGGUAAAUGUUUAUGCAUCUCCUCAUGGCUGUAUUACCAAGCAAUGCGUGAUCUGUCCCGCAACUUCUCAAUCCUACACUAGGUGUCACACGUUUCUGUCCUACUAGCUACUGGAGUGCGCCUAAGUCAUAGUCCUAUGUCUCCCUAGCACACCUCUUGCAUCCGUCGGAACACCUUACACACGUCUGCGGUUCGUUGUCCAUCACUGCACUGCGAUAAGGAGUUGUUUCGACCGUUGGCUGCAUCUUCGAGCCGAAUAAACACGUGGCAACAUCAGUGACAGCAUUGACAGCAGUAGUGGCGUUCUCGCGUUACAUAGGCACGCUGCCUCAAGGUAGGAAGGAUCACCCGCCAGCCAGCUUUUGAGGUGUUCGGAGCGAGAGCACAAAGACCCACAUUCAUCCUACUACACAAACAAGGAUAACCAUGUGUCCGAGCGAGAGUAAUAAGUUCCAAUUGUUUAUGUAUCCUCGACCCCUCCUUGUUUUCGUCAUUAUUUGCACCAGAGGACGGUACACAACCAUAGCCUUGUCAGAAUCCACGAAUACUCCUCUUCCCCCACCACCUCCCCUUCAUAGAUAUGACGUGUCUAUCUCUUCAUUCCCUGCUUGCCACACCGAACAAGUGCGCCCACAUGGUUCAUCCUUCCACCGCCUCAACCCCCAAACACCUGCGCAGCAAUCCAUCAAACGACUAACUGCUGCCCCCUGCAGGAGCCCCAAGCCAUACAUGACUCCGGACGGGCCACGCACUUGUGCACUUGUGCUGAGUGAGUCAGUGCGUGAGUCAGUGCUAACAAUCCCGAAUCCUGAUCGGAUAAUGAAUGAAUGUUUAUGCCAUUGAUGUGGACAAUGCGGUGCGGCCAACUUGCGCGUAAAAGUGGGAUGUUGCGGUGCGUGUUGAGGUGCGGAACACAAGCAACAACUAGCUCUCAUCUAUGCAAAAAUACAUGUUAGCGUUGGCAGUAAGUAAUUGUAUGCCGUCCAUCAAUUGGUUUUCGAGGUGUGACCUGCCUAGCCCCCACAUCACAUCACAUCCACUAUGGGCAAGGGGGCGCAUAUUCGCUGUGAUGCCACCGCUCGCUCGACCUCUCACAGCAGCAGACUUUAAAUUUGGAGGGGGGGUUGGCGCCCUGCCUUCAUUGGUGAUGCGGACACCACAACACCGCAACUACUCCACCAUCCAAUCACGUCUACCUAAUCAACCUGUCAUUCAACCCACGAGAGCAGUGUUGCAUCAUUAUUAUUUUUUAGGUCCUGCACCUAGCUAGUCACCUAAUGUGAUAUCCGCAUGGUUCCCCGGGAGCCUCCUGCUCAGUAGCCCUGCACUUGGGUGUAUGUGUUGUGCACGACGCAAUUGGCGCUCGCUGCACUUCUUCGUCUAGCGUCCUCCGUCUACCUUCCACGAAAUCAGGACCUUGCAUAGGAAGUAAGCUAAAAACAGGAAAGCUCCACCGCGUUCCCCGCACGCUCUGCUCCAGCUGUAUCCGGCCCGGUGCAGACUGUCUUUAGCCUCGCACCUGAGGCCGAGUAGCCAAUGCGCUGCAGCAUGUUUAACUAACCAAGCAAGCAAACCACCACUCCCAACAGGUGGUUGAGCGCAGUCGGCGUGUGCUCUACGCCCAUAGUACGCCGAUAUGCAAUGCUCUGCGCCUUCCGAACGCAGUGUGCGGUCGCUGUGGGGUGCGGCCGCCACCGCCGCCGCCACCGCCGAACGCCAACACACCGAUUAAGGUGAAGCUCGGGACCGCCGCCACCGCGGCCACCGCCGCUUCCUAGAUAGAGACCCCCCCUCUCCCCAAUCUCCCUCCACACAUGCUCACCCCUACCCAAAGGUCACUGCUUCUUCAGAUCCACCUUCUACUCACUACCCCCCACCUCCUCCUCCUCCUCCUCCGCGUCCACGUCGUCGUCAGUAACGAGGUCCAGGACCUCCCUGUCACCAACCCCCGUGGGUUCAUACCCACCCUGCUCCCCCGCGACCAGCGUGACCUCCACCACCGCCACCUCCUCCUCCAUGACAUCUACCUCGUCGUCGUCACCCCAUUCCUCCUCCUCCUGCUCCUCCUCCUCCUGCUCCUCUCCCUCCUCCUCCUCCUCCACCGCCACCUCCUCCUCGUCCACCUCCUCGGGGCCCGCCAGCCACAGCCCCUCACGGCUCUGCAGCGCCGCCUGUGCACACCGCACCACCACCCCUUGCUGCUCACCCUGCGGCUGGUCCGCGCCCGCGCCCGCACCUGCACCCCCCGCAGUACCGUUGGCCCACUUCCACGCCGCUUCCCAAGCGGGGUCGGGCACUCGAGCCACCCCGCCAGGCGGCACCAACCCACACAGCGCCAGCGCCAUGCAGCGCCCCAUCGCCUGAGCCACAGGCGGCGGCCAGCUGUUGCCGAUCUGCGGCGGCGACGGCGGGGGUGGAAGAGGGGGGUGUGUGGAGAGGGGAGGGAAGGGAACGCACGAAGGGACAGAUGUUAUUCAACAUCUGGACCAUUUGUUUAGAAUACAUAUAUGUGGGGGUUCCGGGUGCCCUGCCCUGCCCUGCCCUGCCCUGCCCUGCCCUGCCCUGCCCUGCCCUGCCCUGCCCUGCCCUGCCCUGCCCUGCCCUGCCCUGCCCUGCCCUGCCCUGCCCUGCCCUGCCCUGCCCUGCCCUGCCCUGCCCUGCCCUGCCCUGCCCUGCCCUGCCCUGCCCUGCCCUACCUGGGUAUACGCAUCCGCCGCCACCCGGCGCAGCAUGUACCAGGCCGUCUUGAGUCUAGCCGGCCAGUGCAGCCCGCCCAGAUCGCCAGCUUCACCACCACGCACACCGGCGGCCACCGCUGCGGAGGCAGCUGCUGAUCCUCCCGCCGCCGCCGCCGCCGCCAUCGCCGGCGCUCCUGCUGCCCCCCUUUCCGCUGCUGCAGGUGGCGCGACUGCAGGCGCCUGGUUCCCGUCCUUGCCCUGCAGUGCGGCCGGCCCUACGUGAAGCAGCCACUCCAGUCCCCGAAUGGCGGGCUUGACGAGGGCUUCGGAGCGGGAAACGAGGCCGCUGUGGUUUCGGAGGUGCCCCAGAAAGGGGGACUCGGUGGACAGGAACACCAUGUGGAGGCUGUAGCCCUGUAUGUAUGUACGUACAUAACCAUUGGUACCGCACGAUCACAUGGGGUGAGACGGGGUAAGAUACCCCACGUAGGGCGAAGGGAGCGCAGUAAGUACGACAUUACUCACCACGACGUGCAAAGCACCUAAGAGGUACUAAGAGGGUGCGACAAGGGAGGGGGUUCCACAGGACAUACAUACGGGCGACAUAUGGGAUACAGGACAUGGAAACGGCGGGACAGGGGUGGGUGCUCUUCAUGUGUGAAUAACAAAAAGCGUAUGUAUGUCAGCAGGCGUGUGGCGCGCGGCGACAAGCAGGAAAACCGCGAGGAAGGGGACCAAGGGGAACGCUGCCCGGAGGUGUCGGAGCCAAAACUGCCAAGGAUUCGACAAGGGGGCACGCGACGGCGGGCGCGGGGGACCUCAAAAGUGAGGGAAUGGAAUCAGGGGGGGAGGGGGAGGAUGUCAUAGGGGGGGGAAGACGAACCACACACGAUUGAAGCUGCUGCCAUGGGGGGGGGAAGAGGGGCAAGGGCAGCGGGAGGGAAGGGAGAAGAGCGCAGGGGUGAAUGAUAAGGCUGGGGACCAGGACAAGCUACCCCCCGCACCUGCACAUCCACAUCCACAUCCACACCACGCCAUCCACGCACGCACACGCACACACGCACACACGUCCAGGCCUCCCGCCCACCUGCACACAUGCCCGCUCCCGUGGUGUGAGCACGCGGUCCUGGUUCCAAUGCAAUAUCGAGUCCUUCACCGGCUUGAUCGAGCGGCUGCUGCCACAUACAGUGCCCAGCACCUGCAGCGGGUGCAGGCGGCCAAAGGGCUUCCCAGGGAAGCCGUAGCUGAGGGUGCCGUGGGGCUUGGCGGUGGAUCCGCUGCCGCCGCAGCUGCCGCUGCCGCCGCCACCGCCGCCGUUACCGCCGCUGCCACCGCCGCCGCUGCCGCCGCCGUUACCGCCGCUCCCACCGCCGCCGCUGCCGCCGCCGUUACCGCCGCUGCCACUGCCGCCGCUGCCGGCACCGCUACCGCCGCCAACGGUGUUUUUACCCAUCGCCGUGGCUUUCUUCGCGGCUUUCCUGUUCAGACUGUACGGUGGGGUUUGGGGGUCAGCAGCGGCGAUGGUUCAAGACGGGUGACAGGAUGUCACACACAGUGAUUUUUUUUCAUUUAGGGGGGAUCUCAAUUUAUUCCGACCUAAGAACAAAGUUGCUAGCGUCGCCGUAAUGUAUUCCUUAAGUGUGGGGUGCNNNNNNNNNNNNNNNNNNNNNNNNNNNNNNNNNNNNNNNNNNNNNNNNNNNNNNNNNNNNNNGUGGCUACGCCCCCCCCCAGACCCCCCCCGAUAAGUUACAACUCCCCUCAUAGACCAAGAGGCACGCACUGCGUUGGCGCGUUUUCGUUCAUGUGCGCACUCUUCAUGCACAUGCAUAGAUAGUUCUGGCACUGUUUGUGAACAAAAAGUAAAUCCGACAAAGCAAAGGCCCAAAGCAAGCAACCGCAUAGCAAAUCAAAGGCCGUCACCCGCCACUGCAAACCACAGCACACUUAAGGACUCUACCGGUUCAUCAUGUACCGGCCCCUGCUGCUGCUGUCCAGCCACUCCCUCAGUGCGUCACAGAACGGGAACGUGCCCAGGUCGAACAGGUCCUGGGUAAACAUCCGCACACACAAUGCUAGGUGCUCGUCCAGGCGGUUGCGGGUGGGGUCCUGCAAGUACCCCAUGGCCGAGAACCGCCACCCAUCCUCCACCGACCCUGGCACCAUCACUAACACCAGCUGGGCCAAAGCCGAAUACUCCGUUAAGCCGCCGGCGAGGACCGCACAGUUGCUGAUGGCCUGCCACACCCGUGCUGUGGGUGUGUCAUCGAGCAGCACCCGGUGCUCACCCGUUUUUGGCUGGAGGAAUGAAAAUGUACGGAUCGGCCUCAAUUCAUUCCUUUUUUCCAAAGGCCAAAAUGGCCUCUUUAUUCCUUAAAAGGAAUAUAUUACUUAAAAACAACACUGUUCACACAUCCCCAGCGGUGUACAUCAGUGCUUAGAUACAUCCAAAUAUGGAAAAAUCGAAAAGUCGCGAACGGCUUUCCUCCAUGCCUUUCUUCAAGCCUUCCUAAAAACCAUCACCAUCACCACCACCACCACCAAAAACACCGCGCCACACACAGCCCCUUCCCCUCAUACGUCCCUCUUGUACAGCUAGGUAGGUAUCCACCACCACUCACUCACUGGUAUGCCAGGUUGCCGGGGAGGAGGGGGGCGCCGCAGGGGAGCAGCGCCUGGGAGCCACCUGCCGCAGGGGCCGCCGCGUUGAGGUGUUUCGCAAGGUAGGUACAUACAUACAUGCAUACAAACCGAAUAUGCGCAUGUAAAAGGAAGGAGACGAGGGGAAAACCAAUCAAGGUGAGCGUUGACGCCGGUGAAGGGCAGUGAGGGGUGGUAGGUGCGGAUAGGAGCGGAAGCUGAGGAGCUAGCUAAGCGGGGCCCAACGGGUGGUAAGACGAAACAUAGACAAUUGCCGCGAAGAGGAAAACAUAGGCGGAUGCUCCAAGGCAAGACCAAUACCGUAGGAGGAGAACACGUAAGAUAGGCGGCGAGAGGGAACCCUUUGAAGGGGGCAUUCAGGUGCUAUGGAAGAAGCAAAGGAAUAGCUACUGCCGACCCGCACCCCCCAACCCCCCGACGACUCACCGGGGGCUCGCACGUCCCCCCAGCCGGGGCUAGCACCUGGCCGCUGCGGCACCUCCUUCACCCGCUCGUAGUCGUCAAGAUCCAGAGGGUACGGCAGGUGGUUGGCAACCAGGAUGGGUAACGGUGGCGCGGCCGCCGCUGCGGUGGCUACUGCGCAUCUGGUCAUCGUGCCCGCAGCAGUGGGCUGUAGGCUGCCGCCACUGCCACUGCCACUGCCACUGCCACUGCCACUGCCACUGCCACUGCCACUGCCACUGCCACUGCCACUGCCACUGCCACUGCCACUGCCACUGCCACUGCCACUGCCACUGCCACUGCCGGCCCCCAGCUGUUCCUCCCCCGCCCCCUCCCGCUCCUGCCCCUCCGCCUCCUCGUGGCCCUCCAACCUGGCUAGCUCCUUUUGCAGGCUUCGGAGACAUUGCGGCGCGUGUUUGAGAGACAGCUCCAGCGCCUCUCGGGCACUGUCCAGCACCUGGUGGGACGGUUGUUGGUUCGCGGUUAUUGGAUAGUUCGUUAGGUGCGGUUGGUUGGUUGAUUGGAAGCUCGCCAGCUAGCUGUGUCAUUGGGAACGACGGAGACCCUCUCCUACGUCCCGACCAGCCGACCAUUGUGGAUUAGGCGUGGGUUGGUUGCUGGGGGACGGGACGUAGGGGGGCAGGUUGGGCAGGUUGCUAACCGGAGCGAUCCUCCGAUUGAAAGGAUCACGCCCAGCCUUGCCUGAUAUAGUGCUACAGGAUACUUUACAUGUACGUGGUGCACAUGCAAACCUCCAACGACACACGCACACGCACACACUCAACUGCUGCUACAACUGGCAACAUCAUCGAUGUGGACCGUUGUGAGCAAAUACCCCCAUCCCUUAGGUCUGUGCAUCUGAUAAAAGCGUGUCAGGCCUCCCACCCACCCACCCAGUCAGUCAGUCAGCCUGCCCAGCCAGCGAGCCAGGUAUGGCAGCCAGCCGGUCACCUACCUCUCGGCCCACUUGCAGGUAGGACUGACGCCUGGGGCCUUUCGCUGGGAUCACGAGCUUGGGCAAAGGGCUUCCCACAAGAGGCUGCUGGGACUGCGGGCCCUGCUUGCCGUCCUGAGCAUCGUAUUGCAGUAAGCGGGGAAGGAGACAACAGCGGCGGAGUCACUGCCCCAGCGGCGGCGGCAACGAUGACUAUUGGUAACAGGGACUACCGUCCUCCCCCAGUGAAAACGUACGGCGGUUUGCGUACCAGUCAUGAUGACGAUGAUGUGCACAUCCACAGUAACAACAACGGCACUGGCAACCUAAGGCGGUGUAGAGGCUUCACGAGGUGGAGAAUGGUGGAGCGUCCAUUCAUGAUGAGAAUUAAAUGCGCCAACAACACGACAUAGCGCUAUCCCGGCCUGGGGCACCGAGCCCGGCCUCCAUGUACAUCAUCGUCAUGGCUGGUGUCUCAAUGAACUGAGCAGGACACCUGUACAUGUGUGUUGUUACAGGGUGGUACAGCUACACCAGCGGCCCCCUUUCCCGGGGCAGUCCCUGUUCUCCCAUGCUAGAGGGGCACCCUAAUCCGUCACCCCAUCCGACUUCAGAAUGUAUUCGUUGGGUUCGGCAGCUCACCACCAGCAUCAAACCAAAUCUAGCGGAUCAACAGCGCCUCAACUCAGUUCCUGGUCAGCUCGCAAGUUGAUAUUGUCACUUCCUACUGCGUCCAAAAGAUGGGUUCCCACCUCCCAUUUCAACACCUCUCACACAGCCGAGAGGCCGGCAGGCGGAUCUGAACCCGGACAAUCCGGGAGCAGAAGUCAGGCCUAUGCCAGUCGCCUGCCUUAUGUAUAUGUGUGUAUGUAUGUCCAUUUGGGCCCGUAAACAUUGAUACCAUUGAUGGACUCCCCCAUCCUCCAUCUGCGGAUGAAGACCCGGAGGCCAGUAUGGUAAUGAACGAGGGACGCGACGCCCGCGCCUGCGUGUUGUGGUGGUGAUGAUGAUGUGCUGAUGCCACCCGCCAGUUCCCGGAUGGCACCAACACGCCGCCGCCACACGACCCACCUCUCUGCCAGGCGGCCAGACAGCACUACCCCUCGUACCCCCCCUGUAAGCACCCCAUGCACCACCAAGUCCAACGCAUGCAUGCACACAAACAAACCCAUGCCAUUACUUACUUACGCAUGUAUAUAUGUAUGUAUGUAUGUAUGUACGUCCGCAGCAAAAUUCACGACAUCCAGGACCUACCUUGCCGGCGGGCAUCCUCCUGGCGGGAAUCAGGACGGCGAUGACGGCGCCCAGCCGCACCUGCAUUCACCCGCGGUUCACCAGUGCAGCAACACACGGGUUACGUACGCAGCAGUGAUGGUGGGUGCGUCCAAUACACGCGCCUGCAGCCCUGCCUCUGUCCAAUCACGGCACCCGGGUGGGCGGUAGUACGGGGCUACGGGCCCUCAACCAUCUCGCCCAUCAUCGUAGGCAUCAUCCAGCCUUUCAUCAUCCCCCACCCAGUGGGGCCAACGAGGGCAUUGUACACACACAUGUCCAAUAACAGAUCAUUCAUGAAUGCACGCACUUGAAACAAAAUUGUUGGCUGAGUAGAUGUGACGGAGCGAAGCGGUCGGAGCCUCUAAGUCUGGUUCUGUACGACUGCCGUACGAGCCGGAUUGCACUUUCAUUACCAUCCAGCGGUUUCCCCUGGAGAAGCUUCCAUUCUGCGCGCACUUCACUUCACUUCACUUCAUUUCACUUCACUACACUCCACUCCACUCCACUUCACUUCAUUCAGUAGAGCUUUCAGCUCAAGAGGUCAUUCGCCAAUUGCCCCCUCCCCCCUUCACUACCCUUCAUCCCCCGCCCUCCUCUCCCCCCCCCUUCCGCUCCCCUCCCCAAUCCUGCAGCGUAAUGACCAGUGGCCCCUCUUCCCUCCUCCUCCUCGGCAUGUACGGCACGUAAGUCACUCGGCAUGUACUAGCUCCUAACACCUCCAGAUCCAGGUCAGGGGAGACAGCAGAGCUCCCAACAGAAAAGCAGUUAGUAUUCCUCCGUCCGUUCUAAGGAGCUGUUGGUCGUGGUGGAUGCUACACAAACGACUGCCCUGCCCUGCCCGAGCCGGCCCGACACCGCCUGGUGUGGGUCGGCCGGUUCCCCACCAGAGACAUCAUUCUCUUAGCUAUUAGUCUACCAUGUUGUUAGCAUGUAGGUAGGCCCAUCCCGUGGCAAGGGUGGCCCCCUCACCUCCUUCUGGGCCCGACGUCGUGUAAGUACGGGCUGGAACCCCAAUGUACGUACAUACAGACGUACGUACGUGAUGAAGCCGCCGCUCAGGAGACGGAGGGCUCGUGGGAUGCACGUGUAGAGCGCCUUCUCAGCAACAAACAUGGCUUGCGUGUGAACAGUACUGUACGACAGUUACCCACCUGCACCUACUACACGGGCACUGCACCCGUUCAGCCCCGUACGGCACUCACCAAGGCCUCCUCAUCGACCUCCUGCUUGAACAGCUCGCCCUGGGCGGGGUCGGGUACGGCAUCCCCACCAGCAGUAGCGGCACCACCACCACCGCCUGCCUGGGCACCCACCACAGCGCGGCCACCGGAACCGCGCCCCCCACCUGCACCACCUCUAGCAGCCGCCGUCGCCUUCCCCGGCGAACCUUUGACGCCCGCCGCCUUUUCCGACGUCGCCGUAGGCUGUGCGGCGGCCGCCACCGCGGUCCGUUUCGCCUCCUGACGGCGCCGCCUGCUCCGCCGUUUCUUGACCGCGGCCUCCGCCAUGCGACACAACUGGGUGUGAACGUGCAGUACCGCGCACGGGAAGGCCAGUACCGCGGGUGCGGUGUUUCCUAAGUAGGCAGCGAACCGCAGCUCGGCGGGCGGUGUUCCCUCGGGGGGCGGCUGGGCCAGCACGUGCUGCAGCGGGUAGUCCAAACGGCUGUGGUGUAUGCCGGUGAUGGUGAUGGUGGCGGUGAUGGUGGCGGUGAUGGUGGCGGUAGGUGACGGAGUAGGUUGGUCGUGUCGGUAGCCGUGGCGGCAACCGUGGUGUUUCGGAGGACGAGUGGCGGUGGUAAAGGCGUAGGAGGUGGAGGUGGAGGUCGAGGUAGCAAUCAUGAUGGUCGCGUGUGGAGGGGGUUGUAUCGCCGUCGGGAGGAAGGGUGACAGGGUAGAGAGUGGGCCCAGAAGCGAGAGAGAGAAAUGGUGAGAUGGCGAGGGCACGGGCGGUGUGGGUAUCCAGGAUGAGGGUGAGGGUGAGGAUGAGGGGGGCCAUGGCCACAACGUAACGCGAGUGGGUCAUUAUCGAUGAGGGGGAGGAAGGGGAGGGGGAGGGGGAGGGGGAAAAGACGAACCACGAGCGACUGAAGCUGAUGCCAAGGAAAGACUGCUGCGGCAGAUGUAAAGAAAUCAUAACUAACCAGUCGGCGUUUUUGAUGCCAUGUCAUCCUUUUCAAUACACCAGAGAGCUAGCUACACGCGCAUACCCUCUCACACACAUACAUACGUACAAAUGUACUCAGACAUCACAUAAGAAAACAGCAUGAAAAUCAAACUAAAUGGUUAACGGAUAGUCGUGUCUUAAGAAAAAAACAAGAUAAUUCAGCUUUUUUUAGGAAUUGAUACAAAAAACAAAAAACAAUUAACAUAAAAAAAAUAAAAACCAAUUUCAACAAUCACAAAAAACGGUGAAAAACAACAAACAACUUAAGCCUUACUGGACGCAGGUCACGGGGGACAUGCUGUAGUUUCCGCGCUUCGCCAGGUUGGACAUGGCGUCGUCCAGAGUCUGUCGUACAUGAAGUCGUGCGGGCGAGGGCGGGCAGGGUAAGGCGAAAUGCACUUUGCAAUUUGCACUUUUCUGCGGCACUUACGCGGACGCACGUACGUGGAUGCAAAUCAAUCAAUUGUUGAGGUUCUGCACCCCGAUUGGGACCCUGAAAACUUCAACAAGCAUAUCGCCUACCCGCUAUUGAAGAUGUUUCAUCGUUCCCAGCACAUACAGCCGCUCUGCUAGGUAGGAGCCCUGCUAGGUAGGAGCCCUGCUAGGUAGGAGCCCUGCUAGGUAGGAGCCCUGCUAGGUAGGAGCCCUGCUAGGUAGGAGCCCUGCUAGGUAGGAGCCCUGCUAGGUAGGAGCACACACGCAGGACUGCCGCAAUGCAGCAAUGGUGUGUUUCACCGCCACCAUCAUUCGCAUGAAAGCCGUUCCCACAAGCACACAACUGCACUAGCCUUCUACACGCGACCCCCACAGCUACCCCACUACCUUGCUGGUGGGGUAGAUAGGAUCCGUUAGGGCGCACGCCAACCCACUGUCGUCGACUUGGCUGGUACCUAAACCAUGCCGCUACAUGCCUCCUACAUGCAUACACAGGCAACCCACCUGAUGUCAGUACCCCCCGGGUAACCCCCUCUGCUCCCUCCCCCCGGGGCAAACCCCCCCGGGGCGGGCCCCCCCCCCGAGCUACCUGACUGGGGUACAGCAGAGCGCCCUCCCCGGCCUUGGGAUAGCACCGCCGCAGCGCCCUGCGUGUAAUAUAAUGGCACAACACGGUGCACCGCCGAGUGCAGGGACGUUUUUGCCCAUCUAGGCGAUUGCCUUGGUUGCGUGUUGAUUUCGCUGCUGCUGCCAUGCUGGUGGUGGUGGUGGUGGUGCAAGGGUGGGUGGGAAAGACAUCCACUUGUCAUUACAGUCACGCAGGGAGCCCUUCCCCCGGAGAGUAAGACGCAGGGUGAGGGCAAGGGAUUGAGUGUAUGUGCACAGACGUACAUAUACAUCGCCCUGAAGCGGGCGAGGAAGGAGGAGGAUGACCUCCCGCGUACCCGCAUCAAUAUCAAUACAACGUCCAUGGCCCCCCCGCUUUUACGGACACACCCGCACUUGUGUGCGGAAUUGUAACUUACAUAUACAUACAGCACAGCAGCCCGACAUGCUGCACAGAGAGCCUACCUACCAGAGCCCCCUGGGGGUAAUCCGCCCUUCCAACUCAUAGCGGCUUUCAACAGGGGCGCACUCCCCACCCCCCACCACACUUCUCAUGCCAUGCAAGUCCCAACUAAGGGCUGACUCCCGCCAGCCUUCAGAUCCCUUCAGAUGGCCCUCAAACCGACCUCCACACCGGCCCUGUGGCGGACCUCACCCCACCUCACCUCAUAUGCCGCCGCAAUGACUUAGUCACCAACAAGCCAUCAGGCCCCACAGGCAGCUGCAGAGUCCGGUAGAACUCAGGACGCGGCACGGGCGGCAACGGGAGCCCUGAAGCGGCGGCUAUCAGGAAGAGACGCGGACGGAUCUGGGGGGGGCCCAAUAUCAUAAUCGUUGGGGCCGGCGGAGGGCGACGUAGGUGAGGUGAGUCCGAAAUGGACCGCUACGUUGCAUGCGUGGAGAGUCAGUCGAAACCUUGAACCCAACUAGGGUGGCGGGGGGAGGAUUGGUUAGGCCACCGGGUAGGUGGCGAGGACACGAAUAAUGCUAAGGGGUACAUGUAACAUAGAUAAGAGAGAUCCAAGAAGGUGGCAAAGGUAUCAAUAUCAGGUAGGCAGGGUCUGUGUACGCAACUUCACUUCACCGGCGGCAAUAUGAUGACGUUUUUAUGGUGUUUUGCUGCAUAUAUGUGCCCCUCUACCUGCUGGGUGCCGAACUGCGCUGCACACCCGCACGUCGGUUUUAUCAAUCAAUUCGCUGCGGUUUGGUGGGCUCAACAACAUACCUAAGAGGUGGAUAAGAGAAGGGGAACGAGCUGGAGAAAGAAAGAAAAGGUAAGGAAGAGCAGGUGAAGGUUGGAGCAGGAUGAACUGCGCCAGCAUGCUGCAUGCUGCGCUUAUGGACCCCUACCCUGCUGACACCUUCGCCACGACAGCCAUAACGCAUGCAGUACCAUAAACCAUCGAACAUGCACAGUUAACCACAGCUACAAUACACGCCUGCCGCCCAGCUACUGCUGACCCACCUGCGGCACUCCGUGAGCCGCUGCACGACCCGUUGUAUGUGAUGUGAUGUGGCCAUCACCGCAAGGUACACAGAACACACCGCAGUUGGUGCAAAUAGCACAUUGCCGAAAUCCGUGUAUGCCGUACGGUGCGCCCCGCAGCCCAAGCGCGUACCACAGGAGCCAAUUGAAGGAGCCGGAGAAGCGCCCGAGGGGGAGGAGGAGGAGGAGGAGGGCGUCCGGUAGCGACAACAGAACGGAGUUCAGGGAGGGCGGGUGUACGGUCAGGUCAGGUGCGCGCGCGUGGGAACCUAUAGGCCGCCGGCGCAGCGCGGGGGUAUUUAGCACAGCGGGGUUGACUGGAGACACAACCAUCAUCACCAAACAUACAAGCCAACCGCGGGGGCCGUAAGGCAUAAGACUAGGCCCCAUACUAGAACCCUAUCAGGUAUAUCUGCCCGGCAAUAAGCCUUUACAUCAUACAAACUGUAGCGAGACGACCUAAGCGACCUAAGCGACCCAAGACGCCUGAUCCAUGCCUGCCUCUGUCUCUGUCCAUGCCUGUCUCAUCCAACGCUGUCCGAUGCCUGAUCCAUGCGAGACAGUCACAGAUGCGUGAAUCAUUAACGCGCAGCACCCAGCUAGCCAGCUACACAAUGGUGUACUCUCGAGGUGGGUUGAUAUGGUCCUCACCACCCUGACUAAAGCAUGCAUGCAUGAAUGCUAUUUUGUCAGGCACCACUGCGCUCCCUGAGCGGCCGGACGAUACAAUUCCCUUUUCAAGUGGUGAACUCGAAGGCAGGGCCGACAUUCGGCUGGCGGAGCUACACAGUGAGAAUGGACCUAAAAACGUGUUCUCAUGACUGUCCGUGCGGAAUUUAAGCCUGUGUGCGCUAACUUACCAAAAAAUUAUUUUCCUUCCCCCUACUACUCUACUAUUUAUUGGGGAAGUUCGCUGUUUGUGACUGACGCACGAAAAGCUGCAUGGCUAGCCUAGCUCGUAAUGUUCGCUUGCAGGAUCCCACACACGCACUCACAUGCAUGGACGACACAUGUUCUGUGCUGAUACGUGGCCUUGUUGAGCGUGGCCUGUGCGGAUUGAAAGGAGGCAGGGGGGGUGAUGAGGAGAUGGAGACAAUUGGCACAAGAUGGGCAUGAAUGGGCAUGAAUCGGCAUGAACUAGUUCGAGCUCCCCUGCCUACAGUGUAAGGCCCAAUCCCAACUAGAGUGCCGUCCCGCCCUUCCCCUAAGCUUUCCCGGCUUCUCCUUGGAGCCAACAACAGCAGCCGUGAGCCAUGAACCGACCAAGGCUAUAGUUUAGAAUUGAUGCACAGCAUCACAUCUCAGCCCCAGUGUUCGUUACAUUGGCGGGCGGGGAUAGUGACAACAAGUGAGGCCCAUGGCUUAUCUCCCGGUGUAGCAGCUAGCUGGCCGCCGCUGAAAAGGCCUGUUAAGAUGCUGGCGGAGUGCCUUCGCGUGUGUUAGCAUAGACAAUAUGUGUGCCGUACUAUCCCCAGCUACUACACCCGUGCGCACGUACUUGGUCGAAUCUACAGUCAUGAGACACCAUGCAUGGGAGCUAUAUAUACAGGACAUACAUGUCCUUUCAUUCUAUGCCCUACAUGCACAUCUGUUUCUUCAUGCCAAGCAACCUGUGAUAGUGGUCCAGCGCUGUCAAGGACAUCACAUGUAUGUAUGCGCUCCUCCACACACACACACACACACACACGCACCUGGACGGUCCGCACCCACAGACCAUCAGCCCACCGGGCGGCAUCCGUCACCUGCACAAACACGCGUACGAGGUGUACAAGUAUUAAUGUGUACGAGCGAGGCCAUUCAUUGUGCCCGCACGAAGAAGAUGUACACAUAGGAGCAUAAAUAUGGGGUGUAUAAUAUGGGGUGUAUAAUUAUCCCACAUCACCUAUAGCAGCAGCAGCAGCAGCAGCCGCAUCAUCAUCAUCGCCGCCACUACCGGAAGCGGUCGUCCCGGCACGGCAGCAUGGCAGCAGCACUGGCAGCUACAUGACCCCUACGACCACCUGCCGUCCAGCAGUACUUGUACAUACACACAAAUAUACAAGUCCAGACACAGCCAAGAUGUUCACAAGGCUCGGCAUAGUGUUGCUGGAGGAUUCCAGGUUCAAUCCCGACAAAUAACGGGAUUGAAGUCACUCAUAUACUUAUAGGUACCCUAUCAUGCUAGCAUUUGAUGAUGCACCCGGAUAUGAAUGCUUGCAAGUCGGCCGCAGUGGAGUUGACGCCAGCGUUGAUCCGACAGCAAACUUUUUCUGGAAGCUGAUGAAAGGUGCUAGACCCGAUAAAGUCAUCGAUGCCACACUAGUUAGCCUCCAUGGUUGAGAAUUCUCGAAGGACGAGGGUGGCCCAAAACAUCGGGGAAGGUAGGGAAUGCCAGACUAAUGGCCUUGAUGGCUUGACGCUAUACUCCCCUGUUACUUCACACAAUCAAAAUACUAGUAGCAGGUAGACAGGCACAGUAGGAGUUAGGCAUGCGCGUAUCGUGCAUUCUCAUUCUCAUACCUACAGAAACAUCCCAUAUGUAGGGGAACUACUUGGAAAUCACUCACCUGCUCCAGCAGGAUGUACGCCACCUGCCCAGUAAUAAUGAGGUACAUGCACGUACAUAUGUACAGGCAUACAAUCAUAUAUCCGCAUAAGCACAUGUAUGUUGUUACAGGAAGUACGAGGAAAGCAAGUACGUGUUUCCAGGGGGGAAGGACGGAUACGGGGGCACAUCUGCUGCUGCCUGCUGGCCAGCAGCAGCUAGCGAACCUUAACCAGGCUUAUUACUGACUAACAAUACGAUAGCGCGUUCUAUACUCUUAAGCCUGGAUAGCAGCCGGCAUCCCGCCAUGCAAUACCGGUAUUCCUACAUUGAUGUUGCAGUGCUGAUGGUGGCGGGCACAGGCAGCACGUGCCGGUAUGCUCUGGAGGAUGUUAUACAGAUAUGUGUACGCUCGCUAAGUGAAGUAUAGCCACACCUGGAGUAUCUCCUUUUCAUUACGUUUUUUACACAUAGUAGGCACUAGGGUUACCAGCCACUGUACAUGCACAUACACAUGGGCGCACCGUGCAGGCGCAAUAACGAAAUCUGUUUUUCCCCCCACCACCACCACCUUUCUGCCUUGCAGUAGGAGGCCUUCAAAGAUUCUGAAGUCUAGCUAAGACCCUGAUAAGCCCUUCAAGACUCCAGAAGAUUUCAGGACAACACUACUUGCUACUCGCUCUACCUAGCUAGCUAGCUAGGGAGCUAGGGAGCUCCCCCGGGAGUAUUAAACGUAACGAGGACAUCCAUGCACACCUGAUGAGGACAUCCACAUCCACGCCCACCCACCAACAGCCAUGAAUUGCUUGCAUGUAAGUGUAACGACGCAAAUGCCAAUCUGAGCAUCCCGGGUUACGCCUUUGCUGUGUUACAAUGGUAUCGAGACGGGACUGCACGACUUCCGUAACAAACUUCGGGUCGGCGGUUCGAUUCUGGCAACCAGCAAGUCGCAAAUUGGCGAUUUCAUGGUGUAAUGGAUAAACCAGCGCACUGGCGCGAGGUGGGAUGGCUCCUGUGCUCGAAAUAAUGGCCGAGGACGUCCAUUGCUAAGUGGGGGGCAAUGUAACGACGCAAAUGCCAAUCUGAGCAUCCCGGGUUACGCCUUUGCUGUGUUACAGUAAGCAUGUAUGCAUGUCGUGUAACAAGGAUAGGCACCUGUGGAGACCUCUCGCAUUGCAUCUAUCCGCCGUACAGCAGCAGCAGCAGCCGUCCACAGAAACAUAGAGAACUUAUACAUACAAGGAUGCACACACUCGUAGCCAUUUAGCUAGGAACCACCCACUUAGUGGGUAAUUACCCACCCAUUGACCCACCCACUGACCCACCCAUUGACCCACCCACUGACCCACCCACUGACCCACCCACUGACCCACCCACUGACCCACCCAUUGACCCACCCAAUGACCCACCCAAUGACCCACCCAAUGACCCACCCAAUGACCCACCCAAUGACCCACCCACUGACCUGGAGGAACACUGCGAGCUUCAGGACGGAAAGCACGAUCCGGUUUUUCAUGCUCCGGAACAGCUCCCGUUUAUGGACAUUUUGGUUGUAGCCAGUAAUCUGCCAAGCGAGAGAGCACAUGCGUGUACACCCGCAUGGGGAGGGGGUUAAAAAGGAUACGGGUGAGGGGGGGGAGGUGGUGCCGCAGUGGGAGCAAGCAAGCAGACAUACAGACAUAUGGCUCCAGACACAGCGAAUAUAUAUGCUAAGGCGUGGCAUAGUGUGUCGCUGUAAGGUUCCAGGUUCAAUAAGAAUCCUAUGGUCGUAUGUGGAUGAUCGCCGCCGCUAUUGGCCCCGCAGAUUCCACUGGCAGAUGCUAUGGGCGGUGUCGCUAAAGUCGGCGCUCAAUGCUGAGGGGGGAUGCGGGGGAGGAUGAGGGUGCCCCCGAACAUCGGUGAAGGGAAGAAGGGACUGCCAUCAGGCUAGUGGUGGUUACUGGUCGAAGUGGGGGAACAGCAGAUAUAUAGCAGGUGAUACGUACAUCCUGGCACGGGCAGCCGCUUGUAAGUGCCAGACGUGCCCCCCGCAGAGGUAGCAGCAUCUCCACCACGAGCACCCGGUGCAUGAACUGCUUCAACAGCGCGAAGCAGUUCAGAUCAUGCAGCGGCACCCACUGCAGACGACCGGCCGGGUAGUCAGGCCACCGCCUGCAUGUAGGCCAUGGUAACAUACAUACAUACGUACAUACGGCCAUAUGGAGGGAGCGACGGAGGGCACUUAAGUGCGUUUAAAGUCAAGUAUGUAGGCGAGAGGGGAAUAGGGGAGGGAAUGCUUAUUUGCGCAAGUAAGGCAGCAAAUAAACAGGAUGUAUGUGCGUAAUAACUACACAAAUAUUUAGGACAUACAGAAGCAGAAGGUAAAAUUUAUGUUCAAAUUCAUUCGUUUCGUGCAGCACAUACAGCAUAGCAUAGCACGAUGUAAGGAGUGAGGCACAGCAAUGGACAGCAGAUGAUGUCUGCUGCAUGUUGAAGUGUGAUGAGAGCACCCAUAUGUAUGGGUGCUCCUCUACUCUCCCUUCUCUUCUCCCUGCCAACACCCUAUGCACACCACCCAGGACUGGUCCCUCAAAGUGUACCUGCCUGUCUAUAUUUUCUCCUGCCCUCUUCCCCUUUUUCAGCCCUGCCCCUUUUCCUCUCCUCACUCUGACCUUCCCCCCUCCUUCCCGUCCCAAUUCACCCGGGCCAUGCCUGGCUGGUCUCCACUCACGUCUGGUCCUUCACUGGGUUGUAACGCCAUUCCACCAAGAACUCCAGGCGGCAUUGCUGCUCCUGCAGAUCCGCCUGCAGCUGGCCACCACUGCCGACCGCCACACCGUGGCGAAUCUGCAAGCCCCAGAUGUCCCCCACCUCCCACAACUCCUCCUCCUCCACCUCCUGCUGCUGCUGCUCCUCAUCCUCCCAGGCGGCCUCUUGCAGCCAACUCCAGAGCUUGUUGGCGAGGAUGGUGAACGGCGUCAGCUCCUCCACCCGGCAACACAGGGGAAGCACAGACCUUUCCUGGUUGGCGGUAUAGGUCAGGAUAGCAGGCAUGUUGCUAUCACAUGCCCAAAAGGUCCGGACUUCACGGUCGCAGGUUGCCCAGUGCCUGCUGCGGCAGCUGGAAGAAGGGCCCAGGGCUGGUGUUGCUGCACUGCUGCUACCCGGUGGUCGUGGGAGCUGAUUCCGGAGGCCGUCCAUCAUAGCCCGUGUCACAUGAGACACGGAGCCACCAGCACCGCAGCAAAGAUCUAACCGCUGCAGGACACCCUCGGGGGCCCCGCUGUAGGUGCCACCACUGCAGCCACUGCAGCCACUGCAGCCGCCGUCACCACCACCAGCGCUACUACUGGAGCUGCUAUUGCUGCGGCUUGUGCUGGGCCCUCCACCACCAGCCUGUGGCUGUGGCUGUGGCUGUGGCUGUGGAUGCAUUAGCCCCCGGCUGGCAGGGUGUGGUGCAUGUUGCCCCCUUAGCUCCCUUAGCAGCUCCUCCAGGAGGCCGGGGGAGGAGUGAGGUGUGGCGCCGGCGGCCGAGAAGAAGGGCCCGAGCGGCACCCGGGCAGCAGUGUCAUUACAAAGAUACCUGGGGCCACGCAGACUCUGCGGUAGCCGCCUUGGCUUCGCGUUGGAGGCGUUGGGACAGCUGUUGCUGCCCCGUUGCUUCUUGUGGCCGUGUUGGUCUUGAGCAUCGUUACCAACGUCAUGGCGGCGGCGGCGGCUGGGCAGGAUAUCUUCGUAGGCCUGUUCAAGCAUACAAGGUUUAGAAAGCUGUAAGGCUGUAGUGAUACAGCAGUAGUGAUGGGUACAGCAGCAACAGUAACGAAAAAACACAUAAGGUAGUGGUCGUGGUGGUCGUGGUGGUCGUGGUGGUGGCAGUAGUAGUUUUGUGCAGGAUGCAAUAAAAAUGGCGAGACUAAAUUGUGCGCCCUAUUUCAGGCUCUGAUAGUGUGCGGCUUACUUCUGUCACCCCUUAAUUUAUUGCUUGCUUGGUUGCUUGUUUGGGCUUCAAUAUCAGGUGUUAACAGAGUUGACCUACAUUCACGAUUGCCGGUGUAAGCAGAUAUAGGAGGCUGUAUACUAUACCGGAGCACCACUACUGCAGCUUUCCUGCAUGUAUAUAUAAGAAUCCUAAAACCCUCUAACCCUAUACAUAUAUAAAGGAUAGGCACUACUGGUAAGGCACGGACCAUUGCCCCCGGAAGAUCCCGGAAUCGAGACCUGUCAGGAUCGAAAAUCCUUCCGAUGGUGGAGGGAUGUUGAUCCUAGUCGAUGGACGGUGGUGACCUGGAAUAAAGUUGACUCGCGAGCCAACCAGGAAUGUAGUUCAGCCGCCGUCGAUCCGGCAGACUUCGCUGGAUGCUGGUGGUGGGUGCGGAACCUAAGCGAUCCACUGAGAAGUUGACUAGGGUGACUAGAUGAGGGUGCCCCGAAAUACCGGGGAAGGCAGGGUUUCGCCGGGUAGCGGCCACGGGUGAAGAUAUGCCCCCCUGUCCCACACACCAUAUAUGACAAAAGCAAGUAACCGACUCACCAUAAAGGCCUCGUCGUGCGUUUUGUCACACCACAACUGCUUGCAAGGACUACCGAUAGGCGGUCGGCCGUAGACGAUGGAUACCGGUCUGCGGGUACCGGCGGCAAGCAGAACCGCGUACGCAUGGAAAAUAGAAAAAUAGUAAAAUAGUGGCGAGGACAUCAUUAACAACAACAAUAAUGGGAGGAAGAGGAAGAGUAGGUGGCGCUGGGCCCCGCCGGCCAGGGAUGGAGGGGAAGGGUUCUCAGUGUGUGGUAGGCGGGGGCAGGCAGCGUCUGUGAGCCGUGCCUCAAGGCUUUUUCGUGCUCUUUAAGGGGGGCCCGCGCUGCCUUGUCAUUCCCCCCCCCCGGCAAUAGGUGAUUUGCUUUGUUUCCCGUUGGGCCGCGCCCGGGAGCCCGUAGCCCCCGGGAGGAGACAGCUGCGUGGACCGGGUUCUCCCGCGGGUGUGUGAGUGGACCGGUGAGGUGGAGUGGUGGCCGCCCUCGGGAGGUGUGCGUUGCGUGUGCUAGUCGAACAACUGGCCUUCAGGGACCAGCGUGUGCGCGCUAGCUUUGGGUUUGGUUUCUUUGUGCAACCGCGUCUCGGUGUUCGUGGUGUGGUGACUCAGGCCCGUGGUCCUCCGUGUGUGUCUCUUGCCUUGCGGGGUGUGUGGGUGUGUCCUUGGCUAGGGGGGUCAGCCCCUCGGAGGGGCCGUGUCUGGCCGGGGUAGGUCUUCCCUCACAGACCUCGUCAUUUGAGUUUGUGGCAAAGCCCCCUGUUUAGAGCCCCUGCCCCCGGUGGCGUUUUUCCUAUUCGUUUUUUGUUUGGAGCGCGAGCGGGCGAAUAGGCUGGCCAGGUGGAGUGGUGGAAGGAAGCGUGGUUGGGGACCCCUGAGGUGGUGUGGCGCCUCUCGCGCGGCUCUCGCUUAGAAUGUUUUGCUGGUUUGCUGUGUUGCCUAGCCAGGAAAUCCCUGGCAGGGACUGGGCCCGGUCAGCGCCCCCGGUGCCCUCAGGCAGGGCGACAGGGCCACCCACAGUGUAGCACCCCCUCAACAAUAACACUAAGGAAUAGCAACAACAAUAAUAAUAGUGAUGAUAAUAAUAGCUAUCACAUAUUAUAUAUAUACUAUAGUAUAGGGGGUCGCUCGUCGCGGUUACACAUAUGCAUGGAAGUAUCAAGCAUACACAUACAGGCAUGCAUCCAUCGACAUACAUACAUACACACAGACACACAUACACACAGACACACAUACACACAUACAUACAUACCGCCGUGCAUCAAAAGCUAGCUAACAAGGAUACAUGCACAUAUAUCGCGUACUUCCGGCUGUAGCAGUCUACGUGUAUGGUAUACAUGAUGAACACAUAUUGAGCCAUAUUGCUUUCCUCUCACCUCCUGAUUGACGACAUCUUCACCCGGUCCACAUACUCCCCGAAGCGGUUACUGCAGAGCCACACCCUCUUCUUGUCCACAGGGUCUUGCGGGAUAGGAGGAUCAAGAAAUUUGCGCUGAUCCAACUUGUCCUGGUUGGGUCUAGGCAGGGAGCACAUCCAACCAACCAUGCAUACAAAUAAACAUGCAUCGUAAUAAGAUGUUUGGAGUUCUGGUAAACUGUGAACGGUCAAGUACCGAUCGGCAGAUGUCAGGAUCCCGUGAUACACCCAGAAUACAGCACAUACCCUAUGAAGCACGAAAAGAUGAACAAGAUAUACAUGCAUGAACCACGAAUAAGAAUGUGCGCUAUGCAUGCUUGUUUUAAGCGGCAAUGUUUGAAGAAACACAAUUUUCCAAACGAAGUAAUACACUACUGCGUGCAUGUAUUAUCACGGCUACAGGAAAAGCGCACCGGUCGGCAAAUGUCAGGAUCCCUAGAUACAUACACCCAGAACACAACACAUACCUGUCAUUCUCCGUCUUCUUUCUGACCAACCAGACCCUAUCAGAGGUCUCGUUGUGCUGCAAAUCAGCAGUAUAUACAUAUAUGCACAUAAGAGUAAUAAUUCUUGGUGCCAAAAUCAUACCACGGCACGAUCUAUAAAAUAUUCCAUACCAUGUACAUGUAUCGAUACACGAUCGAUUCCUUGAUCGUAUCUAUGUUAUUAUACGGUCCUACCUAUUAAACGAUGACCCUGUCUAUGUGUAAUAACUAUUUCACCGAGGACGGGCGUGUAAACAUACAUGGAUUGAUGCAGGACAGACAUACGGCGGAUGCACGGCGCACAAAUACAUACAUACAAACACGGGUACAUGGCCAUGGACAGAUGCUCACACGCACGUACACGGAUACAUGGACAGGCCGGAUACACAUUUAGGCUGAUGAAUAUGUAGCUGAUGAACAGCAAGUGGCAUGGUGCUACCCUGGACUCAUGCCAGGGUCCUCUGGGCACGGCGGGUCUAUUAACUCUUAUCUGCGAUUUUUUUCCUAUAAGCUUGCAAUAUGUAUGGACAGGGCCGGCCCGCUCCAACCUACCCUGAAGAGCCACUUCCCCUCCACCUCCAUCUCCUUCAGCAUCUUGGCCUUCAGCGCAUCCGUGGCUACCUCCCAGCCCUGCACCCCAAACGUACAUGCACGCAUUUGCACGUGUGUAACGAAACGAAAGCGAUCGAUUGCAAAACCCGGUGUGCAACCCAGCAAGCCAGACGGCCAACCCACCUCAGGGCGAGGCACACGUGUCACCUGAAGGCCAGAUCAGGCAACAUGCAGGGCCGGUGGGGUUUGUGUGAGCAGCGAAGGGGUAGGCAGUGCGGUUAUUAUCCAGCAGUGGCACGCGAUACCAUCUAGCUAGGUGCGAUGAUGAUGAUGAUGAUGCAUGUAUGUGGUAACGAGAACUGUCGUGGCACCCUAUGUGUGCGGUACUGUCGCGCUCAUGUACACACUUCCACCUGAUCGGCUGUUUUCCUAUACAUGCCCCUGCAUGCGCUACUACUACUACUACUACUACUUCGCCUCGUGGCAUAUCAUUUCGCUCUUAUCUUAUCCUUUUUGCAUUUCGCCUAUCGCAUGUUGUCAUGCGUAAAUCUGCUGGGUUACAGCGCUCUCAGCUUGCUGUAGCCGUGACACGCACUUGCCACCACUGGUGGACCCGCGAGGGGUAUCGUGUUGGUAUCAUAGUUUUUGCAGUAAACGGCGAUUAUAUAUCUUGCGAUGAGGUCCUUUUCCCGGGUCGUACAGCACAUUGCUGCACAAUAAAUAGUCUUCGUUGAGACAUUAAACCUCCCUCCUACCUAUUUAAUCACGGAUCGGUAACUCUCACCACCACGACCAUACAAUUAAAUGGCGGUGGUGAUACCACAGGAACACAUACAGAGCUACAGUAAGAUGUGCUGGGGCAUACAUACCGGUACCUCCAGGGAAAACCUACACCCUAAUAGUAGUAGGGUUUUAGGGUUUUAGGGUACCUGGAAAAGGCACUCCCUAUUCGCUUGGGAGCCCUUCGCCAUCUCCACCCAGUAGGUAGCUCCUGGCAUUAGGGAGUUCUGCGCAUAUGAACCGCAUAUGCAUAUGUAGGGGGAUACAGGUGUAUGCAUGUACCCUGAUGGGCCGGGUAGAGUUAUUGCAAGGAUGCAUGCAUGCAGGCUGCUGGAUGGCGGAGUCGCCACCUGCACUGUGGGUUGCCUAAAUGGGUGAAGGCGGCGGUAGGAGGCCUUGUAAUGUUAAAAUAAUGACUUACAAGCCAGUGGUUGUGCCUGCUGCAGCGUGCGCGGGCUCAAUAUAAUAAUGAUGGAGUGAAAAUUGUUGUGGGGCAAAGCAGAUGAGGGAGCUGAUAGCACGUUCUACAUGAUCCGUUUUUUAACCGCAUGCUGGGCAUGCAGGACCUGCUGUACCCACGCACGGCGGGCCUGCUGGGCACGAUUAAUCAUCAGGACUGACCACGGCGUCGAGGAAGAGCGCAUCCCAAACAAUAUGUGACCGUAGACCGUAAAAGAUCGAGACAUCCGUCCUCGCUCAUGUCUUAACGCUCGCUUAACAUGAUUUUGUUUUGGCGGCCCUAACUUGAGCCUCCUGGUCGGCGCAUUAAAUCGAAAAGCCUAACUUGGACACGUAAAAAAAUAUACAAAAAUAGAUGCAUCGUACCAUAAAGUUAAGAUCAUCGUUCAAGUUUCCAGUAUCCUCCGCUUUGGAGGCCUCAGCGCGAAGCCUUGGCGAAUUCCUGGAUUUUCAAAGGUGUAAAUACAACGUCACAGUUUUUUGGCUGGUUUAGGAAAGGCAUCCCACGCACCUUGGCUGCUCCAUGUGAACCUAGUAGUGCUUGGACUCUAAAAUUCAUGCAUUAACAAAAUACGUUUAUCACUAUGAAUAUGUUGCACGUGCAUCGCGAACAUGGAAACAGCAAAGGUGAUAAUGCGAUGUGUGCUGCGCGUCUGGAACCACACCGUACGAGCUCGCUUGUCAGCACACAGAGCAUGAAAAUUGACGUCAUAAGAUGUUUGUUCCUUGCACAUUUAAAUUUUUAAUUGGGCUCGCGGUCCAUCAGCCGCCUGGUUCGUUUCAGCAUCACAAGGUCACUGAGGUUGUGAUAUGACAUAUUAUAAUCUUUUCCUGUCAGGUCUUCAGGAAACGAGGUCUCAAAAAAGGCAGCUAACUGGCUGUCACUUGCAUUCCUUGUUGACGUAGGCAGCGACCGGAUUUUCAUCUACAUGAAUACCAUUGAAGAUAAAGAUGUUGGUGGCGAUGAUAGAUAUGGUUAUUGUGAAUUUUGAUGUAAGGAGCGCCCCGUCAAUUCACGGCUCCUUCCGUCGCCAUCCCUUUGGGACAGGGCUUCUGCAAGGAGUGGACUUCGGGCUUUGGGUAUGAUGUGGCCUUGCUGGCAUCCCCAGGCCAUCCAUGCCAGUGUCGGGCUAUAAGCUCAGCACCGCAGCAGUUCCACGCCACACCAUGCAUGCCCCGCGCCAACCCAUCACUCCCCCUGCGUCUACCUUCUAAGUAGCAGCACUGUAAAUAUGCUUAACUGACCCACUCAGCACAAGGCAAGGCAUGCCCCUUAAGUUACGGCAUAUAUGUGAUAUCUCAACAACGGCGACUUGCUGUGAAGACAGCGGUCCGCUAACUCUGAUUCCCGUAAGGAAAGCGGUGCCCAGGACAGUGAAGGGGAGGGAAAACGGAAACAGAUUCAGGGCCGGGAUCCCUGCGAUCGGCCUACGCCCAAAUGGUGCAUGGACCUCACAGAAGCGGCUUACGGUUGGGAGGAGCGUGUUGCCUUAAGGACAAGCGAGGGCGGGAAACACGUUUAACUGGGCCGGCGCGUGGCUGACAAGGCUUGGGAACUUAUAGCGAGUUGAUAUGCCGGAGGGUUUACUGAAGAUGUUUGGCCAUCCAUGUGAGUUUGUGAGCACGGAGCAAUUAUGGUUGGGAGGCGGUUGGCGGUGGCAGCAGCACCAGAAGCAGCAACAGCAGCACCAACAGAAGCAGCAUUAGAAGCAACAGCGGAGCAAGAACUUUAGUAGGAGUUGUUUUAACGUGCAGGAAAUCUAGCUUCGCGCUGCCUGGCGGCCUGCCAACCAUUCUACGCUAAGUUUGUAGAAUGGAUGGCAGGCGGCCGUGUGUGCAUGCCUGCGUCAUGCUUGUACUUCACGGAUGUUUGGGGGAUGCAGUCCGUGGCCCAUGUCCUGUCCCCGUGUUUUCCCCCUUGGUUCGCCUCUCUCGGCCUUGCCUUGGUGAGAAGUGUUGCCGUCGGGGCGCUGUGGCCACCAGAGGAGAUACCCCAUGUAAGUGUACGGCGUUUUCGGUGUCCGUGUUAUGGGUCAUGAAUCUAAUCCUUUGUAUAUAUUGCGCAAGUCUACUCUAGGUGUCGUACCGUCGUGGCAUAGUUGCACGCCGUGGCACGGCAAUAGACACGUCACACGCUGACGUGUCCGAACACACGCGUCCUCCUUGCUUGCACCUCGUCAUCUGCCACAUGAACCUGGGUCUGCAAGAUGAGGACACACCGCGGUCUUGCUGGGGCUGCUGCUGCUGCUGCUGGCGCUGGAAGUACCGAAGGUAAGCGCCUUCGAGAGCUGCCACUGCUGGCACGUGCGUACGGCGAACAACUUGCAAACAUACGUACGGCAGCGACACGGUGGUGUUGCAAAAGGAAGGUCCCCCGGUGGCAGAGGUGAAGACUAUGGCAGUCCUUGCGGCGAAGGCAGUUCUGGUGCCGGUGGCAGACGAUGAUGUGCUGUGCAUAGAUAAGGUGCUAUCAUUUUUCAUCACCCCGUGGGGGUUGUAUCUGGUGUCGAGCCCCGCGGGGAUCGGCUCACCCUGGGGCCGUUGUCCUGUAUUCCACUGCCCGGGGGAUGUGCUCUGUAGAGGUGAAGACCCAUUGCCGUGGCGGGUCCGGGGUGCUCGUGGCGUCGGACGGAUCUGGUCCACGCGCAACAGCAAGCAAGCGGGUUGAAGAAAUCCGUUUCAGUUGAAAUAACGGUUGGAAGUUCGUUGACCGUGUAAGAUCGAAUGGGAGAGGCAAGGCAGAAAGGGCACAACAACUGAUGCUUGAGUGGAUGCCAUGCGCUGUGUGACUGUGCGAGUUAGUGUGAAAGUGUUAUUCUAGGCGAAGGGGGAAAAGGGAGAGGGCGGCAUGGCCCCGCUGUGCUGGCUUUGCUGCCUAUUACCGCACACCUGUUACUGUUACCGACAUACCUCGACUAAUGCCCUGCGUUUGUAGCUACCAUACUUCUUGCUUAGUAUCCGUGCAGCCAGGUAGUAUCGUCCCUAGGUCAUCCUCCCUGCCACACCUAACCCCAUUUCCAACCCUACCUUGCCCCAGUCCAGCCCAUUGCUCAUCUCCCCUUUUCUCAUUGAUUGCCUUGACACGCGGGGAUGUCGCAUCUCUACUGAUGUAAGCGGCAUCUAUGCAGUGUAACGAAUAGCCACCGUCGGAUAACAUCCGGCAUCAUGCCUGACUGAAUCGGGGCUUGGGAGAACAGUGCUCUAUCUGUGUCAGGGCUUCAGGAUAAGUCAGCUUCAUUUGGCAAGCGCCACGCCCCCCUAUCAGGUGCAUCAUGCAACACUUUCAUGCACACACCCACGACACAGCCAAAAGCUCAACCCUAUGCCGAAGAACCAGCGAGCCCGCAAAGCUAUGAAUGAACCAGGUCGACGGCCAAUUCAGAACACACGACGUCAAGCUCCAAAAUGACGCCCCCCCCACACUGCUUAUUCUCACACCGCCAAAGCGCAAGUCAAGGAAUUAACCGUCACCGGGAAUAGCAGCCAGUCAUGUCCAGAUCACACGGCAAAAUGGACAACCAAGGACGCCUCUCGACGACUUGUCCGCAUUGGUGUGUUUCUCAACACACACCAAUGCGGAAAGGCAACAGGUAAAAGCAAGGGGCAACACACAUGCCUAGGUCAUGUUCGCCUGACGUUUUCACGGAAGCAAAAUUGCUCAGUCCUCCUGGCCCUCCUGGCAUCCAAAACCUUCCAGCACCAGCCUCCCCACGAACACACGAACGGCAGUUACCGCCCUGUCCAUGAAUCCAGACAGCCAUGCACGCACGCAUACACUACUACUUCCGUUGCUGACCCGCAGGCCCUCCGCCUCCACCUCUUCCCGCUGCUACUGCAGCUCCUUUGUUCCGGGAGGCCGAGGGUACCCAGGGAUGCCGGUCGCUGAUGACCUUGCGUUUCCGCGCCUCCGCCUCCAUCUGCUCUGGGGUGAGAUGCCGCUUAGGGGGGACCGGACCAAACUGCUUCACGAACUGGCCCCGGCGGAUGCGUGCUGCGUCAUGGACUCGGGCCUCCUCCUCCUCUUCCAGGAUCAGCGUGCUGCGGUGUGGUAUCGGGCAAGGGAAGGGUAGGAAGGAUGGGUGGUGGAAGCCAUAUUUGCAGAAUGCAAAAAAUCAGUUGUUGGCGUAUGGCGAGGAAGGGUCCGGAUAGUAUAACACACAUGCUCCUGCGCAUAGUAUAUAUGUAGAAAGGAGCCCCUUGCAUCGCAUCAGCAGCACCCCACGUUCUGCUUUCCCCAUUCCGUCUUGAGGUAGGCGGUAUGUGCCCUUUCUGAUGAUGAUGAUGCGAAACAGCAUCAAAGAAGGUUUCGGAUAGGCUGCAGUUGGGACACAAAACUGCACGACAGACAACAGAUCUAUAUUGCACACACACACACACACACACACACACGCGCGCGCGCACACACACAUCCGCCCCAAAUCCAAGAAUGUCUUCCACUCUGCCGAACCACUUUUUUCAAUAGUAUUGGCGGUGUGCCGCCCUCGCCACCUCCUACUUGUGGCUCAGCUCCUUAACACGCAUACACACGCACACGCACACGCACACACACACGGGGCGGCCGAGCAGCACGCCCCGUGUGGGAGCUCAUGUGGGUCAAGGGGGGGAUCGGGCUGUGCGGCACACGGGCGGGGGAGCCGCUGGGAGCAACGCUAAGACCAACCCGGUCUGCGUGAAUAGGCUGAUCCGCAAAAGAAGGUUCGAGGAUUCGAUCCAGGGUUCACGAAAAGGAGAAACCAGACCUGGUCCCCACCCACUCUUCCUCUAGACCUUCGGAGUCCCCCGGAUGCAGGCGGUGCAGCCUCAACUCAAUCGAACUCAACUAGUACCCCACUGACAUCGAUCCCCUCGUCGUCCUCCUCCUCCCCCCUGUUCCCCACCCCUCCCACCUCUCUGCCUAAGAUUCCCCCCUUUCCACCUCCUCCUAACCCUACCCCAACCCCAAGGUUCUCACCUCCCGCCCACUUUCGCCAGCAGCUUCCGCUUGAGCGCCUCCGUUGCCUCGAUGCUGGCCAACUUGUCCCGGGCAGACAGCGGCACCUCCGAUAGAGUGGACACUAGACCGGGCAGCACAACCUCCUGCUCCAGAGUAUUCUUGAAGUCGGCAGGCACAGCGUACAGCUCCGCCUCAAUCUGAGAGCAGACGGAAGUUAUAGUUUUUUGGGUUUCAGUUUGGGGCAGUUAUUACCUGGGUUGCUUCGUGCGGAGAUGGGGAUUGGUGUUGGAAUGUGACCGACACUCAUACACCAGAGAGUGGUAGCAGCAGCAAUAGGGGACCCGGGAGGAAAGGUCCGGCGUUUUGCUGGUCUUAACAAUUGAAUUAUAAAAGAGGCGAAAAGGCUUCUCUGCGGCCGGAGGAAAGCAAGGGCAUCCCUCCACAAGCCGCAAUUGGUCCCUUCUUAGGAUUCCCCCUUCCGAAUGCCCCAUGGCUUUUCCACCACCGGAUCACGUCCUCCCCUCGCCCGCAUAUCCACGUCCCGCCCCGGUCCCGUCCCGGUCUGCUUGUCUUUCCUAGCAUUGAAAUGCACCUGAAAACACACACAUAUACAUACAUAGAUAGAUACAUACGCAUGUAUGCACAUCAAUACACAGACACGCACAUCAAUACCCCGAUCUCCCCUCAUCCGCGCCCUUGAUCACCUUUCUCUUCUUUGCUUCCGGGUCCAGCUCCUCAUCUUCGGACACUUGCGCGGCCGUCUUCCCCAGUCGCACCGCCAACUGCUCCUCUAUGUACUUUUGCCUGUUGUUGCGAAGCAACAUAGAAGAUAGCAGAUGGCGGCGAUAACAGCUAAGGCAGUGAGGAGAGCCAAAAGACUGCAGUUACACGGGUGAAAAGCAGUACCAUUGCUGUGGGUACCAUUGCUAGGCAGGACAGGGCAAAAUCGCAUCACAUCACAUCACGUCAGAUCACAUCACGUUCUCAGCUGAUGUGCGCAGGUCAAUCAAGUUGCAUCAGCAUCAUCCGGCACUCACAUGGCCUGUACGGCACAUCACAAGUGAUGCUGCUUCCCUGUGCUAGGGGGACGUGUCGUGACGGGGUCGGAAAUGGGGUGGUAGAGCGCGCGUGCGCGUGUGCGUGCGCGUGAGAAUGUGUCGGUUGCAUAGGACAGACACUAUCUUGGGGAUGAAGGAUGGUUGUCGGGAUUGCUACUACUGUGCGAAUCUGUGUGUACGCGUGGAUGUACAUGUGUAUAUGCUAAGGAUAGGGCUAUGUAGGUAGUUUAGGGGACGGAGAGAUGGAUGGGGUGUGCAAAGAGCAAAGGGGAGUGGGGGCAGGGGAAUCACCAGGCCUGAGGGGACCCCCGCUCUGUGCGUGGGAGAGGGGUAAGACGAAAACCUGGCGCAUGAAGCAAACACCAGUGUAAACGGAUAGAGCGUGGGAGAGAAGAGGGAAAUGCUGGAAAAGAUCUUGGGGCCUCUUGACGAGUAAACAACUCUCUCGUUCCUCAACCCAGGCACAGUCUUGCGUUACGCUCUCUAAAAUAUGUAUAAAAUACAUAACACGAAUGCAUAAAUCAGUGUAUGGCUGGGCCAGGUUCCGUCGGGAUGUGCGUGUGCUGAGGGCGAGUGCGCCACACGCCCGCGUCACUCGGGCACAUCGCCUCCUUUAAGCCACCCACAUGUGCGCAUCCUCGUCCUGCUGCGUCGCUAUGGACUUGGCCUUGACGUAGGUAUCCAUGACGGGCGCCGUGCCCCCGGCAUCGGAAGGUCCUUCAUCUGCUGCGGACUGGGGCUCUGUUGAGCCAGCACGGACCCCACCCCCGCCACCGCCGCUGUUGGGCCCUAUCCCUGGCCCCGCCAGCCCCAUGGCCAAUGCCCCAGCACUGGCACCUGCUGCCCUCUUCCGAAGCUGCUGCAUGAGCCGGGUCUCGGUCAUCUUGUCCCUGAGCCGGGCAGGGCAGGGCAGGAGCAGGGAAGCGCGUGGCAGGACAAAGGAGGGUAGGGCGGGAUACCAUGAGGAGGGAGGGAAAUCGGUUUGGGUCCUGUAUAUGCAGGAGGAAGGGGAUUCUGACCGGCUGGCCGCGGCUGGCCGGGCGCUGCACGGGAAACAGUGCACAGGCGGUAAGUGCAGCUAACAGUGGGACUGAGAUAGUGGUGACGGACAGGGCAAAAGGCGUUGCGGCAACAUCGAUCGGCCAGGUAGAGGGUCCUUAUUGUGCUGUGCUGCCCGGGCGGCCUGGUCAAGAUGGCGGGAAAGCGGGAAAGUGUGAGUAAGGGAGGGCAGUAGAGGACCUGGAAGGAUGUUGGGGCGCUUGGGGACCUGGCGCAUAGAGGCUACAUGGUUCACCCGCACGCCAACAAUUCGAGGAGUUGGAGGUUAUGUUUCCCUCUAAGCCCCUGGUAGCCAGCCAAUGGGACUCGCCAACCUCGGGAGGAGACCAGGUCAUGGAGGCUGUUCCGGCAGGAACUCGCCAAUGAGCGUCAGCCGUUGGGAUCCCUUUUCCCCCAGGAUUGCGUGUGCUACUCGUAGCGACAUCUACCACAGCAUGUGUACAUAGCGCAUGGAUUUCGAUUUGAAGAGGACCCAUUUGAGUAAAGCACGACUGCGGUUGAGUCAAUUCCGGGACUCUUACCUCUGGUAUUCCACCUCGCCCUCGCCAUCUGGGCCGCUCUCGGGCUCCUCUGACAGAGCCUUUUUUCGUAAGUUGCGCUGCUUGGACAUCUCCGGUGCCGCGCUUAUGCUGCGUGCCGGAAUCGACGUCUGCACCUAAAAGCGUCGUGCGAAGAUAAUUUAUAACAUGGACCAAAGCUUUGUUAAGUAUUCAUAAUUAAAAUGGCACGGACCAAUUAGGGUAGGCAGGAGAAAGCUUAAAAGUUAAGGUAUCAAAUGUUUUCUCCUGGUUAACUUGGCAGCGACAUAAUUUGGACAGAGAUUCUGGUGUCUGAAUUGGAAUUAUUCAAACCUUGCAUCGCGGUCAGUCCCCGCAUAUUGCAUAGAGCGAAUAAUCACUAUAAGGCCCUCAACGAAAACGGACUGACACAAACGUGUGUGUGUGUGUGUUACCGCUGCACGACAUGUGCCCUAUUUCAACUUUCGAGGUUAUCGGUCUGACCGUCCUGCUUAUGCCCCUGAUCCCCCCUUUUCCCAUUGCACAGCGCGGGCUCGGACAAGCCUAAGUGCGGUGCAUUACCGGUGCCAUUUCCGUGGCGGGUUUCGUCGGCGAAUGGAGGGCGAUGACUUUAGCGUCCCCCAGACACGUGUACGGUAGGUUUGGGAUCGCAGGGGUAUCAAAAUGUCCAUCCCGUCUGUCGUACCGUCGUGCGAAGCACGUGGUGUUUUGUGCCAUGCUGUGUCGGGCAUUCUCGUGCUAUCAUGUUUAGCUGGCGGCUGGCAGCAGAAGCGGCAGAAGCGGCAGGGACAGCCAUCGUAUCAAAGGCUUUCGGAAAGGACUCUAGCGUGCAGCAAAUCCAGGUCACAACUGCCGGCCGCCUGCCAAGCAAGAUAUCGUAAUAUGUAUUCCUGUAUACCUGGGCCAUGUUUGCAUGGCAUUGGUGUUUUCGAUUCGCAAUCCGUGACCAACAUCCUGUCCCCUUGUUUCCCCUUUUUGGCGCUCCUCACUCGGCCUUGGCUUGGUCAGGAUACUGCAGCCAUGCAUCAGAGGAAGUACCCCAUGGUCAGUGUACGGCAUUACGGUUUCAGCCUCGUGGGUCGUUGAUGUACCGCUUGUUGUACUGUGCACGACUGCCGUACUGUGUCGUACCGUCGGGGUAGAAUUGCGCACUUGGUAUGCCGUGAUCCCGUAAUUGAUGCAUCACACGCUGACUUGCCCACUCAUACGCCCUCCCCGCUUGUUUCUCACUGCCUGUCCGCAUGAACCUGGGCCUGCAUUCAACAUGAGGAGACAUCGUGGUCCUGCUGCUGCUGCUGCUGCUACUGCCGGAGAUGAGUACCUUCAAGAGCUGUUAGAGGUUGACAUGACAAUUCAGCGAACAGGAGGCGGUGCGCUGGUCUGGCAGCGCCCACAAUGGGCGAUAUGCCGCAUGAACGAUACCUGGAGCUGCGCUGCACCAUCCUUCAGACAUGCCUCAAAGGGCCCCUCCGCAAGGCUACUCGCAUCACUCCGCUCUCCUGAGCUAGUCCAAGACUUCAGCCACACUUGACACCCAUACAGCAGUAUUGGUCGUACCUGCGUAUCAAAACAGCUCAUCCUGACAUCUGGAGCGAACAAGUUUAACUUAUCCAUUAUCGUACUCAGCACGAACAUAGCUGCCCUAGCUGUGUCGUACAACUCCUGGCAGUAGGCACGAAACGGUCGUUCCGGUCCAUACACUAAACCCAGAUUUCGCGCACCCUCCUUAGCCGGUACGGCCUCACCAACUAGCAUCAGCUCAUUACCCGAUGCUUGAACAGCACUCCUUGUGUCGCUGUCGCUCGUAGAGACGAGGCGUUCAUAUUUCAACACAUUUGUCCGCAUCCCCAAAUCGUCACAUGUCCACGAUUUUGAGCAGCUCCGCCAUGCGCUCUGGUGUCGUUGGCAGAAGACUAACGUCAUCAGCAUAGAAGAGCAUAGAGGAGGAUGGACACUCGCUCAUUUCCAACCUUCACUGCAUCCUUCGGCCGUGCCCUGGUGUUAAUACCGUCAUGCAUAUCAAUGACAUCCGCAAGAGUUUCAAGGAAAAGUCCAAACAACUCAGUUGACAGCGGACUGCCUUGUUUCGCACCCUGUUUUGACUCAAAUUCGCCCCCAGUCUUGUCAUUCGUCUUGAUGGCCAAAUUUAAGUUUAUAAGGUUUCGGGGAUGUAAUUGUCCGGGUCCCCAGCGCUCGCGGUUUGGUUUAACGAACGAUUAACUAGCCUGACUCCGAACAUCACUCGUUUGUUUGGAGUAAAAUUGAACCUCGCUAAACGAAAUAAACUGGCUGCAGCAAGUUUCACCCGCUACCGGGGGGCUUUCUGUGUCGGUAAUCUCUUAUGCAGUCUAGCCUUGGCAUUUCUCUUGUUCAGAUUGGCUGGAGGAUUCGGGCACAUGCAGAGAGUAAGCUUGUCGUAACUUUAGUUGUGAUCAGAGACACUUAUCGCCGAGCGCUCCCCGCGUGGACCUUCUGGCCUUUUCCCACGUUGACUUGCGGCCAACUACUUGCGUCGAGCUGCUGCUGCUGUGACGUGCAAGCACGAUCGGGUGAAUAUCCCGUCGAGGACCCUGGCGCCUAAUUUUUGUGUCUCGCUCCCCGCUCCCCGCUCGUGAUCGUCACUGUUGCCCUUUCCUUGGCUGAGUGUCAGCAUGGCCGCCGGUUGGGGAUGCUAUAAAGACCUUGUUACAUUAAUAAUCGUGUUUCAGUUGUAUCCUUAUGUAGUUAUGAGAUUAAAACGGGGCGGCUACCAGUGAAGCCGCAGCGGCAGCGCCCUGGCUCUCACGCGUUCGUGUUCCAGUGUCAACUCAGUGUAUUUGUCAGCAUCUUGGGCACCCUAAUCCAGCAUGGCUUUCGGAGCUCUACAUUAUGCCGAUUAUAAAAAUACUCUUCCUAUGUGUUUGUUUUUGAGAAAGUGCUGAGGUAUGGAAAGAGGUAUGGUCUUAGUCAUUAUCGCCACGCUCGCAAAGUUACUAAGUUGAUGCGGAGCAAUGCUAUAAGACUAAUGUCCCAAGGGCAAUGCUGUAAAUUUUCACAAGUUACGCCAUCACAUGCCCACGAGCGAUGACGCCGUGAGCCCGUCGGUUGGCGACGCCACGGUUCUUCGUUUAGCCGUUCCUGGGCCGCAACGUCUGUACCCUGAGAGUCAGUGGCACCAUAGAUUGUUUUUUAAACCACUACUGUGCUGUCCGGCGACUGAAGUUGGGUUUCUGGGCCUGCUACGCACAGCGUGCCGUACCGCAGCCGACUGGAAGUUAGCUUGCAUGCCGUCCACAGGCCAGUUGAACAACAAAUGAUUCAUAAACAGAAUAAAAAGCUUUGUGCGGCGGUAACCCUUAUGACUGUACUUCAUUUACAAUUCGCUGCGAUUUUCUUUUUCAGUAUCGGCAACAUGGCCAGAGGCCGGAUGCCUCCUGUUAUUGUAGUAGCUUUAAUAGCUUCCUAUGUUAGCGUCUCGGCUGCUCAGCUAAUUGCGCCUUACUUCACUUCGUUUGAAACCGGGCAGGAUGGCUGGGGCGUUCUCGUCCGCAACUGGGCAUGUCCUUGCCCUGAGGCCACGCUCAAUUUCUCUAGUCCUACUGCCAAGCUCUCUGGUGCUGCUGGCCUUCAGGUUUCCAUCACGGUAUGUUGGUCGUCACAGGGCCUGACAAAGCUUCGUUGCUUCAACUUGCCAAAAUGGCAAUACUGAACAUGUAGCACUCCAAUACCUUCGUCAUGUAAUUAAAUAAACUAGGCUUUCCUAUGUAGUUCAUGUCCGUGGAGAAGAGGGGACGUUUGUGUAGCUGGUUUUCAGUUUCUGCUCGCCAUUACUGUUGUGCUUCCUUGUUGUGCUCCAGCUUCCAACGCAAGCGAUAUAUUCCAGGAAUAUAAUCCAAUUAUAAGAAUAACUCGCUGUCGGGCAUUCAGGUACCGUCCGACCAAGGAUGGCAUGUCCAAGCCAGGUCGCCGCAGUUCAACAUGACGGCCGGAAAUGUAUACACCGCUUGCGUCUGGCUGCGGGCCGCUGCAACCCUGGGCGGUGCAGGAACCGUAUCCUUCAGCCUCUUGACGACGAACACCUACGAGACGCUCGGCUGGGCGGGGACAAACGUGAGCGCAACGUGCUGACCUGACGCGCUGUUCCCGAGCCAACAAUGAUUUCAAUUGAUAUAAUGAAAACGCACGUACCCGCUGUUUGCUUCAUAAUUCAGGUUGGCACAAAUUGGACCCAGCUAUGCAUGAGGAACAUCGUCCUGAAUGUCAGUGCAGUGACGUACUAUACGCUGGACUUCGGACUCAACACGGGCUCCGUGUUUGUCGACGACAUGAAUGUAACCACCGGGUAAGGAACCGGUUUCGACGGCCUCGAUCGGAUUUGAUCUGGGUUGGAUCGGAAUGGAUCCACCUAGAUCUGGGAGGACGGGGCAUCCGUAGAGAGUCUCGGCCUUAGCGAUGCAAACAAGGCUUGCGGCGGGUGCAUGGCUGGGCAAGGGGACGAGGACGACGGGGACACAGGACGGGUCGGGUGCAGCGGGCCGAUAACUAGAUCGGGAUCAGUGUACAGAUUGCUAGACCGCAGGUUUUGGUCCACGGGGACUGCCAGUCCCUGACACGGGGACUGUGGCAGGGCCUCUGAGGACGACCCACAUCGGGCGGGUAGAUGUCCCGUGAAACCAUUUUCCGGUUUGCUUGCAUUACAUCAUGUGCGUUGUAGAUCGUCCAGAAUCGUCCUGAAGCAGCCCGCCGUCGGUAUUAAGAUAUUGCUGCUACGGGGCUCACGGCAGCCAAGCUGGGAUACGGAUCAUUACUGGAAAAAACGUUGACCUUUGCACCCUUGCACCUUGACACCUGAUCAACAGGGCGAUGCCGUCACCGUCACCGCCUCCGUCGCCAUCCCCGAUUGCCGCUCCCCCCGGCGACUCCCUGGUUCUGAUCAACACCUCGUUCGAGGCGGGUCAGCAGUCCUGGUCGACACUAGUUCGCAACUGGGCCUGUCCCUGCCCCCAGGCCACGUUUGACUUUGCAAGCUCAGCGGCCGCGUACACGGGAAGCAAGGGCGUCGAAGUCAAUGUGCAGGUGGGUAACAUCCACAUGCUUGGACUGUGUAGCAUGCGGUGUACGGCAGUGUGCCUUGUACGUACCUUAAUGUAUAAUGUAGUGACUCAGGCAUGUUUUCCCACAUUAGGACCUUUAGGACCCUGUUUUGGACGUAUUGCUGCGAUGGCGAUGAUGCGGUUGUAAUAGGGACAUGAUACCCAGCCAUUCGAUGACAUGUGUCGGCGGUUUUCGUGGAAAUUGGGCUUUUACUGCGCAUGUAUGCAUGCCCGUACGUGCGUUUUAAUAAACACAAAGAGGAAGUACAAAAAUGCAAUGCCGUACGUGUUUCUACGUGUGUAUUUGUGUGUGUACCCGUACGACGCUGCGCCUGUUGCAGGUGCCUUCCGACCAGGGCUGGCAUGUUCAGCUUCAGAGUCCGCGCUUCAACGUGUCCAGCGGUCAGCGCUACACGGUCUGUGUGUGGCUACGGGCCGCAACGGUCCCCCUGAUGACGGGUAGCGGCAAGAUGUCCAUGAGCCUGCUGAAGACGGAAACAUACGACGGGCUUGGAUGGGCGCAAGCAACGGUGAGAGAAUUCAAUUCCGUUACAGUCAGGAAACUAUCCAUGCAAGCUGCUACCCUGUUCGUGUGCGGUUGUGUGGACGGUGUAAUGGAUCUAAUGAGGAAAGGGAAGGAAAGGGGAAAAGAAAGGAACGGAGGGACGCGAGUAGGUUCGUGCAGCUGCCUGCUGCACAUGCAAGUGCAGACAUGUUUUGUUGACAAAUAGGAAUUAUUUCUGCUCCACUGGCACUUUAUUUCUAUUUUGGCUUAGGUGGUAUCAUAAAUUUUUCUCCCUGGUUGCUGUACAUUCUCCGAUGCGUUCGUUCCAGACACGCGCAUGCGGUCCAGGUAUAUUUGAGUGUUGCAGAUUGGGUGGCUUCUGGGCCAUACGCCGGGUAUAGAAGCUGUCCACCUACCAGGCUUGUACGUGUGUAUGUAUGCUUCCUUUUGCUGAUUUGGGUUGCACGUGGAUUCGCUGCACGUGAACUAUUUGGUGGGUCGCAGGUUACCACGAGCUGGGCCCAGGUGUGCCUAGCGGACGUGCUGAUUUCCAUCAAUGCGACUGUGUACGUGACGAUUGAUCUGGGCACCAACACGGGCAUCUAUCACCUGGAUGACUUCACCGCCAUUAACGGGUGCGUGACGAGCGCAAGUAGAGCACACGGUUGGGAUGCAGGAACGGGUAAGACGGGUAAGGCUUUGGGGUCUCGUGCAGAUACCAAUGCAGGUGUGAACAGAAGUACGGCAUUAGGUACAGGUAUAGGCAAGGGCAAUCAGACCAGAUGUGGAUCCAAAAAGAAAGUAUGUCUCAUGGCUUUGUGCUGGGAUGGGCGGCGAUGUCGAGCGAUGAACGCUGGUUUGUUUGUUAUGGUUGCAGGAGGAGCAGCGGCGGCAUUAGCAUUCCUGCCACUAACGGGCCCCUGACGGCGCCGUACUCGACGUCGUACGAGUCUGGCCAAGCUAACUGGAUUGGCAGCAAGAAGAAUACGUCUACGGCCUCGUUUAACUUCUCGAGCUCGGCGGCAAUGCGUACGGGAAGCAACGGUGUCGAGAUUGCCGUACAGGUGAGGUGGUGAAUAUUAUUGCGGUGCAACAUGAAAGGAUGUGGCGAUUCGGCGGCCGUUUGCUUUGUGACUCUAAGCAUUUAGAUUUGGUUUUUCAUAUUUCUCAUUCGUAAUACAGGUACCGUCAGUGGAGCGGUGGGACAUUCAGCUACAAUCUCCCCGGUUCGCCAUCAACACUAGCUUCAUGUACACGGGCUGCGUCUGGCUACGUACCCCUGGGGGACUGAGUGCUGGCAACCACGUGCCGUUUGUGAUGCUGGAGGAAGGCACGUAUGCCAUGUUUUCAUCGGGACAAGCACUGGUGCGUAAGGUUACCGGGAUAACAGGAAAUGUGGACGGCCUGGGCGCGGGCGAAUAGGUGGAUGGGCGGACCGGUGGAAUUGUGCAUGUGGGGUAUGUGGUUGGGCUUGGAUGCUGGCACCGGCGGUGAUCGGACGAUGGCUUGACAGGGUGCGGUGUUGCCACCCGGUGAUCUGGUGCCAGCACACACACCCCGGCGAUGACCCCAUGUGGGACUUUAUCGGCCUUUGUGGGCCUUGCGGGUAGUCCAUUUCAAGUGGGGGGUUGAGAGGGAUUUGCGUGUGAGGAGGAGGAGGGGGGGGAGGAGGAGGAGGUGGUGGCAGGUGCGCCAAAGCCCAGCUCACUGAGCCUGGCUCACACACCGUCUGCCAGCAGCAUAUCACACAGUCGCUACAACCCACCCCAACCCGGCAGACGCACCCCAAUACCCCCUUGAACCCCGACCCAACGACCCGGCAUAUAAAACCCGAAUCCCGAACCCCCCUUCCAGUAUGCAGGUGACUCCGGUUUGGAGCCAGGUGUGUGUGAUGGACUUCCGCCCCAGUCGCAACACGAGCGCGUUCUUCACUUUGGAUUUGGGUCGCUUCGUUGGAACUGUGUACGUGGACGACUUCACCUUCACGGCCAGGUCGGUUGACAGUUGGCCUCGGUUGGUUGGUUGAUUGGUCUGUUUAUUCUGGUUUUGUUGGUUGGUUGUUGUCUCGCUCUUCCUUCGCUUUCCUCUUUGCCCUGCUUCCCUAUCGUACAUGUUAAACGCUAGCUAACCUACAUCUUUACCAGGUAGCUCAAGACCUGGCAUCACCCUCACAAUUUGCCCUUUGCGAAUUUCCUUUAGUAAGAUCAUCUUCCUGUCGUUUCGUGCAUCUACCCCCGUCUCCGCUGCCUGUUACCUCAUAACCCGACUUUCCACCUUGUCUAAGUGGGGCCCUAUAACCCGAACCCUCCCCCGUCCCCACCUGCCAUGCCCCCUGUCUAAAGGUCGAACUAUAACCCGGAAGAGGUGACUUAUGUGAGCUCAGCGGCCAUUGCCGACCGGAUCAACGCACACCGCAAGGGCAAUCUCACGUUUAACUUUGUAAACGGUACCACCGGCCAGCCCAUAACUCAGGUACGUGGGUCGGUCUGUGGGGAGCUGGGUGGUGUUGGUAAUGAUAGUUUAUGGGUGGGGGGAAGUGUAUGCGUGCAUGAAUGCAUGAAUGCAUGCGUGCAUGAAUGCGUGAAUGCAUGAAUGCAUGUAUGCACGCUCAACGUAUACCUGUGCACUUCACUUGACUCUCAUUGGCUCAAUGGGUGCGUAUGUGGCUGCUGACUCUGGGCGCUAUGUACCCCAUGAGACCUCCUCACUCCAUGUAUGUGCACACUAGCUAACAGAAUCGUAACAUCCCGUAUCACACACGUUACCAACCCCAUUUUUAACCCGUAUUAUUCCCGUACAAUUUACUUCAAAGCAGCCUGUGACUCGAUUGGAAGUUCGCCUGGCUCGCCACGACUUCCCAUUUGGAACGGCGAUGGAGUGGGAGAGUGUCCCUACGGAGAAGCGGAGCUGGUAUCUAGAGAGGGCCAAGUACCACUUCAACGCCCUCGUCCCGGAGUGGUCGUUCAAGUGGCCGGUGAGGAAGUGCUGAGGAGGGGCGUUGGGGGGCGGUGGCGGGGUUGGAGGGAGUGAAGGGGAGCCUGAGUGGGCAUUUGAUGUCAGCCAAAUGUCCAUUACGCGCGAUACGCGCAAUACCCACGUGUAACAAAGUAGCUAACUAACUAAGCAACAGGUUGGUUAUUGUUGUGGUCGCCUGAUGGUCUCCUUUCACCAGCUCCUUCACCAACAUUAUUUCCCCAUCUUCCCGGGCCAUGCCUUGCCUGUGCGAUACUCCAAACUGCUGACCUCACUCACCCUGCCUCUUCCCGCUUGGUUUUCCCGCUCCCUUUCGCACCCUGGGGACACGCGCAUGAAACACACACACACACGCGCGCGCUCAUGCAUCUUCUGACAGUCUGUGGAGCCCUCUAAGAACAACACGGCCUAUCGGUACGGCAAACUGAUGUCCGACCACGUGCAGUUUGCGGCUGACAAUGACUUCGUGAUGGCACGGGGUCACACUUUGGAGGUGCGCGAUGACGGAUGGCCGGGAGGGGAACUGGCCGGGGGUCGUGUGUGUAUGUAUGUCGUGUCGAGGCGUAUGUAUGUGCGUGUGUCGCGACGGGGUUCGCCUUUGGGAUUGUAAUUUGCGCCAAUGUAUGUCAGGCCAUUGUGUUCCCUUGAGUUUUGGUUAUCUCCCUUUCCAUAUCCCUUUCUCCAUUCCCCCCUUUCUCCCCACCCCUAACCCCCUCAGUGGCUCAUUCCGAGCCCGAGCUUUGGCGACCACUGGUCUCGUCUAGAUGGGUGUGAUGCCUACCGCACCUAUUUGGAGACACGCAUCAGGCGGGAGGUCACGAACUUCAAGUAAGUCGUGUAGAAGUGUAGUAGUGGCGACGUGGAAUGCGAGUCAGCGCGGAAUGCGCGUCGGUGUCCGGUUUGUGUAGACGGCUGCCGCUGCUGAAAUGGCUCAGCAACAGAUGAUGAAACGACGAGGCUUUUGUGUUUCUCCUCCAGUCAUCCUUCGGUGGUUCAUGCGGAUGAUGCGGUAUGUAUGUCUUCUCACACCCGCCCUCUCUGUCCUCGUCCGAAGUACCCCGGCUCCCAGUUCCCACCAGCGGUCGAGCGUCUUGCCGUGCCGUCGCGAAACGUUUGAGCCUUAACCCGUUUGUACCUUCUGUUCGUGCGUAUGUUUACUUGUUUGCUUGUUGCUGAACUUGCAGGGGCAAGUUCAACUCGUACGACGUCUUCAAUGAGAUUAGUAAGUGCCACCAUGAUGCGCGCGUGCGUGCGUGUGUGUUUUACAGCUUGACGGAGCGUGUAUUGCUUGUAUUUAUGUUGUUACAGGGUGGUAUAGCUUCACCAGCGACCCCCUGCUUGUAUGUAUGGCUGAUGCAUCCAAUUGCAUGUACGCAUGCAUACUUGCAAUUACACUGCACUUCACCGCACUGUACUGCAACUGUACUGCAGCCCCUUGGCACGCUGUGAUGGGUGGACGCAUGAGACGGGUGUUCUUCCAAACACGCGUUAGGUUCGGCCCUCACCCCGGUCAUCACCGUCUCUAUCUGUUUUGUUAUCCGUUUGUCUGUCCUUAUGUCUGUCUAUCCACAUCCAUCGGGCCACGUUUCACGACCGCAGUUCACGACCGCGACUUUGUGGAGAACUGCCCGGGCAUGUGGCCGGCCAUUUUGUACGACGGUUUCCGUUGGGCCCAUGAGGCUGAUCCGACUGCUCGGUUGUGUUUGAACGACUAUGGACUCAUUACUGGGGAUGACUGGCAGGUGGGUGUGACCUGUGCCGUGAAUGAUGUAAUUUUUUCUGUGUGGGAGUAGGCCCCUAAAGCGGUGAGAUGGUGGAUGUUGUUGGUCGGGGGGUUGAGGUCUGCGGCAUGGAUUCUUCUUCAUGUUCGUGUGCUGUGUAAUUACGCGGCACCUAGAGUGCGGGAUCAACCUGGGCCUGUGCGCCAACUACCUGAUGUGCAGAUGUGCAGAUGUGUGUGUGUGUGUGUGUGUGUGUGUGUUUCACUUGAUGUCUCUGACGCCCUAGAAUCCCGCUCGUGUGUCGAUGUCGUUGCGCUGACGUUUGGUGUCCACCAUGUACAGUCACCCCCAAAACCUCUCCUGCGUACACACAUACAUACGUACAUACAUGCAGGCGAUGAUCACGUACGUGUCCGGCAUGUUGCAACAAGGUGUCCCCAUCAACUGCAUCGGAGUCCAGGUGCGUGUGAGCACGUGUGGGAUGUGCACCAUGGGUGAGUGCCACCUAGGGCUUUAGGUUUUAAGUUUUAGGUUUUAGGUUUUAGGUUUUAGGUUCCCGAGGUGAUCUGAAAGGGUCAAGGGCGCAGACCGCUCAACUCGCACACAAGUGUGAGGGAAUGGAAUCCUCUGCCCACAUCAUCAUCUCGGCUGACGUGCACGGUAUUCGUAAUACAGCGUUUUGCUCCUCACCCACCUGCAAAACCUUAUGUGCCGUACAGCCUGGCCUGGCCGCCUAGUCCGGGUCCCGACUUGAGACUGUACAAGCAACUAGUAAUUCGGACAUCAGCGGAUUCAUCACACAGUGCCCAUGUCCAAAGUAGUCAUCAGUUAAUCCAUCAUUUGCAUCUUUUGCCGCGUGUAGCUACCACGUACUUGCGUAAGUCCGUAUCCCACCAAGCCCACAUGGCACAUCCUAGCCCCAACUUGCCAUAUGCGACCAUGCAAGCAAUUUUGUCCCUUCCUCCCCGUCCUAGAAAUCCGCCCAUCGUUUGGGGGACCCCGCCGCUUAUUACCUGGCUUCGUUCGCGGCUUCUGCGGCGCUCCCGCGUUGCCUUCUGUCCAUUCAUCCGUCGCCUGCCGCACCCCAUCACCCACGUCUUGUCCCUUCGUACCCUUCGUACCCUUCGUACCCUUCGUACCCUACGUACCCUACGUACCCUUCGUACCCUACGUACCCUACGUACCCUUCGUACCCUUCGUACCCUACGUACCCUACGUACCCUUCGUACCCUACGUACCCUACGUACCCUACGUACCCUACGUACCCUUCGUACCCUUCGUACCCUUCGUACCCUUCGUACCCUUCGUACCCUUCGUACCCUUCGUACCCUACGUACCCUACGUACCCUGCCUCUGUCUAAUUGGACCUCGCAGGCCUACGUCCCCUUAACCAACCGGCCGAGCACCGCUUACAUGCGUACGAGGCUGGAGGCACUUGCGGGCCUGGGUCUCGACAUUGUCAUUACGGAGUUUAAUUUUUGGACUUCUUGGGCCUCGAGCGGCAACCCUGUGUGGGAGGGCACAGAUGCGGAGCAUGCGGCGUUGUACGAGGAAUACGUGCCGUUCUGGUUCUCGGUGCCGUACAUCAAGGGCAUUAUGAUGUGGAACUUUUGGGACGGUUCGAACUGGAUUACCAACGGCGGCAUUUAUCGCCUAGAUGGCACCCCCAAGGCCUCUGCGCUUGCCGUUGGUGAGUUAUAUGUUUCAGUUUCUUUUUCUGUUUUUUCCAGAACUGAAUUGAAAUUGCAUGCAGUUGCUGAAGCAAGCUUUUGACUGCAUUGUUUCGCAUCGUCAGGAUUCGCAUGUCCAAUUGUGCACAUCUCGAUAUCGAUUCUGACCCCAUGCCGCCCCAUCCAACCGAAUAAAACCAAAUAAAUGUUAACUAACACAGGUGACAUGUGGAACAACCGCUGGCGUACGAACGUGGCCCUCUCCAACGUGGUCUUACCCAACGGCCAAGCAACCAUCAAUGGCUUUUACGGCAAGUACAACUACACGCUUGAGCUUGAUGGCCGAGUGUUUUCCGGAGUGAUGGACUUCCCCAAGAACGCGGGCGCCCAAACGGUCACCAUUUCAUUGGCGUAAAAAGCAGGAACUGAACAGACCAUUUAAUGUACAUGCAGUGAUAUGCGAGUCAUGAUGAAUGGAAUAAUCGGAUUGUGGUUUUGGGGGGGGGGGGCCCACGUAUAUACAAUUCUUUUCCCGACAAAGCUCGGCAUUCCUUUCUUUUCUUUCUUUCCAAUAAAUAUCAGCCAUGCCAUUCCGGUCCCGAUGGCAUGCAAAUAGAACAAUAAUGUCGUCAACGGAUCCUACACGUACAUAUAUUCGGGAGUACAGGAGCCGUUGAAUGCUUGCAUUCAGUAUUUACAGCAGUAUGAGUAGAUACCCUAUUUGAUAGGUAUGCAUAGGGGUGUGUGUGUGCGUGUGCGUGUGCGUGUGCGUGUGCGUGUGCGUGUGCGUGUGCGUGUGCGUGCGUGUGUGUGUGUGUGUGUGUGUGUGUAUGUACAUACACAUAACGUGUGUGAGCGACAUUGCGUGGCAAUCUUAUUUAUGGUCCUCCCCAGGCUUGGAAAUCUUUGUUAUUAUCCCUAUUUUGUGUCCCUUCUUGCUUGUUACAGCCAAAAGCUAUGUGUCUAUGCGUGCGUCCGCUGCAUAUCACCAAUAAACUCCUAACAGGGUUAGUAUGUACGGCGAGCAGCUUUAUGCGAUGCAAUUUGUCGGUUUCGGCUGCCGAUUAUUUCCAUGCCAACCAUUAUUCGUAUUCUAUCGUACUAGCUAGUGACAUUGCUCAAUUUAGUUUGCCGGUCGCUGGCCUUGUGUUCUUUCAAUAAAUUGUUUGGAGCGGUUGCGGUUUGCUGUACAUAUGUGGACAAGAUUAUUCUAUCGUUUCCUUUCCUUCCUCCUGCUGCGGCUGCGUGCGGGUACCUCCACGCGUAUUCGUUGUUAUCAUGCAUGUAACGAAGUGUACGAAUGGUGCUGCUGCUGUCUUUCGUACUGUAUGUGGGCGUUACAACGGGCAUAACGUCCCGCCUCGUCAUCGUACAUACGUCAAUAAGGUAGAGAUUCGUAACCGGUGAUUGCCGUAUCUCACCGUUAGAUAUUAGUUGUUUGCAGAGGCUGACGUGAUCUAACUAUGGAAAACCCUACCAGCCACCCACUACCUCAACUCCCAGCUAUCCCGUAUUCUCGGCUGGGUAUGGAGGCCAUAUAUGUACCGUUCUGCGGGUUACCUGCGCCCGAUUGGUAAGUGCUAGAUAGACCUGUUUUGUCACAUCCCAAGAUGGAAGAGUACCUCUAGCUGGGUGGCAAGCUGGGUGGCUGGGUUGAGGUAUGUAACCCCCCUAUUCCUAUCCUGGCGUCGAGCAGUUUUGGAAUCGGUGGUUACUCUCGCUUUUGGGCUGGUCACACCCACACUACGGCGAUGUAAGCGGAAAAGUCUCAGGGUUUGCCACCUGAACCCUUUUUAUCAUGAUUACAGAAUAUUCUGAGAUGUGCACCAGCUCUUGCACAUACAGGCUUUGCAUGGCCACCAGAUAGAACUGGUGAUGAUGAAUCGCCACCAGCCGCACGCAGCCAGCUGGGUACAUAAAAGCACAACGGAAAGGCACGAACGACAGAACGAACUGCAAGAUGACGGACGACAAUAUAAAGGAAGAUUCGGCAUGUUGAUUAUUGGCAAACCACUGCUCUGCAAGGGUGCGAAGCUGCAAGCCAGGGGGCCCCUGAUUUUGAACCAAUAGGAGGGAUGGCAAGUACGGUUGGAUUGAGUUGGUAGGGUGGUCGCCAGGAUUGGGAUAGAUCAACCGGGGAUUGAGAUAGACUGACGGGGGGAUUGAGAUUGACUGUGGAGGGAUUGAGAUUGAGACCGAGGUGGAUUGAGAUCGGGUUACCGUUGGAUUGAGAGUGUAGUACCGUUGGAUUGAGAUAGACGCUACCGUUGGAUUGAGAUUGCCUUGGGCCUGGAUUGGGAUUGAUACCCCGGAGGAUAGGGAUAGAAAGGCUGUAAGGCUGUACAUAUGCUUGUGUUACCCGCUGCACUCCUUUACCACGUCGGUGGUGCCGUUAUCUAACCAAAAACGGUAUCCGUGACAUCUGUGACGCAACCUUUCCUUGACUGUUACACGUCGCACAGCUUUCGCAACGUUCGCUUAACAUGCUUGGCACCAAGCGCUCUGUCCCACCGUAUGCAUGCUCGCGUAUGCAUGCUCGGAAACCAUGCAGAAGAAGAACAACAGCCUGCCGUCCGCUUGACAUCCCGUCAUAUGUACAUAACACUAACUUGCACACCCAUAAAAUGUCCAAUGGGACUGCUUCCACAGGCUGCCGCAAAUAAUCAUAACAAAACACCUAUCUUCCUGUACAUGCUCCUGUACACGCACGCUCUGAAACUAGCCCAUGAGUGUCGUACACACCACGGGGAUCCUCUGUACCGACACAAGUGCGCUCUUCUAUUGGGUANNNNNNNNNNNNNNNNNNNNNNNNNNNNNNNNNNNNNNNNNNNNNNNNNNNNNNNNNNNNNNNNNNNNNNNNNNNNNNNNNNNNNNNNNNNNNNNNNNNNNNNNNNNNNNNNNNNNNNNNNNNNNNNNNNNNNNNNNNNNNNNNNNNNNNNNNNNNNNNNNNNNNNNNNNNNGGAAGCCUUUCCGCGUUAAAGACCGGGUCGUGAAAGGCUGGUUCGUCACAAGCGCUGACGCGGGCACACGGAGAGGUUUCGCCAUGAGGCCAGCUUUGUCUAGUGCAGCAUUGAAGACUGCCUCCGGGCUCCCUUCGGCUGUGGAACUGGUUAUCCAUCGAGUCCGACAACAGCCGAGAGCACACGAUACACGUGCUACAGGCGGAAUAUGUACCAAUAUUGAUAGGUGCGAGCAGCAGCAUGUUGUCAAAGGGUGAUGCCGUCUGCAAGCUAAGCAAGGCACGGGCCUGUCGAUGGUGAGGGCCAUUGGCUCACACGUACGAGUCGGCACAAACAGCCUUAAAAGCCAAACGGUGUAGUAUCUUAGGUGUCAUAGUUCGCGAUGAUUAUUGUACGCUUGCGAUUGGUAAGUGCUACGCAGUCUACUUGAAUUCCUUAAGGGAGGGAUCAAACAUGGUCUUAGUAUGGUUCACAUAAAAACCACAUGGUCGUAUGAAUGGAUUGAAUGUGGCAACAGCAAUCUAGGAAUAUUGUUACUGUCUGCUUUUCGCAAAGGCCGCCUUAGUUUGGUAUCGGGGUGCCGUACGUUUAAUUUACAAGGAGCUGCAUGCAAGGAACUGCUUUGCGGGUUCUCCUCUGAUAGACUCUCUACGUACCCCAACUCAAUCUCAAUCCCUCCACAGUCAAUCUCAAUCCCCCCGUCAGUCUAUCUCAAUCCCCGGUUGAUCUAUCCCAAUCCUGGCGACCACCCUACCAACUCAAUCCAACCGUACUUGCCAUCCCUCCUUAUAGUCUCGGGACUGCAUCUUCAUCGUGGCCGUUAGCCCUUGACACAGCGGUAACAGGCGCGACAACAUCGGCCAUGCCACUCUCGUCCUCACUAUCACUCUGUGCGACAGUGCUGGCUGUUCCCACCUCCUGGAUGCACGACACCACGAGCUCAGCAGUCAUGCGCCGUCCCUCCUCGUUAUGAUACCUUAAGACACGUUCCCAGGCCAGCCUUGCCACGCCUGGUUCGCAUCGUGUCAAUGGCCGGACCAGCCGUUCAUACUGUGGCACAGGCAUGGAAGGUGGCAAAGACCGGAUGAAACGAGCAGCCGCCACCCAUGCCCUCGCUUGUCGGUACCCAAACCCCAGCGACUUCCUCUCAAGAAUAUACGCGCGGAAUGACUUGUACCCUUCCGCCUCAAACAGAUGCUGCUCGGCGAUAUCCAGCAGCGCACAGCUGGCUUCCACAAAAAACCCACCAGCGGCCAUGGUGACACGUGCCUCAGCUUCCCCGAGGGUCCGUGCACGCGCAACAGCGUACGGUGCUCUGCACAUAGCCAACAUAUAGUCGUGUAAUGGCACACAACGUCAUUCAUGAAUCGGAGCAAAUGCAAAGAAGUAAUGAAAUGGCUAAUGAAUUGAAAGCAGUCAGUCCUCACACAACUAGACAGUGACCUCGUAGGCGUACUGCGCAUGUGGCUCUUUAUCCGUUCCCCUGCAGCCGAACUUAUAGCACGUCAUCCCGCCAACCUUAUUAAUAUGGACUUUAGCGAUGGCCCUGUAACAAUGGCAGCACGUGGUCAGUAGGUGGUCUUCCAAGCAAACCGGACAUUGGUUCCAGUGCCAAAGCUUGUCCGCACCCUUGCAGACCUCACCGGACCCCAUUCGCGUGUACACAAAGGUGUCCUCGCUGGGUGAGGCCACACUUGAUCCUGGUCCCCGUGGCAGGUCUUCAUACCUCCCGGGAGACAUGCCGUGCUCCUCCGGCUCAGCCUCUACACCCGCAUCGUUGCCAUCACCCUCCCAGGGGUCGUCAAUGUCGAUGCCGGCUGCACCCGACGAGCCCAUAGCGCCAUAUGCAGAGGCUCCAGAACCCAGUCGCUGCCGUUGUUCGUCCUGUUGGUGGUAGGCAGGGAAAGUGUCGUCCAGCAACUGCUCCUGUGGUGUUGACUGCCGCCACGGCAGCGGCGUUGGCUUGUGCUGUGGCUGCUGUAUGGGAUACCGCCACUGCUGCUGAAGCUGUCCCUCCAUGCUGUCUCCACCACGUUGCUGUGCCUGCUGGUGUCGCUGGAGCCCCCGGUACUGCGGCCGUGGUCGCUGCUGUUGCUGCUGCAGCAGCCCCGUAUGCUUCCGUCCAGCACCCAUUUGGUCCGGCAGCGGCGCCUCAUAGUCGCCACCAGCCGGUCCGUACACCCCACUACCACCGUGAGCUGAAGCUGCACCCCUCUGCAACCCGGCGACACCGGCACCCCUGGGCAGGCACACACCGCGGUUCAUGCCCGGCGGCAGGCCGUGGGUCCGCAAAUGUGGCAGCGGAGGCAGUGGAGGGGUCGUGCGGUCAGGAUGAACAUGGGCGGCUGUGGCAGUGGGAGCGCGCUGAUACACAUCCGGCGCGUCUGGUUGCAUGGCGGGGGCGCCAGCAACAGGCACUCGCUCCGCCUUCUUGACGAGAAAAGGAUCGAGUCGCACAAACCCAAAUUGGACUUGAGGCUGCUUGUUAAAGGUCUCGGGCCGCUGCCGUGCUCGCAAGGUUAUCAUGGCGAGGUUAGCCUUGUGGGUGUCGGUCUUCAGGUGGUUUCGUAAAUUGGCGGUUGCUGACGACACCGAAGCUAUCGGCCUAUAGCCACCUGCAGUCGACGCGAACCUGGCAUCAGCCACAUCGGCCGGGACGUCAGGCCCCCGUGCUCGCUUCUUGUCUCGUCCUUUGCCACUACCACCACUUGAUGUACCAGCGGCGGCAGGCCCCACCUCCGCCAGUUCCAUCGACCGUGCUCGCCUCUUGCCCAGCAUUUUAUCACUACCGCCAACAGCCACGCCAGCCCCCGCCCCCGCACUCGCAUCGGCCUCCGCUGAGUACCAACCACUCGCCGCACUUGACAGCUUGCGGGGAAAAGGGUUGGGUGGUGGCACGGGUGGCAGUACGCCUAGGUUACAGGCCUCGCACCAGAUGAGCCCCGGUACCGCCUGGUCGCUGGACCCGCCUGCCUCUGCUGCAUACACGAUGGAUCCAUCCUUGUUGGCAUUGACGGAGAUGACACUGAAUACACGCUGGUCCAGCGGCGGUGGCUCGUCAGCAUUGACAGGGUACUUGUGCACCAGCGCCAAGUUCACGCAAUUCUCCCCGCCGUUCAUCGUUUGGUCAAGGCCCUCCUGAGGGUCGAGGAAAAGAAACUCACUACAGUCAGAAGAUACAGCGAAAGGCAGCAAGCAUGACCAAGUAACUGUGUGCCGAACAAGGAAUCUCUUGCCCCCCAAAAGCAUGCGCUCCGUUGUGGAAGUACUGCUGAGCUCACACGAGUGUACUCACCGCGAUCCGCCUCGCCAUGUCCUCGCUCGACCCGCGGCGAGCAGUCGAGGGUACAGGAGCUGUCGGACCAGCAGGCGCGGCCCAUUCCGCAAGGGCCAGCUUAACUGCGUCGUUGCACUUAACUUUUCCAAGGGCAACGAGGGCCGCUUGUCCAGCUGGGCAGCUUAUCCCUCCUUCAAAAUGCUCCUUAUGGUGCUUUCCUGUGGCAUGGAUAAUCAACCCUUUCAGUGUUAUCGAUGUGCGUCCGUUUCGGAGAUCCGGUCAUUCAUGGCCUGCCUCGAUUGUUUGAACGCGAUGUAAUAAGCGGUCUGAAACAUAUAUCAAAAUGUGAAUCACUAAGUUGCACAAUCUCCCGGAACAACUGGACACGACAACCGCGACCCUGCGCAACAACCUACUUCCGACACUCCGAGCGAUGUCCGCUGCGGACUGAAGCCCAUGCUCCAUGAGAGAAUCUAUGAAAGCCUUGUCCCUCCCCGAAGGCUCCAGUUCCAUGCCUCCACCGCUCCGCGGCCGGCAUAGAUGCACAGCCAGCGGCCAAUCGAACUGCUGCUCCACGAGCGAUUCUACCUACGGGUACAGAAAGGACAUACGUUAAGGUUACUUCCUCAACUCGAAGCAAGGUAAACACUUCCAUUCCUCGGUAGCCAUUUUGUCAUUGUGAGCCAGUGGCUCACAAGUGCUGUCAGUCGCGCCAACCUACCUGCUCUGACCAGGAUGAAACCAUAGCUUUUCCUCGUGAAUGUGACGUGACACCCUCGUCGUCGCCGGUGUCCAAGGACGGUUCGGAAAGUCCGGAAGGGUCAGACAUCCUCAGAACACGAGAGUCAGUUUCAUUAGACAAACAAAAGUUAUGUAACCCGUUUCAGUUGGGGUACGUAGAGAGUCUAUCAGAGGAGAACCCGCAAAGCAGUUCCUUGCAUGCAGCUCCUUGUAAAUUAAACGUACGGCACCCCGAUACCAAACUAAGGCGGCCUUUGCGAAAAGCAGACAGUAACAAUAUUCCUAGAUUGCUGUUGCCACAUUCAAUCCAUUCAUACGACCAUGUGGUUUUUAUGUGAACCAUACUAAGACCAUGUUUGAUCCCGUGCCUUGCUUAGCUUGCAGACGGCAUCACCCUUUGACAACAUGCUGCUGCUCGCACCUAUCAAUAUAACCAAUCCCAAUGCGUGAGCUACGCCAAAACGUGGCGACAUCCCGCCAGGACAAGAUCAAAUCUACAAGUUUAUGGGUCAGGGGUCAGCGCCGGCGUCGUAAUUCGCUCCAAGUGAAGCUCUGCCCGCUGCAAGCGCGGCACCGGCACAAAUAACUUUGCUCAGACGCGAUGCCCAAAGCAUAGCCCGGGCGCCGUUGACUCUAUUUACUAAUUAGUGCGCAAGCACCAGCCCUGGAAAAGUGCUGCAGCUGCGGUAUGGUGAUUUCCAGGGUAGGGGAAAUGGGUCGCCGUUAGCUCACUGGCUCUGAUGUCAUGUGCUAGUGAGCAUCCUCGCGCUUAGGGUUUCCGGGCGUCGGUCCUGCUUCGGGUGAACCCUCUUCGGUCAAGGAGUGAGCGACUCACGUGGUAGAAUAGUGUGGCUGGAGUUGUAUUUUCUCAUCAUUUUUCACUUUUAGGUCCAUUCGAGCAAGCCCUGAGCAAACUCCGUUAUUCGAACCCGCAUGGUGCAGCAUGGUAAAGCCGUUCAGCAGAGCCCGAUGCAUCAUCCGAGGGUGUCAUAUGUUCGAAACAUUUCUUCAUGCGGCCGGCAAGCUGACAGUUCCUGGCGAGCCGGGUCUUCGAGUUUGCCGGCCGUGGGGCGGUCCAACCCCCACAUGACGCUUUUCACAACCACCACUGACGCAAGAGCAAAACCAUCAUCCUUGUUUCCUUGCUAUCCUUGUCAGGCCCUAUAAAACCUGAAAACUGGUUUACCAUGCUUCGUGACAGUAGUUACACUUAAGCUUGGCCCUUCGAGCUGUGACGCACCUGCCAGCGCGUUCCAUCGCCUGGCCACGCAGGACGGACGAGCGGGUAUUGUGAGAGGGUGCACAUUUAAAUGGUGUAAUCUUAUCUAAUGUCUUAAGACAUUUCUACGUUUUGAGUUAGGUCUUUAUUAAAGCGCGCCAUCUGUGGUUGCAACCACUCUUUCGAGCCUAUAAUUGCGGAAACAUAUUGCCGGAAAUCCUCAGCAUCAUCGCAUAGGCGCGUUUUUUACAGUAAAGGCUUCUCUUUAAAUCCCAAGCAUUUCUGGCCCAUCGGAGAUUUACGGAGCGCUCAAAAGCUAUGACGGGUUCACAUGAGCCUCCGGAGUUAGGGCAGCGCAGGGUCAUUGACUUACGAAGCGACACGGUAACAAAGCCCACACCUAAGAUGCUUCAGGCAAUGAUGAACGCAGAAGUGGGCGACGAUGUGUGGGGCGAUGACCCAACCGUCAACGAGCUGCAGGUUCGACGGCCUCUUUUUCCUUCAUUACCCAAACAUUCCAAAACAACUUUACUCACUUCCAGGUCCUCAGAAUCAAAGCAGCAGGGAAGCGCCCGGCUUGUCUGUCGUUUGUCUAGGACCCAGCGGUUUUUUUGUGCGCACGCAUGGCCUUCACGCUGCGCAUCCUGCCUUCUCUCCUUUCUCCUGGGACUCUUCUCCAAUCCUCCCACCGCUCCUUGGGAACCUCUUCCCUUGACCGGCCUUUCCCUCUGUUGACGUGCUGCGUUGCGUAUCACAUAUGCCUUGCGCACUUCGCCCCCUCCCCUCCCACCUGCAUAUAAUCCUUUGUUUCUUGCAUAUAAUUAUUUCCCCCCGCGUCGUACCUCCCUUUCCCCCUCACAAACGUUUCUUCCCGCAGGACUUCGCAGCUCAGAUGUUUGGCAAGGAAGCCGGCCUGUUUUGCCCCUCCGGUACUAUGACUAACCAAAUCGCAAUUAAGGUAUGGGCCGAGCGAAAACCGUGGAGUAGCGUGCGAAGGUAUGCAGGUAGGUGCAUAGAUAUGUAGGUAUGUAAUAGGUAUGUAUGUAUGUAUGUAGGUACGUCUUGAGGAAGGACAUUUUCACUCAGGCGUGAUGCUGUUCUCGUUGCGUGCUACUGCUGAGGCACUGCCCCCACUACUGCUGCUACCGCUCCCGCUGCUGCCGACCAGGUUCACACGCAUCCGGGGGACGAGCUGUUGUGUGCGGAUAACGCCCAUAUCUACUUGUACGAGGGGGGGGGCAUAGCUUUCAACUCUGGUAGGUUCGGGGGGGGGAGGGGGGGGGUGCAGCCGGGGGUGAGAGCCCGGUGUGUGUGUGUGUGUUUGGUGACUGCGGCAGUGGCAAUGCCGGUGUGCCGAAAUGGAAUAAACUCGGUGCUCGCAUCCCGGCGUGGCAUCUGCCCCAGGACUUGUCCAUAUUCUCCCACCCACCCACCCGCCCACCCGCCCACUAGGGUGGUUUCGCCACGUGUGAAUCCAAAAUUAUAGAGAAUCCGGGGUGGGGUGGGGUGGGGUGGGGGGAAAGAGAGCCCUAGUGUGCAAAACCCCGGGCCGUGGCCACACUACCGCUCGCCAGCUCACCCCUCACCCGCAAUCGGGGGAUGGUGAAACUUCCGUACACAUAGGUGGUUGCUGGCAAGUUCCGGAGUACGACUUCACAAGACAUACCUCCGACCCGCUUUUUUUGUUGACCGCCUCACUAAUUUAAUAAUUUCCAACCUCCCCCCCACACCCGCCUCCGCAUACCCCACCCUUGUUUACCAACAACCCACGAAAGGUGUCCAGCCCAAGCUGUUGCCUAGCAAUCGAGGCCGCAUCUCUGCGGAGCAAAUUGUGCAGGCGAUAAACAUGGUGGGUUGACUGUUGGUUGACGGAAGGAAGGAAACAGGCUGAGGUUUGGUUGCGCAUGACUAGCUCAGCGUGGAUGUGUGUGUGCGUGUGUGUGGGGGGGGGGGAGAAGAGAAAUGUGUUUCCCUGGGCUGAAGUGCGGCCGCUGCCGCCGCCAGUAACAUAUAUUGGAUUUUGGUUGCUUCCAAUCCGCCGCCGCAGAUUACGUGUCAUGCCGUACAGUGUAACGCGUCGUCGUACAUCGUCUGCAGCAACUCCCGUCAUCACGCCACUCUGCGCACAUUUGCACUUCUAUAGAUAGUUGUCGGCGCUGUUGAAUGUCGUGCAACCUGUUAACGGUUACGGUUGCAUCUGUAAUGUAAUGUUACAGAGUGGGAUGCUUCUGGGCCGCUUUAUCACAUUGUCAGUUCUAGAUCAUUUAUCACCUUAUAGCACCAUCCACCACUACCACACUGUACUUCGCCAUACGAACUGUAAGUCCAAGGCGGCGGAUCCAGCCUUCAGGGACCCCUCCUCAUCCAUUCACCCGAACACCCGAAGAGACGGAGGGUUUGGCAAUCGCCACCAAUCCAGCGUGCGAAUCUGGUCCAUCAACUGUGACCUCAACUCCACAUCUCAGCAGCUAGCCAUAAUCUCGCGCUCCCGACUAAUUCGGGGGUCUCCCCAGGAAUCGAACCCAGGACCUUAAACCGCUAAUUGCAGUAGUGUCAACCCAGACCAGACCAGAGGUUGCAUCUGUUAUCGUUCGCAGCCAUGAUACCGCAACUGCUUUCACCGUUAACCACCUUAACCACCAACCAAUUACUGCCUACCCUGCCUGCCUCUCUCCCCUCCCCCCCCAAAGGAGGAUUCGCACUUCCCCACCACCCGGCUGGUGUGCCUGGAGAACACGUCUAACAAGGGCGGCGGGGCGUACUACAGCUUAGAUGAGUUGAGGGUACGGCAGUACGGCAAUUGCAGCACUUGGUUCAUCUCUUGAAAUAGUGUCGGAUGGCAGUCUCGGGCUCCCUUCCAAUCCUUGUUUUAUAUUUAGGACGAUUUCGCGGACAUACAGAAAUACAUACCUAGGUUUUCGGUGGGAGUGCGGGAGCAGCAGUAGCAGCAGCCGCUGCUCAUCUGAAAGUCAGUGGCUGCCUGUUGUGGAUUGAUAGCGUUAUCAUUCCACUUUCAUUCACCUGGGUAGUCCACGUGCGCUUUCAAAUCAUUCCUUUUAAGACUCUUAAAAUAUCAUCAUCUAUUACACACAUUUUAAACAUACCUGAUAGAUACGGUGCUUUUGGUUCCGUCUGUCUGUCUGUCUGUCUGUCCGUCCGUUUCCCUCGUGUGAAUCACCUGACGGAGUUCGGUUCAUCCGUACGAUGCCGUACAGGCAAUUUCGAAGGUGUGCAGUACACACGGGCUGCGCUUUCACCUUGACGGCGCGCGGAUCUUCAACGCGGCUGUAGAGGCGGGGUGAGUACCGAAUUGAGGUGGGCCCUUAGGGGAGUUGUAACUUAUCGGGGGGGGGUCUGGGGGGGGCGUAGCCCCCCCCAGCGCCCCACACUUAAGGAAUACAUUACGGCGACGCUAGCAACUUUGUUACUUAGGUCGGAAUAAAUUGAGACCCCCCCUAAAUGAAAAAAAAAUCACUGGGGCCCUAGCAUGUGCGGAACCUUGCCACCGCAUUUGGUGCCCGAAAGCUGCCGUGGAGAUGUGGCCCUGGCAAUGAGGGUCAAGGAGGAGGGAGAGGAACGGCGUUUCCUAAAAUCCCACCUUCUGUAGCAAUUACCGCCUACGUCCUAGUUGUUGCGUCGUACUGUCACAUGCCGUACAUAUGACGUUGUACGACCAUACAUAUGCGCACAUGGAAUCUACGUAUUUGCCAACUAUACAAGCGGAACCUAAUCCCCUUGCCGCCUCCGGUGCCCUGCCCUGCCUCGCCCUGUGCGCCCGGGCCCGUGGCACAAUUGUUCUUCCACAUUUUCCGACUGUCGUACUGCUGUCGUACUGUGCAGAAUGUGCUCCGUACAAACCUUUUGCUCUGGAUGCUGUGCUCGCAGGUACGGCCCUGCCGACGUUGGUCCUCUGUUCGACUCCAUAUCCGUUUGCUUGUCGAAGGGCCUCGGCUGCCCGGUCGGGUCGCUGCUGUUGGGGAGUAGGGACUUCAUUCGUCGCGCCCACCGGUAGGCAGUGAGGGGUGACGGGGAGGGGUGACGGGGAGGGGUGACGGGGAGGGGUGACGGGGAGGGGUGACGAGGAGGGGUGACGGGGAGGGGUGACGGGGAAUGGGGCACGCGGAUCUGCAGAUACUUGUGGUACGUACGGCACCCGCGAGUGAUUCGUACGGUCGUAUUACGUCCGGUCUGACAUGAAUGCAUCGGUGAGACAGACAGAAGAGGGAAGAGAGGAAUAAAUGAUGAAAGUAAAUUGGCGGCGAUGAACUGGGUGGUGUAUGGGUACGGAAAAGGCCGAGCCCUUGGUGUGUGCUGUGGAUUGAUUUAGUGCUCUGAGGCCGUUCUGGGGGGAAAUGGUGGUGGUGGUGGUGGCGAUGCUGUGAGGUGGUGUUUGUGGGUGCUGGAGCGGGCAGUAGGAUGAAGGGGUGCGGGUGUGUGACACAGCUUCAUGUCGAGGGUUUGUGACGUAAUAGUGACAGGCAGGUGCACUCCCAUGUCCUCUCCCCCCUCCCCCCUCCCCCCUCCCCCCCAGGGUUCGCAAGGUGCUGGGCGGCGGUAUGCGGCAGGCGGGCUUCCUGGCGGCUGCGGGCUUGUACGCGCUCAAGAACAAUAUUGACAGGUAGGUGGGCGUUGGUCGUUUUUCGGGUGGCAGUUGACAACGACUGAGGAAACUGGCAAGGCGGUAACGUUGCGCGUUGACCUGAUGUUUCUCCUUGGGCUCCCGCUAUAUGUUUAUAAAAGCUCAUACGAAUACACGUGUUUUACAUGUGUUUCAUGUGCAUACACACGGCCCCCUCACUAACCCGGUCUUCGCGGACCAGUAGUUACCGUGCGAAUACACACGUGCCGUACACGCACACAUAGACGUACUAUUUUUACACCUCCAUUUCACAUUUAAAUCGUUAAUGUCGUACUCCUCUCGCAGGCUGCGUGAUGACCACGCUCGUGCACGGCGGCUGGGCGCCACGUUGGACGGACUGCCGUACGUGUCGUAUUUGGCACCGGUUGACACCAACAUCGUCAUCUUCCACGUCGCGGCGGGUUGGGACGCGCGGGUAUGUAUGUAUGUGUGUGUGUGUCGGCUGCCCCGGGGUGCGCGUCCCCAGGGGGGGGGCGCGCCGGGCCUCGUGUGCGCGAUAUGCGGUGCUUGGAAAUCCUUAGGAUUGUUGUUUGGUUGGGUCUUCUGUUGGGUCUUCACCCCUACCUCACCUCUACCUCACCACCCCACCCCACCCCACCCCACCCCACCCCCCUUUCAGGCCCUCGUGGAGUGGUUCCAGGCUCGAGGUGUGUUGCUGAUCACCAUGGGGCGGGCGGUGCUGCGACUGGUGACCCACCUGGGGGUGGACGACGAGGACGUGGACCGCGUGUGUGAGCUGCUCAAGGAGGCGGCGAGGGGGGGGAGGGGGGGAGCGGAGGCGGCGGAGGCUAGUACGGCGGCGGGGGCGGUGAAGGUGAAUGUGGAGGAGGCGGGGGAGGGGGUGGGGGAGGGGAUGGGGGAGGGCAAAGGUGGGGUGGCGGAGUUGAAUGGUGUUGGUGGUGACGGGGCGUGUGUGGGCGGUAUCGACCCUGCGGAGGGGGAGGAGUAGGAGGAGCGGGGGAGGACUGGAGCGACCACGACGGGGCCCGAGGGGAGGCCGCAAUGGUGUUGAUGGUUGUGGUGGUCGUGUGGUAGACAGGCCGCCCAGGAAGAUGUCGGUUACGGUUAUCAGUUAGCUGUUGCUGGUGUUCGUUUGCACCCCAUUUGCAAGCUCCCCAUUUGUUAUGUUUCUGCUCUGCUUGGAUAUUAUGUAGAAUAUUCGACGUGUGUAUAUGUAUGUACGUACGUAUGUAUGUAUGUAUGUAUCUUCCGAUUUUUGCCCCCGGUGUGAAAAAGUCGAGGCGGAGGAGGGGGAGAGAGAGAGACUGUGUGGAGUGUGUCUUUCACUUCGCAAUCCAUUUGGUGGUGCUGUUGGGCUUUGUUGUUGGUUAUUGCUGUUGGCGCAUUCUGUUAUCGUGGCAGUUGUAUCGGUUGUUGCUGCUGUACCGGCCAUAUGUAUGUCUGGCUGUAUGUACGACCCUUCUGUGUGUACGUAUGUAUGUAUGUGUGAACAGGUGAUCAUGAGGUGUCAGCCCCAGCUGCCAGAUGUCACCACACGCAACAGGGGAAUCCUGGUGUAUUACUAAUACCGUGCAGUGCCAAAGGAGGUUUUGUACAUUAUGCCGUACACAUACUCCACCUUUGCUGCUUAUGACAUGAAACUAUACCUUUUUCGAGCUGGGCUAAUCUGCGCCCGGGGAUUUGGGGGUUGAGGAGGGUGAGGGGGGGGCUAGAGGUGACACACGCAAACCCUCUUCUCCCGCCGGGCCCCACCCCCCAACCUUUUGGUCAGUUCUACGUCUGGUACACUCUUGCCCUGGCAGCAGCUUCACUCGUUUGUGGUUCGUCUUUCCCGACCCUAACGGGGGGCGGGGAAGGGGGGUGGAGGUCUGCCUGGUGUCGCGGUCGUGGUCGCCGGGUGGACGGCAUCAGAGGAGAAAGGUGAGAGGAGCGUCUGAAAGGAAAUGCUUUUGAAACACACAUACAUACAUACAUACGCACACAACCCAAACACGCUCGGCAAGCUGUACCUUUUUUGAUAUUCGUAUUAUUAUCACGGUCAUUAUUUGCUGCUUCAGGUUGCGUAGCCGCCGCGAGAAGAUACCUAGUUGGACGUUGAGGGGAGGGGAGGGUGAAGACAUCGGCGACAGAUUCGGUGUUAAUCUACUGCUGCUGCUGCUGCUGCUGCAAGAGCUGUUGGAACUUGCUAUUAUUAUUAUUAUUAUUAUUAUUAUUAUUAUUAUUAUUAUUAUUAUUAUUAUUGCUGCUGCUACUGCUGUUGUUGCUGCGGCUACUGUUGAGAUUGUUGUCGUUGAAUCACGGGGGUAAUGGUCGGCCCGGUGGGUGGUUAUGGCGGUGGCAACCACCUUCGCCGCGUUUGGCCCUCUCAGCAUGUCGUACACACACUGUACUGCUAUGCGACCGUCGUACGGAAUCUACGCAGAGAGUCUUUAUGUCGUUGGUCUCCCUCACCUUCCUGCACACACACAUGCUCCCUCCACCCUCGCACGCAAAAUAACACGUACGUAUAUACACAGCAACCUCCAAUGCCGUACAUCCUUACCACACUUCUCCCCCUCUCGCCAUCUGUCACCACUCCAGCAAGCAGCGCCAGAUAUUUUCACCAACGAACAUAACCAACUUGUUGACACCCUCCAGUCCUCCGGUGUAGUACAGAUGCUUACUCAUUAUGUACGGAAUACGGUGUGGGUGUAUACGGGUGUCGGUGUAAACGGCACUCACACAUACACUACUCCCACGACCAUCCGUACCACCCCUGUAUUCACCCUCAUCGUCCCUCACCGCAGUGCACCCGUAGCAGAGACGUCGAACGCCGCACGUCACUCAGUGCACCAACAUGUCAUACGUUCCUAAAAAAGUAUAAAAAAGCUGAGUUGGGAUAUCACGAUGAACAGCUCCGGCUAGGAUUUGAACAGGAUAUUAAAUCAACCAGGAGACAGCGGCAACCUACAGCGUCACAUAACUGACAGACAUGUAAAGCCAUGUUAAUAAAACGCCAGCAAAGGCGCCAUGACAACAUCGUAAGCCCAAUGCUGGCCAACGCUACAUAACGGAAUACAUUAUGGAACAUGUCUUUGUGACCGCACCGCAUACAGUCACCAUACAGCAUAUAAGGAGAUAGAUAACAUCCGCGAUGAAAGCGAGGGGGAUGCGGAACGAGAGGUAAAAAUGUUUUUGAUCGUAACCUGAAGCCCAGGCGCGAUUAUGGCAUCCGUACCAUCCGUUGCCCGUGCCGUACUACUGUUGUUAUAUCUGCCCCAUCCGCCACCGCCAUCACAGCCCAUCCCCAUCCGCAACCGCCGCGUCCGGCCCCUCCGAAAGCAACCUGUCUAGUUUGUACGAUAGAGGGAAAAGAUGCAGCGCCGUACUGUUGAAUGCGGAAGCUACCGGGAAGCCGAGGUCGGGGGUAGCAAGCUCCACCACUGCCCCUAACGGCGGUAGAAGAGAGGGGGGAGGGGGUGGGGAAUUCAAACAGCGUGCGUGUGUGCGUGUGUGUGUGUGUGUGUGUGUGAAAGCCCCACCUCGACGAAUAGGUGAGGCGAGGAGAGAUGCGGUGAGAUGUGGGUUUGUUGGACCCGGAAAGGUCUCCCCCCCCUCGUCGUGAUGCUCGUCAGUCGGGUGGUGCACCCUCUCUCCCGCUUCGGAGGGUUCGGGGUUCGGGGGGAAGAAGGGCUGAGAGCGGGUUGAUGGGUUAUACAGCGGUUGCCUGCGUUCAAUGCCGAAUCAAUGCCGAAUGCGUUGAAUCAUUCGAAGCAUAACACCUGUUGCACGAGGGGGGGAGACGUGGCGCUAGUCCGCCGCCCAGUUCUCCCACCACCCCCUGAAUCACUCACCGGCCAGACAGCAACGGACCACAGGUCCAGGGGAAGCCAGUGGACGAGCUUUAUGCGCCUCCUGGGCCUUGCGACUGCCGCCACCGGCACCGCCGCUGCCCGCCAGCCGCAUCUCCCACCUGCACACCGCCGCCAUCACCCACUGACAUGAUGACGGGGUAUACGACAAAUAACAACGACGGCGACGAUGAUGAUGGUGAUGUGUCGUACCACAAGGCGAUGGAAUAAAUGCUUAUGGCUCCCCUUAGAUAAUUGUGAGAUGUGGUUGACUGAGUCAACACUACCUGCCGCCCCUGGAGGCAUGCACUCCGUGAGAUGUGCAGGAGUAUGUAUGUAUGUAUGUAUGUAUGUAUGUAUGUAUGUAUGUAUGUAUGUAUGUAUGUGGUUGCACACGAAACACACAGACCGCAGAGAGCGGUAGCAAGCGCACUGCCGUGCAAUGUGUGGUACAAAGCUUCUGCAAUGUACGCUGAGGACACUGGUACGGCACGCACCGUUCCAAGUACUGUCGGAAGCUGUUGCCCAGCAGCGCAACCAGCGGUACCCCGACCACCACCACCGCAUCGGUGCCGGUUGCGGGGGGGGUUCCACGGCUAGCCGGGGCGCCAUCGCCGCCGCGGCCGCCGGCACCAGUACUCCAGUUGGCUCGCAACAGGGUGUCGUACAGCUCCCCCUCGCAAUGUGGCAUGUAAAAGAACGUGGGCUCCGUCACUUUCCGGCCCCCGCCCUCAUCCACCUCCAAAACCUGCGGGGGGUCGGUUAAAACCGGCGGCAUAUAACCACGUUGCGCCUGACGAAGGAGCAGGGGAAAUGUAUGUGUAUGUGUUUUUGAGGGGAGGUGGAGGGCCAGGGAGACGCAAGGGGUGAUGCGCACAGACAAACGUUUGGCAGGAUGGCAGAAAUUAAGGCCUGACUUCUGCUCCCGGAGGCUCCGGGUUCAAAUCCGCCUGCCGACCCCGCUUCUCGGUGUGUGCGGGGUGUUGAAUUGGGAGGUGGCCCCCCAUCUUGUGGACGGUGUAUGACGUGAUUAUAUCAACUUGCGCAAGCUGACCAGGAACUAAGUUGAGGCGCCGUUGAUCCGCUAGAUUUGGUUGGAUGCUGGUGGUGAGUUGCUGAACCCAACGAAUACAUUCUGAAGUCGGAUGGGGUGAAUGGAUUAGGGUGCCCCUCUCGCAGGGGAGAGCAGGGAACUGCCUCCAAGGGAAAGGGGGCCGCUGGUGAAGCAAUACCACCCUGUAACAUCAUACCCACACACACACCUCUUUUGCACAAAUCCCCACCUGUAACCCUAGAUGCUGUAGCGCCAGCCUGUCUAUGUCAUCGAAUGCCGGGUCGUACAGCUGUACGGCAGAGCUGAGGCCACCCAGAACCUGGUCGCGGAGCAGCAGCACCAGCGCCAACUGCAGCACAGUCACAUAAUCACCGCCGGGGAGUAUGACGCAUACACACACACGUGCGUGACGGAAAGCAACGGGCGUGUGCGUAUGUGUGUGUGGGGGGACGAGGGGGGGCCAAGUGUGAUAGUGGAGAGGUGGAGAGAAAAAAAGGGAGAGACAGCGGCAGGCUACGAGCUGCCGGGACUGGGUAAGGGGGAAGAUGUGCUUAGCUUUACAUGUCCUACAGUACACAGUCGUACACAGUACCGCUGGCAACUUGGACGACAGCAUCGUGUACAUAACCAGCAAGUCUUCCUUUCCGUACGACGGCCCGAUGUACGACGCUUGACGUACCUGAUACCUUGAAACCCGGCUGAGAUGCGGUGAGCCCAGGCCGUACACCACCAGGUUGCGAAUAACACCCCAACCGAUCAGGCCACCACCGCCGCCACCUCCACCGCCGCCGCCACCUCCGCAACCGCCGCCAGCAACAGUAGCAGUUGCAUGUCCCGCCGCCGCAUCCAUCGCCUCUAUAUCAAUCGACACGCAAGUGCCCCCUUCUGUCAUGCCUUGGCGGCGGGCCUUUACAACGUCGCCAUCGUCAUCAUCACCAACGACACCGCCAACGGACGCCGUACAACAUUGAGGUUUCUCCAUUUCGACAGCAACGACGGUGCCUGAUGGUACGGCAUCUUGUCCCGCUGCCUUCCGUUGCACGCAACCCCUCCCAUGACCGCCCGACGUGUACGGCGUACUUGGCGGAAAGUACGACAGAUGAGCAAGAUGACCUGCCGCCUCCGCCUCCGCCAGCACUUGUCGCAGGCGUGCAUAGAAGGGGCUAUCGGCGACCUCCUGUCUGCGGUCAAGACAUGAAAGAAACCAGUCAGUGUGUUUGUUUGCAUGUAUGUAUGUAUGUGCCCAUAUGUGCAGGUCCUCGUGCUAGGCUUAUGGUUGUGUAUCUUUUCGUCAAUGUAAUGGACUGGCUGCCUAAUCUGGCGCACACAUACACAUAUAUAGGCAGGCGGCUGGCAGAGGUUAAGGCCUGACUUCUGCUCCCGGCCGACCCGGGUUCAAAUCCGCCUGCCGACUCCUCGGGUGUUUGAGAAGUGAUGAAAUGGGAGGUGGCCCCCCAUCAUAUGGACGGUGUAGGACGUGAUAAUAUCAACUUGCGAGCUGAUCAGGAACUAAGUUGAUGCGCCGUUGAUCCGCUAGAUUUGGUUGGAUGCUAGUGGUGCGUUGCCGAACCCAACGAAUACAUUCUGAAGUCGGAUGGGGUGACGGAUUAGGGUGCCCCUCUAGCAGGGGAGAGCAGGGACUGCCCCGGGAAAGGGGGCCGCUGGCGAAGCUAACCACCCUGUAACAACAUACAUAUAUACUGGCAGACACAAAAGCACACACAUAUGCAUACACACAAACACACCGGCAGCUGCGGAUGCUGUUCAGCAGCUGAUCGCACUGCUCCGCCGGUGUUCGUUCCCCCCCUCUCCCUCCUCUGCCUGUCCUUCGCUUGGCGGUCCGGUCAAAAGACGUCGACGGUCCGCCGGCCCAGCUAGCAAAAGGGGGCCCGCCGGGAUCAGUGCAGGCGCCACCUGCGGCCCUGCCGUCUGGGAAACAGGGAAGGACGUUGGGAUUGGAAUUAGGGUUUUGCUGGAGGGCCUGUGGGUGCAUGAUGGACCAGCUUCAUUUACGCGUAGGUGUCGACGCAGUCAAAUAUGUCACAGCAGGAAGGAUACAUGGACAUGAAGCAGUGAGGAAGUUAUGAAUGAAAAAAAGCGCGACAGUACUUAGGGUUCUCCUGAUGCUACCUUGCCGAGGGAGAGUGGUGUGGGGGUGUGGGGGUGAAGAGGAAAUGAGGGAGGCAGGAGAGAGAACCAGGCGACUUACCUCCGGGACAACAUUCAUCCCUAGCACGCUUCGAAGACGUGCCUUUGUGCCUGCUCCUGCCCUUGCCCUUGCCGCGCACAAUGGUCCACCCGCCGUCAUCGUCGACGUCCAUCGCUGGCCGCCGCUUAGGUGGUCAAGGUUUUAAUUGCUUAUAAGGUUAAUCAACUUGAUGAUAAGGCUAACGUAAAUAAAAAUGGCGUUCAGGAUGGCUAUUGAAAAGUGACGUGCUUGCAGAGACUUCUUCAUCCCUACAAGUAUUCUUUGUUAAUAGAGCAGGUGCAAACAGGUAGAUGGCUUGCAUAUGACAGCUUGGUUAUCUUCAAUGGAAAUCAAUGCUCAUGCUGAAAUGCUCAUGAUUGACAGUGUCCGUUGAAGGGCGGUUAAGGCUUGUGUUUCCCUUGACUCAAUUAUUCAUCUGUUGGAUCCAUGUGAUUGGGAUUCGGCACUAAAUGUCAGGCAGAAACAAGGCCAUGCAAUGGUCCAGUUAACGAGCAACGAACGAAACCUAUUACGCCAAAUGCUGUAGUUACAAAGCACCCGGGCAACAGUUUGUUCUUGAACUAUUGCAAGAGUUAAAAACAAAACAAUUCCAACUCAUCGGCACAUGUCAGACUGGCAAGGUAUCAACAAGGAAUAUUGAAACCCGGUUUCGGCGCCGUGCCACAAAUUGUUCUCAAUCAAUUGAAAUCAAUAUUUCGUGAUAAAUGUGCCUUUUACAUGCUGUUUAGGUGUUGGAAAUAGAAGCGUAACAUGCCUAUUGCGAGUCUUGCUUUACUUGCGGAGAACGAGGCCCGCGUGGUGUGCUGCGGCGCCAAAGCUCCAUCCUCGACCGGGUUAAAAUGCCGCUUUGGUGAUGUGGAGGUGCCGGCACGGGCGGAAGCGGGGGGCGAGGUGUCUUGCUGCGUUCCGCCGCUCGAGGUACAUACCGCGAGCCGCAAGUGACGAUAAAUUACUGCUUCGCGAUGUGCAUAACAUAACACAUCAUAAAGUGACUUAUAUGUCAGUUAUCCUAUGCAAGUGUGCGGUAUACCCAAUGCUGCCCGAAGCCAUUUACCAUCCCGCCUUGCUUGUCCUACCAGAACGUGAGUGAGGACAUCGAAUCGAGUCGCGGCGUGCCAGUUCAAGUGCUUCACAACGAUGAGGUCAUUAUGGAGGAAGUCAUCUCGCUGGAAAGCAUGCAUCUUCUUAGGUACGGCAACACCGUACAAGCAAUGAACAAGACGAAACUGCUGUAGAAACAAUGAGACUUCCAGCAUGCGGAGCCCUUUCUUUUUAUCCAGGCACCGUGCAUAACAGAUAACAUCCGAGCGAAUGCGAACGAAUGCAAAUUUCGAAUGAAGCAAGAAGGAAACCCCCUAAGAUCAGCAUCGUCCACCCUGUCGCGAAGCGGAGGCAGAGGAUUGGUCCACGCAAACUAAAAUGCCUAGCCCGUGCCUCCGGUCCUGGGGCCGAGGACACCCGGCCUUUGGCGCUGAUGAUGAUGAUGGCGCUUCAUCCUCCGACGUGCACGUGUCGUAGAGAUUCCUGGUUGAUUCCUAGUUGGCUCCAGGGAUGUGCCGUACACCCGACCCGUCGGACUCCUGAUCCUCAUCCUCGAUUCUCAUCCUGAUGCCGAGAAGCUGAUAUCUGCAGGGCCCGCAAAGCCAAGACGGCUCAGGACGGCUUCGUCACCACUCCAGGGGCCGGCGCGGAGUCCCCGGUGGUCAGCUCGUCAACGGCGGCAGGAGGCGACGGGGGGGGAGGCGGCGGGAUGUCGUACAUGUCCCGGGCGGUGGCAGCGACCAUGACUGGGGCGCCAGGGAGACCCGUUGCUGAGCCAAAAGCGGAGACGCGCAAGGUGGGCAGUGGUACGGCAUGUACGGCAUGAGAGUUACGGCAAACUUUGUGCGCGUGGACAUGUAUGUAAAAGUUAUAUGACGUAUUUUAACCACCAGGAUAUAUAUAUGACUUAGAUUACACUGUGGACCGCGAGAGCCGGGGGCCGAAGCCGAAACACAGCGCAAGGGUCGGGAGCACACAGCACACGUCGGUUAGUCUUGUGUGCUCCCGACCCCGACUCAGACUGCCAACACUCUACGCAGCCCCUCCGCAGCCCCUCCAUCCGGGGAUGGCGCUGCAGUGAAAACACCACGAAGGGCUCUCAGGUCCCGCUAGAGCGAGUCCACAAGUCUCAGCUAGGGCAAAGUCAAAGGCUCUCAACAACCCUCCAAAGCACCACCAACGAAAGCGGGAUUCUAAGGGAAAAAACAAACAAACAAAAAAUCGGUUAGAGCAGUCCCGGGCUCCUGAUAUACCUAACAGGCCAACAAAAAACCUCCAAGAGAGAAAGGCUAAGAGAGCUCGACACCACAAGACGUCUUGCAACCACCUUAAAACAACUGACCUCCACCACCUGUCCCUUCCUGGGCUAGUCCAGGGGAGAAGUAGCCAUAUAUAUAAAAGGGACCACGCACAAGCCCGAUCACCACUGCAGGGGCCCGGGAUAGACCGGCGAAACCACAAAAGCGAAAGCGUUGCCACGGCACACAGCUCCUAGACCCUCCAGAAAACCGCAGGGGGAGGAUUGUAGCCCGCGCGGCGCCUCCCCCUUACCGCCACUAACCUGAACGGUUGGUCCUCCAGAAACCUAUUCACCCUGUCUCGUACUGCACCGCUCUCACCUUCGUCCCUCACCAAGCAACCCAGUCCCACAGAGAAGACGUGCCUAAGUAGAACGGCCCUCCUCGGGCCACAUCUCCCCCUCAUCCGAGCCCCGCUACCACCACCAGACCUCAACCUCCCAAACACCAGAAAACCUACGUCCUUUUGGCGCUCUCACCGCCAUUUCCCCUCCCCUGUCCGAGCGACCCCACCUCCCCCCGGCUCUCCAGCACCCUACAACCUCGGCACGGCACUAGGGAAGAAAAAGGGUUCUUCCCUGCACGACGUGACCGCCUCCAUUCCCCGUCCUUCUCCUCGCCCUCUCCCGUCGUAUAUAGUAGUACGGCGUAGAGCGCCCCACUUCUACCCUCGUAUUCACCCCCCUAUGUGUGCACCCCCCUAUGUGUGCACCCCCCUAUGUGUGCACCCCCCUAUGUGUGCACCCCCCUAUGUGUGCACCCCCCUAUGUGUGCACCCCCCUAUGUGUAUAAUACCGCAGGAGGCGAUGCAGCGGCAGUUUUCCGCUCUGCGACCCUUCGUCAUCAUAUCACUGUCGUACUUGCUAUUUACGACUACAGACGGCGCCGUACGCAUGAUUGUACUGCUGCAUGCGUACCGCUCGGGGUUCAGCGCUUGGCAGGUGUGUUUGGCAGGGUGUGUGUGUGUACAUAUGUAUGUAUGUAUGGUUAUGGUGGAUGUUGUGUAAAUAUCAGGUCGGAUCCGAUUUCCCGGGUCGGGUGGGUUGGUGGGGUUAUGGUUACGUGGCAUACCCCCACCCCUACCCAUACCCAUGGGCAAUGGUGUGGAUGGGAAGGAAACUCAUCCGCGCGUGUGUGUGUAUGGGGGGAAUGUCGUUUGUAUGGCUGGUUGCUGAUGGGGGCCUUGGGGGAUUGGGGGAAAUACUGCUACAGCGGGGGUAGAGGGGGGGAAGCGGAUACGGGCAGUACGGCGGUCUGGCGUACAUGGGUUGCAGUUGCAAUAACAGUUGUCCUGGUAGUUAGUUACCGAGUGAGUCAUCCGUUGCGGUUGCUGGCUGGGCGGGGGGUGUCGUGGGGGCCGGGGCGGGGCGCAUGUGAGUGGAAGUGAUUACUUGGUGAGAGGGAGGUGAGGGAGGGAAGGGAGGUGACUCCACGGCGUGACUCCCCAGCUGCCCGCAGAAGGGAUCAGCCUCAGCCCAUCGCCACGUCCAUAACCCUGAGGCCGCAUGCUGCUGUGUAACGUCUGGGCCCCCUCCCCUCCCCACCCUCUAAACCCAGGUGGCCAUCAUGUUUUCGUUGUACGAGACGGCGGGUGUGGUGACGAACCUGGCAGCAGGUGUGUGUGUAUGUAUGUGUGUAUUUUAGGGUAUUUAUUUCCCACACCCCCAACAUACAUACAUACAUACAUACAUACAUACAUACAUACAUACAUACAUACAUACAUAUACAUACAUAAACACAUACAUAAACACACUUCUAAACCUUUCCCACUCACAAUACUCGCAACACACACGCACACACACUCCAUACGGACAGGCAUACACAGACAUACAUACACACCCGAUACAGGCAUGAUGGGCGCCAAGUGGGGCAUCAAGUGGACCUUGUUGUCCGGGCUGUCACUGCAGCUGGUUGGGAUAUCCAUGUUGUACGGCUGGAGAGACGGGUGGUCCGUACCCGAAAACCGCUGGAAGGGCAUCUUGUUCGUCACGUGCGCGCAGGUGUGCAUGUGUAUCUGCAUGUGUAUGUACGUGUGUAUGUAUGUAUGUACGUGUGUAUGUAUGUAUGUACGUGUGUAUAUAUGUAUGUAUGUAUGUAUGUAUGUAUGUACGUGUGUAUGUAUGUAUGUACGUAUGUAUGUACGUGUGUAUGUAUGUAUGUAUGCAUGUAUGUAUGUGUCUGCGUACGUGUGGAGGUCCGCAUGGCGACGCUUCCCCCCCCCCACACACACACACACACACGAACCUCUAAACCUCACGAUCGCCCCCAUAAGGCCGACGAGGGUGCACCACCCUCAGGUGUCAGGUCCCAUCCACCCCCGGAUCGCCCCGCCAAUCAAUCUGCAACCUCAUGAUCCCCUUGCUUGCCUUCACCCGCCGGAUGCUUCUUAGGUGCAGUGUAAUCAGGUGGUUUAACCCCGCCUCCCUUCCCAGACCUUCCCCCGCAUAACAAACACACAAACCCCAACACAAAAACACACACGUGAAUCAAAGCACAGAUCAAAAGCACACGCAUCCGCACGCAGAUGCUUUGCGGCGUAGCUAAGGACCUGACCAAGCUGGGUGGCAAGACAGUCACGAAGCUGGUGACGCCAGACGAGCAGCAGUCGCGACUGUUCAAACUCGUGUCCUUCAUCACCGGCUGGAAGAACUCCUUGAAAGGUGUGUGUGUGGGGGGGGGGAGAGAGGCAGCUGGGGGAGAUGGAGGUGGGUGAGGGGGACCCUCCAUUGACAUGUCCAAACCCGUGUCAAUGUACGUCUUGCUCUUGGUAGUUAUUUCACAUCUCUCGCCUGACCCCUCUCCAUCCCCCUUAUUGCCUGAACAGGCAUUGGCUACUUCAUUGGCGCCGCAUGCAUCGCCUUCAACUACCAGUUCGCACUUGCCGUACUGUUGGUUCUGAUCCUGGCCGCCAUGCCCUGGGCUGCCGUGGGCCUUACGUCACAGCUGGGUAGGGCCCGCAAGGAGAAUCUGACGUUGGCCAGGAUCUUCAAACAGCCGUACAACAUCAAUGUACUCAGCGUGUCACGGUGCGUGUAUGUAUGUAUGUAUGUUGUUACAGGGUGGUAUAGCUUCACCAGCGGCCCCCUUUCCCUUGGAGGCAGUUCCCUGCUCUCCCCUGCAAAAGGGGCACCCUAAUCCAUUCACCCCAUCCGACUUCAGAUUGUAUUCGUUGGGUUCAGCAACUCACCACCAGCAUCCACCCAAAUCUAGCGGAUCAACGGCGCCUCAAUUUAGUUCCUGGUCAGCUCGCAAGUUGAUAUUAUCACGUCCUACAUCGUCCAUAAGAUGGGAAGCCACCUCCCAUUUCAACACUCCUCAAACACCCGAGGAGUCGGCAUGCGGAUUUGAACCCGGGUCGGCCGGGAGCAGAGGUCAGGCCUUAACUUCUGCUAGCCUCCAAGAGAGAAAGGCUAAGAGAGCUCGACACCACAAGACGUCUUGCAGCCACCUUACAACAACUCACCUCCUCUACCUCUCCCUUCCUGGGCUGGUCCAGGGGAGAAGUAGCCAAUGUUUAUGUGUGUUUAUGUGUGUAGGUGCCUGCUCCCCCUCCCGCCUUCACAGACUCACCUCCUCCCCUUGUUGACUACACACACACCGUUGACGAUUUGUCCUGACGUUUUGCAUUUUCCUUCCUCUCCUCUCUCCUUCCCACAUACAUACAUACAUACAUACAUACAUACAUACACACGCAUACACAAACCCGCCAGGUUCUUUUUGUUCGGCAGUCGGGACAUGUGGUUCGAAGUGCCGUUGCCCUUCUUCUUGAGAAACGGAAUGUACGGCCUUGGGUGGAGCCGGCCGCUCACGGGGCUAUUCUUGGCAGUUUGGAUCAUUGUGUACGGCCAGGUGCGAGUGCCGUACUGAAAGGAGCUAGUAUACGUCAUACGCGUGUACGACUCAUUAACUCUUUUGCGCACGCACCUGUCUGCUCGUGUGUGCAUCUGGCCCACCGUUGGGGCUGAGUUAGUUAAGUUAGUUGGAUAGAGCCUGACCCCCCUCACCCCCCUCACCCCCUCAUCCCCCUCGCUCGGGUCAUUACUAAGAGAGCUGUUGUGCCUGCGCGCGUUUCUCUUUCCGUGUUUAAAGGGCAGCCAUGUAACCCACCGUCCUGUUACUGGCUGCAGCUAUGGCUGUUGCUUGUCGGGGUUGGGACUGCUGUACGACGUAACUGGGCCCCUUGCCGUACAUUUCCUCAUCAUGCCCCGUUCCUUGAGACCCCCCUUCCACGUACCUCAAUACACACCGACACACAGACACAGACACACGUGUAAACCCCUCCCCCGACCUGUCAGGUGCAAUCCUGGACGCCCCAAAUGGUUUUGUCGCCCCUCAAGCAGACACCCGCCAAUAAGUGGGUCCGUGCGGGUCUGUGCCGUACGUGGGGCUGUGUAAACUCAGGGAUAUAUGGGGGAGGUGUAGGAGAGGACGUCGAAACCGGCAUUGAAACGCAGGAUUGAGCGGCAUUAGAUGUACAGGGCGAUGAUACCUUAGCGGUAUGGGGGCGAGAGAGUGUGUGUGUGUGUGCACAUUUGUUGCUUGGUUGCGAUGGAGGGGUGAGUGCCAGUGUGGUGGUUAGACUUCGUUGGUAGCUGUCAGUUAGAGAUCGUAAUGCUAGGCUGCGGCUGUAUGCCGUACCUAAGGGCCGUACUGCUGGACAGCUCUGGCCUCAACUUCCAACUCCCCUGUUGAGGAGGCUUUCCUAUACAUUUUGCCGUACAAAUGGUGGCGUCCAUGAUGACCAUUAACGGCUAACCGAAAACUGAAUUCGAUGUUUCUCAUCCGCCAGCGUGAGCACGCGUUCAUGUGUUUUGCCGUACGGUACGGCAGGUAUGUCGCGGUGUUGUGGAAUGUCCUGCUGGUGGCUACGCCGCUGUUCAUGGGCCUCAUGCUGCAGCUGUCUGGCUUGUUUCAGGCAAGUUUUCUUUCUCCUCUUUCCGCAAGUCUUCGGCUCUUCACAUCCGACAGCCCCCUAGUUUCACCAUUUCCUUCAUUAUACUGUCCUUGGCCUGUUUGUUCGCUCGCACCCGUAUCUUACUUAGCUAGGUUUUGAGAUACCAUCCUUCGACUUUCCGAAAAUCGUAAUGAGAACAAAUUUUCCAGGCAACCGGCCAGGCAAUCGCGCAAGAAAUCAUUGCGAAUCACCGCAUGCCGCACCAGUUGUAGACGUCCUUCUCCCGGAACCCCCGUCUCCUCCCCCCCCUUUUUCCCUCCCUUAAGAGUCACAACGUGGGCGCUAUGACCGGGGUCAUGGUAGGAGGUCUCGGAGCCUUCUGCUUGGUCUUCGCCGUAAACUCGUCCAUCCAUUCGUACCUUAUCGUACGAUACGCCCAAGGCGACAAGGUGGCCAUGAACGUGGGCUUUUACUACUGCGCCAAUGCAAUGGGCCGUCUCACAGGUACGGUGUACAACAGUACGGCAGCAGUACGACAAGAAAGGGCAGCGAAAGCGGCAUAUGCGUUGAUAGCGUGCAACUCGUCAAAGCCCUGAAGUGCCAUCGCCAUCGUCUUCCAGACGUGGCAACCAUCGCCUCCAUCGCCGCUCCCGCCCGCCGCGGCUGUGCGCUGUCCCCCCUCUCGUACUGCCGUACUACCGCCGUCAUUGGCCAGUGUCCACGUCACCUUAUCUUUCCUGACUACAACCGCCCUCGCUACCUUCAAUCUAAUGUCGCUGCCACCCGCCCCACCGCGAUCGCAAUCACCGCAGGUACACUUGUCAGCGGCGCACUGUAUUCCUACGCUGGAGAAAAUGUCGUACAGGGUUUCGCUGCUUGUUUCUGGGCGUCGGUGGGAUUCGCAAUAUUGUCAGCAAUAGUGGAGAUGUUCCUGGCGGACAACUCCGGGGGGCUUAUGUGUGGAUCCUGCCUGGCGAUUGUUCCGCCGCCAGGGGGGCCCAUCAGCCGCACUGCCGGAGAAGUCGAACUGGAGUGAUUGACGUCAUCAUCAGGACUGCUUUUUCAAAUUGUACGUCUGUACGGACACAAACUUAAUGAAAUCGCUCAUGACGGCGAUGUCGCACAUCGUGUGUUUCGGCGCUCCCAUCCAAUGGGUAUGCCGGCACGCCUUAACUCCCGGUUUACGGUUGUUCGACGCACAUUCCCGGAGGUGUCGUAAUAAGACGUGGGUUCUGCCAGUUAUCAUCAAACCGCUCCUUCAACGUUUCCAUGAUAGAUCUAACAUUGAUCGGGUUCCGCAAAAUGAAAUUAACCGUCCCCUCUUCAUCACGCCCAGUUGGUGGCAGUAUAAUCCGAACGCCCUGCAAAACGUAUUUACUCACGCAAAACGUUGUGAAACACAGUCCCCUUCGCAAGUAUUACCCUGUUCCAAAAACGGCAAAUAAGUGAGGCCAAGUGAAGGUGGAGGGGCCAUUGGCCAAGCUCCCUAAACAACACACGAUGAUCUCUAGGUGGCCUCCCACACCCAGAGAGGUGCUUCGGAAACGUGUGUUGCAGCUCGACCAUGCGGUCCUCUAGAGAACAUUCGAAGUAGCAGGACCGGCCAUGCGCGUCAAGGGGUUCGUUCAACGACCUGGAGAAUAAACUACGGCCCCCCUAGUACACCUGGGCACCGUACGACAGAAUGGAUCUAAUUUGUAUUUCAAAACAUUCGAGCGCUCUCUUCGACAGGAACAGUUCCUUCCUAUACCCAACUUGGCUAUCAGUUUGUCAUGUGUGGCUCGCUGCCCCGCACUGAAUAGCUCAUCAGUGCAGGAUUCCAACCAGGCAUCUGGCGCCCGUAAUGAAGCCCUAAAUACUUAGGGUUCCUGCCAACCCACGGCAUCUCUUCAACCUGCACAGUGUUACCUGCACAGUGCUCGCUGCCUACUAACGUUCACAAGGCUCCCAGUUAAUGCACGCAGAGUUCUGUUGGGGUGAAUGUAGUUGACAAUCUCACAUUUACGAAUAUCAACGGCCAUGCCAAAUGCUGCAGUGCACCGCUCCGUGUGGGCAGCAGGUGGGUUAUAGAAGGCACAUUAAGCGCCGGUAAUUGUGGUCAAGCAGAUUCAGGUCAUCUGCAUAUAGCUUUAGGGGAACACGCACCCCAUCAACAAUGGGGCACCCAUCGGUACAUAUAGCUAUUGGCGCUAUUUAUGAUUUUGGCCUCCCACGUAGUCUGCGAAGCCCUUACUGAUAAAAACGAUCAAUGUGGGGCUGCGGGUGCAGCCUUGUGGGGUGCAGCCUUGUUUUACCCCUUGAACAGAGUCGUAGGCCAACCCCCCACUGCCGCCACUGCCGCCACGGCCUGCUGGCCCGCACCACCGCCAGCGCCGUCAUCAUAUCAUUGUUCUUCUUGGCUUUCAGUCCGCAGUAGCGUUCUGAGUCCCGGCAUUCCCUUCCCUUCUAUGAGCUCCAGUGAAGCACCCCCACCAGUAGAAAUAUGGGUGAUGUGGGUGGACAGUCCAGCGGCCGUAACCGCAGCGACAGAAUCACCGCCUGAAGAAUAUGCGGCAACAAUUUGAGGGGUAAUAAUAAAAAAUUUAAGGAUUCAUACUUUUAGGGUUUGGGGAUUUUAGCGAGGUGGGGCGGAGCGGGUCAAAGGAAGGAAGAUGUCCCGCUGCAAACGCAGACGUUCGGGGAGACGAGACGAAGGGGUGGAACCAAAGUCUUCCCCUUUAGGGGAACAACAAGAACAAAGAAGAUGACUGAUGACAUGUGAUGGGAAACACGAGCCAGAGACACGAGCAGGUUUAAUCAAGGAGGUGACAGCGGCGGUUGGAGGCGUCUCCAGUCGACGUUUGCCCCAAUCCAUAUCUUUUCGCCACAGCUACCACCCUGCCCUGCCACCACAAUCACCACAAUCCCAUCAUCCUCAUCACCACCACCAUCAUCAUCACCACCACAAUCACCACCAAAGCCCUAAACCCCAAGCCCAAGCAAGCAAGCCGUUGCGACAGGCUCACCGCCGAUUAUCGUCACAGCUCCGGAUUGAGAUGCCUCGUCCAAGGUCCUUGCAACGGCAACCGUACCCGCCGAGAAUUCUGGUACCUCGAAUUUGCCUGUGUGAGAGCGGUUGGCGGUUAUUGCCGUUGUACGGCUCCCGAUACCGCCAUGUGCGAAUUUCAAAGCGGGAUUUCAAAGCACCUGGAAAGACACACACACACACACACACACACGCGCGCGUGCGCACACACACAUACAUACAGGUGCGCGCACGCUGUAAUAUCAGACACAUAAUAUCUACUACUACAGACAAGCAAGAGGGAACGGGCCCCUCCAGUCCCCUGAAACCUCCUCCGGGAACGGAGGCAGCGUGAAGCGUGUGGGGACGCGCCGUGGUACGUGAGCGCCUCCUUCAAAGGUAUACAUGCCUACAUACCUAUCUACAUGCAAACAUGCGCGUAUAAUUUGCGCCGGCCGAAUUCCAGAACACAACGCAAGCUAAACGUUUGACAGGAAGCAAUGCUAUGACUAUAUGAUCGCAAAAAGAAGAGAAAAGUGGCCCCUUCUGAAGUCCGUAAACAGUCAGUAAAGGCGGUAAAAUCGCGACGCUGCUGUGCACUUGUGUGCUGGCCAGGUAAACGAUUAUCACCUCACUAUUUCACGUACCCAUAGGGCCGUUCCAAAAUAUUGUACGGCAGGUCAACAGCUCCCGCCGAAACGUAUCCAUGGUCUCGGGGCCGAUAUCGACUCCGUAUCGACCUAGGGGUGGUGAUGGUGUCGCGGGCACAUAUACAUACGGACAAACCGUUAAGAAUGGAACCGUUUGACGUGAUGCUAGAGAUUGAUGCCGCCGUAUGCCGCGAAGUACGACAGGUGCCACGAGCAGGGAGCCGAAGCAAGAAGGUGAGUACCGGGGCCUCGAGGGCUGUUUGUCCCGAGGGGCGGAAGAGAACGACGGAAGAGAACGACGGAAGAGAACGACGGAAGAGAACGACGGAAGAGAACGACGGAAGAGAACGGCCUCGCCAGGGUGCGGGAGAGGGGGAGGAGGGGGGGGAGCUGUCGUCAAUCUUCUCAUGUCAUCGCGCGCAACCGCAAAAAUGCAGAAAUUCCAAACCUUACACACAUGGAGACGUACAUACGCACAUAUCAACGGAGCCGCAGCCCCCGACAUUCACAUCCUUCGUUGUAGUGUGCUUGAAGAAGAAGAAGAAGAAGAAGAAGAAGAAGAAGAAGGACACAUGCGCUUAAAACUUGCGUUGCUGUGCUAUAACCUGUGAACCUGCUGCUGCUAAAACCCACCUGCCGGGAUGCAAGGCCUGUCCGGUGUACAGCAGUCCAGGGUUAGUGGCGUCACUCCUGUCGUAUCCAGGUGCUCAGGUCGCUCCAGGGAUGAGGACCACAGUACGUCGCUUGGCAGGAGCAGUCGCGUGCCCCGCUCAGCUGCCCGGGACAUCAUGUGCCGGCAGGGCUGCCCGCGAGCCACAAAGAAACGACGUCGGUUUUAGGUCGUUUCAGAUGGGUUUUACAUGGGUUUUAGGUGGUGAGGUGAGACGUGGACUUUGGCGACAGAAAGUCGUGGAGGGGUUGAGAUAAGACCGACCGCCUGAAACCCCCUGGCUGGGUGGCUGGCUGGGUGGCUGGCUGGGUGGCUGAUUGGAUGGUUGAAUGGGUGGCUGGCUGGGUGGAGGCAAAGGCCGCGAGCCGCCUCUUGGGGCGUAUCGCGUUGUGUUGUGUAGUGUUGGAAUAUUACGUGUGUGAGGGUGAUGGUGAGGAAAGGAGCAAGCUCUAUGAGAAAGAGCUUCCCCCAGCUAGGCAGGUGGGGGGCCGGCCCGACCCAUCACCCUCUCAAACUCGCAGCGAGUGGACACCCAAGUCGCGGCCAAUGUGAACCAUCACCACCCUUCCCAGCGCAUUACCCCCGCACUCCUCCCUCCAAUGCACGCACGCAGGUAUACAAAACCCUAAAAACCCCAUCCCCAAUCCCCAGAACCUAGGGCAACCCUCCCCAAACCCCAAGCACACCUCCAGCCAGUCCUCCUCGAUCUGUGUGGACCCCACGGACACCCCGGUAGCCGCCAGAAGAGUAAAGGCCAUACGGCCCCCCACCGCCACCACAUCCGCCACCUCCACGAGAGCAGCCACCACACCGAUUUUAUCCGCCACCUUAGCUCCCCCCAACACAACACCUAAGGGUCUGUGAGGGUUUUGAUUUCCCCCCGGGGGUGGGGAAGUGGGGAGGUGGGGAGGUGGGGGGGCCACAAGGGUUUGGGGCAUUGGGGGGUGAAGGGGUUUCCCCCAGUACCGUCGGGGCGGAGGGGAAAGGCGAAGGUUGGGUGGACGGUUUGGGGGCAUGACGGGGAUGGGGGUGAAGGCAAUGCGGGUGAGGGUACAUAAUAUAGUAAAGGAGGAGGACACGAAGCGGGUGUGAGGUUCUUUAAUUCGGUUCAUGUGCGCGCAUACAAUUUUACGAUGUGUGGCUGGUGAUACCGUUACCGUUACCGUUGGGUUACUUAGCAUUGACGCCGCCAUCUAUGUAAAUCGCGCAACGCCAGAUAGAGAGGGGGAAAGGGAAUUACAUGAUAUGCCAAGAAGAGAGCAGCAUAACUUCUUCUUCCGCACUCGUUGAUUUGCCGACCGGCGGUCGUACUUCGGGGUGCAUUUUGAGGGCCGUACCGUACGGGGUCGUACAAUCGGUCCGCCAGCUCGGCCAGCUCACGCCGAAUGAGGGGCCCGGGAUAGCGCUCUGGUACGAAUGAUGUGAUGCCCUGCAUAUGCAGGUAGUUGGUACGCUUGAUGUCGUUGGGAUGGUUGAGGCGGUUGGCAUGGCUGGGGCACUCCGUUGACGUCGUUGCGGUUGUUAGUUACCAUCGUUAAAACGAAGUUCAGCUUUAUGCAAGGAACACAGCACCACACACUCCUAGAAGGCAGAGACCUCGGCAGCUCAUCGGAAGCUUGUCAGCAAUAUCGCCACAUCGUUAUGUCGUACAAUAGCCCCCCGUCGUACACAUCCGGCAACCGGUCAUCCCCCAACCCACCACUCACGCACCGUGACGCUACCCUGGUCCCGGUGUACGACACCAAAGGCAUCGUUCACGAACACGUCACACAGUGCAGCGAGCGCCCGGGCAAAGUCCUGCGAGUUUGCGGUAUCCCCCGCGUGGAAGCGAGUGUUCUCCAAAAGGACUGCCUGCAAACACAUGAACCUGAAAACGUCAUGUCACUGUCGUAUGAUGAUGUAUGAAAAAUCCACAUGACGUACAUGAUCACGGUACGACAAAGCACGACAAGGCGUAGCACGGAACGGCAAUACACGAUGAAGCAUGAGCGCAGCGCGCUUGUGCGAACAUGUUAAACAUAUGCGAAGAAGAAGCAUCACUGUUUAUCUUAGGUUAUGUCAAGAACUUAUUGAGACCAACUUCAUUACCGCCAACCUUCCUUGCCCCUAAACCCUACCCACCAGCACUGCUUUUUCCCACCUAACUUACCCACCCAAGGCCCCCAGGCACUGGGAAUCCACCCCACCCCACACUCGCACUUGGCCUGGUUGGAGUCCCCCAACUGCUGCUUCCGCAUCGGGCCCUAUGCAGUCAGCCGCUAAGCCUCGGAAGGCUCCGGAACCAAGCUCCUCUUGGAGCAGCGCCGCAACCGGCCGGAGGCUGUACAGCGCUGCCAUUUGCUGACGGGUCUGUUUUUUGGGUUCUGGUCGGCCGAAGUGGCUAGCGAGGAUGAGUCGCGAGCCACGUUGCAAAAGGAGCUUGAUGGUGGGUAAAACGGCUUUGAUGCGCGAGGAGUCUGUCACGAUGCCUGUGGCAUCGUCCACUGGCACGUUAAAAUCAACUCGCAGCAGCACGCGUUUGCCGGUAAAAUAAUCGGCUGACUUGGUUGCGAUGUCAAGCUCGGGUGCUAACAGGUCACGGACCACAUGUCGCAGUGGUCGCUGGGUUUCAUAGUUAGAUACAGCCAUAAGCAUGUUCUAGGGUUUGCUGGUCAAGUCUGAAGGUAUAAGCUUAAUUUCUUCACCUCCAAACAUAACGCUCCGUCAAGCUUCGUUAUGUGGAAAAUUCUUGCCGAAUAAUACACAGUCCUACAAAAGAUUCCUGCACCAUAAGUCGCCAAGCUCAUUCCCAGAUCGGUAUCGGUCAGGUGGAAUAAUCAGUUAUCGAGCGAAUAUUUCCGUUAGUCGGGCAGAGCAAAUAGGAGACGUUUGGUAAGUACUAAAGUAUUUUAUCCUCAUUUUGUUCAGUGGACAUCGAAAGCAUCUGCUACGUACGGCGAGCGCAUUCAGACGACCUGAAGUACUAUGGCUCCUGUCAAAGUCCUACUCAAUGGCUGCGGCCGGAUCGGUAAGAAUGUUCGCGGUCUUAACUUUAAACUAAAAUAAAUACAUCCGAGCAAAUACUUGGCUGUACUUUGCAAGUGCAGGCCGCCUCGCGUUUCGCAUCGCCUGGUCCCAGCCUGAAAUUUUUCAGUUCGUCCACUUGAAUGACAUCGCUGCUGUUGAGUCGGUUGCAUAUCUGCUCAAGUAUGAUUCAGUACACGGUGAGUCCUUUGGAGCGCACGGCGUGCUCCUGGCCCUGGACACGAUCAGGCUCUGUGAUAGCCUAAUGCCACUUUACCAUAAAAACACGAACAGGUUAUAUGGGCCUGUGGGUCGAUUCGGGGAAGUUUCUGUCGUCGGGUCCCGUCGGACCUUUUUCCGUCCAUUGGGGGCUAAGUCAUAGGCUUGGCAGUUGCCUGACAAGCAACAUCUCCUAAAUUCAUUACAUCCUAAUUUCAUUUCUCUAACAGUCAUGCCUUUCUUCCUCAUACCUCCUGCUUUUUGAUCACAUUUCCGUCAGGCACCUGGGGCCCCGAUGUCUCCGUGGAGGGCAGUACCAUCGUCAUCAAGGAUGGCGACCGCGUUGACCGCAUCCCCUACACCAACAGCAAGGCCAUCGAUGGGGUGUGUGGUUGUGGCUGAGAAGAGUCUGUGACGUUGCCCGGCGGAUGGCUAAAUAAUGUGACUGAAAUGAAAUGCGCCCUUCCGUUCCACCCCCGCCUUUAGUUGCCCCCCGCCUGCCGGAUUAUCCUAUCACACUUGAUGUGCUUCAGCAAGGCCUUUUGCACGAGCCCAGCUGCCCACGAGCCCAACUGCUAACCGUCGCUACCCGUUUUUCUCCAGAUCACCGUGACCGAGGGCGUUACCGUUGACAUGGUGUAUGAGUGUACGGGAGUUUUCCUCACGCGUGCCAAAAUCGCGCCGUACUUUGAUCAUGUUGGCGCCAAAAAGGUGGUGGUUUCGGCGCCUGUCAAGGACACCCCGCCGGUGCUGAAUGUGGUGGUUGGGUGCAACGAGGUACGACUUAGAUAUUGGUCCGUCGUUGUUACCCAAGUGCUAAGUGCAAUGGUGUCCAUGCAAUUCCUGUUGUUGUCAACAACGAUGUUGUUACUGCGCGCCACUGCCAUCACCAUCAUCAUCACCAUCAUCAUCAUCAUCAUCCCCCGGACAAGCUGCUGAUUAUAAUUUUGGUAAUGGACAGACAGACGGACAGAAACACUCGCACGUAUGAUCAGGCAACGCAUGUGUGUAUGUGUUUCGUCUGAGCCGAUGUUUGUUUUUUGUGCUAUGUGGCGUCUGUUUACUACUACCGUGAAGGACAUAUUUAUGAUAAGGAAUGUCGUACCUGACGUGCAUAUAGUUUGUAUAAACCGUCGCCGUACAUCGUACAGGACAAGUACAACCCCGCGACGGACCACAUCGUGACGGCAGCGUCGUGUACGACAAACUGCUUGGCUCCGGUAGUUAAGGUCGGUGGGUUAUCUCCUCCAUAGGGGACAUACAAUCUUGGACUCAUGGGGGGAGUUAGGUAUUCGGUUGCCAUGUUGUGGUUGACGGUUGACAGUUUUUAUUACAGCACAUGCAUAUUCGUAUAUGCUGGGUUGCAAAACCGCUUUUCAGUUGUGUAAGGUUGGUGUAUUGCAUAUCAUUUAGAAAACGGAACGUACACUGUACACUAUGGGAAGGUUGCGAGUCUAGAGUUCGUUUGUAUGUGUAUAUGUAGGCGUUGGAAUGACAAAUGUAAGAAGUUCUCCCUUUGGGAGGACGGAAAUUGAAAGACCACCGACGAUAUGCAUACGUACGUACGUACAUACAUACCUACGUACGUACAUACAUACAUACACACGUACAGUGCCGUCGUAGUGCGGCUAACAGGUAUCAGGGAGCGGGUCCCGAGGUCAGAAAGAUAGGAGGAAAGCGAACACAAGAAGGGGGGUGGGGUGGGGUGGGGUGGGGGAUUAGCGCUGAGGCGGUUGGAAUAUCCACACGUAACAUUGCACGGCAUGUGAAGCUAUGCGUUAGCUCUUGGAGGCUAUGUCUUGUAUGUUUGUAUGUUUGUAUGUUUGUUGGAUAUGCGGUGGCGGCAUAAUAUGUUGGUGCCAUCAUCGCAGGUGAUCCACGAGAAGCUGGGCAUCGACCGAGGCUGCAUCACCACCAUCCACAAUCUCACCAACACACAGGUAAGCAAACUGUACAGCUGUACGGCAGACAGCCGUACUCACCUGACAGGACAGGUACAGGUAUUGCCGGCUUGUGUGUGCUGAGGGAAUCGGAGGAUAUGGGAGGGGGAGCAAGGUCGCGUGCGGCUGCGGGAUGUGGAGUUUCCUUAAGUUGUAUGUGCGUAUGUACGUCCCGGCAGGAUUUGAGCCACAGUGAAGGUUCAGCCCGUACAACCUACCGACGUCAACCCGCUUAGCCUACAUGGCCAUCCCCCCGCCCCCCACACAAAGACACAAAAGCUCUUAUUAAGUUAUAAAACCAUAGACCGCUUUCCUCUUUAACGCACCAUUCCCCAACUCACUGUGUUUCAGACAAUUGUGGACGCGCCCAACCCCAGGAAGGCGGAUUUGCGCCGAGCCAGGUGGGUCGUGGGUGAGGGGGGUGGGGAGAGUGGUGGGGGGGGCGGAGGCCCGUUUCAUCCCGGCCGCAACCUUUCCGCCAUUACUAUUCCAACUCACACGCACACGCACACGCACACACAUACAUUGUGAUUUUGAGAAACGCCCUGCCCUACUGCACCUCACCGCCACCUCACCGCCACCUCCGGGGGCCGUUCCACCACCGCGUCUGGAUCCGAUCUGGAGGAUUUCUUCCUCUUGAGGUACCCCAUUUCUACCUCGUCCCCCUCCCGUGCCAUGGUUGGGUCAGGGGUGUGUUAGGUGGGGGACUUAGGGAGGGGCACUUGCAUGUUUACCAGCAGCAAACCAGCCCAAGUAUUGCUCACUACUUCCGCCGUUACUUACGCCUUACGACUCACGUCAUCUUCCGAUAAAUUCUCGUGCUAACUCUUGCUCUUAGCUCCCCGCACUCAGCCUGUUUACCUGUUCACUGCUGCGGUCUCCUCCUUUCGCUGUUCCGCUUUCAGUAAGUACGGUUUUUCUCCUUGGUCUGGGCGGCUAUGUAGUCAUUUCGCCGUUUCGCCGUUGUACUUUGGCUGCUAGUAACUCGUUCGCAACCUAGCUAGCUGGCCACGUCGCCGCGAUGGUCACUUCACGAGUCGAUGCCGGUUGGUAAUUCCUUAACAUAUUCCUUAACAUAUUCCUGAUGUCUGAUGAUCUGCAUAUCAUAGCCCGGGUAUCAGCGUCAAUCGUCUGUGGUUCGUCCUCCCUCCCACGUUUCCCGCAACCCCCCUCACCCCGCAAACCCCCCCCACACCCCGCAAACCCCCCCCCACACCCUGCAAACCCCCCCCCACACCCCGCAAACCCCCCCCCACACCCCGCAAACCCCCCCCCACACCCCGCAAACCCCCCCCCACACCCGCCACCCCACAUCGCGAUGGUCGUCACAGCAAUCCCCCACCAACCCAGCCACCCCGCUUGGUUGACUCCCUCCCACCUCGCAACCCCCCUUCCUGCUUCGACACCCUUUCGACACCGUGAAAUCCUAUCCCCCUCUCACGCGCCCACCAUCCUUACCCUAAGUCCUCCUCGUGCACUUCUAGGAUCCCUACCCAUCCUCCUGCGGCGAAUGUCGUCCUCUCCCGUUAUCUCCUCCUCUUCCUCGUGUCCCGGUGUCCCCCUCCUCCCCCCCCCUUCUUAGGUCCGGUCUUGUCAACCUGGCGCCCACGUCGACUGGGAGCGCGACCGCCAUCGCGCUCAUUUUCCCAGAGCUCAAGGUAGUUCGAAUGUCGUACGUUAUCUACAUACAUACACAAAGGACGGCUCGCAUGCGCAGCAUGUGCAGUAAGGGGGGCGAGAGAGGGUUUCAGAGCGCCUGGGGGGGGCGGGGUCAACAGUAUGGGUGGUGGGGUGUUGGGAACCUGGGCAAUUGGGAGGAUGUGUGUACGUGUGCGUGUGCGUUGGGGGAAGGAAGGCUGUAACGAGGCAGGGAUUCUUGUAAUGAAAGUACGGCACCGUGCAUGGGCCUGCGAACCCCCCUCCCCACCCUGCGAACCCCCCUCCCCACCCUGCGAACCCCCCUCCCCACCCUGCGAACCCCCCUCCCCACCCUGCGAACCCCCCUCCCAAGGGCAAACUCAAUGGCCUGGCGGUGCGUGUCCCCUUGACCAACGCCUCCAUCACGGACUGCGUGUUCGAUGUGAAGCGCGGGACUACCGAGGCGGAGGUCAACCAGCUGCUCAAGGUGGGGUGGAGGGGGAAGGGGUAAGGGGGAAGGGGGGAGAGGCGCUGUAGAGUUACCUCGCUAUGCUCUGUUCACUAGUUAGCUCCGUGAUACGGCAAUANNNNNNNNNNNNNNNNNNNNNNNNNNNNNNNNNNNNNNNNNNNNNNNNNNNNNNNNNNNNNNNNNNNNNNNNNNNNNNNNNNNNNNNNNNNNNNNNNNNNNNNNNNNNNNNNNNNNNNNNNNNNNNNNNNNNNNNNNNNNNNNNNNNNNNNNNNNNNNNNNNNNNNNNNNNNNNNNNNNNNNNNNNNNNNNNNNNNNNNNNNNNNNNNNNNNNNNNNNNNNNNNNNNNNNNNNNNNNNNNNNNNNNNNNNNNNNNNNNNNNNNNNNNNNNNNNNNNNNNNACGACAAUUGAUAUACUACCACCCACCAGCAGUGAGCCGUAGCGCCUCGAUGUGCCAUUUCCUCUGCCAACCAACCCAACGGCUCGGAACCCCCAAUCGACCUCCAACUGCAGGAAGCCAGUGAGACGUACCUCAAGGGCAUUCUUGGUUUCGAUGAAGACCCCAAGGUGCGUAUGUUGGUGUAGAUGUGCGAGCAUUUGAGGCAUCCCCCAUCUCCAACCUGCGGCCGCUACCCGGCAGACCCUGCCGUGCCCGCGGGUAUUUCGGGGCACCCUCAUCCAGUCACCCUAGUCAACUUCUCAGUGGGUCGCUCAGGUUCCGCACCCACCACCAGCAUCCAACGGAAUCUGCGGGAUCGAUGCGGCCCAACUCCAUUCCUGGUCGGCUUGCGAGUCAAUUUUAUCCCAGGUCACCACCGUCCAUCGACUAGGGGCACUGUUAUACCUUCAACCCUGACAGGUCUCGAUCCCGGGAUCUCCCGGGGCAUUGGUGCGUGCAAUACCAGUAGUGCCUGACCUCUAUGGUAUACAUGUACGAAAAGCUUGACAUAUCCAGAGCAAUAACGAAUUACAUCGUACGGAUCCAUGUUUGUAUACGUGAACAAACAGGGCAUCGGUGUGUAUUGGAAUUCACGUCCUUUAGCUGCUGUAUGCUAGGAUUUAAGCACAGCGAUAUGUAACUGACUACCCUUUCUCACCCCGUUCUAUAACACACUACGCGAGACACACACACCAACAUGCUUCCCAUCUCUCCCCUUUUUACGGACACACAAACACACACCUCCUCACACACCUUACACGCACACAUACACGUAGGUCAGUACGGAUUACGUCAACGACCCGCGGAGCUCCAUUGUGGAUGCGGCCUGCACUCAGGUGGGCCGGGUGGGGGGGGAAAGAAGGGGGGAAGUGGUGGUGGGGGAGAAAAAACGAACCCCGAGUGAGUGAAGCUGCUUCCAAGGAAAGAGUGGUGGAGGUGGAGCGGUAAUGGCAGAUUUUAGCGGAUUUGUACGGCAAUGCGGAUGGGUUACACGUAUACUACAAGUUGGGUUGUGAUCAGUGCUUGUAGGCGCCCACGCGCGCGUGCGUGUGUAUGUAUGUGUGUGCGACAUGCCUCUGGGAAUGGGUUGACACGUCUGCUGUGCGUUUGCCUGGUGGGCUGAGGGGGUGAAGAGGGCUGGCUGUGUGGGAAAAUACGUGCAAACACAGCACGAUGGCACAGGCGGUACAUCCGCUCUUACAUGCGUGGUGUUGGCCAUCGUUCAGUUUCCUACCCACCAAACUCUCCGACCCACUCGUCCUGGGGGCCCCUCCGGGUAUAGGUCAUCGACGGCACCAUGGUCAAGAUCUAUGCAUGGUACGACAACGAGUACGGCUACAGCUGCCGUAUGGUGGAUCUAGCCAAGUACAUAGCUUCGCGCAUGUGAAGAGAAAUCGUUUUCGUCUGGCGCCAAAGAUUUUCAGAGUCGGUUGAUGUUUGAUACGGUUGACUGUUCGGCGUGGUGGCAGUGAAACGUUGUGAUGGCAUUUUUUUUCGAUGAAUGGAUAUGAGAAAUAUUGCGAUCAUUUUUUUAGUCGUACGGUCUGCCGUAUGCCGUCCCGUGCUGGGAAGACGUGUCAAAGCGGAGGUUACUUUUCUUCAUGGUGAUGAAGGUGAAUGAGGAAGUGGGAGGAGAGUUUGAGUCUAAGCAAGGAGUGAAGCAAGGGUGUCCUCUAUCUAGGGAGCUGUUUGGACUCUUCGUUGAGACACUAGCUGAUCUGAUUGAUACUCAUGAGCUUGUAGAAGCUGGAGUACGUAAGCAUGACAUACCCCUUGUGGACAGCAAGCGCGUCUCCAUACUGUUGUACGCAGACGAUGUUAGUCUGCUAGGGACGUCACUAGAGCGAAUGUCUGAGUUGCUACGUCUUGUGGACUUGUUUUGUGAAGCUUUUGGGAUGCGACCAAGUGUGAAAGGCUUCUUUUUGCAUGUGAUGACACCCAGCCGUCGGAACUUAGCGAGAGUUGUCAAAACAGUUACGGCUAUCAGGCCAGGUAGUACCUGCCAAAUAUAACGCUAGCUAUCUGGGCUUGGUAUACGGGCCAGAACGGCCUCUUAAUGCGUGCCGUCAGCAGUUAUGUGAUGCAGGACGGUCCGCUAUGGUUUCCUUAAGCGCAAAGCUGGACAAAAUGAAGCUGUUUGCCCCCGACGUGCGAAUGCGGUGCUUUGCAAUCCAAGUCCGAGCAAUUCUGUUGUAUGGCUGCCAGGCGUGGGGCCCUUUUGCACUGGCAGAGGUCGUGGACAGGGCGGGAAGGCGCCGGGAUAAUGCCAACCUUGCGGAGGGCAUGUUCGAAGCCUGUUUGAAGGAUAGCGCAGUCCAGCUGCAGAUUUUAUUCAUGAGGCAGGUAAUGGGGGCGGCACGGCCAUCACCGGUUGUUGUAUGCGGAGCUAGCUGAGGGCUCCCUACAAUAUUACAUGGGGAAACAGAUCCUCCGUUUCUGGAACCGCCUUAAAAAGCAAGUGGGGUCCAUUGCUCAUGCAGUUUUACGGCAGGAGAUAACCGAUGCUCUGACCAAGCCGCGGAAUGAGAGGGUUGGGGAACCUCAAUGUUACGACUGUUAUCCUUCUGGGAGUGCAAUAUUUGGAGCGGAAUACCGCAAGAAGUCAUGGGGGUAAAGGAGCGCGUUGACUGGCUGUUGAGUAGGCCUCUACCCGAAGGAGCGAUUAUAACGGCACUAAGAGAGCGUUUGAUGAGCGGCUGGGACCAUACGCGUGUGACUGUCUUGCCAGCGGAGUACCCAUCAGAUGGGAAGCAACCGGGAGUGCAGAUGGGGAAGAACAAGCAUUAACCGUUUUCCCUUACAACGCAAGGCGCCGUCACCUGUUCGAGUCCUCUAGCCAGCUACAUGUACCAGCUCAGAUCCCAAGAGCGCGUGCUCUGUAGAUGUGCCAAUGCACUCACAGAUGCGCGAUGUGCCAAUGCACUCACACCAGUGCCAAUCGCUAAAUCCUUGCGAGUCCUGCCGUUGCCCGAUUUCAUUAUUCGCCCCACCAUCUGGUCCAGGCCUUAUGCAGAACUAAGCCUCCACCACUGCUCUGCGGCAGGGUCUUCGUAUUGGGCUCCCCCUCCAGCCGCCCAGCGCACUGGAGGAACCCAGUGUCUCAUCUCAGCCUUCGACACCGCGAUCUAUUGCGGACCAGCGGUGGGAUCCGAACCCGCAUCUUCCGAUAGAGCUAAAUACCGUCUCUGGAAUUCGGACCCCAGCCUCUUGCUAAUCUGAUGUGGUGUUCUGCCCUUUGAUUUGCUACGAAGUUCUACGGCGACCUGACAUCGAUACAUCCUGAAUGGCGAUUCCGGCGAUAAAAUCAUAUUAUUGUAAUAAUGAACACGCAAAUGGACGAGACGAAGCUGCAGUGCAUCCAAAAGGCGAAUAGCAUGACAAAACCUACCAGGUGGCGAUGGCGACCGUAGGCUGUUGUGGGGCCCCGGCGCAGCAGGGGAAGGGCGGCAGCCGGGGGACCCCGGCCACUCCGAACAAAGGAACGUGGGUUGGGGCCAAGUGGGUGGGGGCUUUCAGGCCCCCACUCGGGACGCGGGGCUGGGAGCGCCUCAAGCCGGGGGCCGCGGAGGGCAGCGCCUGAGUCCACCUGCUAGCGUGGUGGCGGCAGUUAACCAGGAGCUAGACCGACGGGGAUUCCAGGGAGUGGGUGCCGGGUCAAUCAUGGAGAGUGCGUACAGAGGCAACGUAGAUGGAAGCAAACUCUGCACUAGCCACGCGUGGAAGGGGCGCUGUGUCAAGGCGCAGAUGGGGCAGCCCUGCCGGUAUAAACACCCGGCAACGGAGGCAGAACAGGUGACGCAACUGGUGGACGCCCUGGUUAGCCGCAAUGAAGCGACGCGCAAGGUAUAAGUUGUAGUCAGGGGCGCGGAAAAGGUCAAUCGGGAAGAUAGCUGCUGGUGGGCCGGUUCUGUCGGUGGGAACGGCUGGAAUAAAGCCUGCCGCGGUCCAGAGGUUGGAAGGGCAGCUCGUGACUGCGUGCUCUCAGUCGACCUGGUUAGCAUAGGCCUCUGGGCUUGAGUCACGAGCCGCCCGUCCAACCUCUGGACCGCGGCAGGCUUUAUUCCAGCCGUUCCCACCGACAGAACCGGCCCACCAGCAGCUAUCUUCCCGAUUGACCUUUUCCGCGCCCCUGACUACAACUUAUACCUUGCGCGUCGCUUCAUUGCGGCUAACCAGGGCGUCCACCAGUUGCGUCACCUGUUCUGCCUCCGUUGCCGGGUGUUUAUACCGGCAGGGCUGCCCCAUCUGCGCCUUGACACAGCGUCCCUUCCACGUGUGGCUAGUGCAGAGUUUGCUUCCAUCUACGUUGCCUCUGUACGCACUCUCCAUGAUUGACCCGGCACCCACUCCCUGGAAUCCCCGUCGGUCUAGCUCCUGGUUAACUGCCGCCACCACGCUAGCAGGUGGACUCAGGCGCUGCCCUCCGCGGCCCCCGGCUUGAGGCGCUCCCAGCCCCGCGUCCCGAGUGGGGGCCUGAAAGCCCCCACCCACUUGGCCCCAACCCACGUUCCUUUGUUCGGAGUGGCCGGGGUCCCCCGGCUGCCGCCCUUCCCCUGCUGCGCCGGGGCCCCACAACAGCCUACGGUCGCCAUCGCCACCUCCCACAUGCUUCAAGAGACUCUGGGCCAUCUGCCCAUGAGCCUCCUGGAUCCUCUGGGCCGCGCGCAUCAACAGGACCACGGCCGGCCAGGUGCGCUCCUUCACCUCCUGAAACGUCGGUGUGCUCACAUCCACGGUCUGGAGUGCAGCCUCUAACCAGUGCAGCCGUGAAUCGCGAGCCCGCCUCUGCAACGCCGCCAGACUCGUCUCUACCCAGCCCCACUGCACCAGGUAUCCCGUAACCUGCCCGACGAAGCGCUCCUUCGAUACCUGCUUGGCCUGCUGCCCUAUGAACUUCACCACUCCGCGAUGAUGCGGCUCUACUGCCUCGCUAAAGCACCUGCGCAGCUCAGUAACCAGCCCUGGGCCUACAUUGGCCAAAGCGUCUACCACCGCCUCUUCCGCCUGCUCUAACAUCGCCGAUACCGCGGAUUUCACCACCCGCAGCCCGCAUGGACCUUCUGUCAUUGCCCCAGCCUGGGCCAUGAUGGUCGCCCACAGCUGGGAGUUUGGGACGCGGUCCGACUCCACGAGAUUCAGCGCCUCCCGAGCAACCCUGAGCGCCUCCUUGCGGCGGCUGUGAGCCUCUUGGACGUCUUUUUCCCUAACGACGCUGUAAACCGAGGGCUGUUCCUCCGGGCCAGCAGUGGCCACCUGGUACCGUGUUCCUGCCCCCGCGUUGUUGGGCUGCUUUCCCCGAGGCCUCACGUUCGGCCACUCGUCCAACUGCUGCUGCUUCCCCUCUCCCUCUUCCUGGAGUUCUUCGCACAGUAGUUGCUUCCAGCCUUCCAUGCCGUACCGCCUGAAAAACCGCGCCGUGAACCGCCUCUCUUCACCCUCCGGGUCUCCCUGGCCCUGCCUUGGGUCCCGCGGUACCCCUUCCCCGGCAAUUUCAUUCCGCGCCUCCGACGGCGGCCUCGCUCGUACCGGCCCAUGCAACGGUAGCCGCAUUACCGCCACGCGCUUUGGUGAUGGGGCCACGACUCCAAGGCCUCUCGUACGGAGCCGCUUGCCCUGCACGCAUCGCCUAUUCGCCUUCGCUGAUGAGGCCCCUUUGCGGGCGUCGUCGCUGUCUGACGACUCUUCCUGUCCCUCCUCCGAGCCUUCCUCGUCCCUUUCCUGUACGCGGUUCCAUUGCGACGUGAAGGCAUUCUCCAGGUCAAGGCUAACAGCCUCAGGCAACCCAACCCUGGGUAUUCGCUAAGCGAGGGCAACCACCCUAGUGCUGGCCUUCCAGAUAAGCGGGUUCAAGCAGGCGGGCCCAAGGUAACCCGACCCUGCGCGGGAGCAUACCCCCUGGGGCUGACCUUCCGGGUUACUUGCGACCAAAACCUACCGGCCUAAGGCAACUCAGCCUGGGUGCUGCGCUGCGCGAGAGCAUACCCCCUGGGGCUGGCCUUCCGGAUAAACGCAGCGCCACACGGGCACUCAGCCCUUCGCGAGAUCCCCUUCGGAUUAAACCUACAGGGCUAUGGGUACUCUAUAUUGGGCGUUUCCCCCUUCCGAAGUGUGAACCCGUCGACUAGGUGCUUCCUUUCCCGUGCGUGGCCCCAGUGGGCGUACCCCUGCCUGGGCGCUACUGCGGACUUUAGCUGCUCUCUUGACAGUAACCCGCUGGGAUAACAAACUACGCCGAGCCAUUCCCAAAGCAACUACCCCUCUGCCGCGGCGCCAACCACCGGAAACGGAUCCAACCUCACUACCACUAACGCUCGCAGUUGCCUACUCGCGGCCUGCAGAUUCGUGCUCUCCAUAGGCUAGACCUGACUCGGAGCAUCUAACCAAGCCUGGUCAAACAUCAGCGGCGGCGCCUUUCAUUCCCGCUAUUUUUAAACUGUGUCCGGUCCUUCCCAUGCCUUUAAUAUAAUAGAUCUUGCGGCGGCUGACUGUGCCUGCUGUCUGACCGCGCGGAGUAAUAGACGGCGUCUGUUACUCACCGCAUCGGCCCCCUCUGGGUAAUUUGUUGGCCCGCCAUUCUGAUGUCCUACUUCAUCUCGCUGGUCGUUGAUAUCCUCCAAGCCUUCUUGGACUCCGCCGCGCAAUUCCUCGCGCUCGGCCAUCGCUUCGCUGUUACUGACGACCGAUAUGCCAGUAACGUCGUAUCGCCUUAUCUACUUUCUUAUUAAGCUGGGUCCCGAAUACACUGUAAAUCACUAUUUAAAACAACUCAAAUCCCCAACAAACGACGUUCUGACUUGCGCUUGCUUGCACGGUUGACUGGCGAACUUGCGUUGUCUGGAUUUAGCGCUUUGUUCCCAGCUAAUCUUUGUAACGAACUACCGUAUCAGUCCCUGUCCUCUGGCCAAUUCUGGUCUGCGCCUUCCCGCGCCGCACUUGCCGUACUGCACUACAGGACGAGCACUUAAUCAACAUGCAUUCGUUACAAGGCUAAAGGGCAUCACAGUCGCGAUCGGCCGCUGGGCCGUGCUACUGUACGAUCAUACGAAAUCCAAGUCUCCCCCCUUUCUAGCCCCUCCGUCCCCAUGCCCCUCGCCACCAUCGCACCGACCACUAAUAGCAACAAUAAUCAGAAACAUACACAGCAAGCACAGAGCCGGAGCGCUGUUUGCUACGAUAACAAAACGACAGACUCUACAUACAAGUCCUACACAACUGUUGUAAAGCUAAGUCUCUCUUAACCCCCCAAGAGGGUUUACACCGACAGGUUAAGCCACGUCGCCAAAACGUCGUGUCGCAAAGUAACAAGUAACCGCUAAUUAUCAACCGUCCGCACUUACCGUUAAGAGAAGCGAGUUUCCUCAAAAUGCCUGCAUACCUUCCGGAAGCGUGGAAGCAGCAAAACUGCAAGCCUUAGCAGGUUCACCUUGAAGCGGUAUAACGCAAACACCACAAUAAUCACCCUCCUAGAGGGGAAAGCGAGGAGGCCUCUACAACUCCUUUACCUAAUUACGCACAAGCAAGCACAAAUGACAGGGAUCCGCGUCAAAUCGCAGCUUAACACGCCCUCAAAUUCUAUUACUUGCAUGUUUUGCGUUCGUCGGCUGCUUACGUUUGCAGCGAUGUGUGCACACACCUUCAGCAUACAACGACUGCAAAAAAGCCACGGACCCUCUACUACUACUGCUACAACUACUACGGCACUGCACGUAGUCAAUGCCGCUACUAGACGCGAGGCAAACAAAACCGCCAUCGACACCACCAUCCAUCCGCUCACGCAAUACCUAGCCUCGUGAUCUAAAUAGCGAGCAGCUCACACUUAAGCCAGGAACGGCCUUCUCGACCAAUGUCCUUCUAGACGUCGGACUAGACGAACUACAAAGGCAAUAAUUACCGACAAGCAGCAGCAGCAACAAUAAUUCUAAUAAUCAAUCCGACCCUAGUCAAAGACGGUACGGCAUUGUACAGCAAUUUUACUCGCGUGCACAAGACAAGGACAAGAACAACGAUGCGUGUGUGUAUGUACAACGGCGGGUGAGAGAUGUCGUUUCCAAGUCAUAUAUAUCCGCGACCGAAGGUACUUCCUUACCAGGCGGACACUUUUGACUCCAAGGAGGCCCCAAUAAACAAAUCCAAGAGGAGGAGGAGGAGGAGAGAACGAGCGAGCGAGAGUGAGGCGAAAACGGGUGAGGCAAUCCCAACAGAGCCACAUGCCAAAACACACGGUGCUGUGAAGCGCACGCGCCGGGAGAGCUCGGCACGCAGUCGCCACAAACCAACUACACUGCCAUUAACUUCGUCGACAUUUCCAAAAGCGUCAACCUCCCUACACCGCCACACUCUGACGACUCGAGGCGCUGGGGCUCCACACAUUUUAUUGCCCAUCGCGGCCUCUACUGAGGGGUAGGAAAGCGGGAGCGCCGCCGUCGCCUCCAAAAGCAUAUGUGAUGAAAAAUAAAAAAGGGCGCCAAGGCGUACACUAAAAAAGAAAGAAUUCAACUACGCUCCGACCCACCCAUAGGUGCUGUGAUGAGAACUCCACACAUACACCUCUCCAAGAAGCCUCUUUCACGCCAAGUUAGGGAAACCCCCCUUGGGUCUGUAUCCCACACUCUCCUCUCAAAACCUUGCGCUGAGACCUAACGCGCCAUUGCCGUACAAUACCAGCUGUACAGUACGGCGCCGAGGUCACAUUCACAUACCGACAUACACGAACAUGCACAUGGACAUCAUCACCACUUGAGGCCUGAUGCUCAAACACACAAAUAGACAAAAACGAAAUCAACGAACACACGACAUGAAGGCCAUAGCUGCUGAUGCAAUGGGCCACGUAAUGCAAGACGCAUACGAAAUUGCUGUACAUCAAUCGUACAUAAUGUCACCUACUAGGCUCUGGUAGAAGUCCCAGUAUCACAGCCCGUCGAGUACUGGGAGGUCGGAAAAGCGCAGUGCACAACGCGGUACCGUACGGCAGCAGAUGCCGCACUUGCUGCCACCGCCACUUUGUUAGAUAAAAUAAAGCAAGAAGGGCAAUAACAGGAGGCCAGCUCGCUUCCAAAUCAUAGAAGGGCCUUAUUUUCCCAGGUCCUCGUGUGUCACACAAAUCAAACAAAUUGCCCCCCCGCCCACUUUGAUGAUCGCCGCCGGCCCUCAAGCUAGCUGUCUCGCAGCUCCCCAACCUCCCUUACCCGGCAAACCGUCCCUUCCUUACCCAGCAAAAAUAUACAUCAAGUCCGAGUGUGUGCGUCACAAUCGACACAAUCAGCACAACCACACUGCGGCGGUACCUAUGGCUGGGUCCUUAAAUUCGUUCCCGUCUAAAAACCGUUAAUUUGUCUACAGUACGGCAUGCGGUACAACGCACCGUACACAAGUCAUUCGGCAGGGGUGAGGUCAACCCCAUCUCCCCAAUCCGACCGCCCUUCACCAUGGGGCUGUCCCGCCUGUGAAGGGCGGCUGUGGUAACCAACUAUUGGCCAACAACAAGACAAGACAAGAGGACAGCGAAAAGAGGACUACUGGCGCCUUUUCCGUUGUCCGUUGACAAUUGUCAACCAGUUCAGACAGGUACCACAGGUACUGUGACUACUUAAAAGUGGAUAGUGGAUCAUUAAUUCAAAAUCUAAUUGCCGCCGCACCAGCCACUGCCCCUUCGGCAUUCCCAAUCCCCUAUGGCCGCUUCUAUUUACAUAAAUACGCAAUACACGCAAUACACGCGAAAGCAAACACAUAACGGCGCGGACGUCUACGCAACGUCCAACCGCCAGUUGGCGACACGUGGACGGCGCCGUACCAACUAACAACACUAAAGGCCGUGGAAAGCAAAAGCAACGCAGCUAAUUAUCUGUCUAUGUGAAAGCAAUUUACCAAGGAGAAGAACGAGGCACCUGCAAAAUACUCGAGAGAAGCACGGGGCACCUGCAACUGCAUUACGUGCGCAUCCGAGGCGCAUUUUUCGGCGCCCAACGACCACUCCCCAACUCUCUCACGCAAGCGGUUGGCUACCAACUGCCAACAACCAACAUGGCCAACCAACCAGACGGUUAAUGCCGGCGCCGUAGAUUGCCAUCCACCGUAACGGCAGCGCUGACGUCAGAUUCGAUUACGUAUGAUGUCGACGAAGCAGCCAUGGCUGCAGCGCCGUACGAUUGCUGGUACAGCGGCGCCGCAAACGGGCUGGUGAUAUAAGGCUGGUAAGACGACACCGACGCCGGGGUGGCAGCGGCGGCGCCGCCGGCCGACGCGCGGUCGGGUACGAAAGAGGCGACGCCGCCGCCAGCCGACGCGCGACGCGACGCAUCCAAUGCAGCCGUUACAGCCCCACUAAGCUGUUGGUGACGGAAGUGCAUCCAAAAGACAUGUACGAACGCGCUAGCGGCGGCAACGGCACGUGCGACGGGGCUGCUUCCCUCAUUAACCGACAUAGGCAGAUCCGAUCCGUGACCCAUCAGCUGUUUACGAGCGGCGGCGAAGGCACGACGGCAACGGCGCCACAAGCCGCGCGUCAGCACAAGCCACUGACCCGGUAGCGCAGCCGUCGCGACGGCGGCGCCGUUCUUCACUCCGCUUGGACGAGCAAGCAGUGCAUCCUCCAUCACCGCCGCCGCCACGAACAACCCCACCGCCGCCGCCACCGCGAGCAAAGCCACGAAAAGGUAACCAGUCACACCCGCUUUGGAUCUCACCGAUGGUGACGAUGAGGAAAUGGGACGAGGGGCACCGGGGGCGGAUCGCAUGGCAUGUACAUACUUGGUACUGGCACUGGGAGUGGUAGUGGGAGUGGUACUGCCGCUUCCACGACGCUGCUGCUCCUGCUUAUGCUGCCCCCUCAAUGGAGACGACGACGACGACGAACCGGUACGCUUAGCAGCAUUCUUCUUGUUGGCGGCGGCAGCAGCCGCCUCCUCGCGAACCAGUUGGCGCUUUCGCUCCAAAUUCGCCUCCCGAGCGGCGGCGGUGUUCGCGGCGACUUGCUGCGCUGCGGCCGCAGCCUCCGCCUCUGCCUGGGUCUUCGUCAUUGGGGGACGAGCUGGGCCCACGGCGGCGGCGGCGGCGGCGGCGGCUACGUCGUUCAGCGUCUUGGCCGCAGCUGGUAGCGGCAACGGGUCUUCCAAAGACGGCUUCUGAUGAGGCACAUUAGCUCCGGCUACUGCCAAUGUUGCUGCGGCGGCUACGACCGACUUGAGCUCAGCUGCGUUCUCGGCGGUGCUGCUUGCGGGGGCGGACGGAGAGGUGGUGGUGGUCGAGGUAGAGGUGGUGGUAAAGGAAGCAGUGCUGUGGGCCAUGUGCUGCGCCACGGGCGAGGCGGCGAUAAAGGCCUCAAGCUCUUGGCGAAGGGCACCGGGUUCCAUAGCCGGGCUUUGCGGCUGGAAGCGCAUUUCAAAAUCCGAGCUGGCUUUUGAGCUGCUGGUGUCGCUGGGCGAGGAAGACUUCGAGGAGGAAGGAGCGCGGAUGGCGGGGUCGGGCGAGGGGGUUUGCGGCUGGAAGCGCAUUUCAAAAUCAUCACGAGGGCGGCGAGGCUCUGUGGGGGCCGCUGGCAGUGGAAUGCCGAAGGCGUCCUUCAGCUCGCCAGCAUUCGAAGCUGCAAGAAGGAAGGUGGAAGGAAUAUUCCAAAGAGAGGAGAGGCAAGGGGAAAAAAGAUAUUUAUUUCCUGAAGUUAACGAAGAGUGACCAAAACGACCAAGGCAGAGCUUCCUAGAGCAAAACCCUGUUGUUAUCGAAUUUCUACCAACUAUAACUUUUUCCGAGGCGGUUUUUCUUGGUAUCUCCAACCGUCGACUUGUCUAAAAUUUAUUCGACAAGGCCAGCGCGACUCACUGCCAUCACCUUACAUUUCAAGAACGCGUCCAGCUCCGGGGUGAGAGCGCCCUUCUUCUGUAGCUCGUCCCUCUUCGCUGCACGCUUGCGCUGCACCAUGCGCUGAUAAGCGUCCUGGGUCAUCGGACCGUAUGUGACCAAUUUCGUUGCUGGUUCAUUGCCCUCGACUUCAACGCUUUCGCUGCCGGAUGACCCCUUGUUGUUGGGCAUCGGCGCAUUGAGGCAGUCCGAGCCCUUGCACAUUGGUGCAGAUAUCUUGCUUUCGACGGAAGACUUAAUUCCAGUCUUCGACGCAAGCUUCAAGCCUGAGGGUAAUGAGAUAAAAGGAGAAAAGUGGGUAGGGAGAAAUGUAUUAUUUCUCAAACACACGGCAUGGACACUAUGCAACAACACCUUACCAGCAGCAAUUUGGACUGUACAUUUUCUGUCUUGCAACAAGGCGGCGGGGCUGCAGCUUUCCAAAGCUGCGUGAGUAGAACACGUAACAAAACCAGUUAGAAAAACGACACACCCAAACCCACAUGCAAUUAUACUUCUUUACAAACAUUGAAAGACUCCAUGGAUGAAACGAUACAGCGCAUAGGAUCGCAGGUUUGAAGGACAGCCCAGUACAUCACCCAGCACUCACUCUCCGACUCUUCGCGCUCAGAAUCCAAUUGGAGCAUCCGCUGUAGAUGGCUAUGGAUAGCAUCCUGGAACACAUUACAAAAUGGGUGAAGAGGAUGGCCGGAUGAAUGCUGCGUGGGAUGUGACACAGAAAAAGCUCGCGGCCGACGCGGCAUGACGCCGUGGCCCUCACCUUCUUCGCACCAUUGAAAAGAGCAUCUGUUACGAUAAGUUUACUUAGGAUUUCCUGUAAUGGGCAAUUGGGUGGUAUUUUGGUCAGAUAAUAACACGUUUGACGCGUCGGGGGCGUUAGCAAGAAGGGCAUAAAAUAACGCGUACCUGCGCCGCAACAUAUUGCGCCGCCAAAACGCAAGCCGCAAGACCGAUGCACUGAAUACUACGCGCCAUGGCUUGGCAUGCGGAAAUGUCAACUACCGCAAUUGGGCUUCAGUUGUUGAACUUCGAGAUGGUAGGGGAGAAAGAAUAGAAUGGCGUUGUAGUUUAAGGAAUGUAACUUUGCUAUUUCGUGUUUUGUUGUGCGGAAAGGAGGCGUCGCCUUUGCUUAUGUAUGCAAAACUGUACGAAAAGGAGCUACUGGCACCUGUCGUACAACCGCUUCACCAGUACUCUCGAGCCUGAGAACACUACAGCACGACAUUCGGCAGAGAGCGCUUUGGGAUACAUGUAUGAACUUGCUACUGGCUGGAAAAGGGAAGAUACGUUCGGGACAAAGUCUGGUCACUGGAUCAAGUCCAUGUCAUCUAUGCCCUUCCUAGGCUUGGAGGGGUUUCAUACAUAUUAAGCUUUAGGCUUUGAACAACGUAACAUGCAAAUAUUUGGACGCAUCUCGGGUCUACAAUUUUCGUUCGUGUUCUUCGUAAAUGGAACACGGAUGAGUUUCUACCAGCAUCACCCUCGUUACGUGCGCAAUUGUGGCCUCCAAAUAUGAUCAUGGAGUCAGACAUUUACAUAUGAGACCUUGGGUUGUGCACCACUCAUGGGUCGUUUCAUAACGAACAUGGCCAACGCCGACAGUUCCGGCAUGAGCGAACGGCCACCAUGAGCGGGCGCACACACUCGCAAGACAUAUAUUUGGACCUCUAGACACUUUUCAAAUCCAGCGGCCCCAGAAACGCUGGAAGCUUGUUGGUUUUGGGGGCGGUGGCCGUCAUCCUUUGGGAGGUGUUGUUCCAGACCGGAAUCCCUUGGCCCCUACGGUCAAAAGAUAACGAGGAGUGCGCGCACAUAACCGACCUAGCGGCAAAGGUUUCGUGAAGAAAACUAAGAGGCCCGGUCAUGAACGCGCAGGCAAAGCCUCGUUCUCACGCUCACUGCGCACACACAUAGCUGCCCAAGUACGUCCCGGCCAACCAAACCCUUAAGGAUGGGGAGGAUUAGAUCCCACCGCAAAUGACUAUCUUCCGUGAUGGGAAAAUGCCAUCCCAUCCUUUUUCCCCUCUCGGAACUUGGCAUCGCAGGAGCGAGAGAGGGGGACUUAGGUUGGGAUGCAAUGCCUUCAUUGGGAAGGGUUGACCAAGGGAAGGGUUGAGGAGGGAAGGGACGAGGAGGGAAGGGAGGGGGAAAGGGAGGGAGGAGUGGAGGUUGGGAGGAAAUGGAGGCUGUGAAGUAGCCCCAGAGCACCGGACAAGGGAGAAGUACAGGUCAGGCCUUUCCCGGGGAGCACUUCCAGGCAGCGUGGCUAUCUUAAAUAGCAAAUAUAUGUUGAGGACAUUGUGAGAAUUCUUUAAUUUUCUCCAACCCAAAUUGAAGUCAUUGCUCUUGUUCCGACCGACGAAAUCGCGUCAGCCAGCUAUUUUCAUUCCCAACCUGGGGGCGGAUGGCACGAACAUUGUAAGAACCGACGGCGCACACAUCCGCGCCCAACACCCUUGUAUGGGGCCUAAGGCCCGCCACCUUACGGCAAAAAACUGGGCGGUGUGUGCAAAAGGCCUUGCUGUCUCGUUCACCACGUGUUGGAAACGAAAUGGUAACCUCCACCCAUGUGCAGCCUGCAUCUCAUAUCAAUUGCAUGUGCACUAUUAGCAACUUGCAGUCCAACAUUUAGCUGACAGCCCAACUCAGAGGAGUGCGAGCGGCCGUCCAGUGGAGGAACGUGCUGUUAAGAGUGUUUCCUCGACUAACUCAACUAACCAGUAAGGUAGGGAAUCGGCACAAAGCAUGAAUUUAUAGUGGAGCGCCAAAAAGCUGCGGCGCCGCGCGUUUGCGGUCGUGUCCGUCGCUGCAUGCAGGUUCAGGGGGAUAAGGAAAAUGGGAGUUUUGCAUCCGUAGCCAAAGCAUUGCGCUGAAACACCCACGCGAAGAUACGCUCGCAUAGGAACACCUACGUGCUGUCGCGAGUGAGUAUGGUGCAUCAGUUUGGGGUUAAAAAGCUGUUCGCCAUCUGUGUUGUGAAAGGAAUCUAAGAUAUAGUUCUAAUAAUCCCUGACCAAUGAUCUGAUGGCCCUGCUGUUGACUGUGAUACAUGUGGGUCGGUCGGUCGGUGUCGCUUGUGGCUAUGUUGGUGUUAUUUCAGGGGGCUACCAAAUGUUUCUAUACCGUACAGCAAAGAAACCGAGACAAAGCGCACAUCGACUGUCGCUGUAAUAGACACGGGCCUGGAAAGGAAGGACAAGUGGUCAGUAUCGGCAUGCACAACACCUCAACAAGCUGGGAUACGACUAAGACCGGGCUAGCAACGACGGCUGCCAAGAGCGGGAUUUUGCCAAGAUGACUCCCUUAUAAAUGAGAAACUCAUGCCUACAAAUACCAGAGUACUAGUGUUGCCUCGAUGUGAAGAAGUGCGGCCAAAUACACCGGGGACUGCCAUCCUACCAUCCGCUGUGCCUGAAAAUUCACCCAAGGGGUGGAAUUCCCAAUCCCCUUCGUCUUUGAGCGGAUCCAUGCAAAGCAAAUUGUCCUCUACUACCCGUAAAAGAAGGGUGGUAAGGUCCAACUGUGUUCCAACCGCGCUUGGGUCGGCCGAAUGCAGUAAAAGAUGUAACCGUACCCAGAAGUCAACAAUCGCUCUGUGAAUGGCCCAGUCCCUGAUUUGGCCGUAAUGUGUGAUUGCCUACGGACAUGUGUUGCGGUUGGCGUCAAUUUGAGUGGGCUCACUUUGGGUCGUUUUGAGUUCACAGCUUUUGGAUUCAUUUGUUCACCCCAGGGGAGCUUCCCGGGCCCUUUUGAAGAUUAUGGGUUCACAAGAUCUCACAAGGUCUUAGCAAGAAGCCAGCGUGCAGCCGCCAUUCGCUGAUAUGUGCGAUCUGCAUAUGCUGGCAGCCCCGCACGAGGAACGGCAUUAGCUGGGUGGGCAGCGGAGGAAUCAUGGCCCUGCAGGUGGUUGGAAGGAAUUAGAGCAGUGCAGCGGCGUGCAGCGGCCAUAUCGGCCGUGAUGCGUGCGCUGCGCACGUUCAUCGCAUGGCAUGUCGCAAGAGGGUUUAACAUUUUUUGGAUCCGAUGGCCACAACGGCCUUGGUUUUGUUCGCAUGGUCAAUCUGCGCAAAGCGUACACAUGGCUUAGUCACGUGCGCAACUCCCCAAGUUGAAAACUUGCAAAAGCCGCUUAAAUUCAGGAUUUGGACCCAUAUUUUCUGCCAAACAAAAAUUUUCACGGCAUUAUCAUAAUAGCGUUUGCAUCCUGUUCCCCCCCGGCAUUUGGUCGUCCAGCUUUCCAAGACGCAGCUCAGCUGUCUUUUCGGCUUCUGCAAUGAUGGAUUGCAUCGAUAGGCAAAUUCAAUAUUUGAACGAAGAGGUCCGCGACCUUGAGUCGAAGCUUGAGGAAGUGGAGCGGCAAAUCGGCGAUAAAGCAAACAAGAAGCGCGCGCCGGUGCUAAAAGAACGCCGCGAACGACUGAUGAACGACAAGCGGCUCCUCUUAGCAGAGCGCAGAGCACUGGUCGAGAAAUUAUCGGGUGCGUCAGGGUUGACCUUAUUAAGCGAUUUCUCGGCAUGCAUGUUCAAGAUGCGCCACACCAACUUGUCCUGACCGCCGUCUCAAGGAAAUUCUAUGUUUGAUUUAUACUGCACCAUCAUACAGCCUCUCAUCACUGCCGCAUGCUGACUUUCCCUUUUCCUGUCCCUUCUUAAAACCUGUUGCUCAGGCGAGGCGGGAGCGUGCGCCAAUGUGCCAUCAGGUGCGAGUCCCCUCCUUAACGGGCUGAGCUAUUAAGGAAUGGUGGAAAGGGAGGUCGGGGACUGAAAUUUGAGCGCAAGAGACGACGGCGGGACGCGCACCGGCAGGGAAAGGAACUAGUGAUCUGGAUCAACGCCAGGUCGCACACGCUCAUGUAUCACGAACCGCCGCACCUAAGCAAAAGCUGCAAGUACAUGUUUUUCUCUUGUUGCUGGCGAUCCUCUGCUGUCUUGGCUCGCCUAAUCUCUGCCCACUUCCUCACACGUCAUACUCCCUGGAUGUGUAUCGGUCUGUGCAGGCGCAGGUGCGUGGUCCUUGAUGGAGCUCAUGCGUUUUGCGAGUCGGUUGGCGCAGCAGGCCGCCUCCCCUCAGCAUCCCUGACCCAGAUCAGAUCCGAAUCCAAACUCAAUCCAGGCCAGCCAACCGUGAGUGAAUGGAUGAGGGACAUCUCACCGCCGCCGCUCCCCAAACAUGGACGCGGUGUGAAGUCCUUUCCGACAUGUUUUGCAUAUGCAGAGGGGUAGAGAAGAGAAAAGAGGUUUCCUUCCGAAAACCAUGCACCACCAAGGCAAACGCAUUGGCCAACGCGCGCACAUUCAUGUGCAUAGUUGUGCAUAGUUGUGCAAGUAUGCACAGUCACAAAAUCCGAUAUUAAACCAAACUAUGCCAACAACCCAAAUAAGAGGGCGAGGUUGUCCCUCCCUCCGUGCCUUCAUGCUGUCAAUUACACGCAGACACGGCUCUGGAGUUCUUCAGGGACGUGAUUCAGCCCCUGUACGGCAGCAUGUUCGCAUCCAAGCCGCCGCAGCAUCUGCAUCCGCUGCGGGCACCUCCAUCAGUGCUGCGGCAGCAUUCUGCACAACAUUUGAAAGCUGCAGCUGGUUGCUGAAAACGGCUCACAGGAUGGCUGAUACGAGGGGCAGCCAUUUAGCUGUUGCGCUUCGAUUUGUUUUGAGUCGAAAUGCUUGCAGGUACCGCAAUAACGUUAUUGUGACAUGUUAGCAAAAUGAAGUGGCCGAUUUAUUAUGAUUUCAUAGAUUAUUCCAGUGCAAGACCUGGCACUCUUUUUGAGACGACGCCCCGACCAAGCUGAUCUGUGGGCCUUCCUUCCCGAGGUUGAGCACUUCGUUUUUCUGCUUGUGCAGUGGUGCACGCAUUUGGGACUGUAGCGCUGUAUGUAUGUGUGUUUAACGUAUGGUAUCAUGUACGGGGGCUUGGGAGAGAAUCAGCCUGUGUGCUGUGGGGUAGGGUGGGGGGUAGGGUGGGGGUUCAUCCGCAUGCCCAGUUUGGUGUGUGAGUGAGAAGGCGGCAUGGCGGUCCAUCUGGGUAUGGGACUUGGGGGCUGUGUUCCUGUAUCGCUUCGGUAACCCCGCAGCCGACGUACAAUACCUGUAGCCGGUGUUGGCAGCCACCCGCGGUAACACGCACCCCUGCUGGAAAACGUGUCCUUCCAUUAUUACUUCUUGUCUCGCUGGUAGUGAUGUACCAACUUCCUUGUAGUACGAUGUACGAUGCUGUUUUGGCUCAAGAGAACGACGACAGCAUCUAUACUCCCCGCGUUGCCUGCAUGUGUCCCUAGAGCCCCAUAUCCCGGAUUGGUAAACCGUCGGCAAUAUGCCACUGCCGUUUGGGUUAUCUGAGCGUUUGGCGCGGAGGAGGGAUUUGUGGCGGAGGAGGGGAUGUGACGCAGAUGCCUGGAGAGCGCGUGUUGCGAGGACGACAUUGUUCAGCUGCUGUAAUAAGAAUGGUUCUUUGCCCCCCGGAUACAGUACUGAUACAGUAACGCAUGUCUUCCGCAGAUCACGUGAGAUGCUUUUUGCGUGGCUUUGCUUGGACACGUUUGGAUUGUAUACAUGUGGGAGAGGGGGGUGAAAACAUGUACGACACAUGCGCACACAUCUUUUGUGCGCUUUUACCUACUCGAACGCAGCGAGCUCUACGACAUGGCACAUGUGUCGUACACGGGAUUCGUAGAUACAUUGUCGUGUACUAUAUACUGUCGUCUGCACAUUUAGCGGGUGCAAUAUCCUGCGAGAGCCCCUUCCUGGAGGGAACUGCUUCCGGUAGAAUUCAUUCCAUCCCUGGUCUUGUUUCGGGUCAACGGUUUUCUCCUGGACCCCCCGGGCCUAUAAGGGCAGCGAUGAGGAAGCGGCAGCCGUUGACCAAAGAUUUUUUUUGCCAUCGGCCACAAGGGGCAGCCCCGCGCGUGGGAUUUUGAGCCCCCAAAUCAGGAAUUAGCCAGCAGGACGAUAGAGCAGAGAUGGGAAGUUUAGAGGUGAGAUACGAUGCUAAGGCUGGAAGUUGGGGAACAACCGGUCUGUGUGAUUCCUCCUCAAACCCUAAAUCCCUCUCCGUCAAGAAGCCCUAUCGGACGUAUUACGCCUCUUGGCGCAUUGCGUCCUUUGCGUUUGUGUCGUACCGUGCCGUACGUAUGCACCAACGAACGGAGCUGCAGGCUGGGUGCUGCAGAAUGCCAAAAUACUGGACACCGAUUUGGAGCGGGUCGCAGGUGGCAGCUAGCCUGUUAAGCGUCGUUGUCUUUUUGGCUGUCGAACUUCUUCGAAUUGUGCCGAUUUCAUGUCAACCAGACUGCACCAGCAUCGUGCCGUAACAAGCAAGGAAGACAGACGUCGAGAAGCAGGCAGAGUCACUUGCGCGCUUGCGGUAGAGCACCAACAAUGCUCACCAUUUCCCGUCGAGCGUCUCAGGGUUGUUUUAUAAAGUUCUAACGAUAUGUGUCGAUAUGGUGUCGCGCGCGUGUCUGUGUGAGCGUUUGGAAGCCCCUUGAUGGAAGGCCCCUGGGUCAUUACCUUUUUGCUGGCUGUUGAAUAUGUGGGCGUAAGUACUGGCUUAAAUAUGAACAUCUCAUACACGGUUAUGGUAUUAUGUACGGCUGUGAGGCUUCUCCAUUCCAGCUUCGCUGUCAACUACGUCUGUACGGCUUGUUUUUUCAGCGACAGCAUCGCUUUGCAUUGUGAGUUACUUUCUAUUUGAUAGUUCUUGAUCUACAUGGAUGUUAAGCUGUGAAGCUGUUUGAAGUGGGAUGUAACAUCUCCUACUUUAGACGAUGAUGUUUGACUCUAGCAGCCGAAGGUCUGGGCAACUAGGAUACUGAAGUCGCGGGAUGUAUACGAACGGAGUCGCUCCGCGGACAAGGAAGGAGCGCAAGGUUUCUGUAGUCUUUCGGCACCCCAACGAUGACAAGGUAGUGCUUGGGUGCUCAAGCUCCUAUAUUUGGGGCUAAGCCACUUACGAGCCUUCUCUCUGAGUACUGAAACUGGACUGCCACUCCUUACAGCACUGCGCGGGCGUGGAAUCACUGCUCUUUCCCUCGGUUCCGAACCACAAACUCCUAUUCACAGCCUCGCGGGACUCCACAGUGAAAAGGCAAGUGCCCGCCGCGCCUCCCUGUCACCGCACCCUCCACGUCACCUCACCACUGCGCCGAGUAAUAUCUCCACGACUUAUGCACUCUGGCCUGGCGCUGCACAUAUACACCGGCCUCCGCCUGCCUACACCUUCCGCAACCCACAUCCUCCUCCGCCCUCGGGAAAUGAGGACGUACACGUACAAAGCUCAAAAUCCAGCCCGGCAUGUAGGGCCCAGCUGCUGCUUUACUCCCCAGUCACCGCCAAGACGACGCAAACCCACGAACCACUGCCCGUAUCUGCACCGCAACGUACCGCCGCAUUACCCCAGGACACGGCAUUAGACUCCCAGAACACAACAUGCAACAUUUAGUCCUAGUAAAACCAAGUUCGGCACAUUUGGGUGUAAUGGAGCCGGAUGGUGGGUGGGCAUCAACGGAGCGACAUCGGGGUUCCCUUUGGGGGCCUUGGGCGGUGGACCUCACCUUGCUUCUUAGGCACGGUUGCCUGGCCAGGCACACACCUCCACCCGGUCUCUGAGCCGCCACCCCCGGGGGGGGAGGCCCUGCCGGUGCAUUCGCAGCUAUCCGCACUGCUGCUGCGGCCGCUGCUGCUGCGGCAUCUAUCCUCAUUCUGUCGCGAUGUCUGUUUGUCUGUUGUAGGCCGGGUCCGGUCUGACUCUCAACUUCGCUGGCUGCCUGUCAGCCCUGGUUUAUCGUACAGAGCCGUUUAUGUAUGUGCGUACGUAUAUCUGUAUGUACACAGCUGCCACCUGCCUGACCGGGGUCCAUUUGACGUACAUACAUACAUACAUACACACGGGGAGGGGGUCUAAAACAACACACAGAAAUUCUCGCUCCCGGUGGCGCUAAAGCACCCGUCAAAUAGUGCGUUUUUUUGCGUCUAGAUGGAGACUGCAGUACAGGUGUACUGCAUGCCCAGACCGGUGUCUGUACUCUGUACGUAACGCGUCUGAUACCCCUCACUAUCUGUUUGUCUGUCUGUCUUCCUGCAGAUGGGACGUGGCGGGUCCAGAGCCAGUGUUGGAGGCCAGCUUCGACGGGCAUGCCGACUGGGUUAACGACUUGGCGUUGAUCGGGGACCUGCUGAUCACGUGCUCCAAUGAUCAAACAGUGCGGCUGUGGAAGGCGGGGUCGGAUAACGGUAAGUGUGUGUAUGGGGGGGGAGAGACGAGGGGGGCAAGGUAUUGGGAGGAAUGGGGGUGAGGGGGGGAAGGAGAGGAGGAGGGAGUGGGAGUGGGAGGAGGGGAGGAAGAGGAGGGGGAAAUGCUGGGAAAGCAUGUGGCGGUAUGUGGAUUGGGGGGGGGGGNNNNNNNNNNNNNNNNNNNNNNNNNNNNNNNNNNNNNNNNNNNNNNNNNNNNNNNNNNNNNNNNNNNNNNNNNNNNNNNNNNNNNNNNNNNNNNNNNNNNNNNNNNNNNNNNNNNNNNNNNNNNNNNNNNNNNNGGGAAUGCAAGGGGGGGUUGCGAGUCGUGUUCAUGGGAACGUUCAGAGUAAGGUGUUUUUUUGGGGGGGCGGGGAGACCUCCGGGGAUUGUGCAUGUGUAGUGCGGUGGGAGUGCGUCUCUGUAAUGCACGGAGCGAAGAUUGAGCUGGUAUGUUGUUAAGUGUGUCUCCUGCACCUUUCCCUCUCCCUUUUCCCCACCCCCCUUCCCCUUCCUCUCCUCACGAGCUUCACCCGCUCGUGGUGCGUCUUUCCCGUCUUUUCCCCUUCGUUAACUUUUAUUUAUAUUCUCCCUGCGGGGCCGUUCCAUCGCGGUGAUGUCGUUGUGGAAGUAGCGUCUGCCCUCUAUUACAUCGAAGUGUGUGUGAGCCUUGGAUGCCACGAAACACACACCCGCACACCCUUCUACCCACACUACCAGCUAACCCCCUGCAUACAGCUCCUCCCCGACACCUUCCCCCCUCUUUCCCCGCACCACCCCUCCUCCGCCACCAACCCUCGUUUCGAACGUCGCCUGGUGCUGGGCUGCUUUGGCGUCGUCGUACUCGGCGUUGAUCCCCUCGUCGCUUCGCUGUACGGCAGGUCAGCACCUGCACACGCUGUCGUACCACUCGGAUUACGUUACCUGCCUGGCAGCGGCGCCUGCUCGCAGUCUGGUGGUAUCUGCGGGGCUGCGGGCUGAGAUAUUUUUGCUCAAUAUAGAGGUAAUGCAGGGCCGUGGGGGAUGUGGGGCCGGGGGGUUGCGGGUGUGUUUCGAUGAACUGAGCCGCCGGCUUGUGUGUGGGGGGGGGAGGGGGAGGCGGGUAAUAAAUGCUAAAGCCAAACAAAUUGCAAAAACGGUUGGCCUUGGGGGGGAGUGACGGGGUCCGGAAGGGGUUACCUAGAGUGCCUGGAGAGGAUGUGCGGGAAUGCUUCGGGGUCGGGUGUGUGUGUGGGGGGGGCGGAGAUUGGGCGCGAUGGCGGACCUCGCUACGCCCCAAAUGCGAGGUCACAACGUUUGUACACACAGAUGGGCGUUGGAGGGGAGAAGGGGGAGGGCGGAAAAGGGGAGUCCUUUUCUGGGUUUGUGUAUAUAUGUACAUACACAUACGUGUAUUUAUGUAGAUAUACACAUUAUUAAUAUAUAUGGGGGGUAGUAAUUGCAGGAAUGAGUAGUAGUGUGGUUCUUUCCCCCCGUAAAACCCUUGAUCUGAAUCCGAGGUAGGUGCCCCGGGCUAGUUUCUGAAGUACGUGUGCCGUACAUGCCGAGGAGGGGGACGGGGACCGGCGGCUGUCCCUGUCCGCGGCCAUUACACCCACACACAGCAGGAGAGAAACAAACAGCCAAACAGCCUCAUACUGGCUGCUCGCCCCCACCGCCGCCCACUGCCGCCGCCGGGGUAAAAGCCCUAAAAAGACCCAUGGCCGCAACAGCCGCAACAACUCGAGGCUGUUGGAGAAUGACCGAGAGACAUUCAUUCAUAUAAACAUUCAUUCACAAGCACAGCAACGGAGUGCGAGAGAGCAGCAGUAAUAGGACCCGAAAAGGGGUCCGCGGGUAGCUUGCUAUCGUCAACAAAGGCGCGAGAGGACCCAUGGCCCGCGCCCCGCGCACAACGGACUAAACACUAAGCGCUAAGAGAACACACGCUUUCCCUUCCGCCCCGCCUGUGUCACCCGCGUUCGGUUGGCGCCUUUACCUCCGAUAUGGAAAGGCGUCACCGCUGCUCCCUUCCCCCGCUGCUCCAGCUCCACCUUCGCCCUCCUCACCCCCCCCCUCCAUCACAACACCUUCCCCUCCACCUCGCUCCUGGUUAGCCUAAUCCUCCUUACCCCUCCCCUUUUACCUCCGCCCGCUUUCCUCAACCCCCUUUCUCACCACUCCCUCCCCUUUUUCCCCCAACAAAACACAACCUCCAAAAACCCGCACACAAACGUUUUGUACAGACCGGCAAGCACACACAGCUCUACCCCCGCACGCCCCUGCCCGGCGCGGCUUCCGGCUCGCCUAGCGCCGCCGCCGCCACCGGAGUACACGCCCACGUGUCGGUCUCCAGUGUCGGCGUCGUCGGAGGCGACGACGGGCCUCUGUACGGCGGUGCCGCCGCCGCCGCCACCUCCGGUGGCCUUCCACCCCCCGUCUCCGCUUCACACCAGCACGUCGCCAAAGACGCGCCGGGCUCUGUGUAUGCGUUGGAUCUGAACCCCACUGGCACGGUGGUGGCGGCGGGUACGAGCGAGGCGCUUGUACGGCUCUUAGAUCCCCGAAUUGGCAAGAAGAUUACGAAAUUGCGAGGGCACCAGGCGAGUGUGUGUUUGUGGGGUGUGUGUGUGUGCGGGAGAAAAGGGAGGUCGGGAAGUAAGGAGGGUGGGUAUUGGGGGGUUGUUUCGGAGGUCGGGAUUUUGCGAAUGCGCGUGUGUGUCUUGCCCUUGCGGGAAAAGCUCUGGAACAGAGUCGUUAAUUCAUUUCAUCCAUGGACGCAUUUAUCCCGUCAGGGGGGUGGCAAAUACGUAUGUAUGUAUGUACAUAUGUAUGUAUGUACAUGACGUGUGUAUGUGUGCAGGGGAGUGUAAGGGUGAGUGGGUGGGCGGGGCGGACCCCGAGCCGACGUCCCAAGCGAAGGCGGGGACGGGUGACUCUCAACUCCUUCCGCCACCACCACCACCACCACCACCACCACCCGGGUAUCCGGUCAGUGGUCAGAGGUCAGUGGCCACCCAGACUCGUAUACAGGAGGGCCUGUGGCCAUCCUCCCCGCCUCCUUCUCCCCAGCUUCCUAACCAACCAACCAACCAACCACAUCCUAACCACUUCGCCCCGAAACCAACUGCCCAACCAACCAACUAACAAGCAGGACACGGUUCGUGCGUUGUUGCUCAACGGUGAUGGUACGAUGUUGCUGAGUGGGGCCUCAGAUGGCACCAUCAAGUUGUGGGAUAUCGGCAUGCAGCGAUGUGUGCAGGUAAUGGGAGGGGGGGAAAAGAGAGGGGGGAGGGGGGAGACGGGGGUUUGGUUAGGUUCGGGUUGGUUAUUCACGCCCAUGUGAGACGUGCCUUUUUGGGGCGUAUGCAUGUAUGUAUGCUAAAUUAUUUAAGCUCAAAACAUAUAGCUUUAUUUGGAAAACCAAAGAUCCCCACUAUUAUUACUUAACCCCCCACUUUUAUUUAGUAAACUUUUUCCUGAAAGCCAAUCGAAUGAAAAACGUCCUGGUAACAGGAUAAAUCAGGGGAAGUUCAGCGACGGAAUGAUUAUUCGGAAAAAAAGCGAUAGUUUAGGUAUAGUUUUGAACUAGGGGGGCCGGCUUAAAAGCCAUGAAGGAAAGUUGUAUUAAACGGAUUCAAAAAUAUGAUGUUACGAAUGCGUAUUAGUUUUGGUUUAUUUAUGAGUGCGAGCCUACAUCAACGUAGUAACGUAGUGACAGUUAAUUAUGUAUAGGUUACCAAUCAAAUGCAUGUAUGUAUGUAUGUAUGUAUGUAUGUAUGUAUGCGCACUUCCUCAUGUGUGUCCCCACUCCUCGCUAUCCUGUUGUACGACACGGCCUCCUCAGACAUACACACUGCACACGGACGCCGUGUGGUCGCUGCUCUCCCCGGACGACAGAUUCGCCGUCGUGUACAGCGGGGGGAGGGACAGGGCGAUCUAUCGUACAUACACACACACGUAAGCACCUCAUAAGUACAACCCCCCCUUGUCCCCCUCCCGCCACUCAGGCAGGCAUGCAGGUCACUUCCCACAUGGCAUACAGCAGUACUCCAAUAACGCUGUCGUACAAACAGUAUGCACACAUACGAAUAUUCCAUACAGGAAUACACUUGUGAAAUACAAAUAUGUGUGUGAAAUUUAUUUCUUAUUGCCUUUCUCCGGACUAGACCGCCCGGUAGGACAGAAGACCGGGCCGGGGGGUGGGGCCAUCCGGGGUCCCAGUUGUGAUGCCCCGGGUUUGGGGGGGGAAGAAAGCGGGGCGAAGGGGGGAAUGGAAAGGGGGGCAUCCUGGGGGAAAGGGGUAAUCCUGUGUAUGAUGGUGUGAAACGAGAAACAAGUGUCUAUUCAUCCACUCAUUGCCCAAAAGGGGGUUUAUGAGGGAGGCAAGGGGGAAGAGGAGGAGAGGGGCGAUGGAGGGGUUUCUAGAGGUAAGGUACGACUCAAGGACACAUCAUUCUGAGUGGCCAUGGCAUUAGAGAUGAUUAUCUCCUUUUUAUUGUACUGCAGUCGUACAAGCGAGCUUCUUGCCGUGGAGGACUUUCCCGUACAGGCGUUGGCGCUGGACCCUGACGUGGGGCCUGAUGCGGCAGGUGCGGUACAGUACGACAUGGGUGAGGGGGGGGAGAGGGAAUGCAGGGUGGUGGAGGCAGUGAGGGCGGUGGUGGUGGUGGUAAGAGGUGUUUCUGCGGAUGUGGGGCAGUGGAGAGAGAGGUGUAGCGGUCACCGUCUGGUCGGCGGAUGCUGCUGUUCGCCGGCCUCUCUCUCACUCCCGUCCCCCGCCAUCGCGUCCUAACACGUCGUGUCUCCUUACGCCCUGGCCCCCCCCUUCUCCCCCCUCCUCCGCAGCCCACUACUCCUCCCCAUUCUCCUCCUCCUCCCGCUUUCUGUUUUCCUCCUCCCCAUCCCCGCCAGUGGUUCGUCUUAACACCCCCCCCUAUCCCCCCAUCCCCGCGGCACCCUGCAUCCUCCGUUCACCUCCUCGGCCCCCUCCUCGCCCAAGUAUGUGCCUGGUGUGUUCCCCCGCUCGGAUGCCCCUGCAGAGCGCCACGAUGUGGGCCCUACGGGGGGUGUGGGACUGUGGGCCGCCACCUCCGCCUCCCACAUCAACAUGUGGGUGGUGCCCCGGGGGCCGGCCCACGGGUCGGUCGGGGGAGCGGACAGCGGGAGAGCCUUCUCAGGUGGGCUGGGGGUUGGCCAGGGGGGUGGGGGUGGGAGGGGGGGUGCCAGGGUUUGCUGGGGAGGUGUUGAAGAUGGGUUGUUGAGGGGCUGGGCUGUGGGUUAGGGCGGAGGGGGGGGCAGGGGUUGGGGGGGUUGUUCUGUGUACAGUUGAUAUGUCGGUGAGUGGGGAGGGGGUUGUUUUGCAACCGCUGCAACAGAAGCUGCGGCCUGUUGCUUCUGAUGAUGAUGCCCCCACUCACCUCCGUAAGAAUGUGUAUGAAUUGUGUGUGUAUGUAUGUAUGUAUGUAUGUGCGUGCUUUUGUCCUAGCCCACUCCCCCAGCCGUCGUAUACACAAACUUUGGAGUUGAGCUGUUUGCGGCUUUGGAUCUAUGUUUUCCUCUUUAUUUGUGUCUUUCCUUUUUUGCAUUUAGCGAAAGGAAGUGGUCCCCACCCUCCUCCCACUUCCCGCCCCGCAGUGGCUCGACGCAGCAUGGGCGUCCACGCCAACAUGCGCAACCGAAUGUCGUUGGAGCAAAACCGACAACCGCUCGCCCGAAUCCCGGAGGCGACGAUCCCGGGCAUCCCCGGUGAGUACCCAGCGAGCUGGCUGGUGAGGGCCUUAUGGAGCGGUGGGGCUUUACGUGUGUGUAUGCGUGCGUAUGUAUGUGCAUGCGGACGAGGUGGGGGUUGUCUUGUGCGUGUGUGUGUGUGUGUGUGUGUGCGCGUGUGUAUCUCGGAGCUGACCGUCCUGCACACGCGCCCUAAGAAACUCCGCCCCUCAACCCCCGCGGCUCAUACUCGUUACCAUUCAUUCCACGCCAUCACGUGGGGCCACCCGCGUCCGUACACCCACACAGCACGACAGCAUGUUGCGUGCCUCCCUCGGUCGUACGGACGAAGAUGAGCGUUUCUGGUUACUGCGGGGGUUCGUACUGGUACACGGAUACUGCAACAGGUGUUGAGAGAAUUUUCGCUCGAUUUGCUACACCCUUGCCUUGCGCUUCCGUGUCGCAUAUUUUGGUACGUAUGCAUACAUUGCGAUUGUUUACAUUGCUGUACUUUUGUGCCGUACGCACAUGUGUUGCAGUUGCCGUACACACGCGCCCAUGCAGAGUUAGCACCGUUUUACUCGUCUUGUGCCGCUCACGCGCCCUUUCCCCGCUCAACCCCCACCAUCUGCAUGUGAUUGAUUCCAUGCAGCCACCAAUGCUCUGUCUUCCCCUAAAUUUACCCGCCCCUCUCCCCCCUUCCCCCCCAACCCCCGCCCCCACACGCACAUACACAUGCACGCACACACCCUCAGCCCUGGUGGCGCACGAGGUGCUGUCGGACAAACGGCGGGUUUUGACACGCGACAUGGGGGGCCACGUAGGGCUGUGGGACGUGCUCCAGGGGACCCAGGUGGCAUCGUACGGCAAGGUGGAUUUUGGCGCCAAAAGUCAGGAGCUUUGGGAGCCGCGAUCCGUGCCUUCGUGGUUUACCGCCGACACUCGUCUCGGCUGUUUGUGUAUUUCUCUGGAACCCCCCUCGGCCUUCAUGGCGGAGGAGUACGGCGUGGCGCUGGAGCUGGGCUACGUGGCAGACGACUUCAAGGUAUGUGCGUAUGUAUUUGUGUAAGGGGAAGUGUGUUUUUAAAGGGGGAAAAAAGCGGGGAGGGGGUGGCGGGCCGGGGUUCCGGGGCGGGUGCGCGGCGUUGGGCAGGAGGGUAAGGAAGGGGGACGUAGCAGACACGUACGAACGAAACCCAACCGUGGCACGUGGUCGGCAGUCCAGUGGGCAGCUCAGCGGGAACGGGCGGAACAUUGGUAUCGUUGUAUACGGUGUACGGAUGCUACAGGGCAGCCGAGCGGUGGUUUAAAACCCCCGGGGAUCCCGCCCACGCACAUACAUACACACUUACAGCUGUCAGAGUUUAACCUCGGGCUUUAUGGUCCCCUCAUCCUCUGACACCACCAUCACCACCACCACCACCACCAUUUUGCCCGAAAUGAACACCAACACACCCACCCACCACCUCCAUCUCCACCUCCACCAGUCGGCAGUCACUUCUUCGUUCCGUUGCCACAGGAUCCCUUCGUUUCCCCCCUCCCCCUCCCCCUCCCCCUCCCCUACUUUCCUUGGCAGCAGCUUCACUCGCUCGUGAUUCGUCUUUCCCCCCUCCCCCCUCCCCCAGUCGCCACCACCAGCACUGUCCAUGGUCCCACACCCUAGGGUGGCGCACCACCCACUAACACCUCACCUCAGCAACGACAGCAACAACCCUAAACCACCUUACAACCACCUCACAACUAGGAUUUUCUCCCCUCCUCUUUCUCCCACCACCAUCACCCUUGCUGUACGACAGGUCAAUUACGGCAAGCUCGUCUUGGACUGCGUCUUUGCCAAAUGGCGCUACAAGCUGCAAGCAGCUCAACACCAGAUCCCCAACCCCGCCGCCAACCCCACCUCCCCCAACGCGCCCAUCACCCCCACCUCUCCCGCCUCUAGCCCGGGGGCCGCAGCAGCAGCAGUAGCAUUGGCGGCACCAUCGGGAGGGGCAGCAGCAUUAGGUGGGGGGCUUCUUCCCGGACCACCCCACCAUCACCACCAGCUUCACCACCACCACCACCACCAUCACCCGCAGCUACAGCCCCAGGUGGCAGCAGCUGGAGGGGGAGGGGGAGGGGGGGUGGCGCAAGAGGGUGUUGGUGGUCAGCCGUACUACUUGGACUCGUGUCCAAGUUACUGGGGAUGCAGGGCGCUGCCGGCGGGUGAGUGCGGGUUUUAGAGAAUGGGGUGGGUCGGGAUUGCGUGGCGAGCAGGCGUGAGGUUCCCCCUCUAACCCCUGCACUGCACUGCACUGCCCGUUCCCCAGUGGGGGGUGCGGGCGCACACACACACACACACACACACACACUCUCGCAAGUAUGGAAGGGAAGGAGGGAGAUGGUUAUGUGGGGAAGGGGGAAGGAUAGGUCCAUAGGAAUUGUUUGGGGGCUGCUGUCGCGCGACUCAGCAUUAUGCAUGAUAUGAAUUGCAGUUGUCCGACUACCACACGCAACGCACACCUCCCGAGGGCGGCCACCACUCCACCUCACCGGUCCACACACACAACCGAGGCAAGAACCCGGUCCGCACGGCUGUCACCUCCCGGGGGCUACGUGCUCCCGGACACUAUCCAACGGGAAACAAAGCAAAAACACCUAUUGCCGCUAGGGCGAUAAAGCCCGAAAAAGGAACGGUUCACGGACCUUGCCCGUCGCUCGUAAGCUUACUAACCUGAGAACCCUAACCCCUUCUGUCACCUCGCCGACCGGCAACAACUGCACCAUACCCAGGUUGAACUUUUGACCCCUCUUGCCUUGGAACACGUGUCCAUGUGACGAAGCAAGCGCUUCACCUCGUGUGGGCCGUCCAAUUCCAUCCAAUCCAGACCCGGUCGUAUCAUCUGCUGCUUAUUGCACACCGCAGUCCGAAGCCGAACCGUAUGUUGAUGUAAACGCACUCCCACACCUCCAUAAUGCUGCAUAAUGCCAGCACAGGGAGGCGUGUGCAGAGAUUGCUAGCAGAUACAACCAAGGUGACAGCAAGGGGGACAUCAUCGCCAUCUGUAUCAUCAGCUGCCGCAGGGCCUGGCACGCACUUCAACAGCACUGUAGUUUCUUCCACCGUACGUGCAACUCCUUGUGGACCACGGCUACAUCCCUCCACCCCUUCCACCCUUCCUUCCCAUCCAGGCUCCAAAUCUCAAACACCAUGAUGUGUGUGUGUGUGUGUGUUUUGCUCCACAAACCGCCCAUUGUUUCUUACCCGCCCACCUUCCCGCCCCGAUAUCACACCCUUCCCCCCCUUUUUGUCGCUUUACCCUUUCGCCCUUUUCGCUCAUGUGUGCUAUCCGCCGCCGUGUUGGCGUGAUGGUCAAACCAGUGAUAUGUUCCCGCCAAGACGGUCAACGCUGGCGGCGGCUGAUUUCAGCAUUUGACGGCUCCGAAGCUGAGCCUGCCGAAAUUCCCACAUGGGUGGCGGAUGUCGUACUGCGUAACGCCAACGUAACGCCCAAGGAGGCAAAAUGUGCGUUUGUACUGCUGCCGGCGGAGGUGAGCGCUUGGGUCGGUACGGAGAGGGUGCCGUAAAUCUCCCUAGCCCGUACCCUCCUAUCGCCGAGUUCCAUUUGCGGCUCAGGUCUCAUUAAACACGCAACACCAUUACGAUGUCACCCUGCCCAACACACCAUUCACCACAGACAUGUUAGCUGUAGAUGUUAAGUAGUACGGCACGGUUGUGAGAGUGAUUUGCGGUUGGGGGGACGCAUUAUUAGGUCGUUCACGAAGGAACACCCCUUCGCUUUCUGACCCCCAAAUCACCCGGCAUUUAAUCCGCCACCAACACCACCACCACCCACGCGACCAAAACACACACACACACUUGGGCGUACUGAUGUAAAUCAGAUGCCAGGUUCCUCUCCUCCUCCUCCUCCCCCACCCCGGGAGCCACCGCCAGUUGGCGCCUCGGGGACGUGUGUGUGGCUACAGCCGCUUGGGACGGGCGGGCAGGCGGCUGACACGGGCAUCUCAUCCUCCCCAGCAACACAUACAUACAUGCACACACACGCACGCACAUUCGCAUACGUACAUACUCGCAUACAAACCCCCUCCCCCUCCCAACCGCUCUGCAGGGCUCCGACCUGCCUCCCCUGCAGCAAAGUAAGCUGAACGCCCCCCGCAUCCUGCAAGUCUAUAAGGUCGCGAACUACUGCAGCGGCAAACUGCAGGUACGGGGUGGGGGCGGGGGUGAGGUGCUGUGUUGUGUGGGGGCCCCACCGGCGGGUGAAUUGGGACAUGAGUGUGUGUACGUGUGUGUGUGCGUGUGUGCGUGUGUGUGUGUGUGCGCGCGCGCGUGCGCAAUUUCCAUCUUACCCCCCCGACGGCACCUCUCACACACACACACGCUUCCCCCCCUUCCCCUCUCCCCCUCUGCAUUGGACCGCCCCACUCCGUUUUGAAGGACAUGGAUUUGCCCCUGGUGGUGCGGCCCUUCUACCUCACGGGCGGCCCCCACCCCCCCGACCCCCACCACCUCCCCUUGGAGUCGCCACCACCCAAGAGCACCUCCACGGGAAAGGAGGGGGAGCCGCACGUGCUGGAACUUACGUGUAACGGAAUGGUGGGUCUCGGGGGGGGUUUGGGGUUUCGGGGGCCGGGGGGAAGAGGGAAUCUAGGGUUUCCUGCGUAGGCUGCGCGUGGCAGGAACAUUGGGGGGCUUUAGGGGCCCCCGCGGGGCCGUGGGGGUGAACUAAGGAGCGGGUUAUGGAUAGAUAGCCGUGUUGUUAUCCUCUUUUCACCUCCCAACCUGGCCAUUCGUGCAGGCGGUUCCGUACGAGAUGAGUUUGGCCUCUGUCAAGAAGUUCAUUUGGAAGAAGUCGGACGACCUGUUGUUCCACUACAGGUAAGCGGAACACGAGUACGGAGGACCUGGAGGAUGUGUGCCGUAAAAAUUGAAGUCGGACUCUCUGUAUUGUUUGUGUGUAAUUUUAGCAAGACUAAAAUUAAUUUUUUGCCUCGGCGCUUUUCCAUCUUGCCGUCAUGCGCCGUUACCCUGGGGCUUUGUUACCCUUGCUCACACUGGCACUCAACCCCCUCAUCGACCCUCCCCCACCACUCCCCAUCCCCCACAUUUUACCUUCGCUUCUUGCAUCCUAUGAUUCCCCGCCCCCCGCCCCCCCCCCCGGCAACCCGCAACCCGCUCCCAAUCCCCCCCCUAGGGUCCUCGACCCCGCGAACCCCGCACCACUUCCCGUACUCCCAGGACCUCAGCGCUGAUCCAACCACCAACCGACACCAACCACCCAGUAACGGACCCUUUCCGUUAAAGUGUCUGUGUUGUUGUUGGUGGUGGUGGUGGUGAUGGUGGUGGACUGGUGGUGACUAGCUGGCUGGGAUAUCCUGAGCGAGCUGGCGGCUGUCUGUUACCUUUGUGUGUAUAUGUGUGUGUACCCAGGUCUCUCUUCAUGGAGAGGUGUCGGCUGUCCUUGUGCGUGAGGGGUGGGGGGGUUGGGAAGAGGGGAGGAGUUGUCAUUGUGCAGGCGCUGCUGCUUGUGUGCGUUGCUGGAGCGGACGAGUGGCUCUGCUGAUCCUGGGGUGUUGUGUGGUGGGGGUUAGGUUCGUGUAGCAGGUGGUGGUGGUGGCGGGGGCACCGAGCCAGAGGACGGUGGGCAGGAGUCCGCAAAGUUGGUUGAACUGGAGCUGUAGUCCCAAACACCGGGGGGACGGGGGAAAUGUGUGUCGUCAGUCGCGCAGGCUUGUCUUGGACAGGAGCAGGAAGAAGUAGUCUUAAUUCCGCUUCGUCAACUCUCCCGCUUUUCCCGGUCCUCCCCCACCCCACUCACCCACCUGCACACCCUUGAGGUUCUGCUCGCCGCUUUAGUGUCCUCCCACUUUCCUACUCACCCACGUAAAAAAAGCGAACGUGAACGUAAGGGGGAACGUAAGGGGGCAAAAGAGGUCCGAGCCGGUCUGAGGCGGGGACACCGGCCGCCGCCGCCCUAGACCGAAAGUGAAGGAGUGAGAGCGGCGGUGGCGACAGCCUGUGUGUGUGGUGGCCGCAAUAGCAGUAGAAAUUGUAGCAGUAGCAGCAGUAGCUAUUAGGUGUGGCAGUAGUGGCCUCUGGUGGGGUUUGAUGGUGUGGCAAGUCGCAAUUGGCGGCUUUGCAUCCGUGCUUGGUGGCAAUGGUAUUGGUGACCCCAGGUUUAAGGGUGGUGGUGACGAUGGUGGUGGUGAGCACUGACCGAUCUCCACUUUGUCAGCCCUCUAUUCUGGUGGGCUCUACCUAUCCGUCUGUCUGACCGUUUAUCUGUUGCGCAGGCAGGUCUGCAGCCCUGUACACGGCGGGGUGCCAGGUACAGUUGAGGAGUGUGCGUGUGUACGUGUAUACACUUGCACUGGCGUACUGGUGUACGUGUCCGUCGCGGGACGGGUGGAAGGGGGGUUGGAAGGGAGGGAUCAUCCCCUAGCACCUCGUCAGCACUUGAGCCAGUGCUGGAGGGCCGGGGCCAGAAGGGAGGGGCAUGCGGACUUGCCGGCACCAUACACGCACACAAACACCAGCAGCAUGUGGGAAGAGAUUUAAACGUUAGUCACCACCACCACCGUCACAAGCCUGAUGCUUCCCAAACCAGCCUUUUGAGGAAAAUAUGGUUUUGGGAUAUGCCUGCCCUCCAAACUUCCCUUUUUUCAGAUCAAGCCCGAACCCAUCCCGUAACGUGCCAGCUAAUCCCCCUACCUCUCAACACCAACCCGCAAAAGAAAACAGUCUAGGCAAUAGAGCAGGAGUGCUAGCUACUCUUUACCACUAUGACCACCAGUGUAUCUCCGAGCAAUGCCCUGGCAUCAGCAAACCUGCGGAUGUCUUGUCUUACUCUUUGUAUUCCUUUUCCUCCCUCCGUUUCUCAAACAGCCGCGCCUCUCCCUCGCCUCUCGGUCACUAAGAACGGACGAGAAUAAAACAUCAUUAUCACACACACAAAUCUGGCUUCCAUGGCACCCCGUUUGGUUCCUCGGUCAGCCGGAUUCGCGUCACAUUCUUUCGCACCACGCACACCUCCCGCACUCCCCCCUCUCCUUCUUCCUCCUCGCCCUUCCGCCUCCAAGAAACCCCCCUCCCAUCCCCUCCAACACGCGCCCCUCCAAUCCCACGCGGCGCUACGUUGUCGGGCGGUCUCACCUGCCCGCCACCACUCUGAAACCCCCUAGGGGCUCUGACCCCGCCUUAGGUCCGUGAAGCGAAGGUCGCUCUAGCAACCUUCUGAAAGGUAAGAAGCCCCAAAACUGAGAGAGACCCCACCAGUGUGUAUACACACGUACAUACAUACACACGUACAUACAUACAUACAUACACAUACAUAUAUACCAUGCAGACAUACAUGGAUAAAUAUUACACGCAUAUGUACAUGUACAUUUAUGUGUAAUCUACAUGCACACAGGUAUUCACGCAACGUAAAAGGUCGCCGUAAAGCAGCUGGGAAAUUCUAUGUCGUACACCACGCUCUGUUGAAGAAGCACCUGCCCUCCGUUUCCCUGCUCAGCCCACAUGCAGCCCGGUUCGGUACACGAACAGCAGCGGGUAGGUGAACAAACACAUCACGAAACACCACCACCAAGACAGGAAGCUGGACGCAAACGACACGAAGUCCAGCGGCAGAAGCGGCACUGGCACUCCCUGCCCAACGUCGCCACCACUACCACUACCCCUACCACUACCACCAUCAUGAACACUCCCAAUCGACCAGGCUGUAGCAGCAGCAGCAGCAGCGGCAGCUUCCUCUGAUGACGUCAUGCCGUCGAGGCCGUCAAGAAAGACGUCGUCGCUUGCCGCCACUGCCGUCAGCCCCGGCUGCGCAGUCGCCGCAGCCGCCAGGCCGUCGCGCAACCCGAGUUCAAUCCCCAUCCCCGACUGACUUCCUGGCGGGGGCCCAACUGCCGGCUGCUGCUGCUGCUGCGGCGGUGAGGUUGCCGCUGUCGCCUUGCCGACGAGUAGUAGCGGCUGCGCGGGCCGGAAGGAGUCCAUCACCCCGGAGGCCCCGCCGUACAUGAGGGCAAGGCACGCGAGGAUGGCGGCGGGGGCCAGCAGCUGCAAGGCGACCUGCCGCCACACAUACAUACAUACAUACACAUGCAUACAGGGGAAGCGAAGGACGUGGAUGGAGCGAUAGGAAGAAGCGCACCAAGUGAGGACAUGACGAGCUGCCCGCACCCGCACCCGCACCAGCAGCAACCCCAGGUCUGUGAGUCUCAGUGUGUGGGGCCUUACGGGCAGUGAAUGUACGGUGAAUACACCGAAUGCGGGUGCCUAAAGGCGGAGCUGUUGCACUCACCCCGUCACGCAAACCCGGGCCACACUUCGCUCCGCUGGGCUCCCCCUCCCCCUCCCCUUCCCCUUCCCCUUCCCCUUCCCCUUCCCCUCCCCCAACAUCUUCUGCCGCCACCCCUCUUUUUUCCGGGUCCUCCUUCCCGGGCAAUACGGCAGUACGCGCACACGGCAAUCCGUACCUGACAAACUGUCGCAUAUACGAGGUGAAGCCGCUUCCGGAUCAACACCUCCCGAGCGCCCUGCAAUGCCGUAUUCCCGCCAGCACCACCACCGCCGCCCCCGGGUAGCGCCUCGUGCCGUAACACAUGCCAUUCCAGCAACCCGCCACCCAGGUGCGCCGCCGCCAGCGGCCGUAUGGCAAACAGUUGCGCCGCCGCCGCCGCCACCACCAGCGCCGGGCCCAGCGCUGCGGCCGCCGUCAACGGAGCCAAAAAGUCCGACAUCGGCACGAUGCCGUACAGCACGACGAGCAGCGGCAGGACGAGCGAGAGAUGUACGGCGGCUUUUGCGGCCGGAUGCGGUGUGAGGUACUUCGCCGCCCAGAAGGGAACGGGACUGGUGUAGCUGUACAGCUUGGCUAUUCGGGCGGCCGGACCCAUUAGUGCUGCACCUGCAGGUGACACGGCGUAGGUGUAUACAUGUGUAUGUAUGUACGUAUGUAUGGGAGGGGAAAAAGGAAAACAGGAGGGCGGGGGAAGAGCCAACUAGCCAUUGGGGUGUGUGGGCUUUGGAAGGGUGAGGGAGAGGGAGGUAGCGGGGUAAGGCGGAGGGCGGGGAAGACACACAUAACAAGGCACCACCAAAAGCAAAAACAACCACCCUUCAAGACGUGACGAACUUGAAACAACAUCCCCCGAAGUUGGCCGAUAUUGCAACGACAAACGACUCUCUCAAAACCCAACCUCAACGCCAAUCCUACCAACCGCCCAACCGCCCCUUAAAACCCUGAAACCCUCCACCCUUACACCAUCCCUUACCCAGCAGUCCCGCCACCACCGCCAGGCCGCCCGCUACCAGCCCCGGGUCGCUGUGGAGGGGCGGCGGCGGCUGGUAGUGCCGUACGCGGGCAGCCAGCAGCCGAGCGACGCCAACAUUCACAAACUGGCGGAGGUUCGGGCGACAUGUCCGGGUGUUAGGGAGCACCGGAAGGGGGGGAGAGGGAGGUGCGUGUGUAUGUGAAGGGGGGGAAAGAGCGGAAGGGGAGGGGCUCGCUGCACAUGUGCAAUCAACAACCACCACAGUUGCUUUAGAAUCCAUCUCCCUCCUCCCUCCAACUCCUCCCUUUCCCCCCCACAAACACAAAUAAACACACCCGAACCGCAACUCACUUGGUCAAGGUGCUUGGCUGCCUCGCGUACGUCCCACCGAAUCCAGCCCGGCGGUGCCGCCAUCAGUAUGCCGUACGCCGCCAGUCCCCCCAAACCCGCCAGCACCAGUACCCUGAACCUGUCCCCCCCCGGCAUCAGGCGGCGGAGGGAGCCCCCGCACUCGACCAUGAUGAGCUGCGAGAGGGCCCACAUCACCACCAUAGGGCCCAAGGUGAAGAGCAGGAUUUCCUGGAAGGGGUGGGGAGGGUGCGAGUGAAGGGGGGAAGUGAGGGCCGGGAAGUGAGAGGGGUAAAUUGGUGGAUUUGGGUUUGGACUGGGCGAGUGAGAAGGGGGAAGGAACGAGGAAGGGGCCGAAAACCCGACAGCCAUAUUCAUAGUCAGUUGCGAAAUGAAAUGGAUGAAAAAACACAGUGUCCCUCUUCUACCGUUCCCCAUGUUUCCCACGCCCCCUCCCCCGCCGUACCCCAGUUUUCCCGCUCUUUCACUUUACCCACCUGCCACAGCCCGAUGAGGGGGCCCAGUGUGAAGUGUACGAUAAGGCCCACGAGCAGCACCAUCAGCAGGACCCCCUGGAGGAAUCAACAACCGGCAGUUGACAGUUGGCAGUUGGCGCCACCUGGAAUCGGGGGGUUCGUUUUCACAGGGCAGCGGGUACUACCACACACACAUACAUGCAUACAAAUAAGGAAAUAGGCGGCUGUUUUGUAAGAAGGCGUGAUAACUGAUGAUUCACGUCUCAGCACCAACCUCCUCCCACACCUAAGAUAACUCCACAACGAGAAGGACGAGAACAACGCAACAAGCCCCAGCACCCUUCGCAGCAGCAGCAGCAUAGGAUGGCGUCAUGACCAGGACGUUCACGAGGUGGUCGGAGAGGAGGGGGAGGGGCAGGGAGUCAGGGGGAAAGUUGCCCCACUGACUCCACCCGCUACUGCGCCACCAAGAGGACCCACCGGGGUUUCCUCUGGGGUUGCUUCCCCGGUUGCCAGCCAGCACCCACAAAAGUGGGUUUUAAAAAGACCUAUAGGGCCCCAGCAACCCCCCAUUUGUGAGCUUCGGUAAUCUUGCGAUUAAUGCGAACACAUGCACGCACGCUAAAAGCGUCCUUUCAGAAAAUGUUCGGAAGGAUAUAUCAUGCAGCCGUACGAUGGUACGGCAUAUAAGAACGUGAUGGAUGAAUUUGAAUUUGUGGCUAAGCGUGUGGAUCCCCUGGCGCAAUGGGAAUUUGCACUGCCACAAUUCCGUGGAGGAAGAGGUGGGAAGUAACCCGUCUGUGUAUGAGGCGAGAGCGCAGCGGAAUGUGGAUGGAAGCUUUCAAGCUGUGAUCGUUUGGUCACAGACGUGUUUGAUGUUCCCUGACUCGGGCCAUGUAGGGGGGGAAAGACUCACCAGCGUUUCGAAACUGCUUCCGAAUGUGGAUGGCUCCGAGCUGAGGUGGCUUAAUGCGCUGGGGCUCAGCUGCUGCAUGACCAGAGAACUUUGGGCGUCUUGAAGCUGCAACUGGCGCUUCUGCAGGAGCUUCCGGUCGCGCUUAGUCGUCUUUGGUCCAAUGGGCGGGUUCGGAAUUGCUGACGACUGCGGUAGGAAUGUGAACAAACCCUCCAGGAACAGCGCCCCUGCCGGCUGCCUGUGAUUAUGGAAGCGAUGCAUGCGUGUUCUUUUUGUUGGAACAUACAAGCCGCCGACCGUGCCAUGCUGCUGACUGGCAGGUCAACCCUUAUCAAUUGAACCAGCAUAAAUUAUUAUUAUAUUUGAUUUCAUAACCCUACCUGAUGAAGUGGCGGAAUAGAAUCGCACAUAUCAUCGGCACGGCCAUAUAAACAAAGAGCCCCAUGGUGCCUUAUUAUUUUUACAAAAAUUCAUCAAUCAGGUAUGUGCUCGAUGUGGUGCAAACGAGUCACAUUGUAGACAUUGGCACAAAGACAGAGGGAGAGGCACUAAAGACUGACUGGACAAAAGUACAGCGUGCCGUACGAUAUACCGGAAGGAAAAUCGACCAACCGAAGAUUGAUUAUGGCACACAGGACUCCUUGUCAAAGUUGCAAUUGGAAUGGAUCAAGACGUUGCAAAGCGUGCGGCUGCCGCUGAGGCGCGCCGGCAAAAGAUCUUAGCCCGAGGGUCGGAGCGGCUCAACCGCAUCACUGUCGGAACUCCGUUGCCCUCGGCUGAAACUCUGAACCCAACCCCUACAUCGGAACGAGCUGCGUCGGAGGCGACAAGCUUGGGACUCGCGGGCGCCUCGGCCGCUGUGAAGCCUUCCCAGUUACGUCCAAAUGAUCGCGACAGUGAGGUAUCUGAUCCAGUUACGGAUACGACUACAACGGCAGCAGUGGAAGCAACUGUAUCUGAGGCGCCGUUAAAAUCAGCCCAUGCGGAUGCUUUGUUAGCAUCGGCGGACCCGAUGCUGCAACAGUUGCUACGCGGCAGCGGCGGUCAGAGCCACCCAGACGAGGAUGCCUUCCAAGCUUCAGCACAACGGGAAGCAGAGCAGGCUCUCCACAUGCUCUUAAACCAACUGGCAGGUCCAGCCGGAGUGCCGUACCUCGCCGCACAGCGCUCCCCUCCCCAAUCGGUCCAAGUGGACGGAAGCGCGACGACCGCUGUCGGCUCCUCCGGUCGUACCGUGACAGGUACGGCAUUUUCAGCGGUGCGAAGCCUCUCUACCUUCCUAUCAGCCAUGUGCGAAUGAACCUCCAAACGUACAUGUGCUGGGGGAUAGCCCACCUCAACCCUUCCCUCCAACGCAGCUAAUAAAUCCCACCGGUAUGCUGCCCUGUGUCAUACAAUCCCUACCACCACAUUUGCGGUUAUUGCCAACCAACUAACCACCCCCGCGCGCGGACGCCAGGUCUUCGUGGCGGCGUCGGCGUCGGCGGUGAUGAUGGGCCCUUCGCGCCGUCGCCGUCGGUGGCGGCAGCAGCAGCAGCAGCCCGGGCCCCCCCGCAUGCCUCCGGCAGUGGCAGGCGUACCGCCACCACCGCUUCCGCCGCUGGCAGCAGCGGAGGCGGAGGCAUGUUGUUGUCGGUAGCCGCCGUCGCCGCCACCGUGACGGGUGUACUGCUGGGGCCUCAGCUGACGGCGGCGGUGGCGGCCACGCACCGGCUCCGCUGCCUGGCGGCGGUAGCGCUGGCGGCGGCAUUGUACAGCGGUCUGGUAGAGCCGGCGCACCUGGGCUUGCCGCCAAUUGUCUCUCUGCUCGUACUUCAGGUGGAUUACUGCUGCAGGUGGUUCGGGCGGGUGGUUGGGCCGGAUACGGGGCCUUUGUGGGGCCGACCUUUUGGAUUUUAAGAGCUUCAGGGUUUUGGCACAGUCAGUGGAUAACCCGUUGCUCCAUUCAUCGCGUCACAGGAUCCCCCCCCCUCUCCCUCUCCCCCGUCUGGUUCACUCGUUCGUGGUUCGUCUUUCCCCUUGCUCCCCCCUUUGCUCCCCCCUUGCUCCCCCGCACCCGGCAUCACCAAUGCCGUCCCACUCCCAGCUUGCUCUCAUAGCUGCGACCCGGUGGCUGCUUCCCCGGUCCGGGGGGGGCCGGGGAGGGGCAUCACCCUCGGCGACGGCGGCAUGGCGGUCUGCGGCCGGCGGCCUCAGCCAGGUGGGGGGGUGGAGAGGGCGAUGGAGGGGGUGGGGGGGGUGGGAGGGGAAUAUGCAUGAAGCAAAUGACAAGGAUGAGGGGGUGGAAGUCGGGAUCUGGGCGGCAGGGUUUUGGGUACAAUCCUUGCCGAAAUAUUUCUCCCAGGCGCUAUGUUCCGAAAUAAGCUAUGUUCCAAAGUCAGCGGAGGGGUCGGUCUGGAGGUACCCGGGGUUCUCUUUGAAUGCUGUAGGUGGUUGGUGGGGUGGUUAAUCAGUUCGUUAACCGGUUGACUGGAUGAUUCAGGAGGAAGGGUUUUUUUUUGACGGGGACGGGGGUCCACGAGGAAGCGCUUUUGUUGUUGCAAGCACGGGGUGCUCAGGGCGCAUGGAGAUCUACACCUGCACCCCGUACGGCACCGCAAAACACACAUAUACACACACGGCCACUGCCGCCGCAUCCGAACCCACACACGCUUGGGCGUUCUCAGGGUAAUUGUCGGUCCCCCAUCCCCCGCAUCAUUUAUAUCGCCCGCGUCUCGCACCUCCGCGAUGAAUUGGCGGUGAUGAUGAUGACGACGAUGACGAUGGCUGUUGUGAUGGAUUUGCCCGCCGACAGACGGCUUCCGGUGCUGAGCUAGCCGGCGAUGACGGCGACGCCACGGCGGCGUCGCCACCGGCGGCGGCGGCGGCGGUGCUGCCAGUCCCCAGAGCUGAUUGGGCCGCGCUUGUCCCGGGACUGCGGCCUCUGCUCGAUAAGGUGUCGUCCGCAGGGGUGCUGGUUUCGGGGCUGGCUGGUGACGUGGCAGUGUUCGUGGUGUCGUACAUGGUGCUGGAUGCAUGGGGCCGGGUGGUGUCCUAGGCGGCCUAGCGGUGGUGGGUCGGUUGGGUCAAUGCACAUGUAGAUAGGCGGGGAGGGGUCGCUCCGGUUCGUUUUGGUUUUUUAACACUCUGUUAGGUCCUGACAUCUGUCUGUUUGUCUGUCUGUCUGUCCAUGCGGGAUCCGCCAGAUGGAGAUGGGUUUUCGCGUCUCGCUCAGCAAACUCAGUCUAUAAGAAUAUGAAGCAGUGGAUAUCGCCUGACUGCCAGUGUGCGUGGCCACUGACCGAAUAUUUGUGAAUCCUGGAAUAUUCUGGAAUCAUUCAUUUCGAUGAUGUGCGAAGGAAGGGUGGGGGAUGGGCAAGAAUUUGGGGGCUGUGAUGGAGUGUGUGUGUGGAGCUGUUACAGGUAGUUAUGGGCAUUUCGUUGGUUGGUUGGUUGGUUGGUUGGUGGUUGUUAGGGCGGGGCGAUACCCUCCUGGUGUGGUGUGAGCGUUUAGUGGACCGGGGGCGGACACGGGGGGUGUGCGGGUUGGGGAGGAGAGCCCCCUCUGCUGUCGUACGUGUAAGCGACGAGGUAUAGAAGCAGUCUGAACCUCCGCGGUGUGUGUUUGCUUGUGUCCUCCGCUGAUCGGCGGCGCCACCGGGGCCUAGGAUGCCUAGGGGUGGUGGAUGGCCCUUGCUUCACAACAAGCAGUGUUGCUGCUACCGGUCAGCAUGGUAGUGGCGACACUGUGGGUGGUGUGGCUGACGGGGGGGCCUGUCCGGGGGCCAGGUGUGGUGCGGGGCCGCUGGCCCCACUGGGCACCUCACUUCUUCGGGCCUUGUUUCCCCCCAUGUGGUCUAUGACCGCAUACUUACCGCCAAACCAGACAGUUUUUAUCUUCGCUCGUUCUCCGGCUCGUCAUCUGUUCUCUUCUCCUGCCCUCCCUAGCGGAGGUAGGCCAUUAGUUCAGCAGUCCAUGAGCAGUCCAUAUCAACCUACAUUCCCUGCCCCGCCGCUCCAAACCCUCAGCGCCAUCACAACCACCACCGCUACGGUAUAUGUUUGUAUGUGUGCGUGUAUGUCUCGAGAAGUGAAAAUCGAAAACGGCAAAAAAAAACAGAGUUGUGUAAGAUUGUUGUGUUCGCGCCGCAUUGCACGUCAGAGGAACGGGGGAAGGGAGGUCCGUAUGGCCGGGGGGGGGGGAAAGAGUGUGCGGCAGCUGGCGUGUUGUGUGCGAGCGCAGGUAGAUAGAGGUAGGCCGUAUCACCAUCAUAUGUGCUGCUGGGCUUUGGAGGCAAACAGAGCACGAAGGGGCAAGCACCAUGUCCCCAGGGAGCAGCAGAUUUGCCACUGUUGUGGUACUAAUAGCCGAAUCGAGGAUGAAAAACACGUGUUAUUGGAAUGCCCAGCCUAUAACGAUAUUCGUGUUGGAGGCCAUGAAAUGGGAGCAGCACAUUUGGCGAGAAUGUUGGAACGUAUGGGGGCUCACCGCAACUCGGUUAUCCCCCUUGGACGCUAAUCUGGGCUGAUGUGCGGUGUUUCCUGUUCUCCGUGGCUUUUAGGCGUAUAGGUAUUGGCCUUGGGCCUUCGGCUCGUAUGGGUAGUUUUACAGGUAUGGGGUCACGCACCCCCAACCAUGUAACACACACAUACACACAAUAUGUGCUGCAGGUAAGUAUAGUGAGCUAGAUAGGGAGCACAUGUAGUCAUUGGGCCUGUUUCUCUGAGGGCGGCUGUUGUUGUAGCGGCGACGGCGCUACUGCUACUGCACUGAUUACCCGGCAGUAGCGCAGGAAAGGAUGAUAGCAGAUAUACAUGCCGGGGAGUGCGGCUACGGGUUUUUUUGGGGUAUCCGCCAUCUGGUGUCCGCCCCUUGAUACAGACGAACACACAAUGUUCUCUCUUUUCUUCCCGCGCCUUUCCCCCGUGCUCUGCUUCUCCCCCGCACAGGGGUUGAAUGGUGGUGGUGAUGGUAAUGUGUGGGCGGGGUCACGCAUGGAAGCUAGCUUGUUUACGAGGGCAAUGGGUCUCGGAGCAAGGAAUCGGAACCCACCUCAAAAACUGAUUGAUUGGACGUGAUUGGCCUUCUUCCUCCCUGUCUCUCUUUCCCCCCCCCCAUACACACAUACACACACACCGAUACGCCGUCUGCCAAAUCUCCCCCGACACCAGCAAAGAAGCAGCAGCAGCACCACCCCCGCCGCCACCAGGAUUUCGCGUCCCGCUUCCCCCUCAGGAAGGUGAAGAGGGGUGUGUUUGCUCACCACACCUCACUCACAUUUGAUGGCUUCAUGCACAUGGCACACAUGCCUGAACGGAUAUGCACAAAAGGUGGUGGCGGUUAUAGGAGCUCUUGGCUAGGUUUAGAUGAGAAGACCUUCCUCCCCAAAGGCUGACCCACCCCUAGCAAUGGCUAACAGCCCACCAAGGGGUGCGGUCAAAGGAGGAGGUGUGUAUGUAUGUAUGUAUGUAUGUAUGUAUGUACGUAUGUAUGUGUCGGGGGUCUGUGUGUGUGCGGGGGGAACGGCGGGAGAAUGGCUCAACAUUUUUCAACACUUCGAGCACUGUUCCCACUUCCCCUUUCCCCAGCGACACGUCACCACCUCCCCACAUGCCGUACUCCCCCAAACCCUAGACUUCCCCAAUGUCCCCGGAUGCGCCCGCCUUCCCCUUCCCCCCAGCCUUCCCCACAAUACACACCAACAAUACGCCAACCUUCCCUUCCCCCUUUCAGCGUCUCAGAGUUUUCGGGAAGGACAUUGCGGCUUAGGAUUCCGCCUGGCGAAGCGUUGAGGUGGGACCUGGCGGACACCCCCAGAACGCACACACACACACACGGACACAACACCGUAAAUCUUCUCCCCUGCCCACGCUCUCCUCCUCCUGAUGCUCCUCUUCCCCCCUCUCCGCCCUCCUCCUGCGCACACCACCACCAUGUCCCCCAAACCCCCAUCCUUCCCCCCCCAACCAGCAACAACAGACCCUAAGACACCACACACACACAGACCCUCUUCUCCCGCCCCCAUCCUCCAUCCGACUGGUCAGUUCUGCUACCGUCCUGUACAUCGGCCGCAGCACUCUUUCCCCACUUGGCAGCAGCUUCACUCGCUCACGUGCUUCGUCUUUUCCCCCACCCCCACCCCUCUUCCAACCAAGAACUAUACACACAACACAUACACCCCCCCGCACCCCCAGCAGCUACCCCAUGACCCCCAGCUCCCUAAGCUCCGCUCUCAGUUGUUGCUCCCUCUGCGCCAGCCGUUGGCUCUCAUCCAGCAACCGGUUGAUGUCGGCUGCGACAGGGGGGAGGGGAGGGGAGGAAAGGGGGGGGGGAGGCGGAUCACGGGUAGAGGGAGCGGUAUCCAUGGGUCUGGGAGGGGUCUGGGGAGGGGAGAGAUCACCGAGGGAAUGUGAACGGUGGUAGCGGGGGAAAGAGGUCGGGUAUAGAGCCGGAGGGGCGGGAAGAGAGGGGAGGGGAGAGAGAAUUGCAAACCACAUGCAACUGUCAAUCGCGGUGCGGUGCGGUGGAUGGAUCAGGGAUGCUUUCGCAAAGAAAGCAACGUCCGCCAACUGAAAACAUGUGACAGACUCGUUCGCGCCUGCCGUACAACGCCCUCGCUUCUUCAAAGGGAAGAGGUGACCCUCCUCCUCCUCCUCCCCCCACUCACCCGCAUCCCCCCACUCACCCGCAUCCCCCCACUCACCCGCAUCCCCCCACUCACCCGCAUCCCCCCACUCACCCGCAUCCCCCGGAUCCUCCACCAGCGCCACCAGCUCCCGACCCAGGGCAAUCUCCCGGUCGUCGAUGGCGGAUAGCGUGGUGGACAAGUCCUGUAUAUGUAGGGGGGGAGAGUUGGGGGAGAGUGGNNNNNNNNNNNNNNNNNNNNNNNNNNNNNNNNNNNNNNNNNNNNNNNNNNNNNNNNNNNNNNNNNNNNNNNNNNNNNNNNNNNNNNNNNNNNNNNNNNNNNNNNNNNNNNNNNNNNNNNNNNNNNNNNNNNNNNNNNNNNNNNNNNNNNNNNNNNNNNNNNNNNNNNNNNNNNNNNNNNNNNNNNNNNNNNNNNNNNNNNNNNNNNNNNNNNNNNNNNNNNNNNNNNNNNNNNNNNNNNNNNNNNNNNNNNNNNNNNNNNNNNNNNNNNNNNNNNNNNNNNNNNNNNNNNNNNNNNNNNNNNNNNNNNNNNNNNNNNNNNNNNNNNNNNNNNNNNNNNNNNNNNNNNNNNNNNNNNNNNNNNNNNNNNNNNNNNNNNNNNNNNNNNNNNNNNNNNNNNNNNNNNNNNNNNNNNNNNNNNNNNNNNNNNNNNNGGGGGAGUUUGUGGGGGGACAUCAUAUUUUCAUAUCUAAGAAGUAACGGGUCGAACAGCCGACGCCGUGUGUGGGGUCGGAGUUAAGGGGACACGGAUGCGGCUAACGUACAACAACUGGCGCGGUACCGGGUAAUUGAGGUGUGUGUAAGUUUGCCGUACACUCAAAUGCGCCGGAUGCGUACCUCGGGGCGGUUCUUGGCGAGGCAGGUGCGCAGGAAGCUCUCGUUGUACGGCGCUGACGUCAGACUGACGCCGGCUGCGGGGUUCAAGUGUCCGCGAUAGGCUCGGGUCGGGUUACGUCCGGGAUGAGAUGAUGCGUGUGUGUGUAUGUAUGUGUGUGUGUGCACACACGCGUGCAUGUGUGUGUGCGUACGUAGGUGUGUAUGGGGAAGUUGGGGUUGGGGUGGGGGAGGGGCAGGCACGUGCGACAUUCGGCAAAACGCGAAACGCCUCCUCGGUCUCAAAACGGAAAACGAGCCCCCCCUCCCCCUUCCCCUCCCCCCCCCGCGGCGAGCCACUUCCGAGGGGAAAAAACACCGAGAGGGAGGGAAAGGGCUGAUUGGGGCUCUUAGGUAGCACAUUCUGGUGGGAAGCAGGGACGGAGGAAAGCACGUGUAGAGGGAUGAUGAUGUGGACAGCUAAACUCCCCCCCGCACCGCUAGUGGCGAGAGUGACCCAUUGCGAUACACAACCCCACUCCCACAUCCAAACCAAGUGCUCACUCUCAGGACCCCCACCAACUCCCCACCCCCCCGCCCCGCCCAAUAUGAACUGGCGGCCGCGCCACUCACUCGCGUGAAACGUGGAGGGGCCCCCCGGUAGCGACAGCCCGGGUACGGCAGUGGCGGCCGCGGCCGACGCGGUGGCGGCGGCUGGCGCCGUCUUGGGCGCCGGUGGCGGCGGCGGCGCCUUGGGCGUGGAGGACUUGGGCGUCGAUUUAGAGCCCCCUGCGUUUGUAUUGUGUGUGGGGGGUUGGGGGGAAAGGGGGCCGCUGGUGAAGCUUAACCACCCUGUAACAACAUACAUACAUACAUACAUACAAGAGCACACCUACCCGUCUUCGACGCGGUCCCCGCCUUGGCGCCUCCCCCCCCCGCCAGCCCCGCCGGCUCAGCCCCGGGCUCCAGCCACCGGAAGUUCUGGGGUGCAAAGUCCGCGAUGCACUCCCAGGACUCGCGGCGUAGCGGCGGGCCCCACUGAAUGAGGUGCCUGCCCGUACUGGUGUUGUACGACAUUACCGUACCCGUCACCCACGGCGGCGACAGGUCGGGGUACAGCCGCUGUAGCUUGCGGCCCACGAGGGAGGAGCCGGUCGCGCCGGGGGCCGACGGACCGGAUGCGCCGCCGCCAGUCGUACCCGCCGCCGCCGGCGCGGCGGCGGCGCUGUUUGGCGUUGCAGCAGCUGAUCAGGAAGCCGGGGGAAGGGGGGAAACCGGUUUCGAGCCAUGGGUAGGCGUAGCGCGUAGCGCAACGCUGGCAUUGUUCCCUUCCGUCAAAAAAGCAAAUCUAUUCUCCUGACAAAGCGGAAGGUGCUGGUGGCGGCGACGAUGGCGACGAACCGAAUGGUUUUCAAACGGGGGGAAAUGUCGUACGGAUAUACGGUAGUUGCAUUAAUUGUACGGGAGAUUAAUAUACAGCUUGGGGGCCAACAAGCGGAGACGGCAAGACGGAAACGGACAGCUCACUCUUUUUGGCAGCUGCCGCCUUUGGCUGCGAGGAGGAGUACGGCGCCGCGUCGAAGCCUCCACCUCCGCCAGUGGCUGGCGUUGCAGCGGCGGCGGCGGCGCCCGCUGUCGGCGGCGGCAUCCCGCCGAACGGCGUUCCCCCCCUGCACUCCAAGGGGGGAACCCGAAGCCCCCGGGAUGGUGGCGGGAAAAUCAGAUGCACACUCAUACACACACGUAGAGGUGCCGUGCGAUCCCACAUUACCCCACUCCACAUCAUGCCCCGCGUGUGAGCCCCCUCCCCUUCCCAAACCCUCUUCCUGCUACCCCCCAACCCCGCCCCCACCCACCGCCACGUAACAACAGACAUCACUUGCAAUCUGCGGCCUCGCAAUGUGGUGCAGGUGAUUCUAGUCAGGUGAUUCUAGUCAGGUGAUUCUAGUCAAAGUACAGCAUUCCAAAUCUUCCCCACCCAUUUCCCCUUGAAAACACCCCUACUGGUUACACAGCGGCACACCAACGCCGCCGCAGCUGCAGCGGCUCCCACAAAGACAGCAGUUGCGGAUGCUGAUGCCGUCCCCACGUGACGGGGGCCCCCCAAAAGGAAAAUACACACAUUUCCAAUUUUCCCCCCUCAACCGUCACCAUCACCACCCACCACCACCAUCACCACCACACGACACUCACCCCACCCCACCCCAGGGGACCCGGUCUCCCCCCCUCCAAAGCAUUCAUCUUCACGCUUCCCUCCCUCCCUCCCUCCCUCCCGCCACACACCUCCCACCUCCACAUACGGGAGAAGGGAGAGCCCCGGGGAACACGGGGCCGCCGUUACCCGCCAAAGCAGGCUCCCGGUCUCCCCCCCUCCCAGCUAAUCACCCCUAGGUCCCCCGUCGGCCAUCAACAUCCCCGCAAUUCACCGUAGUUCAACCCUUAAGGACACCCCACCCCCCAGCCCCACCUGGAGGACGGCAGCAGCAGUGGCCGGAUACCCCCCGGGGGAAGCUCGCCGCGCCUGGAAAAGGGAGGGGGGAGGCAGCGGGAGGGAGGGGAGUCACGAAAGGACUGGGGCCCAGGUGGCGCAGACGUGGGAGCAACGGCGCGUACGUGUGCGCAUGUAUGUAUGUAGGUAUGUAUGUAUUUAUCAGCGCAUGCCAGACGCUAACUGUCUCCAUUACCGCCAGGCUCUACUCUGGGCUGAACAGCCUAGCAGCCCAAGUGUGAUUAUGCCCCGAUCGAAGAGGUGGUGGCCGUGCCGGAGGGGGAGGGCGGCCCCGGGGACAUCUGGCUCACUAGGGCUUCUAAAGCCUCACUCUAACCCCCCUCCCGCAUACCCUCAUACGAGGCCGACCCCCCUUUGUGUGUGUGUGUGUUGUCUUGUGUGUGUGUGUUGUGUGUGGGGGGGGGUUGUGGGGUGUGUGUGUGGGUGUGGGGGAAUGCAGCAGAGUCAGAGAGGCACAGCACCUGUACUCCCGAACCUGCUGAGUCGGCGGGGAGGGGUAACAUGGAAUCUAAGACCGAUGAGAGCGCCCCUUGGCAAACUCUCUUUCCCUUUCCCUAGGGAGGGACAUCAACAAUUACAGGUAGAUGCAAUAGGACGCGGGGGAACUGACGCACAUGUUUGACCCACAUCGCACCUGAGCGCGGCAAUCCUUGGGUCUUGAUCUAUUUGCGCACGUAUUGUCUGGACGGGUUGGGGGAGGGUGGCAGGGCGGGAAGUGUGGCCGGAGGACAAGCAGCAGCAGAGCCGCAACGAGUCGGGAGUUGCGGGAUCGUGUGAGGCGAGAUUUGUGAUUUUGUGCAAAGUCUUGAGGAUUGGGAAAGGUUGUGCAGCUGCAAACUUAUGAAGGUAGUACGCACAAACACGAGAGAAGGACGCCGGGGGAAAGAGGGGGCCCUGGAAACCAAAAGCGCGGGAGACCUGAACCCGGGGUCUUUCCUGUUCUUUCCAGGGAAAAUUGGUCCGGGCUCUUACCCUGUCCUCCUCCUCGGUGACGCCAAGAAGGUCACGAGCGUCCUCCAGCAGAACAUCAGUUUCCUGGCGCGAGGAUUCCUCAGGUAGUCUGCAAAGAGGCGCUUUUGUCUAGCCAUCGCGCUUCCCUCAACUGCUUACCGGUGAGUACAGCUUAUCUUUGCUCUGCGCCGCAAAUGCUAUGCACAAGGCGUGAUAUGCAUCUUUUCCAAGCUGCGCUAUCGGGUCCAUCCGCGCUCCGCGGACGCCGCCUUCAAAUUACCGCUAACGUUCGCUGUGUCUAGAAGCUCAGCUUGAGCAACCUAUCAUUUUCAAAGAGUCGGUAUGACUCAUGAAGCGCUUGCAUAAAACAUGCUGACUAGCGCAAAAGGAAGCCUUGUCAAAGCGCGGAAAAGAAGUUACACCAACGUGCAAGAGGUUACUUGGUAAGCUGUGGGAACGUCGCGUGAUGCAGUUCCUAUGCAUUAACGGAAAGGAGGAGUUACAGAAAGGACUUAAACGCGAAAGUAAAACUUUGACUGCAUCGGAGUACGGCGAUGGAAGCAGAAGCAUGAUAGAGGUAAUCGGGGUAUGAGUAAACAGCCAUUAAUCUCUUCACGAAUAGCUUCCUACAAUGUAUGUGCACAAAUUACUUAGGUGCCCAAAUCAUGGGCUUGCUUUUGGGAGCUUUGCAUUCCCAGUCCUGUCACGGACAUCAAUCGUGGUGAGCAGGAUUGCAUGGGAGAACUGCCUUGUCCUUCUUUGGAUGGAUAGAAAUUAGCUGUCGAUCUUGCUGGGCCACGAUAGGCUGACCUUGCCACCGCCAUUGCUUGCUAAGGCGUCAGGGGAAUACUGCUAUGCAACAUGUGAUUGAAAGGAAGGUUACAGCGCCUAAGAUCUCGGCCAAAUCCGCUUGGCGGUGUCCAUGGCGCACUGCAGACCCACGCAAAACGGAAAGGCGUCGGCAAGGGGCUCCGGGAGCUGCAGCAGCUGUAAGUGGGCGAAGCGCUGGGUGCAGGCUUCAUAAACCGGCAUGUGUAACCUCCUGCGCGACAAACAAUGAAUCUGUUGUUGCAUGCCAUCUCCUCACCUUUUUGUCAGUCCAUGGCUCCCCACGCCGCACAAGCAUUCGCAUUUCUUGGCCGAUGUCCUGUUUUCCCACAGUCGAUGCUCUUUCUCUCUUUCCCCCCCCCCCCCUCUCUCUCUCUCUCUCUCUCUCUCUCUCUCUCUCUUCCUUCCUUCCUCUCCCAAGCCAGCCAGCCAACCUUCACCACCCCAGCCUGCUUCGGGUCAUCCAACCCUGCCGCUCAUUCUCCUCCCAACACUAUAACCCCUGGGCUCUCAAUCCGCCUCCUCAAGGUUCCGCCCUAAGUCGGUAGCUUCCACUUCCUAUCCGUUGCUCCCAGGACCCUAAAAGCCGUUCAUGUCGGGGAAUUCGUUUGCUCCAUGUCCCUUCAUCAAAACCCUUGUCCCCCUCACACCUACGGCCGCUUAUCCGCAGAAAGGAGAGCUCUGCGUCGGCGGCGGUCACUGCACCCUCGCCUCCAUCCCCCGCUCCAGCUACCCCCCUCUCUGGCCCCGUGCCAUCACCUCCGCCAGCAUCGACCGCAACGCCCUCCUCCUCUUCCCUGCCGCAAUCCAGCGCUUCGCCGUUGAGUGCCAACACCACUAGCACCACAAGCAGUAGCAGCAUCGUGAGCAACAACAGCACCACUAGCAGCAGUAGCAGUGGACCAUUUGAUAGUCUCCUGGUUCGGAUUUUAGCGUCUGUGGCAGCGAUUAUGGCGGUGAUUAGCGUUUUCUACAGCAUCGUGUUUUACGGCGCAUCAAGUGAGGAACUAAACUGAGGGUCGGGGAAGCUGUGAAAUGCUGCAAAGUGUUGAUACGUUUUUUUUUAGUUUAACCUUCCUCUCCGCCCCCACACGAUAACCGCCUCGCCAUCAAACCACACGCCCUCUGCGCUUUCCAACCUUCCCCCCGUUUCCCCCAUCCCCGUUCGUGGUUCGUGUGUCCCUCCAUCCCCCUAUCCCGGGCUCGGCUCAUGUUGAUUCCCCUAAACCCACGCACUUCCUCCGGCGGCUGCGAUGCUCCGAAACCAGAUGCCGUGUACUUUUUUAAGGACCAGCUGGCGGUCAUUACGAAGAAGGACUUUGUGCCGUACUCGGAGAGACGCCGGUUGGAGCAGGUUGUGGGCUUCUGGUGCUGGGGGUGAUGGGAAGUCUAUGAUGAGGAUGAUUAUGGUGCUAUAAUCACAAAAGAUGCGACUGCCACGUCCAGGGACCGGGAUAGGGGUUGGCUAGCGGUGUGGAGGGGCGGGCGAUGAAGGGCGGACAGGGGAGACGGAGGUCUGGCUUAUUCGGAUGGUCCAGUCGAUAUGGCCCCAUGUUUGGUUGAGGAGGGAGGGCAGGGCAAGGGCAGGCAGGGCAAGGCUCCCAAGCCUCUCGCACGUCUUACCCCCGACCCCACCACCACCGCAACAUGUGUAAUUCCGUGUGUCCCUGUCUGUCCGUCCGUCUAACAGUAAACUUGUGUGUACGGCAGGAGGUAUUGGCUAAGCUGGAGGCGGAACAAGCUGAGCGGUUGAAGGCGCGGGAAGCAGGCGGUGAGGCGGCGGUGGUGGCGGGAGAGGAGGGAGCUCCGGAACCAUCGAGGGACAGCAUCACCGCCACCACGGCAGCAGCAGCAGGUGGAGGAGUGACAGGGGCAGCUGCCGGGGUGGAGGAAGGUACGUACGGUACUCGUCUGUAUGUAUGUACGCGUGUUGGAAGGAGAUAGAGGGUGGGGGAAGAUGGGCGGGGUCGGGGCGGAAAGGGUGUGUGUGCGUGUUUAUGUGUGCGGCGCACUUUUUGGCGGUGACGUGGAGCGACGUGGUCCGAUCGGCCGCGGUCAUUUGGGGGUGAAUGGAUGCGGGGGAUGGUCCGGGAUGGGUGAGGGGAGCGCAGGUCUUGAUGCGGUAUGUAUGUAUGUAUGUAUGACUUAGAUUACACUGUGGGCCGCAAGAGCCGGGGGCCGAAGCCGAAACAUAACGCAAGGGUCGGGAACACAUAGCGCAAGUCGGUUAGUCUUGUGUGCUCUCGACCCCGACUCAGAUGUAUGUAUGUGAACGGGAGCGGCGGACGCGGAGGCGGAAGCUACACAAAACAGAUUCUGGUCCUGGGCGGCUGAGGUGUGGCGGUUUAUGUGUUGGUGGUGGAGGGGGUGGGGUUAGUGAACUGCUCCUCUCCCCCCGAACUGCCCGCCCGCCCGGGAGCCACACACCAGCUCCUGUGUAUUGUACUGUGUAUUAUAUUGCAUUGUACUGCGCCGCGCAGAAGGCUGCCAUCCUUCCGCCCCCAUAUAAACCGAGCAAACCCUGACCCCCGCCCACACCCGUGAUCUACCACCGGCACUGGUACUGCACAUGCCACCCCAACCCACUGCCACGAAGCACCAAUUCACCGCUCAACCCAUCCCCCUCCGUAUGCCCUAUCCUGUCACCAUGUGUGCCAUCGCCAUCAUCUCCAUGUCCUCCUCUCAUCCACCCUUUUCUCCUCAUCCAUCCUUCCUUCCUCCUCCGCCUCGUCCAUGCAGAUGCCAGCAGCUCGGCCGAGCUGCUCAACCUGCUUCCGAGCAGCAGCGGCAGCCGGAGGAAAUGAAGGCGGGGGGGGAGGAAGAGAGCGAGAGAGGCGCGCACGAGGGAUAGGGAUAGGGAACGUGGUGGUGGAGAGCGAGGAGGGGAAAUGCGGGGCAGUCAAGCAGUGCUUGGCUGGAUUGUGAGAUUGUUCGGCUACGCUCUACAAUUUCGCGACUCGCCGCAUUCGCUCGUUCCCUGCUUUGCAUAGCGCUUUAGAGAAGGAUUCCUGGACGCCUCGCACUGUGCAUUAACUUUUGCUUCAUGUGACAGAUAGCUCUUUCGUAUCUCGAAAGCGUUGGAGCAUACAUGCACUCGUAAUUAUGAAUUUGGUUAGGAUAUCAGCCUUUUACCAUUUGAGGCCCACCCUAAGUUUAUUCACAUUCAGUUUAUAGCAGCAACCGUACAGAACAGCCACCCGCUAUCUACGACGGAAGGCGUCGGUACGAAAAACAGUAAAAGCUGUACAUGCGUUGUAGCAAAACUGUGGCCGAGCGUCGUCAUAACAAUCGCAUAGCGUUUGACGAACGUCGUCAAAGUUCGAUUUGGUUUAUCUUUGCGUUGUGAUCCACACCAGUAAUAAGAUCUUUGCAACACGAGAAAAAAUCCACCCAGACACUGCUCACGCGACCUUUGGUCGUGUAGGGUCGAUAAUGGUGUAACCUCGACUACCCAAUUUACGUGAGUCACACAUGCGAACUGAAACACCCAAAUCAAAUAUGUCGGGUCCUAUGGAAUCCUUCAUUCGUUAUUGAUCGUAUGCACGACGCCGACAGCAAGGCGUCUCCGGUUCUUGAAAUGACGGGCAGCGUGGCCUGGCGUGGCGAUUGCUAAGCCCGCAGGCUCAAGCCAUGCACAGCCUCUUACCCUGAUAGGUUUUACACGCAAAAUACUUCAAAAUACCAGAACGCUUAUUUAGGUGUUCCUUUGGCCGUCGGACAUGCGUAGGCCACUACUGGACGUAGAUCGACAGCGGGCACCCCUCCCCCUUCGCUACGUCCCGCGAAAGGUGGGCGGAGCUAUGGACGGCGGUGCUUCCCCUCGGGAUCUUAGGAGGCGUGAAAAGCGCCCUAAUAACGGCGUGAUUUGCGGAAACCUCAAAAAGCGAGAGGAAUCCUUUUAGAAAGAGUCAACCCCCUGGUGAAACUUUUACGAGAGCGAAGCUCCUUACAAACGUUCGUCUGCUGGCGCCAAGCUUACAUUGUAUUACAUCAUACCGCCAGAUCGUAAUCCUGGCUUCGGCCCAAAAAUGUCCCCGAUGUUAGGCCAUGGCGUUCUUCGCAUCGCGUGUUCGCCAUGGCCCUCCAACUCUUCAGCAGUUUCCGGAAUUCUGUUCACUUCAAAGAGCGUUCUCAUCGCAGUGGUGUCCGAGUAUAUGACUGGUCACAUCAGAUUAUCACUAUUACGUUUAAAUCAGAAGCAGCAGCAGUAGUAGUACGCAAAGCCGUGCAGCUUUGCGUACUACUGCUGCUGCUUCUGAUUUAAACGCGUUCUUCCUAGGUCUGGCGGUGAGAAGAAAUCACCCACCGGGAGAAGCGCUGCUGUUCCACGCUGCUGUUCCUGUCAUUUGAUUGCCUGGUCGCUCCUGGUGGUUAUUCCAUACCCCGUCCUGGUCAAUCCUAUACUUUAUAAUCAAGGAAGAUGCAUUCGGAGGUCUCUUAUCUCCAAUGUGCCAGGAAGAGGCAGUAGUGCCUUUCCAGCCUGGCCCUUCAUUCCAGAUAUCCUCGAGACUUAGCGCCUGCAGCUGACACUUUAGUGUGGAACUGUCAACAAACGGCCGGGGUCACGGAGGGAGGUUGUAUGUGUAUGCGUGUAUGUGUGUUUUUAUAUGUAUGUGUGUAUAUGUGUGUAUGUGUGUGCGGUGUGUGUGCGGUUGUGUGUGCCAUUGUGUGUGUGGCGUGCCUGAAUGCCCUUUGUCGGCGUUGCGAUUGCGUAUGUAUCUUUUCCUUAACCUUACACGGAGGACCCCCCCCCGGAUGUAUAGCUGGCGCGGCGAGCGAGCGAACAUGAAUGCUAGCGAGUGAACACGGAUGCGAGCGAGCGAGCAUGAGUGGGAACGAGCGAACACGAAUGCGAGCGAGCGAGCUUAUCAUGUGCUGUUCUAGACUAGGAUACGGUUAUACAUAGCAGUAAUCACAUUUGUGAUUCGUACAGUGCCGUACCUUGCCAAACCUUCUCCCCGGCGUGAUGAGCAGCAGUAGCGAAUACGAGAGGACAAGGAUUCCUAAUACAUACCUUCCUGCCCUUCGCUAGACCCGGCCACAUGCGCUGAUACCGACACUGUGCGAAUCUGCACUGCGUGCUGCGCGGGAGCGGCCAACCGCGAUUGACAGCAUGCGCGCGUCUGUUUUGAUUAUGGCUUCCGAACCAGCGUUGGGGCCAAACCGAACCUACCUUGUUAAUGGAUGGUAAGGCCGUUGCUUAAUGGAUGGUAAGGCCGUUGCUGCAUGGACGACGCUUGUCGGGUGCGCGGAGCUAUUAGAAGAGCUGGCUGCUGGUCAGGUGUCAGUCGCGCGGACCAGAUCCUGCAAGAUAGGCCUUUCCAACCAGCCAUGGAUGUUUUGGAAACAGGAUGCAAAUUGACACUGUAAUAGAAGUAACACAAGCGGUCCUUGGGCCCGUGCGCCCUGGCCUGGACGUAGCAUAGGGCGUAGGUCGCUGGGACUGCAGCACGGGAGGAGUGACCAGUAAGCAGCUUGGCUUGGCAAGCCCUUGGCAAGGGUCCUGCCAAGCACACAAUGUUCCUGGCUGGCUGUCAACACGCAACGCAGCAGGUCGCAACGCAUUGCACCGGCAACCCGAAAAGCUGAACACAAAAAUCUGUGCCUGCAAAACGGCUUCAAUCUAUUCGAGACAUCUGCAUCUCUCUUUGAUACAGAAGCACUGGAAGACCAUAGAACGGUCAAGAAAAAUUGCUUAUGAAACCAAUAGUUUGAACUCGCUUGGUACGACAAUUGCACAAUACUGGAGUCCAAGGCAGGAACGGCUUUGUCCUGGAGCCAUACUAAGGUGGGCACCGCGUCGACGUAAGCUACGCCGGGCGACAUAUUUGUUCUCCUUCGCAAGCUCUUUCGCAAGAGCAUUUACUGUAAAAGCUGCUGAGUCUUGUCCACAAGCAUUUGGGCUCGCGUUGAUUGUUCGCGUUCUACGGAAAAGAGGGCAACAAGAAUGUCCAGCAUCGGACCUCUCGGGCCUCCGCCCACGGCCCCAAUCGUCAAUCCUAUCUUGUGGGCCCCAGAGCUCCCGACGAACAGGCCGCAGGUGGGGUAUGAGUUCCAGAAAACAAGUGUAGUAAAUCAAGGGAGGCACAAAUUACCAAUUGUAAUGUGACGCAAGCUGCUUUCACCCGCGAAGCUGUCUCGACGCAAAUCAAACAUAAUUUUACAAGUACAUUCUACAUCGAGUUAGGCGGCAGACGUAGGCUGCACCUAUCUUCGCAGUUGCAAAAGCAGCAACCUUUUUGCCAGCAUACGCAGCGGGCGAAUCGGGAAUCAAAAACACAUCCGUUGGGCUGUGAAAGUCCUUUUCACAUUUCACAGACGUUCCCGAAUGGCGGUGUUGCCCGUCCUGCCGCUCCUACUUAGCCCUAGCGCCUCACCCCGCCCCUUCUCCUGACUGCCGCCGCGGCGGCUGCGGCGCUGACCCAGAUGCACGUGGAGACGGCGGCGGCGGUGGCGCCCGGCAUCCGACGGCACCUGGUCGCCGCAGCGCCGCCGCCGCCGUGGGCGGCCGAGGGCGGGCCCCCGUCGGAGCGCCACGUGGUGACGCCGACGGAGCUUGAGGAGCGCGCAGCGGCAGUCCACGAGAUGACCUUUCACAAGACGUCAGAGUUGUCAGGUGCGUGGGCGGCUCGUACAUGCCGUACAGCACGUGGAACAUGGGGUUUUGGAAAGGCGACGACAAUUUUGUUGCGCUGCGGCUUGAAGUGGAAUGCGUAUGUUGCGUGGUGUGCGCAUGUGUGUACUACUUGUGUAUGUCUGUCUGUCUGCCUGUCUGUCUGUUUGCCUGCCUACAUGUAUGUAUGUAUGUGUGCAUGCGUGUUCUAAAGCCUCCUCCAACUGGCCCCAGGGGUACAUUUACGCGUAUCCUUGUUAAGGGUGGGGGCAGAGGGGGGGCGGCAGGAGAGAGGCGGCAUACAUACAAGGCAUAGAACUUAAGGGGUGCGAGCUGGGUGGGCGGCAUCACCAGGAUGAUGAGCCCAAAUAGAAUUCAAAACAAGGCCAACGCAAACACUGGGGUCCUGGUGAAGCAGCUGCCCGCGUUCGCAAAGUAUACAGAUGUGGAAGGUGCCGAAGUACGUCGGUGAAACAUAAUGUGGCAGGACUGGAGAGAAUAGUGCAGCAGUAUAUUGUGAGUGUAGUUGAAGCGUGUUACAAGGCGUUCGGCGCACGGGCGAAUUUACGUGCAUACCUUUCAUCGUGGGCGCGUCCCGUUGCAAGCUAAGCAACGCGUAUACAUGACGUGUAGCAUCAGUCCUCAGUUCACUUCUUGGAACGAACAUCAGCAUAGGUCCAAGCCCUCUCGCUUGGAGGGAUAUGCAAACAAACAUCAUGAUAGGUAAACUCGCACGCUACCGAGCAUUCAACCGAGCACGCUACGAGCAGUCCUUGUAAGGAGCAGCAUACCACUCACGGCCGUAUGCGCAGCAAAAAGCUGUUCCAAGCCAUCAGCGGCGUCCGUGUCACCCACACGGCUGUGAACGACUUUUCUGAUCUUAUGCUUAUUAAUUAAGUUUGUGUAUGUUAUAUUUUGUUUGCGCAAGUUUGUAAUUUGACUUUGCUCUGAACAAGGUGCUGUAUGUGUUGCGCUACCAAAAGCAGGCGCCCCUUUGCUUUCACAAAAGUGCCGCUUCGCCAAACGCUUCCUCUUCCCGCGGCCGUUUUAUGAGCCCAGUCUUGCAAGCUACGUUGUAUGCUUUCAGUUCUUUUUCGGCUCAGGCUUUCAGUUACGUCAAAACAGCCACCCAUUCGUCCGGGCCUGGUUGCCGCGUGCGACUGUGGCCAACAUGCCCUCCUGCGCAGCGCGCUGGCACACCGCGGCCUUUCGCCAAACAAAUGACAUACACUUGUACACGCGCAUUUUGAGAAUCGCACGCGCGCCUCCGCGCGGUAAAAUUCGGGCCUGGCUUUUUGGGCGUCUUGUACGGAGGGUUUAUUCGGCACAGUACGACCGGACACAAUUGUGCGAGGGGCUGCUUAAACAGCCCCGUCGUUUUAAUGUACGUAGUUUCCUUGUUUCGUCCUAGCAAUUAAUACAAACAGGACGAACUAACCGACCCUAAACUGAUUUUCCAUAGUAGCGCUGACUCAUCCUUAUCCUUAUCCUGGGUGAAAUCCUACGAUAUAUUCAGCGUUUAGAUGUGCGGUGCCGUGAAAAAGGCAAGCAUCUACUACUGCAUGAGCCCGCCUCUCAUCCGCCUUGCUGCUGUCGUGGUACGGCACAGGUGCUCGGCUAGAUCCACACGAUCCAAAGGCGCCCUUCGGCGCCACCGCCAAGGACGACCAAGGGGAACCGCUGACGGAACGUGAGGGGCCCGAGGAUGAUCCGUACGGCUGCAGCACCGGCGUCACCGUCAGUGGCGGCGCCAACGGCGGUUGCGACGGCGGCGCCGCCGGUCCCGCCGCGGCGGCUGAGGAGGAGAUUUUGUUGGGCGAUGGCACGCUGGCUUCGGCAGAGGUGGCCAUUGCGGUGCUGGCCAGGGGCGGGGACGACGGCGGCGGCAGGAGCAGCGCUGCUUGAAAAUGAGGGUCAGGUCCAGAGGUACUCUAAGCAGCAGCAGUAUGGGCAGUAGCGGCAGCAGCGGCGGCAGUAGCAUAUGGACAAUAAGAAAGGUGGCUGGAUGGGGGAAAAGGCGAAAAGCUGCCGCAGGCGGCUACAGCGAAUUAGUCGACGCGGGGUCUGAAGUUGGAAGUAUGAAUGGUUGUCCUGUUAUGUGUUGUAAUUCUUUGCUUUAUCGUUUUGCUGCAUUUUGCUGCCUCGCUACGUUGUUUGAAUGUUUUCUGGGGUCAGUGUUAUCAGUUCUUUUUCCUACUGUAUCAUACCGUGUUAUGUUGUUUAGUCUUAAAGUCGGCCUAAUUGUAUUUCAGUCAAAUACAAUAAAGAGUGGGUUGUCUGAGCAUAAUUUUGUUUACUAAAAUUAUGCUCAGACAGCCCUCCUCUUAUUUUCAUCAUUAAAAUAAAGAUAAUGAAAAAGAAAUUCUAAGGACCGGGGUUGAGGGGUGUAGGAAGGGGACCUUGCGUCUUCGCAAGGUCCAAGUCCGCAAGUUCGCAAGUCCAACCUCCACGGGCGAUAUGUGGUUCAUAUACAGCUGCUGCAUGGCUCAACGCGAAACAUAUGCUGGAAUUCUAUUUUCUCGUUUGCAACGAGGUCCUCACGAGACAUCAUCACGGUCUCUAAGGUAAUCGAAGAAAAGCAACCUGUGCUUGCGAUGCUGGAAUAGAUACAUUGUAAAACACUGAUACGAAUCAAGGCCACUUGAAAAGCCCACUGACACAGGAUCCACGUAUGGCGAAUCCGGUUAGUAGUCAACAAGCAGCUGCUUAUUUCAUAGUUAUGUUUUCGUGCUGGUUAGAGCAGUGGAGCUGGUCUUGCCAGUACGCAGUACCAUAAAGAUCGGGACGAGCAUGUUAGGCGACAACUGCAAUAGGGCGCGCGCACAGUUAUAUACCGGAUAAACGCUAUCUAUUACCAAACCUGUAACUCCUCCGAGAACUUACAAUCAAGGAUGGCGCAGUCUGAAGCCCCUCUGCUACAGGCCAUUGAGGACCUGGACCAGCUGCCAGGCGUCGUUAUUAAGGAAACAACGCAGGUUAUAGAUGCGGUCAUGGCCUCCAUCGGUGGUGCCUACGAGGCGGCCAACAAGUACAAGGUCAAAGCGUUGCCAGCGGACAAGCGCCUCGCGACGGUGCACAAUGAGCCGGGCACCUGGUCUCCCUCCUCUAAGGAAGUGGAUGCCUUACCGGAAGUGUAUUAUGUCGAGGAGUCUUCGUCCUGCUGUCUGCGUGUAUGCCUUGCGCACUUCGGUGGCCUGAACCUUCGGGCUCUCCAGCUUCACUUUUAUCAGGGCAAUAAGGAGAAAUACACGGUUCAGCGACCCUGCAAGCUCGGCGGGUGCUGCUGCUGCCCUCUGGAGAUGAGCCUAUUCGCCAAGGACGGCACACUGCAAGGGAUGGUAAGAGCGCCAGAGUCCUAUCGUUGGUGGUGGUGCUGCUGGUCGUGGGCGAAGAAAUACAUUCCUGUUUUGCAGCGUGACCCAUUGGGUGACCACCCGUGAUCCAUUGGGUGACCACCCGAGCCUGGCGCAGGAUGACCAACCCCUCUGGUUGUGGCCAGUUUCUGGAGUACUUUCUGCUGCCUUUUGGCUGAACUGAUGUUUCAUUGUGAUGGUGAUGGCCGUUGUGUGAGGGAGGAGCGGCUCUUUCCUCCUCCGAAACCGAUAUCACAUCGCACGGGGCAAUUAGGAAGCCGUCACAUCGUAGCCAAGACAUUCUCUCCUUAGACUUGCGCACACGGCGCUCGUUUCCCCCCUAGGCUGCGUGUUGCAUAUCUGAAAUUCGGCACCGCAGCGCGCGAACUGCAAAUUACAAGCCAUAAAUCAAAGCUUUCAGAAUUUUUUUACAGGAUCCUUAUGAACGGGCUCGUUCUGGACGUUUCGAUUACGGAAAUCUGAACGUUUCCAAUACGAAUGUUGGGCAGGCGCCAUCGGUGACGCUGCUUUGAAUUUGUCGGGACAGUAGGCAUCAGCAAAUCCACCAAGCUUCUGACCAAGACCAAGCAGAGGCUAAUGAACACGAUUAUUGCUAUGAUAACACCAAAAAUGUUUUUCCAGGGAUGUCGCCAUCCCUCACAUGUUCUCUUUGUCUUCUACCACUUGCAGCGUUAGUUGCUCGUUUCUUCUCCCCCCGCCUUCUUCCUUUCCCUCCUUCCUCGCGGUCCGCCUAGGUUGUUGAGGACUAUGACGGCUACUGCUCCAAAUAUUGCGAGCAGUCCUGUUUGUGCACUUAUCGACAGAAGGUAUUGGUGGGUUCGUCCCGCAACAGUCUGGUCCACAAGUACUCGCUGGUCAGCCCCAUGUGCUGCUGCGGACGGGUCAACAAUUGCUGCGGAGCAACGUGGGUGAACGGGUGCAUGGGGUCGAGGGAGGGGCCAGAGGGGAGGAAGGGUGUUUUAUGUACUGUCAGUGGAUACUGACAGACCGGGCGCUUGGGCAUUCGUUUUGGGCUGUGGAGAGUGUUGCUGCUGCUGCUGCUGCUGUUGUUGUUUUAGUGGGCUUCUUAUAGCUGCAUGUAUGAUGUGGGUGGCGGGGUGCAGAGGGAAGCUCUGGAGGAGAUUGCCGGAAUUCAUUCGGUGGGACUUGCGGGGAGAGACGGGGAGUUGCGCGAUCGCAUCCUCAAAACACAGCAUCGAGACACGACACACUCCCCGGGCCCCUCUGCAAAGCCUCUUAAGGGAACAUGGACCCCGCCCCUCCUCUUCCUCUUCCUCUUCCUCUAACCAACAACCCUUACCGCAACAAGCGCUCUCUCCCAAGCUCCCGCCACACAACCCCUCCCUCCCAACGAUGCACAACCCCUCCCCCAACCCCUCCCGUCACCAUCACUAUUACCACCACCACCGCCAGGUGUUGCAAGCCGCAGCUGUUUAUUGACAUUGAGGAACCUGACGGCACACUGGCGGCUGUGGCGCAUAAGACGUACGGCGGCGGUCGGGGUUGCACCGACUGCUGCCGCUGCGUCUUUGACUUUAGCAACUACGUAUUACCCUUCCCGCCUAAGGCCACCCUUCAGGAGCGGGUGCUGCUGCUGACGGCCAUGUUGAGCAUUGAGUACGCGUACUUCAGCCGAAGGGGUGGAGAGAACAACGACUGAGAUAGGGGACCCCGCGGAAUGGUACCUUUGGGGGGAAGGGGAGGGGAGGUGAGGUGGUGGAGAUGAUCUAGGAGAUUAUCCUUAUCCGAGGUGGGAUGAUGCGGGUGGUGCUUGGGUUCGGGGGGAGGAUGAAGAUGAGGAGGAGGGAGGAAGGAUAAGAAAUGUGCACCUGCUGGCUGGCGCAUCAUGUGCGUGUGACUGCUUGAGUGCGUGCGAGUACAUGUGUGUAUGUGAGCUUUGGAGGAGACGUUGGUGCUGUUAGCGCCUCAGCACAGACAGUGUGUGUGCGUGCGAACGUGUAUAUCUAUGGGGCACGCUUUGUCUCGUGCUGGAAUCGGUUUAUGGUGCGGAAGGAAGGUGUUGUGAAGGGUGGGAAGGUGGCGGCGGUCGGUGCCGCUGCUGCGGUACCCUUUGCGACACAACCGUAUGUUUUUUCUACCUGUACUUGGUUUGUUAGAUGUUUGUGUAUGCUGCGGAAAAGGGGGAGGGAGGAACACAUGGAUAAGGAUUAACGAUGGCGCGCAUCGUGGUCGGUUGGCAACAUGUUUGUUAUUAUUUUAAAAAAUUCGGGGCUGUAGUUUUGGACGUCAGUCUUGCUGUUUGAUCAUAUGUCGAUGGUGUCAUAGUGCAAUCAUUGUCAUUAUCACGAUCAUCAAUUCAAUCGUAUUUAUCACCUAUUAUUGACUGCUGAGGUUCCCUGAAGUGCUGCAUUUAGGGCCUUCCCCGUUGGUUGAUUGGUUUCAGUAAAUUGGUGGUUGGAUUUUUUUGAGUACUGAGAUUUGAUGUUCGGGAAGGGAAAGGAAGGCGGCGCCGUGGUGGUGAUGUGCCACUUGUGGUGGUGAUGGCAGCACGUUGUAUACGUAAUUGUGAUUAUUACGGCCUUCCAAGAUCCUUGAACGUGAUUCCUGUCAUUUUCGGGAAGGAAAAGUGGUGUGCACGGCGAUCAACACCUCCGUCUUCCAUCAGGACGCGUUGUCAAAGUGUUUAUAGGAUGGCGCCCUGACGGCUGAUUAUGGCAACCCCGCAAAGGGGGAUGCUUGUGACUGCGCGGGCGCCUGUGUGUUAUUUGUUAUCCAUGGGGAACAUACAAGUUUCUGCCUCUUUUCCUUUGAGGCCUUGUUUUUCUUUGAGACCUAACCUAUGUCCCGUGCCAAGGGCCGACGGAGCAGCGUCCCCUUCGCACGAGACGGCUACUGCAGCGUACCGUCCCCGGGGCCAACUCGCCAAGGGGCCCUUGGCGAGUUGUGUACUGUGUGCGUGUCGUUCUGUACGCCUGCGGUAUCAGAAGUCUCUUUAGCUCGUAAGGUAUUGAAUCCUAAUUCUGUAGCUGGUGAGGUUGUGCUCGCAUGCAUGGGAUUUACUUCUCUAAGCCCUGUCUUGUAUGUGCUUCCGGCCUGUAAAUUUAGUUUUUUUUUAUUUGAGCGCCGCGGUCUAGUGGCGUGCUGAUUCGAAACUUGACAGCGAUCUGGUAAAUUUCGGUAUAUUGUGUGCUUGUGAAACAAUCUGUGCUUAGGGAGCACCGUUCUCGCCUGGAUGCCUGCGAUUUCACGGAAGCACCGAAGCCUGUUACUAUCGCAGUCAAAUGACAUGGUAAAAAACCUUUAACCACAUGUACAUUUCUCGUUCUGGAGGUAACGAACUAGCGUUGCUCUAUUUGGUAGCGUGGGGCAUGUCGUCAGUUUGAAUUUGCCAGUCGUACUUGCAGAACAGGCGCCCAGGCGUUUCUCUUCCGAAGCCAAUUUCCUCAGCACGUAGCCAUAAUUAAUAAAAGUAUGAAGUAAAGCGCUCUUGCCGCGAUGAUACUUGGUUGAACCUUUGCUAGUUGUCGCCUUCAACCUGGACCAUGGUAGGUCUACCGUAUUGUGCUUGACGCGCCGAAGACAUAUAGCAGCCUGCGCGGGUAGGCGUCAAAUGUGCGACUGGCUCCUUGCGCGGGGCUGCCCCUGAAAUUUACAUGCUAUACUCCUACCGCAGCCGCCCGCGGACACAUUAAAAUUAUGCUCUAGCUGCGUGCCAUCCUCACGUUACUGUUCUCCCGCGCCUGAGACGUCCUGACGGCCGCCGUGCAGCACUGCGACCUUCCCACGCUACAGCUAUGACUGCGCAAGCUGGAACUUGACGGCGACGGCGGCAGCACCGCCGCCGCCGCCGCCGUCAGUUUUCACCAGCAGCAGCUUUCCUACCUCCUCCUGCUCCUCCCCCAUCCAGCGACUCUGCACAACGGCCACGCGGCGGGGGCCGCCUGCCGUCGGGCAACGGUGCACCGUAAGGAUGCGGGGGAGCGGCUGUGUUGGCUUUGUGAGGCGGGCUCCCUCCUUAAUGAUGAUACCGGCGAGGCGCUGGGCUGUACGGGCAACUUGACGGCACUGCAGCAGUUGUUGGCGGGGGCGGCGCCCGUACGGUUAUUUCCAGCUGUCGAGGUGGCGGCAUGGGCACGAUAGUCAAGGUGCUGAUACCGAGCUGACGCUGGCGGCGGCGGUGGCGGCAGUGGAAGCGUAAUCCUGUAGCACGUCGCCAAGACGGCAGCGCAGGAUGGUCAUUUGGCGGUUGUGGCGUGGGCUGGCGACGGCGGCAGCGGUGGUGUUGGCGGCUGGCGGUGUUGGAGAAGGCUUGCUGGCGGCGGCGGCGGCGCCGCUACUGGAGAUGCUGCGCGCGGCGACGACGGCGGCGGCAUCAAAUAGUGGAUCAACACCUCCAACCGCGAACCCCAGUAGCUAAAUCCCUGUGCACCUAUCGUAAAUGGCAGGAAUGUAUGGAUGCUAUUGUCGCUCUUUUAGCUGAUAUCCCGGCGAAUUGGAGACAGGCGGCUAGUCUUUUGUUGCCUCUGAGUGUAGAAUCUAGGGAAGCGAUGGUGCCCUCCAUUGAGUCGGUUACCCAAACCCUGGUGUCGAGGCUUGGUUGGAGAUGGGGUGUAGGGCCUCCAAUCAGAUUUCAAGAUUUAUCCGUUAAAUUAGCGACUAAUAUGCAACUUUCACCAUUUUCGAUGGCUCGCCGUGUGGCCCACACCCUCUUCAUCAAAGAGGCGACGGGCUCUUCUGAGGUAUUGGAUGAAGCUAUUCUUAUUUUGCAACGGACAUUCCAUCGUUUAUGGUCUCAUUUACGAUGGGAAAAUGAACAAAAAGAGGUUUGGUGGUGUCUCACGGUUGAUGGGGUGCCUAUGUUAGGAAGUUCCCAUCUUAGGAUGUUUUGGCCAACAGUAUGUAUUGUAUUGUAUUGUGGUUACAGUAUUUCCGCCGCCGACGCGGCGGGUGCCCUCACGAGCCGUGAGGCUCCAGAGCACGCUGUUGACGCUCAUCAAAAACCUCAGUAAGGAAAGUAGCGAUUUUCCUCGGAUUGGUAUUAAGAAAUACCUUGCGCAUAUCAGUAUCUUCAACGUUAAUCAGAAACCUAUUACGCAACUCAGUAUACGCCUCACACUCCAUGAGCACAUGAUAUUCAUCCUCAACCUUACCCGACGUACAAACCUGACACGUACGGCACUCUCUCGGCCUAUGGUGUCCUUUGUUGACCUCCAAAGGCCAACAACAAAGACGGAAUUUGGCAACUAUACGCAACUGGUUGACCGGCAAAUAAACACGCAAAUAGCCUGUGGGAUCGGAGCCCUCUCUUGCUGGUGAAGGGGAGCCCAUCCAGUUAUGAUACCUGCAAAGCGAAACCCCUUUACCUUGGAACACACGCGGAUCACCCCCUUGGCUGAACUGAUCCCAGUCACUUAAAAGGAACGCAGAUAACCUCUCCAGAACCUCACCCACUCGAAUCAACUGAGACGAAUAUACAUCUACCUUCUGAGAAACGGAGUCACACGCCGGCCACUCAUGGCCCAACCAACGCAAAAUGAUGAGCACUUUAGACGACCAGCAAUCCACUUUGAGAUCAGACAGAAGAGCCAGACGGAGAUCAUCUACUAACACGUCAUGAUAGACCGACCCACGGGACUUGACUAUCUUAUUCCAGAAACACAACGCAAGGCGUAACCAAAAGUACUGCAAAGGCAACUGAGACAGCUCCCUGUACAACAGCUUGUAAGGUACCUGCUUGAGCCCAGCACAACGUAAACAGAAGUCACGCUGGACCUGGACCAUACCAUCUUCCAAAGCCAAAUCAAAAUAUGACUUACCAGCGGGUAAAACACCUUUCCUACCGCAGGACGGAGACAAUCCUAUCAGGACCCCAGACCUCAGCACCAUAACAGAGAACCGAACGGACCUGGGUGUCGAACGCUUGAAGCCGAACGGCAGGAGCCCACACCCUGUUCUCAUCCAACCGAUUACUAAGACCGAACAUAGCCCGUCGCCCUGCUUCCAAAAGUUCGUUGACACAACUCGCAAACGGGGACGCAGGGCCCCAAUAGAGACCCAAGUACCUAACGCGACCACACCAGUUAAUAGGACUAGGAACAAGUAAACUACCAACCAUGGGUGGGUGCCAAAGCGACCCAUCAGUACGGAGAGGAAGCAUGAGCCUCACCCCCUCAAACGCCCUCUUAACGACAUCAACGGAAGCAGCCACAACAAGGGCCUCACAUUUCCGAACGUUGCAGCGCAUACCAAAAGCAGCACAGAACUCAAUAAGCAGCUUAAGCGAGAACUGGAGGCGUGCCAACGAGGUCGCGAACAAAGUAAGGUCGUCUGCAUAGAACAACAGAGGCAACCGACGAUCAUUAAUGACAGGACAUUCGUGUGCACGUGUGUUGAACCAUUCGUCCAUACCAUCCCUCGCUUCAAGGUAGUCGGCAAUAACCUCAAUGAAGAACCCGAACAAAUUGGGACUCAUGGGACACCCCUGCUUCACGCCCUGCAGAGAGGCAAAGAUGGACCCUAGGCGACCGUUAACCUUGACCCGUUGGAGAACACGUUCGUAGCUGGCUUUAAGGGCCGUCAACAUGGGUCCAUGCACACCCCUCUCCUCAAGACGCUGCCACAGGCUUGCCCGGNGCACUCUAUCAAAGGCUUUCUCAAAAUCCACCUGACACGCAUACAGGGCCUGAUUGCUGCCGGGCCGCUCAUAACGACUUUUAAGAUGACGAACAACGAACAACUGAUGAACUGUACUGCGCUUUUGACGGGACCCAGCCUGAAAACGGCACCGGACACCAUCUUUAUCCCCGAAAGCUGCCAGCCGCCUGUCGAGAACCGUGGCAUAGCAUUUGGCAAUGGCGCAUCCCACAGCUAGACCCCUGUAGUUGUCCCUUGACCCUGGGGUCGCCCUUUCUUAAAUAACGAACUGAGAAACGCCACGCCAAAAUUGUUCAAGGCACAUCCCCCUUAAUCCCAAAAUGUUCUGGGAAAAAGUUCCUCGAAUCCCAGGGGCAAUAACAUUGACAGACACCCUGUCCUCGUCACCUCNACGAGGGAUUCGCUUGGCAUACUUGUAGCACUCGGCCCGAACCAUACCCAGACCCGGGGAACGCNCAUUAGACAGGGACGACAAAGCCGCCUCAACCUCUUCAAGAGUGAACGGACCAUUCAUAGUGUCGGCCAUAGACCGUCUAGCAUGCACCGGUUCGGAAUCACGCCACGCCGCCCCGACUUGGGAGCCCGCACCGAGAUUGAUACAGUUGAGAAUGGCACAGACACGGGCCUCCUGCACCUCAUCGAAGGAGGCUGAGGCAUUAUAAAGGCGAUCGAAGUAGUCCGUCCACUCCGACACGUCUUCCACAUUGCAUCUGGACGCUGGCUUACCGUUCAGACGUUGCCAUAGGGUCUUCGCAUCCCGUUUGCAUGUAGCUAUGAAUAACUCCAAGGCUCGCAGCCGGUGAUCCCGUCGCGCGUUACGCUUAGCACGAUUAAACUGACGACGUAGCUCUUGAAAACUCGUAUGCCCCAUAGCCGGGGCAGCACACCCCCACUUCAUCACAUCAGACCGAUACUGCAACAUGGCCUGCUUAGCCGCAGCACACUCAUCAUUCCACCACGCCGCCUUGCCGUUAGAAACCGGCCCGGGCCUGAAGGCAUCACCGAAGCAACCCAGCAAAAUCCGUUCGAUAGUGUCAACCGCCUGGGUGACACCAAUCUGGCCAGCACGCAGGGAAUCCGCAACCGCCCGGACACCAACCACAGGGGGGGCCUCCGGGUUGUAGAACAUGUCUGUGUACCUGUGCGCCUCAGAGACAAGAAACGUCGGCUUGGGUUUACGCAUGGGUGGCCGGUCCGGCCUCCAAACCGACGCGAGGUGAAGGGACACGGGGUUAUGAUCACUCAAGCGGCGUUCUUCACGGUAAAAAGAUUGCUGUGGCAGGACACGGAAGGAACGCACGCACGGGUACAAAGAAGGGGACGCAAGCACAAGGUCAAUCAUGCUGCCUCCCCCCCGGCUGGACUCGUAUGUGAGCCUGCCCUCAGUGUCACCCGGUGCCCGCCCAUUGAGAAUGACAACCUCUGAAACCCGGCACAACUCGAGCAGUUUACGUCCAAACGCAUUAUGCUCCUGAUCUAGCACAUCGUGGUCCUGGGCAAUGCGGAGGAAAGAUGGGUCGGUGAGCUUAGCUACCGACAAACCCCACACGUUCCAAAGCAAGACCCUGAUGUCUUUAGCCUCACGACUCAUAGCACUCUAGGUGGCGCUCCCCUCGCCAGCACCCUCUGUGGUCACGCGUCCAUCGCUUGUGCCCGCCGCAGCCCCGUUCCUGGCCGGGGGCUGGGGCGGGGGGGGGCGGAACGUCGGACACGUCGUACUUGGAGACCAUGUAGUACAUGCCGUCGGUGCGCUGGUACUCGAUGUACGGGCCCAGCCACUUGGGUUUGCGGCCCUCGUCACGCAGCCGCAGGAACUGCGCGUUCCGAGCCUGCUUGAGCUGACGACCUGCCGGGGUGAGGUCAUCCCGGAAGGUGAUGCCGAUGGCCUUAAGGGCCUGGCUGUGUCGGAAAAGCAUACCACGGACACGGGGGGUGACGCCGAUGGUGAUGUUGUAUGUUGGGNCCGCCUGGUUGGGUCGUGGCUUCUCAGUGCGUACUUCGACGCUGAGGAAGGAGGCCUGGAGGCUUCCUCCACUGGCAUCGGAGACGACUUGGGUGAUGGCUUCCGCUGCUUGCUUAGCGGUCGCGAGAGCCGGGACGCCAAACGCGAUCAGGGAGCCGGAAUCGUAGUAGGCAGAUUUGCCGGUCAAGUUCCUACGCUGUUUAGACCCGGUGCGGUCGGUCGCAAACGUAGGGGCCCCCGCGAGCUGAGACUGCACAGUUUCGAUGAUGAACUGCGCGGCCCGAACUUCGAACUGCUUCAUUUCGGUCUCCACCUUUUUGGUAAUUAUUUCCGGAAUAUUCUUUUCCAGCGAGUCAACACGAGCAGCCAGCGCAUCUGUCUUGCUAUGCAAGGAGUCGAAGGACGCCUUGGUCUGUGUAGCAUGGGUCUGAAGCAGCUUGUAAAUCUCAUCUAAAGAUGGUUCUUUCUGAGUGGAUCGCGUCAUGGAGUCGCCUGCUGCCGCCUCCUCAAGGGCAGCGGCCGAAGGCGUAGGGUACUCCUUGCCGGACCUCAGAACCCGCUUAGACGGGCUUUGUGGGCUAAUGCCAGCUGUUCUACAGAUUCUGGAUCGCUGGCAAAGCCAAUGCGAGGGGCUUAGCUGUGAUGUUGCCAGGGUGGUGUGGUAGGCGUGAACUAUUGUAAACUAUUGUAAACUAUUGUAAACUAUGUGGUUGUGGAGGUUAUCCAGUAGGUUCAGUGGGAGGUGUAUCCCCUCGCUGUCAUCACUUCUGGGCCUGUCCGGUGGCACAGGCAGUAGCAGAUCAACUUACUCUUUCANNNNNNNNNNNNNNNNNNNNNNNNNNNNNNNNNNNNNNNNNNNNNNNNNNNNNNNNNNNNNNNNNNNNNNNNNNNNNNNNNNNNNNNNNNNNNNNNNNNNNNNNNNNNNNNNNNNNNNNNNNNNNNNNNNNNNNNNNNNNNNNNNNNNNNNNNNNNNNNNNNNNNNNNNNNNNNNNNNNNNNNNNNNNNNNNNNNNNNNNNNNNNNNNNNNNNNNNNNNNNNNNNNNNNNNNNNNNNNNNNNNNNNNNNNNNNNNNNNNNNNNNNNNNNNNNNNNNNNNNNNNNNNNNNNNNNNNNNNNNNNNNNNNNNNNNNNNNNNNNNNNNNNNNNNNNNNNNNNNNNNNNNNNNNNNNNNNNNNNNNNNNNNNNNNNNNNNNNNNNNNNNNNNNNNNNNNNNNNNNNNNNNNNNNNNNNNNNNNNNNNNNNNNNNNNNNNNNNNNNNNNNNNNNNNNNNNNNNNNNNNNNNNNNNNNNNNNNNNNNNNNNNNNNNNNNNNNNNNNNNNNNNNNNNNNNNNNNNNNNNNNNNNNNNNNNNNNNNNNNNNNNNNNNNNNNNNNNNNNNNNNNNNNNNNNNNNNNNNNNNNNNNNNNNNNNNNNNNNNNNNNNNNGGUAAAAGAUUGCUGUGGCAGGACACGGAAGGAACGCACGCACGGGUACAAAGAAGGGGACGCAAGCACAAGGUCAAUCAUGCUGCCUCCCCCCCGGCUGGACUCGUAUGUGAGCCUGCCCUCAGUGUCACCCGGUGCCCGCCCAUUGAGAAUGACAACCUCUGAAACCCGGCACAACUCGAGCAGUUUACGUCCAAACGCAUUAUGCUCCUGAUCUAGCACAUCGUGGUCCUGGGCAAUGCGGAGGAAAGAUGGGUCGGUGAGCUUAGCUACCGACAAACCCCACACGUUCCAAAGCAAGACCCUGAUGUCUUUAGCCUCACGACUCAUAGCACUCUAGGUGGCGCUCCCCUCGCCAGCACCCUCUGUGGUCACGCGUCCAUCGCUUGUGCCCGCCGCAGCCCCGUUCCUGGCCGGGGGCUGGGGCGGGGGGGGGCGGAACGUCGGACACGUCGUACUUGGAGACCAUGUAGUACAUGCCGUCGGUGCGCUGGUACUCGAUGUACGGGCCCAGCCACUUGGGUUUGCGGCCCUCGUCACGCAGCCGCAGGAACUGCGCGUUCCGAGCCUGCUUGAGCUGACGACCUGCCGGGGUGAGGUCAUCCCGGAAGGUGAUGCCGAUGGCCUUAAGGGCCUGGCUGUGUCGGAAAAGCAUACCACGGACACGGGGGGUGACGCCGAUGGUGAUGUUGUAUGUUGGGGCCGCCUGGUUGGGUCGUGGCUUCUCAGUGCGUACUUCGACGCUGAGGAAGGAGGCCUGGAGGCUUCCUCCACUGGCAUCGGAGACGACUUGGGUGAUGGCUUCCGCUGCUUGCUUAGCGGUCGCGAGAGCCGGGACGCCAAACGCGAUCAGGGAGCCGGAAUCGUAGUAGGCAGAUUUGCCGGUCAAGUUCCUACGCUGUUUAGACCCGGUGCGGUCGGUCGCAAACGUAGGGGCCCCCGCGAGCUGAGACUGCACAGUUUCGAUGAUGAACUGCGCGGCCCGAACUUCGAACUGCUUCAUUUCGGUCUCCACCUUUUUGGUAAUUAUUUCCGGAAUAUUCUUUUCCAGCGAGUCAACACGAGCAGCCAGCGCAUCUGUCUUGCUAUGCAAGGAGUCGAAGGACGCCUUGGUCUGUGUAGCAUGGGUCUGAAGCAGCUUGUAAAUCUCAUCUAAAGAUGGUUCUUUCUGAGUGGAUCGCGUCAUGGAGUCGCCUGCUGCCGCCUCCUCAAGGGCAGCGGCCGAAGGCGUAGGGUACUCCUUGCCGGACCUCAGAACCCGCUUAGACGGGCUUUGUGGGCUAAUGCCAGCUGUUCUACAGAUUCUGGAUCGCUGGCAAAGCCAAUGCGAGGGGCUUAGCUGUGAUGUUGCCAGGGUGGUGUGGUAGGCGUGAACUAUUGUAAACUAUUGUAAACUAUUGUAAACUAUGUGGUUGUGGAGGUUAUCCAGUAGGUUCAGUGGGAGGUGUAUCCCCUCGCUGUCAUCACUUCUGGGCCUGUCCGGUGGCACAGGCAGUAGCAGAUCAACUUACUCUUUCAAUAGGAUUGCCAAUCUCAAGGGAGCAACUUUGGCUUGUCCAAGCCCCACAAACAGUGCAACAAUGUGUUUGGGAUGUUGUGGCUCUUGCUGCGGUGUCAGCCAUGGAGCAUGGGAGACGAUAUAUGGCUGCAAACAUGAAAACCAACCCGGCACUGUUACCUGGCCCUUCCCUUACGGAAGAAGCCAUUUGUCGAGUUAUUGUUGACUUUUGGGGCCGCCUUCAGGGUUUCGCAGCUCUGGGAAUUCCACGGAAAGGUUGGGAUUCUGUUGGCGCACAUCACCCCUUCUUGAGAAUUAUAUCAGGCAAAUUGCUAUAUCACGGGAGCGGUCACCGAUGAACGGUUAAUUAUCUGAGGUGAUGGUCUAAUUUGUAUAUUAGUCUCUACUGCAGUGCACGGCCAGCUGGCCCGAUGGCUCUACUCUUCCGGAGUCUGGAGCCCACCGUAACAACCACACACACACACAUGGCGGCGGUUCUAUGCCCCGUGCCGCAAGACGUAAGAUGAUCAGCAAUUAUCGCAUUAUAGCAGGUGUUUACGUAUAUUUAAUUCUAGCCCAGCUGUGGCAUGCGCUCAUGCGUGGUCCCGAAAUUUAUAGAUUCCGUCGGAAGAGCGUACGUUUAGCUCGACUGUCAAACGAGGAUAUUGCGUAACCUUUGCGAUAUGCCAUAUGAGAAGGUUUUAUUGAUAAAAUUUAUGAAUGCAGCGAAGAUCAAUCUGUAAAGAAAAAUUCCCAGGAUGAUGAGUAAAAGUCAUAGAGAGUCAUACAACGACAUUAAUGGCCACAAAGCUAAACUGCAUCACUGCAUGGAGACCUGUGAAUUUGCAAUUCCUUAUAUAGUUAUCAAUAUAUAUGCCAGUAGGCUGUUUCCUGGACAUAAGCCUAGGUGGGCUCUAAUACGAGUCGCAUUAAACGUACCGCGACGUGGGUGGCUGUGGUAGCAUUGGCGAACAUAUAGAAUAACUGAUUUGGUGGCUCGCAAAGGUAGGCCAGGUGUUAGAACGACGGAUGUUACUAUUAUGCAAGCAUCCGGAAUAACAGCUCGGCGAGACUUUGACAGAAGUGCGGCUUGGAAACGACACACGCUACGCGUAAGGUAGGGCUUGCCCAGAAAUUACCAAAGUCUGUAAUGGGUGUGGUGUAAUUAGUGUGGUGCAUUGAUGGAAAUAAGGUAGUUAGAUGGCAUUUCAAUGCCGUACAUGUUUAUAAUGCGACUUGAAGGGUUGGACGUACUUAUGCAAAAAGGAAUGGCUGAGAGGAAUAUAGGGUGCUUGAUCAGAAGUCGUGGACAAUACUGGUGUUAAUAAUUUUCCGCGGCCGAGGUGUGUGUGGUUGUUACAGCCGAGGUUACGGCCGAGAUGAUUGCUCACUUGCAUGUCAAGAGAAAUGCAUGAAAUGACGGGCACAUCAAGGAUGUAAUUGGUGUGUCGCGCUGAAACAAGGGCACGACAAUUUAACAAGAAAUGCUUGUUAUUCCAAAUCGUCGGCUGCUGGUUCCCCUAGCGGACACGCUAGACGUGCUGCGUUUUCUGAGUCAGAAACCUACACACUUCUGCCAGGCUGGGCAACAUGCAGUUGUAUUCGACACGUUGUUGUGAUGAGUAUAACGUAAAGGAUUAGCAAUUGGUUCAUGGGCUGUUACACCAUUUACGGCACAUAUUCAUAAAGGACGAGUACCGACUGUGACUCUGCCGUAAAAAAUAGCGCAGCGGCGGGUUGGUGGCUUGAGCCGUUCCACGCCAGCUGUGAUGAAUAGUCAGCCUGUGUUAACACAACACUGAUGCGAAAAUACUCCGAAUCGAUAAAGUAAGAGCCGAUCGAGAGGCGCCACACCGGUAACACUGCUAUCGGAACAGGCUGCUCUCCUCUCCUCUCCUCUGCUCUCCUCUGCUCUCCUCUCUUCUCCUCUGCUCUGCUCUGCUCUGCUCUGCUCUGCUCUGCUCUGCUCUGCUCUGCUCUGCUCUGCUCUGCUCUGCUCUGCUCUGCUCUGCUCUGCUCUGCUCUGCUCUGCUCUGCUCUGCUCUGCNNNNNNNNNNNNNNNNNNNNNNNNNNNNNNNNNNNNNNNNNNNNNNNNNNNNNNNNNNNNNNNNNNNNNNNNNNNNNNNNNNNNNNNNNNNNNNNNNNNNNNNNNNNNNNNNNNNNNNNNNNNNNNNNNNNNNNNNNNNNNNNNNNNNNNNNNNNNNNNNNNNNNNNNNNNNNNNNNNNNNNNNNNNNNNGCCCCCCCAUCUCCGUGACCUCUCUCCCCUGCAUUCCCAUCCGUUCUCACCUGCACCUCCGUCGCCGACCGUUCCUUCUUCAGUGGCAACAAUACGGAUCUCCACCUCUCCAUCCGCCCCAAUGUGUCCAGGUGAUCCGUCACCUGGGAAUAGCAGGGCAUACGUCCACGACACCAUGAAGGGUUCAUCGUCAUCCCCGCAGUCGCAUGUGAUCACAUGAUGGCAGCUCCGGUGACGGCAACUAAGGCCACGUCAUUGGCAACAUGACGCGGUUGCCUGUGACGUCGCCUGAGUCGCCGUCACCGGAGCUGCCAUCACCACCACCCCGCCACCACCCCGUUCACCCCAUCCCCUUCACCUCCCCUGCCGUCACCACGGCUGCCAUUUCCACCUCCUUCCUCUUCACUGCGGCAAUCCCCGCCCCCCCAUCUCCGUGACCUCUCUCCCCUGCAUUCCCAUCCGUUCUCACCUGCACCUCCGUCGCCGACCGUUCCUUCUUCAGUGGCAACAAUACGGAUCUCCACCUCUCCAUCCGCCCCAAUGUGUCCAGGUGAUCCGUCACCUGGGAAUAGCAUGGCAUACGUCCACGACACCAUGAAGGGUUCAUCGUCAUCCCCGCAGUCGCAUGUGAUCACAUGAUGGCAGCUCCGGUGACGGCGACUCAGGCCACGUCAUUGGCAACAUGACGCGGUUGCCCGUGACGUCGCCUGAGUCGCCGGCACCGGAGCUNNNNNNNNNNNNNNNNNNNNNNNNNNNNNNNNNNNNNNNNNNNNNNNNNNNNNNNNNNNNNNNNNNNNNNNNNNNNNNNNNNNNNNNNNNNNNNNNNNNNNNNNNNNNNNNNNNNNNNNNNNNNNNNNNNNNNNNNNNNNNNNNNNNNNNNNNNNNNNNNNNNNNNNNNNNNNNNNNNNNNNNNNNNNNNNNNNNNNNNNNNNNNNNNNNNNNNNNNNNNNNNNNNNNNNNNNNNNNNNNNNNNNNNNNNNNNNNNNNNNNNNNNNNNNNNNNNNNNNNNNNNNNNNNNNNNNNNNNNNNNNNNNNNNNNNNNNNNNNNNNNNNNNNNNNNNNNNNNNNNNNNNNNNNNNNNNNNNNNNNNNNNNNNNNNNNNNNNNNNNNNNNNNNNNNNNNNNNNNNNNNNNNNNNNNNNNNNNNNNNNNNNNNNNNNNNNNNNNNNNNNNNNNNNNNNNNNNNNNNNNNNNNNNNNNNNNNNNNNNNNNNNNNNNNNNNNNNNNNNNNNNNNNNNNNNNNNNNNNNNNNNNNNNNNNNNNNNNNNNNNNNNNNNNNNNNNNNNNNNNNNNNNNNNNNNNNNNNNNNNNNNNNNNNNNNNNNNNNNNNNNNNNNNNNNNNNNNNNNNNNNNNNNNNNNNNNNNNNNNNNNNNNNNNNNNNNNNNNNNNNNNNNNNNNNNNNNNNNNNNNNNNNNNNNNNNNNNNNNNNNNNNNNNNNNNNNNNNNNNNNNNNNNNNNNNNNNNNNNNNNNNNNNNNNNNNNNNNNNNNNNNNNNNNNNNNNNNNNNNNNNNNNNNNNNNNNNNNNNNNNNNNNNNNNNNNNNNNNNNNNNNNNNNNNNNNNNNNNNNNNNNNNNNNNNNNNNNNNNNNNNNNNNNNNNNNNNNNNNNNNNNNNNNNNNNNNNNNNNNNNNNNNNNNNNNNNNNNNNNNNNNNNNNNNNNNNNNNNNNNNNNNNNNNNNNNNNNNNNNNNNNNNNNNNNNNNNNNNNNNNNNNNNNNNNNNNNNNNNNNNNNNNNNNNNNNNNNNNNNNNNNNNNNNNNNNNNNNNNNNNNNNNNNNNNNNNNNNNNNNNNNNNNNNNNNNNNNNNNNNNNNNNNNNNNNNNNNNNNNNNNNNNNNNNNNNNNNNNNNNNNNNNNNNNNNNNNNNNNNNNNNNNNNNNNNNNNNNNNNNNNNNNNNNNNNNNNNNNNNNNNNNNNNNNNNNNNNNNNNNNNNNNNNNNNNNNNNNNNNNNNNNNNNNNNNNNNNNNNNNNNNNNNNNNNNNNNNNNNNNNNNNNNNNNNNNNNNNNNNNNNNNNNNNNNNNNNNNNNNNNNNNNNNNNNNNNNNNNNNNNNNNNNNNNNNNNNNNNNNNNNNNNNNNNNNNNNNNNNNNNNNNNNNNNNNNNNNNNNNNNNNNNNNNNNNNNNNNNNNNNNNNNNNNNNNNNNNNNNNNNNNNNNNNNNNNNNNNNNNNNNNNNNNNNNNNNNNNNNNNNNNNNNNNNNNNNNNNNNNNNNNNNNNNNNNNNNNNNNNNNNNNNNNNNNNNNNNNNNNNNNNNNNNNNNNNNNNNNNNNNNNNNNNNNNNNNNNNNNNNNNNNNNNNNNNNNNNNNNNNNNNNNNNNNNNNNNNNNNNNNNNNNNNNNNNNNNNNNNNNNNNNNNNNNNNNNNNNNNNNNNNNNNNNNNNNNNNNNNNNNNNNNNNNNNNNNNNNNNNNNNNNNNNNNNNNNNNNNNNNNNNNNNNNNNNNNNNNNNNNNNNNNNNNNNNNNNNNNNNNNNNNNNNNNNNNNNNNNNNNNNNNNNNNNNNNNNNNNNNNNNNNNNNNNNNNNNNNNNNNNNNNNNNNNNNNNNNNNNNNNNNNNNNNNNNNNNNNNNNNNNNNNNNNNNNNNNNNNNNNNNNNNNNNNNNNNNNNNNNNNNNNNNNNNNNNNNNNNNNNNNNNNNNNNNNNNNNNNNNNNNNNNNNNNNNNNNNNNNNNNNNNNNNNNNNNNNNNNNNNNNNNNNNNNNNNNNNNNNNNNNNNNNNNNNNNNNNNNNNNNNNNNNNNNNNNNNNNNNNNNNNNNNNNNNNNNNNNNNNNNNNNNNNNNNNNNNNNNNNNNNNNNNNNNNNNNNNNNNNNNNNNNNNNNNNNNNNNNNNNNNNNNNNNNNNNNNNNNNNNNNNNNNNNNNNNNNNNNNNNNNNNNNNNNNNNNNNNNNNNNNNNNNNNNNNNNNNNNNNNNNNNNNNNNNNNNNNNNNNNNNNNNNNNNNNNNNNNNNNNNNNNNNNNNNNNNNNNNNNNNNNNNNNNNNNNNNNNNNNNNNNNNNNNNNNNNNNNNNNNNNNNNNNNNNNNNNNNNNNNNNNNNNNNNNNNNNNNNNNNNNNNNNNNNNNNNNNNNNNNNNNNNNNNNNNNNNNNNNNNNNNNNNNNNNNNNNNNNNNNNNNNNNNNNNNNNNNNNNNNNNNNNNNNNNNNNNNNNNNNNNNNNNNNNNNNNNNNNNNNNNNNNNNNNNNNNNNNNNNNNNNNNNNNNNNNNNNNNNNNNNNNNNNNNNNNNNNNNNNNNNNNNNNNNNNNNNNNNNNNNNNNNNNNNNNNNNNNNNNNNNNNNNNNNNNNNNNNNNNNNNNNNNNNNNNNNNNNNNNNNNNNNNNNNNNNNNNNNNNNNNNNNNNNNNNNNNNNNNNNNNNNNNNNNNNNNNNNNNNNNNNNNNNNNNNNNNNNNNNNNNNNNNNNNNNNNNNNNNNNNNNNNNNNNNNNNNNNNNNNNNNNNNNNNNNNNNNNNNNNNNNNNNNNNNNNNNNNNNNNNNNNNNNNNNNNNNNNNNNNNNNNNNNNNNNNNNNNNNNNNNNNNNNNNNNNNNNNNNNNNNNNNNNNNNNNNNNNNNNNNNNNNNNNNNNNNNNNNNNNNNNNNNNNNNNNNNNNNNNNNNNNNNNNNNNNNNNNNNNNNNNNNNNNNNNNNNNNNNNNNNNNNNNNNNNNNNNNNNNNNNNNNNNNNNNNNNNNNNNNNNNNNNNNNNNNNNNNNNNNNNNNNNNNNNNNNNNNNNNNNNNNNNNNNNNNNNNNNNNNNNNNNNNNNNNNNNNNNNNNNNNNNNNNNNNNNNNNNNNNNNNNNNNNNNNNNNNNNNNNNNNNNNNNNNNNNNNNNNNNNNNNNNNNNNNNNNNNNNNNNNNNNNNNNNNNNNNNNNNNNNNNNNNNNNNNNNNNNNNNNNNNNNNNNNNNNNNNNNNNNNNNNNNNNNNNNNNNNNNNNNNNNNNNNNNNNNNNNNNNNNNNNNNNNNNNNNNNNNNNNNNNNNNNNNNNNNNNNNNNNNNNNNNNNNNNNNNNNNNNNNNNNNNNNNNNNNNNNNNNNNNNNNNNNNNNNNNNNNNNNNNNNNNNNNNNNNNNNNNNNNNNNNNNNNNNNNNNNNNNNNNNNNNNNNNNNNNNNNNNNNNNNNNNNNNNNNNNNNNNNNNNNNNNNNNNNNNNNNNNNNNNNNNNNNNNNNNNNNNNNNNNNNNNNNNNNNNNNNNNNNNNNNNNNNNNNNNNNNNNNNNNNNNNNNNNNNNNNNNNNNNNNNNNNNNNNNNNNNNNNNNNNNNNNNNNNNNNNNNNNNNNNNNNNNNNNNNNNNNNNNNNNNNNNNNNNNNNNNNNNNNNNNNNNNNNNNNNNNNNNNNNNNNNNNNNNNNNNNNNNNNNNNNNNNNNNNNNNNNNNNNNNNNNNNNNNNNNNNNNNNNNNNNNNNNNNNNNNNNNNNNNNNNNNNNNNNNNNNNNNNNNNNNNNNNNNNNNNNNNNNNNNNNNNNNNNNNNNNNNNNNNNNNNNNNNNNNNNNNNNNNNNNNNNNNNNNNNNNNNNNNNNNNNNNNNNNNNNNNNNNNNNNNNNNNNNNNNNNNNNNNNNNNNNNNNNNNNNNNNNNNNNNNNNNNNNNNNNNNNNNNNNNNNNNNNNNNNNNNNNNNNNNNNNNNNNNNNNNNNNNNNNNNNNNNNNNNNNNNNNNNNNNNNNNNNNNNNNNNNNNNNNNNNNNNNNNNNNNNNNNNNNNNNNNNNNNNNNNNNNNNNNNNNNNNNNNNNNNNNNNNNNNNNNNNNNNNNNNNNNNNNNNNNNNNNNNNNNNNNNNNNNNNNNNNNNNNNNNNNNNNNNNNNNNNNNNNNNNNNNNNNNNNNNNNNNNNNNNNNNNNNNNNNNNNNNNNNNNNNNNNNNNNNNNNNNNNNNNNNNNNNNNNNNNNNNNNNNNNNNNNNNNNNNNNNNNNNNNNNNNNNNNNNNNNNNNNNNNNNNNNNNNNNNNNNNNNNNNNNNNNNNNNNNNNNNNNNNNNNNNNNNNNNNNNNNNNNNNNNNNNNNNNNNNNNNNNUCCCCUCCCCUCCCCUCCCCUCCCCUCCUCUCCUCUCCUCUCCCUCCCCUGCUCUCCUCUCCUCUCCAGUUCCUUUCCUAAUUACUCCUCUUUGCUUGCCGCUUGAGAAGAACUUUUGAAACCGCAUAUAGCUAAGCCUCAAUUUCGCACUGAUUCAUCUCCUUCUCCCCAUUCCUCGCUUAUCCCCAUUCUCCACCUUAUACCCUCCUCCCCCUACUUGUUCCUCUUCCUCUGUCCUCUCCCCCCUCUCGUUCCUCUUCCUCCUUUCCCACUCUCCAUCAUCUGCCUCCUCUCCCUCCUCUCCCUCGUCUUUUCAACUCACUCCCCCACUCCUCUCCCUCCUCUUCCUCCUCUUCCCUAUCCCUCCUCUCAUUCCUCUUCCUCCUCUACCAAUACCUCCUCUCCCUCCUCUUACUGUGAUACAUUGCUCCUUAAUCUUGAAAAUGUGCAGCCCAGUUUAAUUACUCAACUCCGUACACAAAUCUUCCUGCAAUUCUCGAAUACAAAGUUCAUUAUUUUCUACUUACUUAGGGUAUUUAUUCAAUACUGGUGGUUCACUUUCCCCGUAUUUAGGGUGACACAUCACAUAUGUCUGGUCGAUUUGCGUCAUAGGAACUUUUGUAUCCGCCUUAUGCUCGGCCACCUUUUCAAGCUGCACAUCUUCCGGACAUCUGCGCAUUGCGUUUUACCAUUUUUUCACAAAUAUGCAAUAAUACCGCACCAAGGCCAGGAUCACAGCGCGUCGAUUUACGACGCCCUUGCCGGAUUGCGCAAAGAGUAAUUGUGUCUCAGUCCGAGCAUGCUCGUCCAUUUCAUCCAAUAUGUUAGUUCUUGCCCACCUUUUAGGUGGGCAAGCCAACCGGCGGCCGCCAUGACUAGCAGGCAUCCCGUACAGCUGAAGUACAGCUGAAGUACCGGCAAAGUACCUGUAUAUGAACAAAAUACUCCUGAAAACACCAAAGCCAAAUACAAGCUUGGAAACAUAGGUGAUUGUUGCUGCUGCAGGGUUGUAUCAGAUAAGAAAGGGGACCAUAUAAAUGUUGGAUGGCAUCUUCUGCUGGCAUCUCCAAGGCCUGCAUCAGUAUUCAGACAGCUCCCUUUAAUCAAAAGAUGUCGAUUUGCCUACCUGCAGGUAGGCAAUCCAGCUGGUUUGAUGUGAAAACGGACCAAAAUACAUAAGACGGCAUAAGAUGAGAUACAACCCGCGUACGUUCUUCGUACGUUCUUCGUACACUCAAGACAGAACUCACACCGGUCAACCGGCCGGCGGAUUUCACUUCAUCUCCACUUCACAGGAAUCCUUAGAGCCCACUUCAUCUGUGAAUUCGAGCUGCGUGGCAAGAAAUGAAGAUGAACAUAAGGUGCCAAAAUAUGAUUAUUAAUCGAAUAUGAACACUUCCGCUGAAGUCGAGCUGAACUAUUGGCGAAUUACCUAUGGAAGGAAUACCACCUUGAAAAGUAGAAUACAAAGAAAGGUUAAUUCCACGAGUGAGGAACGUAAGGAAACCUAUUUAGGCAACUGCGAAAACUCGUAGCAUACAGAAUCGUAUAUGGUCCUAGAUAUAAAUGAAUAGGCAAACACAUUCGCGAUGAUGUCGAGUUGUGUUCCUUGGCGAUGUCUGUACAUGCAUACCUGUCCACAAAGCGCUUGCUUGACCUCGACUCCACCAACUCGACUCGUGAAAAGUAGGGCCAGCGGGGCCAGCGGGCCGUGCACUGCACCUGAGACUACGGCAGCCAAGACGCACACACAGACCAGAUAACGCAAGCCAUCUAGACAGGAGAAAAUGAGCCCAAAAGGAAGGGUCAGAAGCCCGCGACCAUGUACCCGAAACCCGUGACCAAACCAAUUCGCCAUUAGGCACCCCAAUUGGCGAAAGGCCCCUAACUUCCACAAGAGGGCACACCAACAAAAAACUGACAGCAACUUACGCGCUGCGGCUAGGUGAGGUCUGCUCCCUAAAGAUCCCCCAAAAUACCGAAAAAAGAACCGGAUCUGUUAACAGUUUAUCGUUCAUCUAUGUGAGCACAACAACUCGUCCGACACACUUAGUGUUCGUAUUUACAUAUUUUUUGGGCUUUCGUUCCCUCGGACGAAAGGAACCCGUUUUGGUCCGUUGCGUUCUUUAGCUGGCGGACGAACUGCCCCCUCCAAGAUGGAAUCUGGUAAAUAGGCCGCCACCUCGCCCAGCAGCGUGUCUCGAAGGGAAAUCACAAUAUUUCUGUUUUGAAGGUUGGUGUACGCAAGCCACGGAAUUCAACCUCGAACAACCAUUAAAGCAGCAAAAUAUUCCAGAAUUUACUAAUCAUAAGGGUGUUUUGGACAGCGGUGCUAACGCACCGGCGAUGGUGCAGCUGCCAGCGGUGAACACGGACUCCGACUCCAUUGACCCUGUCAUCCAAAACGAGCGUAAAUAAUGUAAGCGUAAGCUAUGGCCCGUCCAGCACGACAACAGUGACUGCGUGAUCGGCGAGGGUGAUGCAUGGGCGCCUGCGGGCACAGACACCGGGUAUAUACAAGGGCCAAAGAGAUGGCGUGUGGCGGGACAACAGAACCAAUCAGACCCCCACAGGUGUCUCAGAUUUCCUUUGUAGCCAAGUAUCCCUGGCCUGACUGCAUGCCACCUGGCGUUAACAGUGGAGAGGGUUCACUAUCAAUUGUGGUGCAUUGCGUGUACAUUACGGAAGAAGCGUGAUAACUUGACUGUAGCAGCUGGCCGCUGAAAAGGCCUCUCGAGAUGCUGGUGGUCGCGCUUAGCGCGUAUUUGUAUAGCCGUACUGUGUACCAGAUACUACAUUGACGGCCUGCCGGACUGCCACCCUUGAUGGGCACGUGACAUCCGAGGGGCACAAGAAGUUACCGGAACAUUUCCAGAAUCAGCAGGCACAGCUAGCACUCCAGCAGCAGGAGCAGCAGCAGCAGCAGCAGAACGCGAACAUCUCAUCACCUCGAGCACCUCGGAGGCGGAGAAGGCCAAAAGCCAGCAGCUCAUCCGCCUCUUCUCCUUGCUCUUCCGGGUCGCCCCAUCCUGGACUCUACAGCCUCAAAGCUCAAAGGAGGAUGGCUCGAAACGCUGUCCGUCCCGCACACCAGCAGCUCGCACUGGAGCGGCUUCCCAGCCUGGCACUAUGUGGAGGCAGUGGAUGGGGUGCUGGUGGUCAAGAUAGGCACACACCCAGUGUUGUGUGGGUGCACACUUAGGGUUUCCAUUGAGCAUGGACGAAUGUGUUAGCAACGAAAAGAAGUCGCACCUCUUCCUACACGCAUACAUCAUGGACGAAAAUUGGAGCCUGGUGCCCCUCCUGAUCAACGUUGUUUGUAAGGGGCUUAGGGUUGUAAGGACAGGCGACAGGGCCCACAUCCGUGCUUGGUGACCUCGCCAGGCGAUAGCUUGGUGACCUCGCUUCCACCCUUACCUUACCCCACCAUCACAGUUGGCACACCUGCAGGUUGCACCGGAUGCUAAGAACGGGGGUCGACACAUGGACUGUGGAGGCUGGGCUUGGAGAGGAGGGCUUUGGCGCGCAAGCUCGUGGCUGUCAGCACUGAUGGUGCAAGCGUGAUGCAGGUGCACAACGGUGCGUCAGACAGACCGCACCAUUCCCGCUCAACAUUCACUGCAAGGCGUCCACCGCACGGAUCUUGCUGUAGCAGCGCUGGAGAAGGCGCCAAGGGGCCCAGUCGUCAAGGGGAUCAUUCAAUUCAUCAACUACGUCCCAGACGUCAAUAAUUACUUCUCAGGCAGCGCCAAGCGUGUUAGCAUGUUCGAGGAUGUGGCCGAGGCUGCGGAAACGAAUGGCAACCGGCUGAAGUGGAUUGCGAAAAUGAGGUACACAACAUCGUAAAUUCACGUAAAAUAAUUUUCUUUUUGCACCCGCUUUGAAUCCCCUAGCGUGGUCAUUAUUCAAGUGGAUCUGCGCGUGUGACCCAGCAGAGUCCGUGCUGGUGGAAUACCCAGCACUGCUGCCGCUAUCCUGCUGCUACUGCGGGACGCCCGUCUGUACGUCGCGACGCAUGCGUGAAUACCCGCCCUGGUCAUGGUCGGUAUGUUCAAGAAGCUUUGCCAGAACUGUGGGCUGUACAUCGGCAAGCUGGCCAAGGCGAUGCGGCACGCCAAGGACCGGCUGUGUGAGACGUAUCUCAGGGAGGAGACCCGCUAGAACGGUGUGGCAAAUCUUUCAGCAUUUUCGUUAAUAAUCGAGGUAGGAGAGAUAAGUCAUUGUGCCAGAUAUCAGAGCGGAGUUCGAGGACUGGAGUCCUCCAAGGCGCUCCUGGCAGUCGAUGAGAAUAUCAAGGGCACUGUCUGGGCAUUCGAUCGGGACAUCCUAAGUGAGGAGCGGAUUGGAAUGAUGUGCGGCAGCCGUGGCUUCUUCCCCAUCACCGCUGAUCUCACACACACACACACACACACACACUCUGUGCUGGGACCGCACGACGACACUCUCGACAUCGCAGCGCCUGGCCCUUAUCGGCGAGUCAAUGAAGGUAGACCUGUCAGCCGCAGUUAAGGAGCUGGAACCCGCAACAACUUCAUAAUCAGCCGGCUACUAUGAGGCGGAGGAGGGGGCCCGGUAACAUGUUGGGAGUCAUUGGGGUUUGGGCUGCCAUGGGUAGAAGUGUAACGGCUCGCGCAGGAACUACCGUUCGAUCGAACGGUAGUUCCUGCUCUUUCUCGUAGCACAUGUGUGUGUGGUUGUUACACAUGAUCAGCACAUGUUACACAUGAUCAGCACGUAGCACAUGAUCAGCGGUUCCCAUGAAUCUUAAACUUUACGUUGAUACCGCUUCCGCCUUGGGCAUAUUUUAUUUAGUGGGGGAAUUCAUGCGAUGAAUACUCUACAAAUAGUCUAUUUAACAAAUAAUCGGUGUCCCCAUACUUUCAUACUGCCAAGUACGUAAUCAGCACUUCUCGCUGCCAUGUAAAAAAUGUUCUUAUGAUACAACAUAUACACCAUGCAUCACAAAUGGAAAAACGCAUUCUAAUUUCGUACUCGCUAUCCAAUGUUGCUUGCAAUUCAUCAAUAUCGAGUGAUACUGCAGACAACCGGUUUUACGUGUUUGUUAAAACAAAAAAAUGGGAGCCCAAGAAUUCAUGUGCUCUGGUUCUGGUUGGUGAUCUGGGUGAUCGUACCUUACACGCUACCGUACGGCCUAAUGCAAAGCGCACAGCUACAAAAGAUAAGCCUUAUAAAAGGAUAUAUACUUUAAAUACAAAAGUACACGUAUGAGAGGAUGAUUCCGUAAAGGCAUGCAAGACCGUACAUAGGGAGCUCAACGAAGCGCCUUGAGAAAAGUAACCUACCGAAAACAAGCAAGAACCUCUUCGUAUAACAAAAUGUAUAGUUAGCUGCUGUCAGCUUAAUCCCUUGAAAGGAUAUAUCUUGCCGAUCAUAAUAAAGGUCAACAGUCAUAUGUCAGCAGGAGGUGGCGCUCAUCAGAACGCAAGCCUUGAGACCGAGCAGUCGCCAUCUAUGUACCAGCGCCAUCUAGUGCUAGCAGGCCAACUUGACAGCAGCCCAAUCUCUACAACACACAGCGCCACCUUAGCUCCCUCCGCCGCCCAGCAGCCAACCUUACAGCCCAAUCUUUUCAACACUACUUCUGCGCAAUCUAGCUUUCGCAAGGCACUCACCCUGACAGCAUAAUCCGCAUACCAGUGUAACCUAUUUAGCACCCAGCCAUCCAUUCAAACCUUCCGCAGCCUCUGUCCCUCAUUCCCACCCUCCUGCUGAAGAAACCACCGAUGUGUAAUAAUCGCUAGCCCCAGCAGUCCAACAACAUCAACUAAGAGAAAUGCAUAUGGAAAUUGCUGAGCUUUAACCUGAACUUCUUUCAAUGGCUAUUAAGGUUGACACUUCUUGUAAUAUGACAGCUGUGGCACGCAUUGGCACUCCAGGCCAGCAGGUACAUGCGGUCAGUAACGGUCCAAUGCUUAGCAGCUAGUAGUUCCUUUGUUUCUAGCACGAUGAGAACCAGGCUCAUGAAUGUGUUACGUCCAUAUUACCGAUUUGAUCCGAUUUGGCCACCGAUGGCAACCGUUUCGUUCCAAUGGGAAAGGGUUUCAUCAACAGCGGUUGUAACUGUUAAUCGUCUUAAGAUCUCACCCUGAUGUAAUAGACAGGGACCGUCGCUAUCUAACAUGCCAUUGCAAAAUCUUAAGACUUUCAAACGAAAGGUUUCAUCGCCACAUACUUCCCCUUGUAUCGUAUCAUGUCCAGCUACACAACAAGACUGCAUGCACUUGUAUUCUGUCAUCUGCAAUACGCCUUUCCGGCCCCCGCUAGCAUAGGGGCACACGUGUGAGGCUCCGGUUGUAAAUCGUACGUCAAGAAAAAGGCCCGCCCCCGAGUUUGGCGUACCACUUCGGGCCUUGUGCAGGAACGCUUGGCUUUUAUAGUGGUGUGAUAAACGAUUGUUAUGGUUUUGAGCCACUCUUGCCUGAACGGGUAGAGACAGAGCUUUACCGCUUUGUUCUGCAACACGAAAUUUCGCCCGCCGGUGCUCGCAGAAGAUAUGGUUUAAGCACCUCUCUUGUGAUUCUGCUAGCAGGUAAAAUGUCCCUUCCGAUGAACUGGCGGUGUGCUUCAGCAAAGUCAUCAUCACGAAGUUGUUUUGAACCAGCAGCCAUCCAUCCGCAUCCACAGGUCUUCGAAGCGUCGGUACCCUGUAAUAUCCCAGCGCAAUCGUUGAUGUAUGGUAUUAUCUGCUUACUGCGCAAUUUGGUCCGCCCCCACGAUAGCAGGUCGGCGUUGUUUGUGAUCCGACGAAGCGAGGAGUUGGACACGCGCCAUCAUCUCACGUCCCCCCGCCGGUGCGUUAUUGACCCAGGCAACAGGUUAGUGCUUGGGAGGAGACGUAAUAAUUUAUAUGUGUGCAUCUAGAGUAAUAUAUUCAGAACGUUUGGGGACGUCACACGGGCGCGUUCGGCCAAAACGCUGGCCCAACACAGAGGAGUGGACUAUGCCGGAUUAACAUAACUAGCUUCACCUCAGCGCGAUUGGAAAUGAUUAUUAAUAUCUAUAACAUUAUACUAUUGCGGCAAUGUGCUGUUAGAACGCCCUGCAUUCCUGCGACGACCUUUGUCCGUGCAGCGGGUCAAUGAACGAUCGUAUAAGGUCAAGCAUCCAGGAAUUCUGCAGUAAGCGCAACAAAGACAUAGCUACUAUUGUACGCGAGAGCACGUGAGAUGAAUAUCCCGACGAUGUCAACCGUGCUUUAGUAAAUAACUUCAUACGAUUAGUUCCAGUAUCUACCUCGUUCAUUUCAACUUCCUCACGCAAAUCAUGAAACACAUCCAAAGUAUAUUACAAAUCAUUUAUUGACAGAGCUAUGCCACUUGCACAAGUCGGCAUUGCAAAGCCUGCCUGCCUGCCGUGAAUAGGUACGAUGGAUGAGUAAAGCAGUUGCUAAUAAGCGAGCAUCAAAAUAGGUCAUGCUAGAGUCUCGAUAAAUUCAUGCCGACAAUGUUUUUUAUUAGACCCGAAGCAGCAAGUUUGUGGACGGUAUAUAGGAUGAUCGGAUUAUUAGGGAGACGUAGAUGUCCAGCCAAAAGAGAGCAAAAUACAUCAAUACACCAAAGAUAAUCUGAUUAAGUAUAUGCAUGGCAAACUGUAAGGGAUUUGUGUUCGUUACCGAGUAGGUAUGGUUUGGCUUUGAUCAGUACGACUCUGUUGUCAGACUAUUUAAGGCAUUUCCUAUUCCAUUAUCUGUAAGCUUAAUAUUAUUAUCUUCCUUGUCUCUCAGCCAGCGUCUGAUGUCGGACUCUGCAGAUCGGGCAAGUUAGGAACUAAUGCUUCCUCCAGUCGCCAACUGGAGCCAGUUCCUUUACAUAUGGUAUCGAGUUAUGGUUCGAUCCUACCUCGGUCCGUAUUGGAGCUGUUUUCCCAUCGUCACAGCGUUUCCGCUUCACGCCACUUUAAUGAUCGAUUGAUUUUUGCCGUUCCUUUACACCUUCUUCACACAAACAAAAGCCAUCUUUUCGCGUCCCUGACUCUGAGAGUCAUGGACUCAUGGACUACUGCAAGUAAGGCUCAUUUUUGCGGGACUCGUAAUACCAUCCGGUGCAAAACGGUGUAUGUAUAUUUGUGCCUGGCAUCGCCGUUCACGGCCUGCGGCUGCAGUCCAGCAUCAGGUCUAGGCGCUGCACCUGCCUCCUGCUGCCACGAUCAGCAGCGCAUUUCUACUUGGGGUUAUAAUGGACGGAAUGAAUGAUUUCUCAAAUCUUGAUGGUCAUAUGGUGGGACUUGGAAGCUGGUUACAGCUCCACGCAGCAGGUAGAGUGCGGCGGGGUGCGAGAGUGGCGGAAAGAUACAAGUGAGGAGGGCAACAAGAAAGGAGCAAAAAACGAAAACUGCCGCGGGCCGCCCUCUAGACGGCGGAUGGAAGUGCUCCUGAUUAGUAUUGUAAAGUAAUCGUAUUGUAAGGCGUCGAGUUAUUGUUGAGUCUUGGGACCGCCUUCGGGGCUCCGUGGCUCUGGGGAGUUCCACGGAAAGAAUCAGAUUCUGUUGGGUCACAUCACCCCUUCUUGCGAAUUGUGUCGGACAACUCGUUAUGUUCACGGGAGCGGUCACCGAUGGACGACUACCUACCACCUGCUUCACUUCUUUAUUUCAAUUCUUUUAUUUGGGGACGUUUGGGGCACAGGCCUCAUCUAGUAACAACGUGCAAGUUCCUGUCAGUAUUUGUUAGUGGGCCUUGUGGUGGAGGUCCGGAGACUUUCGCGCAUUGGGGAGCCUAAUGGCGAAUUUCCCCGUGGUGGGUUUUUGAGCCUUCCCGUUGGACUCGCUUUCCGCUAUCUAGGUGACACAAGCGUUGCCUGGUCUGGGUGGGUGUCUUGUUUGCCCGGAUCAUCUCAGGUGCAGUACUAACGCAAGGCCAGCUGGCUCUACUCUUCGUGAGUCUGGAGCCCACUGUAACCACCACACACACAUAAAGCACGACGCUUGUCCCACAAUUGAGCCGUUCACCGGCGCACUCUGUUAGACAGCUGUCCAUGUUAAUAGCAGCAGGGGUAGGAAGAGGCGGGUACCUGGGUACAUACGGGGUUGAAAAUUACACUGCAUGUAAGGAAAACAUGGGAAAAGCGGCGAUGCGCGGGUUUGCUUCAUGGGCCCCUGACCAUUUGGGGGAUUUAGGAUACGGCUGUGCUUUCUCCCCCUCUCAAGAGGUGGAUCCUUGCGCAACGCCGUGUGUUCUCUGGCUCAUCGUUCAUAGCGGGUCGCUCGUACAGGCUCCCUCGUUCGUAGGGUGUAGGGGUUUAUGAAUCGUGGCAUGGAUCGUGGCAUAUCGAUCGAUGUACAUAUUAGCUUUCUAGGCUUUCUAGAGGAGUCAGGGUCGCCAAACGUCCCUCACAUAAGCUUUACGACUAGAACAAUUGCCAACAGGCCACGGGUUCUCAAGCACCUUGCUGUCGUCCCUCCCUCCCGCACACUAGCUAGGUGUGGCACCCAGCCAGCCCUCACAUGCCCCUCCACCUCCACCCCACCACGUCAUCCGCAGGCUGCCCUGUCGUCCUCAUCUCGGCCAGCUCGCCGGGCUCCCGUGCGGCGGCCUCAACGGCAGGUAGCUAGGGACUCGCCAGGUCAGCAGGAGGAGCCAACAGAGUCAUGUGUAGGAGGCAGCCGCUGCAGGCGGCCAAGAGGAUGGCUGUGGUCCCUGGCAUGAGCCGCCGUCGCCAGCCAGCCAUCGCAUUGCCCAGCGCUGCGGGUGCACUGAUGUCCGUGGCGCUGCUGCUACCGCUGCUGGUGCUCCUGAACACACAAAUGGCAGUUGCUAAGGUGCCGCCGCCGCCACCACCACCGCCGCCGUCACCACCGUCCCCACCUCCGACACCAUCACCACCGUCACCUCCAUUACCACCAUCACCCCCCCCGCCGCCAUCACCACCGUCACCGCCGCCACCGCCGCCACCGCCCUCACCGCCCUCACCGUCACCUCUGCCGCCACCGCCGUCACCACCAUCACCACCGUCGCCGCCGCCACCGCCGUUACCGCCGUCACCGCCGCCACCUCCAUCACCUCCAUCACCGCCAUCACCGCCAUCACCGCCGUCACCGCCGCCACCGCCGUCACCGCCAUCACCACCGUCACCACCGCCACCGCUAGCGCCACCAUCACCGCCGCCACCGCCAAUCACCGCCAUCACCGCCGUCACCGCCGCCACCGCCGUCACCUCCAUCAGCACCGUCACCACCGCCACCGCUAGCGCCACCAUCACCGCCAUCACCGCCGCCACCGCCAAUGCCGCCAUCACCGCCGUCACCGCCGCCACCGCCGUCACCUCCAUCAGCACCGUCACCACCGCCACCGCUAGCGCCACCAUCACCGCCGUCACCGCCGCCACCGCCAAUGCCGCCAUCACCACCGUCACCGCCAUCGCCACCGUCACAGCCGCCACCGCCAUCCGCGCCAUCACCGCCGCCACCACCAUCGCCGCCGUCACCGCCACCACCGCCCACACCGCCCUCACCACCGUCACUGCCAUCACCGCCAUCGCCGCCGCCACCGCCAUCCGCGCCAUCACCGCCGCCACCACCAUCGCCACCGUCAUCGCCACCACCGCCCUCACCGCCCUCACCACCGUCAUCGCCAUCGCUGCCAUCGCUACCAUCGCUGCCGCCACCGCCCUCACCACCGUCACCGCCGCCACCGCCCUCACCACCGUCACCGCCAUCGCCGCCAUCGCCACCGCCACCGCCAUCACCACCGUCACCGCCGCCACUGCCGCCACCGCCAUCACCACCCGCACCGCCGCCACCGCCGUCACCACCGUCACCACCGUUACCGCCACCACCACCGUCACCGCCACCACCACCGUCACCGCCAUCGCCGCCGCCACCGCCAUCACCACCGUCUCCGCCGCCACCACCGUCACCACCGUCACCGCCGCCACAGCGGCCACCACCGUCACCUCAGCCGUCACCACCGCCACCACCGCCGUCACCACCGUUACCGCCGCCGCCACCGUCUCCAUCGCCGCCGAGUCCCCCUCCGCCGCCACCCCCCCCUCGGGGGAACCGCUCGCCACCUCCGCCACCGCCGUUUUCCUCACCGCCUCCGCCUCUCCUUCCGUCUCCUCCGCCACCUGUGCUUCUAACUCCACCUCCUCCCACCAUCUCCAGCAAAUCUCAACCACCUUUAACUCCCACCCCACCGCCACCAUCUCCCACCCCACCUCCACCUCCGNNNNNNNNNNNNNNNNNNNNNNNNNNNNNNNNNNNNNNNNNNNNNNNNNNNNNNNNNNNNNNNNNNNNNNNNNNNNNNNNNNNNNNNNNNNNNNNNNNNNNNNNNNNNNNNNNNNNNNNNNNNNNNNNNNNNNNNNNNNNNNNNNNNNNNNNNNNNNNNNNNNNNNNNNNNNNNNNNNNNNNNNNNNNNNNNNNNNNNNNNNNNNNNNNNNNNNNNNNNNNNNNNNNNNNNNNNNNNNNNNNNNNNNNNNNNNNNNNNNNNNNNNNNNNNNNNNNNNNNNNNNNNNNNNNNNNNNNNNNNNNNNNNNNNNNNNNNNNNNNCACCAGCCAAGGCACCCAAAGCUCCCAAGCCCCCCAAGGCGCCUUUCGUGCCCAAGUUCCCCCGGGCCCCCCGACCCCCCAGGGUGCCCAGGCCGCCCAGAGCGCCCAGGUAGAGGCGGCCUUGCUUGGCGAGCACCCGCUGACGGAACCAGCCGGUUGAGUCAGUCAACAGCAGCACCUGUCCUAGCCGGGGGUAUGCAUGCUGUACCCGGACAGGGCAGUGAUGUGCGGAGUGCAGUGUGCGUGCUGGUGGGGGAGUGUCGGACCGCCAUGCCCGC